rnacentral:lncRNA from 1 species
CCCAUCCAGCAGGCCUUAGAAGCCAUCCCAAUAAUGAGAGUUUCUCACGGCACCACCUAUGUUCUUCACCACAAAACAUCAGUAAGCGAAGGUCUAACCUUAGCUUUAGGCCACGAGCUCAAACGAUAAGCAGUGAGUCUGCUGGAAUCCACAGGCUGAGCCCCUGGGAAAUCCCUAGGAGGGACUGGUUCCCUCCUAGCUUUCUCUUCGGUGCCGCCACUUCAGCAUACCAAGUACUAAUUUCUAGCACGAAUGUCCAUCUUUGUUUGUUGAAAGGAAUGUAGUGUUAACUGUUACAAAUGAUAUAAUGAAUACCUAAAAGAAAAAAAUUAUCAUUUGUGAAUGCAUUUUAACUGUAUAUAUAUUUGUUUGAUAUAUGCACAAAAUAAUAUACAUGUCAUGUUUGUGUAGAUUGAAGGUGCUUGGAAUGAAGAUGGGAAGGGGCCAAGCACAUGGGAUCACUUCUGCCACAAUUUUCCGGGUAACAUAUAUAUAUACUGGCAAUAUCUUUUGUUUAUAAAUAUAAGCAGUUUUUUAUGUAGUAACAAUAAGAUCGAUGUAGUAGUUUCAGCGUAACUAUCAUAAAUAUGAUAUCCUUCUUUCCUAAAUUCUUCCUUAAUUUUCUUUCAUGUAUAUAUGAACAGAAUGGAUAGUGGACAGGAGCAAUGGGGAUGUUGCAGCGGAUUCGUACCAUAUGUACGCUGUAAGUAAUUAGAUGCCAUUAACUAGCUCCUAUAAAGUGAAUGUGGAGGUUAAAAUGCAGUAUGUCUUAUCGCUGAGACAAAUCUAUCCAAUGCAAAUAUGACUUUGAAAGGAUAAAUAUUUUGUAUUGUGCAGUUGUUUUUUUGGGGGAAAAAGUUAAUGUAUAUGCACUCCAAAGUAUAUAAAUAUGUGCCUAUUAAUAUAAUAUACAUGUUGUUAUCAUUAUUUAUAUCAGUACAUUUGGCUGGCAGGAGGAUGUCAGGUUGCUGAAGGAAAUGGGCAUGGACGCCUAUAGGUUCUCCAUCUCUUGGCCCAGAAUACUGCCGAGUAAGUAUAUACAAAAAUAUCCCAAUAUGUUUUUUUCAGUGAAUAAUUAAGUUAGAAACAAAGAGUAAAUAUGAUGACUAGAACUAAGGCGUCAUCAUCAAGCUAAUAAUGCAUCCGAUCAGCAGAGUUCUUGGAUUGUUAGGGUGCUAAUAUCCAAAUAUGUUACGGCUUUCAGAGGGGACGCUCGCUGGAGGUAUUAACGAGAAAGGUGUCGAGUACUACAACAAGUUGAUCGACUUGUUGUUAGAGAACGGUAAAAGAAACACCAUUUUUCGAUUGGCAGCUUAAUUAAUUAAGGAAGAACGUAAUCCAAGGUGCAAAAGUUUUGACAAACCAUUCUGUAUAUUCUUUGCAACUCGAUCAGGCAUAGAGCCAUAUAUAACAAUUUUCCACUGGGACACGCCUCAAGCGCUGGUAGACGCGUAUGGCGGCUUCUUAGAUGAGAGGAUUAUGUAAGUAUAUAUGCAGUUCAAAUGAAUGUUUUAAUCUUUCCAUAUUUAGUGUACUAGCUGCUCUCAGUUCUUCCACAAACAAAAGAGUAUAUACCGAUCAGAAGAGAGGGAUUAUUCUAAAGUUCAAUUUGAUCAAUAUUUGAAGUUACUAUAAUAAUAUGUUUAAAACCUAUAUAUGAACUUUAUAUGAUUUAACUUCAUGGUUCAUAUCUAAGUAUUAGAGAAGCAUCAAUGAUCAAUACUAAAAUUUUUUCCUACCGAUCACAAACAAUGCUCUAUUGUUAUUUCAACAAAGUGUCAAUCAACUCGCAUAAUAACUAUAUUUAUUGAUGAACAUCAUUCCGGAUUGUAAUUUUUCAGAAAAGAUUACACAGACUUCGCUAAAGUGUGCUUUGAAAAGUUUGGUAAGAAGGUGAAAAACUGGUUGACCUUUAAUGAGCCGGAGACAUUCUGUUCUGUUUCCUAUGGAACUGGAGUCCUUGCCCCGGGGCGGUGCUCACCGGGAGUAAGUUGUGCCGUUCCAACUGGAAACUCACUCAGCGAGCCAUACAUUGUUGCCCACAACCUUCUCCGAGCUCAUGCUGAGACUGUUGAUAUUUACAACAAGUAUCACAAGGUACAAACAAAUUAAAGGCUCUCUCUCUCUCUCUCUCACACACACACACACUCUUCUAAAUUAAUAAGUAGGUAGAGAUACAAAUAUCAAUAUAUAUACUCCAGCAUUGAGUAUUAACAAAUCAAUUGCAGGGUGCGGACGGCCGUAUAGGGCUUGCGUUAAAUGUAUUUGGCCGUGUGCCAUACACAAAUACGUUUCUUGAUCAACAGGCCCAAGAAAGGUCCAUGGACAAAUGCCUAGGAUGGUUCUUGGAGCCAGUGGUUCGUGGUGACUACCCCUUCUCCAUGAGAGUGUCAGCGAGGGACCGGGUGCCCUACUUCAAAGAAAAAGAGCAAGAGAAGCUAGUUGGUUCUUACGAUAUGAUCGGGAUAAACUACUACACCUCAACGUUCUCCAAGCACAUCGACCUCUCACCAAACAACUCGCCAGUGCUCAACACUGACGACGCCUAUGCCAGUCAAGAAAGUAAGAAAUUAUAGUUAAGACCAAUAUCUACUGCUUCACAGUUCCAAUAAUUAAAGAAAUUUGUCGUCCUCAUACUAAUCCUGCACUUCUAUUGUUCUGUUCAACCAGCCAAAGGGCCUGACGGGAAUGCUAUUGGUCCUCCUGUACGCACAUAUCUUCCUAACAUUUAUAUUGUUUUUUACAAUAUUUAUACUGAAGGUGAUAAUGUGAAAAAUUCGUCCAAAAAUGUAAUCACAGAAUGCUCAUGGUUAAACUUUUAUAUACGUAAAAAAAGGGAAGUUGCAAAAGUUUUGUGUUAUAGCUAUAUAAAGCGGAACAAAUCUGUAGGGUUUUUUCCUUGUAAUAUGCAUAUUGGUAAUAAUUUGUCACAAUCUUGAUUACUUCAAUUUGCAGACUGGAAAUGCGUGGAUCAAUAUGUACCCUAAAGGCCUACACGAUAUCCUUAUGACCAUGAAGAACAAGUAUGGAAACCCACCAAUGUACAUCACUGAGAACGGUAAGUAGUAAGGUGCUAUAUAUACUUUUGCAUUUUGUUUCAAUCAUAGGUAGUACUAAACUUUAGCUAACUAACCAACAAGUAUAUCUUUUUCAUUCAUCUCAUGGAUCUUUUGUAAAUAAAGGGUUUUUAUACUUUUUAAUGAAGCAAAACUCUGAAAUGAUCCCAAAGGGUCUUUGCAAGAAUGGCUCUGUUUUGUUUUUGAAAGAUGAGCAUAGCUCCUAUAUACACACGUAAGGCUAACUUAGACAUUGCUAGAUGUGGGUUUUAAUACACACGCACAGACCUGAGGAUAGCUGCAUCACUAACACAAAAGGCUGGUCCAGUGGUGUAUCUAGCCUAACCGCGAAGAUCCGGUAACCAAAAAAACAGAAAAAAAAACAGAGACACAGAAAGAGAAAUCUGUUGCAUUUGCAUUAAUAUAUAUCAGCUUAAAGUCAUUAAGCUACAUAAGCUCCUGCAAAAUGUCAAAAAAAUGGAUUAAACUACAUCAACUCCUGUGGAAGAUAAUUAAAACAUUUCGCUGACUGAGGUGGACUUGGGAAGAUGACCCAUAGAAUAAUGAGGCGCUGGUACGGUGAACAUAAUGGUGAUAAAUCAAUCGUUGGUGAGAGAUCAUACCGUCCCACGCACUUGUCUUCUCAUGGAGUUACUAAUAUAAUUUGAUGAUUUUGCAGGGAUGGGGGACAUUGACAAGGGCGAUCUACCCAAACCAGUUGCGUUGGAAGACCACACAAGGCUAGAUUACAUCCAGCGCCACCUCUCAGUUCUUAAACAAUCAAUAGAGUAUGUAUAUAUAUAUCCACCUACCUACCUCUAGUUUACUUAAGUUUAAUUUAUUUUCCACAUCCCUCUAUAUAUAUAUAUAUAUAUAUAUAUAUAUCACACUUGACAAAUGCAUAUGCUUGCAUUGCAUCCGUUGUUCCUACUACGUACGUGCAGCUUGGGAGCAGACGUGCGCGGCUACUUCGCGUGGUCUCUGCUGGACAACUUCGAAUGGUCCAGCGGCUACACCGAGCGUUUCGGCAUCGUCUACGUCGAUCGCGAGAAUGGCUGCGAGCGCACCAUGAAGCGAUCAGCCAGGUGGUUGCAGGAGUUCAAUGGAGCUGCCAAGAAGGUUGAAAAUAACAAGAUUCUUACGCCGGCCGGCCAGCUUAACUAAUUAAGUAGAACACGUACUGCUUCUGGCUGAUGUAUGGUAUGGUGGCACUGUGUCUUCUGUGCAUGCCUGUGUGGUCUGAAACGACAUAUUUUACUUUGCACGGCUAGAGGUAGUGGAGGCAUAUUCUCCAGCGCCGCAGCUAAUAAUGCAAUGCUCUGUUCCAGUUCAGUGUUAUCUUUUUAUUAUGCAAUAAAACGAAGUGAUCGAUUUGCAAUAUUUGUAAUGUUGAAUUAUUAUUAUUAUUGGCCAUGUGGACAAUAUCUGCAAUGUUGAAUUAUCAUAUUGUGGGCGAUGUCUUAUUUUUGUCAAGUGCGGGGACUACGCCACAACCAUACUGCCAAGUCGUAACCAUGGAAGCGAGAUUGUGCGUUUGUUUUGGGAUCGGACGAAGGGAGUAUUCUCUAACUUAACCUUUUGAUUGACAAAGCGUUAGCAACGUAUGCCCAAAUUCUAUCAACUAGCUUAAGGUAAUAUCAAGGUCACACAGGCAUGCACAAGCGAAAUCAAUAAAUUAAAUGCAAUGAGUAACAAACAAGAAUUAGAGAGGGCAAACUCCACUGCUACAAGACCGGCUUUAGUCCCGGGUGUAACACCCUAAAAAUUCUCUUCUUUAAAAUAGUUCAAAUUUGAUUUUUGGAAUCAAUUUUGUGAGCAUUAAAAUAUAGGAAAAUAAUAAUUUUUGGGAAGUUAAAAUUUAAUAUAAGGUUAGAAACAUAUUUUGACGUAUACAUGCAGUAGCAUUUUAUUUUUGGUGAUGUGUGAUUUUGAGCAAAAGAGUUUUGAAUUCAAAUUCCAUUUGAAAAUUGAACUUUGAAAAUUUGCUGAAAAAUUAAAAGGAAAAACCUAUUCUCUCUCCCUCUCUCUCCCAUUUCGGCCUGGCCUCCUCUCGGCCCACGCCUCCCUCUCCUUUCUUUUCUUGGGCCAAGGCCCAGCCGGCAGCCACCCCUCAUUUCCUCCCUCCUCUCUCUGACGCGUAGGGCCCGACUGUCAGCUUCUCCCAUCUCCUCCCGCAAUCGCCUCCUCCCCUCUCUCCCUCUGCAGCCGAAACCGCUGGCUGAAGGCGCGCCCCGCUCCCCACUUCCCCACUUCCUCCCCCUCGGCUUGCCCUUUUGAGCGCGCUCGAGCCCGAGCCUCCUCCCCCACCCUAUUUUCGCUCUCUCCAUGCCUUUUCUCUCACUCAAUGCACAGAGAAUCGCCACCGGUGUCCGCCGCGAUCCUCCGCCCGUCGUCCGGCCGAACCGAGCCGCAUCCGCCUCCGAUUUUCGCAGUGCUGAGCGCGCCUCCUUCCCCCCUCUCUCUCUCUCCAGCUUUCUCCCAUGCGAAAACGUGGUUCCUAGCACCCUAGCCGCGAGCUCCGAGGAGCUGGCCAUGGCGCCGCCGCGGUUCAGCACGCCAGCCACUUCCCCGGCCACGUUUUACCCCGUAUCAGACUCGCCUCGCUCUCCUCUUUCUCCCAGUUCUUACGGAUUGGUAAACGGUGCACCGUAGCGGCCGGGCGAGCAACUCCGGCGAGCUCCUCGCCGCUGGCCAUGGAGCGCCACCGUCUCCUCUCUCCCCUCCAGCCGGCCGGCACCGCCUGUCCCCCCCCCCCCCCCCCGAUCUAAUCUUGAGCGUCCCUUUUCAAUCUGAUGGCCAGGAGCGCUCCAUACCCCUUCGCGGGUGAAAUUGCUAAAGAGUGCCUAGAAAUUCUAGGAUUCAAUCCCGUGGUCCAAAGCGCCUCCUGGAAUACGCCAGCCGAGUUUGAAAACGUAUUUCUCACUGGAUUGAUUUCAAAAUACGCUUUCACAAAAUUACAAGUUUGCCACUAGAUCUAUUUGGCUCAUAAAAUAUUCAUUUUAACUCCGAUUUGACCCAUUCAAAUUGCGUUAGGUUAGUCUUUGCGAGCUCUACAUGUUAGUAACCUUGUUUCACCAAUUGGAAACAUUUAAAUUUUGUGACAUUAUUUAAUUAAUUAAUUUUCUAAAGAAAACCUUAGAAAAUUCAUAUCUUCUCCGUUUUAGCUCCGUUUCGAUCCGUUCAAGUUGCGUUAGUUUCAUAAUUUCAUAAGCUUCACGUUGGUACCAUUGUUUCUUAGGUUUACCAUUGUUAGGUUUCCUAGAUAAAUACAAGUCCGUAGAUAGCCUUUGCAGUCCCGUUUAAUGCGUAGAUUUCGUGUCGUAACUCUGUUUUCUGUAAAUUUCUCGUUGACGUGAUCGUAGCAACGUGUAGAUGAUUUUGGAAAACUUUUAUUUAAAUUUAUUUACUGUUGGUGUACUAUUCUAAUUAUAGCUUUGUUUGCUUUGUGUAUGUGUGGCCUCAAUUGCUUGUGUGUUGAUGAUUGUUGACCGAGUCUAGUCAGUGGGCAUUACUUCGGUGAUUAAGAUUAGAGCCUUGGAAGCAAGUAAGAUCAGCAGGACCAACAAGAGCAAUUGGAUCAAGGCAAGUAUAGCAUUUGGGUUUUAAUUCUAUGACCAUGAUCUUGUGACUAGAUUAAUAUAAAGCAACAAAUGAUAAUAAAGACUUUUUAGCAACUUGAGGAUUUAUUCGUAAGUGAUAACCGGGAUGAAAGUGCAACCAUGAGGGCUAUGAUGGCUUUGGCUUUAGUCAAGUAUGAGUAACUUUUCUAGCUGGUUAGAGGUUACCCGCGUGGCGCAAAUGGGGAUAGCAAACCGUGGAUUUCCUGCGGGGUAGAAUCACAUGGACUGACUACCGAAACCAAGUGGCCCUAACUUGUUAGACGAACCUUUGAAAGAUAUUAUAGUGAUCCCUGCCGGCCUCCCUUGGAAGGGGGUUAAGAGGUUAGCUACCUCUGGCGAAAGGUUAAAUCAUGACUCAUGGGUAAAGAUGUACGACCUCUGCAGAGUGUUUAAUAAACUGGUAUACCAGCCGUGCUCACGGUCACGAGCAGCCUUGGGGAUUCUUACAUUAAGGGUGAUGAUUCUUGUUGUGUGAAUAUGCUCAUGUUUAUUGUUUAAUGCUCUAUAUUAUUUAUGUCACAUUGAUCAUGAGACCGUGGGAUCUAUACUAUCUAGUUGCUAUACUUGCGGAGUUCGUCUUGGACUCACUCUUGCUAUCUCCACCACACCACAGGAGAAGUAUUGGGCUUGUGAUCAACUAGUCAGUUGGAUCCUGUAGAGUUAAGUUAAUACAAAUAUUUUGGAGUUAUCUUCCGUGGUUUGCUGCCUAAGGCUGUUUUUAAUUUAUUAUGUACGUUAUAUAAUUUAUACGUUGUCCUUUGAUAUUACCCCUUAUUUGUAGCUAUAUGUGAGGUUUGUCUUCCAAAACUCACAUAUGUUGCAUAUCUGAUUUUGUUCUUAAAAUCGGGUGUUACAAAGUGGUAUCAAAGCAAUGCUGACUGUAGAACGUAAGCCUAGUUAGAACCGGACGUGUUAGCAUGCUUCUAUCUCUCCUUACUUCUUGCUUUCACCUUAACCUUGAUAAUUGCUAAAAUUUAUUCUUACCUCUGCCAUAUUCUGUUAUAAAACUUUGUCUCUAUUCUAAAUCCAACCUCCUUGUCUAUUUAGAUGGCUCAUAAUGAGGAGACCUUUGGCAUGAAUGGACAAAAGGACCUCGCUUCGCCACCCAUAAAAGCAUUUGACAAGGAGAAGCUUCUAGCCAUGCAAAAGCAAGUAGUGGAAGAAAUGACUCAGAAUGGGAACUCUCAGCAGUGCAUCUCUGGACCAGUGAAGAGACAAGUAGCAGAAGCUUGGAAAAAUAUGAGAACCCAUGGAGGAGUUGGUAGUAGUACAUCGGGAUAUGAGGAUCAAUGCCAUUCACUACACCACAACACCAUAUUUGGCGCCAGAUGAUCUAACACUGAAAGCCGCUACAACGUCAUGCGAUCUGACGCUAAAAACAUAUAGCGUCAGACUUCUGCAGACGCAGUAAGUGCUGACGCAAAAAACAUAUAGCGUCAAACCAAACUUUUAGCAUGAGAUAGCAUGUUGCUAUGAAAAUUUUUAGCGUCAGAUAGUCUCAUGACAAUGUUUAGCGUCAGACACUCCUUGGCCAAACAUAUAUCGUCAGAUCAUCUAAUGAUCUCAAUAUAUAGCAUCAGUUUGUUCUACGACACAAUUUGAAUAUUCAAAAAAUAAAAAUUGGAAAUAUGUAGCACAUCAAACCCACACUCAAGCUCAAUAAUGUCCAUCACACACAAAGAUAUAAGGUCACACAUGACAUGAAGGUUGAUACAUAUAUAUUAUACCAUACAAUCUUGUCUUGCACACUACAUCACACUACAUCAUCCAACAAAGUCAAGCAUACAAUCUUAUCUUGCAUACUACAUUAUCCAACAAAAGCUUACAUAAAUGCACACUAGCGAGCAAUAUAUAGUACUUUGUGUUUGAUAUAUAAUACUAAGGUUGGUGCACACAAUAGGAAAUGAAAAACCAAAAGCGCGUCCACCAGGUUGUGGAGAACCAUUUUCCAUGAACUUAAGCCAAACACUUGUUGUGCCCUGCACUUCCUGGAAAAUGUAACAUGUAAUUAGGCAAGUGGAGAAAAUAAUGUAAAGUUGUUGUACAAUAGUAGUGCACUACUAGUGUGUGAGUACGAUCAUCUAUUUAGUGUUUCAUUGCAUCCUACUAAUUUUGAUAAGUCAAAUGAUAAUAGCACUAUAUUGUUAUACAACAUACAUUUUCCAUGAACUUAAGCCAAACACUUGUUGUGCCCUGCACUUCCUGAAAAAUGUAACAUGUAAUUAGGCAAGUGGAGAAAAUAAUGUAAAGUUGUUGUACAAUACUAGUGUGUGAGUACGAUCAUCUGUUUAGUGUUUCAUCGCAUCCUACUAAUUUUGAUAACUCAAAUGAUAAUAGCACUGCAUUGUUAUACAACAUAACAAUCUAUUUAGUGUUUCAUUGCAGCAGAUAGAAAUGCAUGCAGGACAAAAAAAAUCUAGUAUAUAUAAUCUAUUUAGUGUUUCAUUGCAAAUGGCACCAAUCUUAGUAUAGACAAUCUGAUACUUGUGGAAACACUAUAAAUGGCAAGAAGCUUAGUACAUAUACUCAAGUUAGACCAAGUAGGAAAGAGUUUCAUUUCACUCGGCAUAAAUUUAUUAAAUAAAUCUACAUAAUAUGUAGUACCUAAGAGAAUAGAUCAGCUAGGCAAGAGUUAGAUCCCAUAGGGCCUAAAAUAGGAAAAGUUAGAUCCCUCUCAAGUGUUGCCCUAUACAUUAAAAAGAAAUUAUUAGUAACUAGUGCUAAGAUUUUCUAGGAAAAGAUCAAAGCAUCAUUACUCAAUGGCCAAAUUAAGACUAGGAAACCAUUCUAUCAACGUUAAAAGGCAAGGAACAAGGAAACAUGCAGAGUUAUUUUCCCAGACUAUGCACAUAAAGAACCACAUAAACACAAUUAUUUUCCAACAUUAAUGUUAACCUGAUAUUAAACACGACAUUGCAAACAUGAUUUAUCUUAAUUGUAAAAUCUCUCGCUAGCUUAUAUGAAUUUACUCACAAAUACAUAUAUAACCAUUCCUAAAUCCAACUCACGAAGCACAUGCUUCCAUAGUAUCAGAGAAACAUGCCUAGGCUGUACCGCCAUUGGACUAAAGCGGGGGGUUGCAGGGUAAAGCAGCAUCGCAAGUUGCUCUUCGUGGAGGAGUGCUGUCACAGUGGCCACCGCAUCCAGAUCCCAGCAACCAAAGAGACGAACCCUCUGCUAACUAACAGAGGGAGACAGAGUAGAUCUUUGAGAAAGAGGUUGCAUAGAGAGAGAAAGAGAGAUAGAUUUCUCACCAUGGUGGCAUGGCUGCUCCACCAUGCGAUGGCUGGCGCCUAGGCAUUGCGACUGCUCAGAUCUGGAGUGAGGUCGAUGGUGGCUCCUGUGCACGGGUCAAGAGGACGCGGCGGCAAUGUUUACGUGGGUGGGUGGUGAGGUGGUGGUAGCGGCAACAGAUGAGGGUAAGGGUGAGUAUACCUGGGCAUGCAGCCCGAGCCCGUGAGCACGGCCCGAAGCCCGUCAUUUUGGCCCGGCCCUAGCCCGGUCCGGCCCGAAAGUCAUUGGGCUCGGGCUGGCACGGCACGGGGCUGCAGGCCGUGCUUGGGCCGCACUUCAGGCCCGCGGGCCGGCACGGCCCGGUCCGUCAAAUAACAACAUUGUAUAAAAUAACUCAUUUUAAUAUCUAAAUCUAUUCUCUACAUCUGUCAUAUGUAUUUGAAUGUGUUCUUUAUACUGAUGAAGUGAUGAAUUGAUGAAUGUGUUUGAAAUAUGCUUUUAAAUCUGUGUUUAUUGAUAUGUUAUUGUUCAACGGGCUAUGGGCUGGCCCGGCCUGACGGGCCCGCCCGGUACGCAAAAUGGCCCACGGGCCCGUGCCUGGGCCGGAGGUCAGGCCCGCAGGCCGGUAAGGCACGGCCCGCAGGGCACGACGGGCCCCCUCGGCCCGUUAGGCAACGUGCCGGGCCGGCCCGUUGCCCAGGUAUAAGGGUGAGGUAGCAGCGGCGGCGGCGGAUGCAUCCCCUUGGGCGGGUCGCUGCCUUUACGCGAGGUAGGGGCGGGGAAAGAGUUGGUCUCAGGUAGUGGAAGAAGAGCAUGAAGAGAGAAAGAAGAGGAGGAAGUGGAUAGGGUUAGGGUUUCAUCCUCCCAAUUUAUAUGACCCUCAGUGAAUCUGAGCCGUUCAUCAUAAUGGAUGGCCACGGUUGAUUGGGCCUAUCACGCCGGUCCAUAAAGGGCGAAUUUAGGUUGUUGGGCUGAUGUUUAUUAUUAUUAUUCAUUUCUUCUCUUUCAUAAAUAAAUUUAUUUCUCGGAUACAAAUCAUGAUAUAUAUAUAUGGUCUACAUGAUCACUGUGAGGUCUCAAAUACUUUCUAAAAAAUAUAUACCGUAUAUAUGUUACUUCAUACUCCCUCCAUCCCAAAUUGUAAGUCAUUCCAAGAAUUUUGGAGAGUCAAACUUUUCUAAGUUUUACCAAACUUAUAUGAUAAAAUAAUUAUUAUUAUGAUACCAACUAGGUAUCAUUAGAUUCUUCCUUAAUUAUAUUUUCAUAGUAUACUCACUUUACGUUAUAAAUUUUAGUAUUUCACUCUAUAAUUUGGUCAAACGUGAAAAUGCUUUGACUCUCCAAAAUUCUUGGAAUGACUUACAAUUUUGGGGGGAGGGAGUAGAAGUUUUAAAAUGUUUACAAUGGAUUUAUAUAGUUUAACUGAAUUUUCUGUAUUUUUGAAAAAUAUCUAGGGUUUCUAUACUAAAACAUGGGCUAGGCCUAAAUUUUCGCGGGCCGCUCCCAUAAUUUACGCGGGACUCAAUGUAAGCUAGGCGCGCUCGUGGACUAGGUGGGACCCAUUUAAUUUUUUGCGUCAGAUGGAGUGACGUUGUACAGGGUUUUAGCAUCAGAUAAUAUGACAUUAAAUAUGGAUAUCUAUCGCGUCAGACAGUGAAUCGGUAAAUAUAGAUUUAGUGUUAGGUGAUCUGUAAACAAUAUUUGGCGUCAGAUCAUCCAAUGAUAAAAAAAGAUUUAGCGUUACAUAUCUGAUGCUAAAAAAGUGUUGUGGUGUAGUGAUUGCUGUAAGCAUUAUGGUCUUUCUUGUCUUCGGAAUAGGUCAUCUAAUAAAAAGAAAGUUAAGGUAAAACCAAAUUGUGUGACCAAUGAGGAUAAGAAGAGGAAGGCAAAAUCACUAGAGCCAGCAUUGGGAAGUGAACAACAUUCAAAUCCUAAAUUGUCACAUUUAGCUUUGAACUCUGGCCAUGAAAAUCCAAACCUUGGAGAUGAAUAAACUUCUCAAGCUAACCCCACUCCUCAUGAGGUAUGCAUAGAUGGAUGGACCAUCACUUAUAAAGAGUUUCAACCUCGAAUGAUCAACCAAGUUAGGAAGAAAGCUAGCCAGCCAGAGACAAACCUUUAGAGUAAGCGAGCUAAUAACACACCGAGCAACACCUCAGUGGAAAAUAAUAUCACGAAGGAUCCAUCUAAGAAAAAGUGUUAUCACUGCCAACAGGAAGGACACUAUGUAAACUCUUGUCCACAAAAGAACCAACAGUUGUAUCAUGAAAGUAGCCACACCGAGUCCAAGAGAUAGGAGAUUGUGCCCUUGUGUAAUAAAAACGCUAGUAGCGAAAGUCGAGAUUGUGUGACUUGUGAACCUUUACUGCUUGGUUGAAUUGUCUUUAUGUUUAUGUUUGAUUUGGAUCUUUGUAAUGAGUGUAAUGAUCUUGUGAGUUUCUUCACAAUUUCAUUUAGUUUAUAUGUCUAAGGCAUAAGGAUUAAUGACAUAAACAGUUGGGUUUUGGUUUUUCUCUUGUCAUCUUAUCCUGCCUUUCCGGAGUAUCACUUCUUUAUCAGUUCAUAUCUUUGGUCUGGGAUGACCACAAAUCACAAGAAAAUUCUGAAUGAUAGUAGACUUCAAGAUCUUUCUCUGACCUCAAGAAUCACCCCAUAGCUAUUUUGGUAAUGGAGUUAUGAAAAUCAUAAGAUGAUACAAUUGUGCUGUCAAGAACCUGGACCAGUUUUGGUUGCUUAGUGUUUGAGACAAAUGUAACCAUAGAAUUUGGAAAAGUGUUCUAUAACAAAGUUUUAGAUAAGUUGCCAAGCUUUCUAACGGUAUAAGCUAUAACCCUAUUGGAUUAACAGAACAAGAGUCAUGUCCAUUUUAUUGCGUUGGUGGUUUUCUUAUCGCGAGGAAAUUUCAAGAUAUUUAAUUCUUCCUUGCACAUAAGUUCCUUGGAUGUCAAAAGGUCUCAAUGCAAGAUAAUUGUCAAGAAAAAGUGCAAGCUACCUUCAUUGUGCCUCCUAGUCGACCUUUCUUAAGGGGGGUAGAACCUUGAUAUCAUGGGUUGAUGCAUUUUCAACUUCUCUUGAAGUGAGAGUUGUCUCUUAAGAUAUUCUAUGAUUAUGAUCAUCUCCCCUUCUCGUGUUAUUGACGUUGGUCACCUGAUGACAGAGAGUGUAGUAUCCCAUGGAUCAGGAGCCCUAUAUGAUGCCUCUUACUGAUACAUGGGAAGAGAAUGAUGAUCCUACCCUUGAAGAAUGUUAUGAGUAUGAUGAAGCUGAGUACUAUCAAAAUAAUAAUAUUGAAGAGCAAGUUGGAGGUGAAUCAAAUCAGAAUCCACAACGGUGAAAGAGAAAAAGGAAAAGCCAUAAGAAGCCUACUCAUGGAAGUAAGGUGUAACGAAACUAUAUCUAUGGAAGACUGAGCAAUGUGGAUAGGCAAACAUUCAGGGAGCUACCAAAGUGGUGGGUGGCUAUAUUCAAGUAGACUCGGUGCUAGUUUUUGCUCUGUUUGACCCGAGUGCUUCGCAUUCUUUCAUUUCCGCCGACCUGGUAAAGAUGAUCGAGCAGGUGUAGUGUCCAACCAGGAAGCCUUUGUUAGUUCAAAUCCCAGUGGGAGAAAUAUAAGAAGAUCAGGUGUGCUCAAACAUCAAUUUUGUCAUAAACAAGGAGAACUUCAUUGUAAAACUCAUUGUGCUAGAGUCACUUGGUAUUCCCUUAGUCCUUGGUAAUGGAUGGUUGUGUGCACACAAAGGAGUGAUCUAUGGUACCCAAUACAAAAUGCUCUUAACAGCACUGUCAGAAAAAAGAAUUGAGUAUCACGGUGGUUCACUCCUACCUCAGGAGGCAAAUGCAUAUUAAGUUUCCAUGUCUCUUGGAGUUGUAAGCUAAAAGAAAUUAGUAGUCAAGAUAGACUUUGGUCAAUUACGAAUAAUAGUUAUUCAAUGGAAAUAUUGUUCACGAGAUGUGACCUUGAGGUAUAAGUGUUCACAUUUAGUAUGCAAGUUGUGAAGUUGAAAGGGUAAUCAAGAUAUUUUCAUGUUUCUCUCAGAGGAUCUGAGCCUCUUCCGAAUCUCGAGGACGAGAUUCAUUUUAAGGGAGGUAGAAUUGUAAUACCCUAAAAAUUCCCUUAUUUAAAAUAGUUCAAAUUUGAUUUCUGGAGUCAAUUUUAUGAGCAUUAAUAUAUAGGAAAAUAAUAAUUUUUGGGAAGUUACAAUUUAAUAUAAGGUUAGAAACAUAUUUUGGUGCAUACAUGCAGUAGCAUUUUAUUUUCGGUGACGUGUGGUUUUGAGCAAAGGAGUUUUGAAUUCAAAUUCCAUUUGAAAAAUGAGCUUUGAAAAUUUAUUGAAAAAUUAAAAGGAAAACCCUAUUCCCUCUCCCUCUCUCUCCCAUUUCGGCCUGGCCUCCUCUCGGCCUACGCCUCCCUCUCCUUUCUUCUCUUGGGCCAAGGCCUAGCCGGCACCCAGCCCUCCUUUCCUCCCUCCUCUCUCUGACAUGUGGGGCCCGACUGUCAGCUUCUCUCCUCUCCUCCCGCAACCACCUCCUCCCCUCUCUCCCUUUGCAGCUGAAACCGCCGGCCGAAGCCGCGCCCCGCUCCCCACUUCCCCACUUCCACCACCUCUGCUUGCCCUUUUGAGCGCGCUCGAGCCCGAGCCUCCUCCCCCUCCCUAUUUUUGCUCUCUCUCCAUGCCUUUGCUCUCGCUCAAUGCACAGAGAAUCGCCACCGGUGUCCGCCGCGAUCCUCCGCACGUCGUCCGACCGAACCGAGUCGUAUCCGCCUCCGAUUUUUGCCGUGGUGAGCGUGCCUCCUUUCCCUCUCUCUUCGGCUUUCUCCAAUGUGAAAACGUGGUUCCUAGCGCCCUAGCCACGAGCUCCGAGGAGCUGGCCAUGGUGCCGCCGUGGUCCAGCGCGCCGGUCACUUCCCCGGCCACAUUUUACCCCGUAUCGGACUCGCCUCGCUCUCCUCUUUCUCCUAGUUCUUACGGAUUGGUAAACGGUGCACCGUAGCGGCCGAGCGAGCACCUCCGGUGAGCUCCUCACCGCCGGCCAAGGAGCGCCACCGUCUCCUCUCUCCCCUCCGCCCGGCCGACACCGCCUGUUUCCCCCGAUCUAAUCUUGAGUGUCUGUUUUCAAUCUGAUGGCCAGGAGCACUCCAUACCCCUUCGCGGGUGAAAUUGCUAAAGAGUCCCUCGAAAUUCUAGGAUUCAAACCCGCAGUCCAAACGCCUCGUGGAAUACGCCAGCCAAGUUUGAAAACGUAUUUCUCGCGGGAUUGAUUUCAAAAUACGCUUUCACAAAAUUACAAGUUUGCCACUAGAUCUAUUUGGCUCAUAAAAUAUUCAUUUUAACUCCGAUUUGACCCAUUCAAUUUGCGUUAGGUUCGUCUUUGCGAGCUCUACAUAUUAGUAACCUUGUUUCACCAAUUUGAAAUAUUUUGAUUUUGUGACCCUAUUUAAUUAAUUACUUUUCUAAUGAAAAUCUUAUAAAAUUCAUAUCUUCUUCGUUUUAGCUCUGUUUCGAUCCGUUCAAGUUGCGUUAGUUUCAUAAUUUCAUAAGCUUCGUGUUGGUACCAUUUUUUUCUUAGGUUUACCACUGUUAGAUUUCCAAGAUAAAUACAAGUAUGUAGAUAGCCUUUGUAGUCCCGUUUAAUGCGUAGAUUUCGCGUCGUAACUCCAUUUUCCGUAAAUUUCUCGUUGACGUGAUCGUAGCAGCGUGUAUAUGCUUUUGAAAAAACUUUUAUUUAAAUUUAUUUACUGUUGGUGUACUAUUCUAAUUAUAGCUUUGUUUGCUUUGUGUAUGUGUGACCUCAAUUGCUUGUGUGUUGAUGAUUGUUGACCGAGGUAGUACUUCGGUGAUCAAGAUCAGAGCCUUGGAACCAAGUAAGAUCAGCAGGACCAGCAGGAGCAAUUGGAUCAAGGAAAGUAUAGCAUUUGGGUUUUAAUUCUAUGACCAUGAUCUUGUGACUAGAUUAAUAUAAAACAACAAAUGAUAAUAAAGACUUUUUAGCAACUUGAAGAUUUAUUCGUAAGUGAUAACCAAGAUGAAAGUGCAACCAUGAAGGCUAUGAUGGCUCUGGCUUUAGUCAAGUAUGAGUAACUUUUCUAGCUGGUUAGAGGUUACCCGCGUGGCGCAAAUGGGGGAUAGCAGACCGUGGAUUCCUUAUGGGGUAGAAUCACAUGGACUGACUACCGAAACCAAGCAGCCCUAACUUGUUAGACGAAUCUUUGAAAGACUUCAUAGUGAUCUCAAUUGUCGGCCUCCCUUGGAAUGGGGUUAAGAGGUUAGCUACCUCGAGCGAAAGGGUAAAUCAUGACUCAUGGGUAAAGAUGUACGACCUCUGCAGAAUGUUUAAUAAACUGGUAUACUAGUCGUGCGCACGGUCACGAGCAGCCAUGAGGAUUCUUACAUUAAGGGUGAUGAUUCUUGUUGUGUAAAUAUGCUCAUGUUUAUUGUUUAAUGCUCUAUAUUAUUUAUGUCACAUUGACCAUGAGACCAUGGGAUCUAUACUAUCUAGUUGCUAUACUUGCGGAGUUCGUCUUGGACUCACUCUUGCUAUCUCCCCCACACCUCAGGAGAAAUAUUGGGCUUGUGAUCAACCAGUCAGUUGGAUCUUGUAGAGUGAAGUUAAUACCUGAAGUUUGGAGUUAUCUUCUGUGGUUUGUUGCCUAAGGUUGUUUCUGAUUUAUUAUGUACAUUAUAUAAUUUAUGCGUUGUCCUUUGAUAUUACCCCUUAUUUAUAGCUAUAUGUGAGGUUUGUCUUCUAAAACUCACAUAUGGUGCAUAUCUGAUUUUGUUCUUAAAAUCGGGUGUUACACCGAGCGAAAUCCACCUCUAGUCCCGGACUACGAGCCGGGACUAAGGUUUCGGGACUAAAUAUCCCACCUUUAGUCCUAGGGAACUUUAGUCCCGGUUGGUAUUACCAACCGGGACUAAAGGGCUCGCUAGGCACUGACGUGGCACAGCCCCUUUUAGUCCUGGUUGGUAUUACAAACCGGAACUGAAGGUUUUUUUUUCUUUUUUCUUUUUUAUUUUCAAUUCAUUAUUGAUUUUGGUUUUCAGUUAUAUAUGUUUUCCAAUUUAUUCUUCGCUGCUAUUAUCCAUAUACGUUGCACCUAUACGAGAGUGUUAUUAUUGCACACAAAUAAAUUAUGAAAUUAUAUAUAUUAUAGAGCUAUACAUAUACGUACAUACACAUUACAUUUACAAUAAUAUACAAGUAAUCAAGUGUUUGGCCGCCGGUUAAAGGUUGUACAAAUGUUUGCCCUCCACUCAAAGCUCAUACAAGUGUUCGUUCUUGUUUGCACUAUUCAAUACCAACCUAGGGUUGUAGUGGAACUCGGCGUCUUCCAGGAUAACAUGAUCGUUGAUGAAACCUGCGAUCGUCUCCUGGAUUGCGACGAGUAUUGUGUGGUCGAACACUUGUUCUUUCAAUUCCCACUCUCCAUUCGCAUUAAUUAAAGGAAAAGAUAUUAAUAUACAUAAGAUUUAUCUUGUUUCAACAAAUAAAUAAGAUAUGAAUUUAAUGUAUACACAUGUUACUUACUUUGAGCAUCUGUUUAUAAGGUGUAAAUUUGGUACACCGCAUGUACUCGCAAACGUAGUAUCCACAUAAAUUGCUACCAUAUGGCUGUCUGGGCACCCACCUAUGUAGAAUAGGAGCGGGAAGUGGCACUUUUAGAUUCAUACGAUAUCUUUGUACGAACCAAGCCCAAGCCCUGCCCAAUAAGUCGGUCGUUGAUUAGGUAUAGCAUAGUAAGUAAAAUAGCAUGCCCGAUAUUUAAAGAAUGAUAUAACGUACCUCUAGAUCAUGUCUAUCAUGUCUUGGUACAUUGCCAACUCUUUUCUCAUUGUGUCCCAGACACAUAAACAUUGGUCCUUGAUCUUAAUCUCAAUGAGUAUCCAGUGAUCCCUGUAUUUGUUUAUAGAGUCAAUAUAUAUAUAUAUAUAUAUAUAUAUAUAUAUAUAUAUAUAUAUAUAUAUAUAUAUAUAUAUAUAUAUGUAUAUAUAUAACUAUUACUCUGUAUCUAGCUACAAAAUAACUUAUUUUAUAGCCACUUUGAGUUACGAUAAUUACUAUAUUAAUUUACAAGAUUAUAGUAACUCCUUACUAAGUGGUUUAGUGUAACAUUACGAUAAAUAUCAUGUGUUAUAGUAACCCAACUAUCGUAAAUAAGUAUACAUAUUAUCGUAAAUUAGUAUAUAAAAUUAUCGUAAAUGGAGGUGGCUACAGAAUAACAUAUUUUGUAGGUAGCUAGAGCAUAUAUAUAUAUAUAUCUUAAUGCUGGAUUCACUAAGACAUGAUAUAACACAACACUUUACCCCAUAUUAUAAGGGAAGAGUAUCAUGUCCUUGUGCCUUUGGUUAUAAAAGAACCUCCGGAGGUUCUUCUCCAUUUCCUUAGGCCUCAGAUUGAAUGGAUCGUCAGUCUUGGUAUCCUUGCACACGACACAGGGAUCAAUAAAACCAAUUCAAUCGUCUUAUUUCAAUCUGAGUUCUCUCAUCAUGUGUCUGCACAUCGUGACCAUCGUAAUUACGAAUACGUACAUAUGCUAGAGUGGAAUUAUUGAUUAAAAGGAAGAAUCACUUACAAACAUUAGUAGCUCAUGAGAGAUUCGUCGAGAGCAUCCAUAUAUAGAAGUUGGUGUACUUUACUAAAUUGUACCCACAUGACGUCAUCUCCAUGGAAGUAGUGACAGUCUCUGACUUGGAUGGCAAUAUAUUACUCGUGCAGCUUGUACAUUUGCCUAUGAAGUUUUUUUACAUUUGCAGGGUUCAUAGACUCCUGCCAUAUCUAUACUACUGCCGCCAUUCAUCAACAACUUCGGCUUCUUUAACAUACUCUCGACCCAUAAGUUGUUCUAUGGAGAGCCCAGUCGCAUCCAUCCAGUAGGCGAGUUCAUCUACGUUCACAGCGUCAGGUGUCGCCAUUUGUAGCAAGUUCAUGUUGGAACCAUAUUGAUUUUGAACCACUAGUGGCGGCACUGAUUGCUACGCUUGUUGGCUAAGCUGUGCAACCUCUUUCCCGGCCUUCUAUUUCCUUUUGUCCGCCUUAAUUGUUUUUGUGAUAGUACGCUCGUAGUCUCGUAGUGGUGGUGCUGUUUUUUUACUAGAGGUAAGCUUCUCAUCUUGCAUAGCCUGUACCACUUGCCUCAACUUUGAGCGAGGAUACAAUAGGAAUGGCUUCUCUUGCUUUGCUCGUGCGGCAGCUUUGGUUUUUUCUAAGAACGCUUGCACAUCUGACUUAACUGAAGCCUCAAGUUCUUCAUCAGUCUUCUCAUAUGAAAGCUUGGUCAUCUUCGGGAUCUUUGUGACCACAGCUUGUUUCUGCAGCAUAGGUUGGACCGAUCUUUGUGGGCCAGUGGGCCUCUUGUUUCUUGAUGAACCAAUCAGUGCCGAUGAGGCAUCCGGUGUUGGCAUUGGAGGAGGCAGCGGUGGAGCGGUUGGAGCUUGCUGUGGUGGAGGAGAUUUGGCCACUGGCGGCGUUGGUCGUGGAGGAGAUACGGCCGAUGGUGGGGAUGCAGCCUUGUCUUGUAUGAAAUCAUCCUCGUCGUCGUGUCCCACAGCACUCUGGUCAUGUGGUGAAUGGAUACACAGACUUAGGUUGGGGGAGGUGCUGAUGUGAAAAAAACAAACAAGGUAUAUACAUGAGUCAACCAUAAUGUAAUACAGUAAAUAAUUAGUGAAAAGAAAUUGCGUUCACAUUCAUCCGCACCUAGGGCUCGGUUGUUGUUGAGGGGGAGGAAGUGAUGGCGCCCUAGGAAUAAUGAUGUACCAUUUCUUCCAACAUAUGAAUGUCUUCUCUGCUUCACCUAGGGUCUUCUCCCCAUCACCACCUUCGAUAUCCAUAGGCACAUUUUCAUGGCCUUUGACCACUCUAUCCACCGAGACACUAGCAUAUCGAGGUGGUAUUAUGACCGUGUGGAUCCUUGGUGUCUUUGUGGGGUCAAUAGGAGAUACAACACCAGUAGCCACCUUGACUGUGGCAUUCCCCUCAGGAAUAUGCAGCUCACAAGACGUCAAUGGAGCAGUGACGUCAUCCACCGAGAAGCGCAGCUCUGCAUCAUCUUGCCUCAUAGGCACCUCUAUAAAAGCAGAACUGCUUUUCAACUGACAAGAGCCAGGGCUGAUGUUGGCGUCCGGCUGUGACAAGCUCUGGAGGUGGGAACUUACAACUUCCUCCAUGGCCUUUUUGAUUUGCUCAUUCAUAGUGGCCUUAAGCGCUUCCUCCCGCUUUAUUGCCUAACGAGCCUCUUCAGUGGCCUUCAUAACAGCCUCCUCCAACUUUUGUAGCCGUUCCCUGUCAUCUUCCUUCUUUCUCUAGUGGCUUCUAUAUGUUUUUGUCUUGAGGGAAGGCAUGCUCUCACGACAUAGAGCCAUAGCCUCUUGUCUGUCCACCAUGCUCAGGGUUCCCCAGGGCAUAUGCCACCUCAUAUUUAUCUCUGUUCGGCUACCACUAUUCACUUUGAGCGAUGGAGCGAGUUUCAUGAGAUCUUUCUCCUAUAGCUUUCCGGUCUCUAGGUCCAAGCUGCCCCUGUGAGCAAAAAACUAGUGCUUGGCGCGCUCAGGCCAGUCGACAGAUUCUGGCACCAGCCCCUUAUCAAUUAGCUCUUGCUCGGCUUUUUCCCACAUAGGAAUGGCAGUAGGGUAGCCACCUGAUCCCAUCCUAUGGUGGUAGGUCUUGUGUCAGGCAUUCUCUUGGUUCCUUCUUGGCCGUUGCUGACCCUCUUCUGACGUCUUGAACUGUACAAAGUUUUCCCAAAAUAGCCGCAGCUUGACAAAGUUCUUAGAGUUGAAAUCCGGAGUCUUGUUCUUCUUGAUAUAGUCAUUUAUAUGCUUCUUCCAGCACUAGAAUUGUGUGGCUAUCUUCUUCAUAGACCAAUCGCAAACUCUAUCCUUCAACUCUGAAUCGUUUGUGUGUAGUGUGAAAUGUUGCAACAUGUCACCCCAUACUAGUUCCUUGUCAUGGUUAGAGACAACUAAUUUCAGAGUGUUGCUUAUUUUCUUCCAUUCAUGGGCAUUGAUCGGGAGCCUAUCCCAGGCAAGGUACCCUAAGUGGUUGACAAAGGCCCUUGCAUAGGUUCCACGUGGCUGGCCUGUUGCCACGUCGAAAUCCAUGAUAACCAACCGGCCCUCCAUCGGCUUCUUCGGGCCUCGUACUUUUCUCUGGUACCCGUGGUUGUCGUCGAGCCAGAUCGCUAUGUAGGCAUAAACAAGACAAUUAAUAAAGGAAAUUAUUUUGAAUUUCAUGUAUAUAAACAUAGAAGGUUGCAUAUUAGACCUAGCCAGCAUUGUCUUUCGGUACGCCUUCGAGGGCCAAGUAUUGAGAACCAUCAUCGAUGCCUCGAGGGUUCUCAUCGCAUUCGCGAUCAUCAUAACGAACUUGUUCAUCGCCUUCGUGGAUCAUGUUCAUCAAUAUUUCUUCAUCAUCUCUUGGGUCGACCAUUUCUACAAAAAAUGUGUAUAUGUGAUGGUAAUUAUAAAUGUUGAACCCUAGACGUUAAUUAUACGGUAUGUAACGUUUAUGGUGUAGGUUUCCUAGGGUUUACAGCGUAGGGUUUAGGGUUUACGGCUUAGGGUUUAGGGUUUACAGUGUUGGGCUUAGGGUUUAGGGUUUACGGCGUAGGGCUUAGGGUUUAGGGUUUACGGCAUAGGGUUUAGGGUUUAGUGUAUGUCAUUUGAUUAUGAACAUCAUUUGCUAACAAAAGUGGAAUCAAGUGUAUCUCUCAUAAAUAAAUUGAUUAAGUAAGUUAUAGGUAAAAUUUACUAAUUUAUAUCACUAAUUAUAAAUAUACUACUAGUAGUGUAUGUCAUUUGAUUAUGAACAUCAUUUGCUACCAAAAGUGGGAUUAUCAAGUGUACCGCUCACAAAUAAAUAGAUUAAGUAAGUUUCAGGUAAAAUUUACUAUUUUAUAUCACUAAUUAUAAAGCCGGUGAUGCUUUUAGACCUCGAAACUUUGAAUUCUAGCUAGAUAAUAAACACAAUAGAUGAAUUCUAGCUAAUUGAAUAGUAAUUGAUUAAUAAACACUAAUUGAUUAAUAAACAUCAUUUAUACAUAAUAUAUGCAUUCUAGCUAGAUAAAUACAUGAAUCUCUAGACAGACCUAUAUUUUGAAGCCGGUGAUGCUUUUAGACCUCAAAACUUUGAAUCUGCAGUUCUGCACUGGAAAAAUAAAAUUGGUUAAUACAUAUGAAAUAUUAUUGACAACUAAUAUCACUAAUGUAUUUUUAAUGUUUGUGUGUGUUUGUUAAUUCACUAAUAUAUAUGUGUGUUAAUAUAUAUACAUAUAUAUUAUGAAUUUUUUAUUUAUAUUACAUUUAUAAUAUAUAUAUGUAUAUAUAUAUAUGUGUGUGUGUGUUAAUAUAUAUACAUAUAUAUUAUGAAUUUUUUUAUUGAUAUUACAUUUAUAAUAUAUAUAUAUAUACACACACAUUUUUUAUAUUAUCACUAAUAUAUAAGAGUGUGUGUUAAUAUAUACAUGUGUGUGUGAUAAUAUAUAUACAUAUAUAUUACAAAUUUUUCAUUUAUAUUACAUUUAAUAUUAUAUUUAUAAUAUAUAUACACAUUUUAAUAUUAUCACUAAUAUAUAAGAGUGUGUGUGCUUUCGAUGUCAUGAAGUUUCACUUAAAAUAUAUAAAUUUAUCUAAGUUGACAAUUUAUAUAAAUCACUAUCAUGGAUAUUAAAUCAAUUUUAAAUACUUCACUAGUGUCAAUGUUACAUGUGUGCGUGAAAAUAAUUUAUAUUUUCAUGAUUGCCAAAACAUAACACAUAUAUCGCUUAUUAUGCAUGCAUGUGUAGUACUUGAUUUGCAUGAUCUGGUAGUACACUACAUCAUGUAUCUCUAAUUUAAUCAAUCCUAUGUAUACUAACAAUAUUAAUAGAAAUAGAUACUAAUUUAGAAACAUGUAUAGACAUAACUUAUGGUGAUUUAAACAUUUCUUAUAACAAUGGAUAUAUAUUUGGUUGUAACACUCAAAAUUUGAUUUCGAAUUAAUAGGAUUUAAUUUGAUUUAUUUAAGUAUUUUUGUGAAUAUUUAAUUUAGAGAAUAAAUAAUUUUGUGGAAAAUAAAAUUCAUUAUAGGUUUAGUAACCUUGAUUGUGCAUUCAUGCUGGAGCAUAUUUUAUGUUUUGCUUGUUGCUUUUGGUUAGAAUUAAUUUGUGCAUAAAAUUAUAUUUGGAAAAUGUUUUGAAAAAGAAAAUAAAAAGAAAAGGAUAAAGGGGAGAAGCCCCUGGAAACCAGCUGAAGCUCAGGCCCCCUCUUCCCCGCAGCCCACCCAGCCCCCUGGCUCCCCCACGCUCGGCUCAAUUCCCUCCCCGCGGCCCAGCUCGUGUUUCAGCCCGCCAGCGCACGCUCCCUCCUCUCUCUUCUCUCUGUCGCUGACGAUCGGGGCCCGCAAGUCAGUGUUCCCGUUUCCUUCUUCAGUGCGACGCCGAGCCAUGCCUGAUGGAAACUCCGAACGAAAUCCUGGUUUCCGCUGAAUCUUCUCUUUCGACGCGGAUCUGAACCCUAUAAAGGUCCCAGCUUUGCCCCACACUCCGUUUUCCCACUGCGCUGCGAAUAUCGAGCCCUAGCCGCCUAGGUCAGCGCGUUCGGGAUCUCGCCGAGACCGAGCUUGCGGCUUGUCCUCGGCCCGAGAAAACUACUUUGGUGAGCUCGCCUCUCCCUCCUCUUCACUCCGGUGCUCUUGGUUCGGGUUUUGGCGCACGGAAUCAGGAGUUUGAAGAUCGCCGGUGAGCUCCACGGCGGCAAUCAUGGCGCCGUCGUGCCGAAGAACGGGAAGCCGGCCGGCCACCGCCGGACACCCCCUGGACGAGAUCUGGACCGUUGGAUGCAGGAUCCCCGGCCAGGAUUAGAAGUUACCCUUUUGGGGGGCAUUUUUCUUAAAGAGCCCCUGGUUUUCGUUGUUAUUAACCCGCCGUCCCUUGGCGCCCCCGAGAAAUCCGUUUCCUAUCCUCGAAUAUGUAAUCAGAUCGGCUAAAGUCAGAAAUACGCCAUCUGCUAUUUACAAGUUUGCCACUGAAAUUGUUUUGCCCAUAAAAUGCUCAUUUUAACUCCAUUUUUGUCCAUUCAAAUUUCGUUAGAUUCGUAUUUACGAGUUCUACAUGUUAGUAGUGUUAUUUCACUGUUUUAGAAUUUUUUAAUUUUGCAGUAGCAUUUCAUUAUUUAUUUGUCUAUAGGAAAUCUUAGAAAAUUCAUAACUUAUACGUUUUAAUUCCGAUUUUCAUGAACUUUACGUUUGUGUGAUCGUAGCGCUACGUAGAAUAUUUUUAUAAACUUUUAUCUUUGUUUUAUCACUGUUUGGUGUAUUAUUCUAAUUAUAGCUUGUUUGCUUCUUGUAUGAUUGCCUACAAGGAUUGCAUGUUGUUGAUUGAUGAUCGGGUAUAGACGGUGAACGAUACGUUGGUGAUCAAGGUCAAUCUUUUGACGACCAGCAGCAGGCAGGAGAGCUUUGAUCAAGGCAAGUAUAACUUGGGAUCAUCCUUGUUACCUAUACACUUAUAAAUACACAUAUAUAUCAUAUGCAUGUUUCCACCUUGUCGACCUUAGAAAAAUCAUAGAUGAUUGUUACCUAGAUUCCUUGUUACCUAUUUGAUAUGCAUUUGGUGUAGUUAUGCUAGUUCUUGAUGUUAUCCAUGAUUUUGUAAGAUGAUUAAUAGCUAUGCAAUGAAUGUUAAAAGAUGACUCAUAACCAUAUGAGAUCUUGUCUGUAAGUGAUCACCGGGAUAACAGUGCAACCAUGAGGGCUAUAAUGGCUCUGACAUUAGCUCAGUAUGAAGACCUUUUCUAGCUUGUUAGAGGUUACCCGUAAGGGCGCUACAGGGGCUUGCCGACACGGGUAUAGUGCGAGCCUCUGUCCUUAUGUGUAUAGGUUGCGCGUCAUUGUGCCAUUUGGAAGGAGGCAUCUAUAUCUGCUCGCCUAGGAAACCUUGCGGCCCUAAACGAACUUUUGAAAGGCUUCAUAGUGAUCCCUGCCGACCUUCUUUGGUAGUGGGUUAAGAGGUCAACGGGCCUCGGGCGAAAGGGUAAAUCAUGACUCAUGGGUAAAGAUGUACAACCUCUACAGAAUGUUAAAACUGUUGUACUAGCCCUGCUCACGGUUAAGAGCGGCCUUGGAGGUUCUUAUACUAAAGAUAAUGAGCUUGUUAAGUUAUUAUGUUCAUUUGAUUAUCGUUUAUGCUAUGAGAUAAUUAUGCUUACAUUUGAUCAUGUGAUUAUUGGAUUACUUAUGCUACCUUGACAUUUCCUAUCUAAUUAUAAACAUGCUAUCCACUAUUAAAAGCUAAAUACAGUCAAACCAGUGUCAGCUAUUUGAGCCUCAUGAACCCCUGGUUAUACUUGUUGAGUACGAUAUGUGCUCACUCUUGCAAUUUCCCAACACCCUAGGUUAUGCUGAUGAUGAUGUUUGGAAUGAGGACUACUAGGCUUGGAGUCAACCAGUCAACAGUGUCCCUGUGUGGAGCUUCCGUCGAGAGCAUUGUUAAUUCUUGUUAUCAUUAUUGUAUAAGACUAUGUGAUUUAUUAUGUUCCGCAAUGUAAUAAAUACUGCAAUGGUAAAUUUGAGAUUUGUCUACUUAUGUGUGCGACUGUUUCUGGAGCACAUAUGAGUCUUUUAUGCACUAUGUUUCGUUCUUGAAAUUUAGGUGUGACAUUGGUUAUUUAGUUGUGGACUUUGAGAGACAUUGUAGUAUUUUUUUAAUAACAGAUAUAUAUGUGUUAAUUAUAAAACACUAACCCUAGUUAAUUAAUAUAUUAUAUAUAUCAAUUAUAAAUAUCAAUAUAAACAAUAUAUGUUUCUAAAUAUUAUAUAUUGAUUACGUUUAUAUCUAAUUUUAUUUUUAAAAUAUUCUUUUUAAUUUUUCUCUGCAUUUUUCUUUUCUUCCUCCCUCUCUCCCUCUGCAUCGUCCUUAACGCGCUAGGGCCGAUGGGAUCGGAGGCCGCUGGGGCUGGUGGGCUAAGCGCGCGCACGCCAGCGGCGGGCACACCGUGCGGCGCCGUGUGUGUGCUAACCGGCCGGGCUCGGCUCGGCCCGUGGUGGUGGGCUGGGGAUGACGGCAGCGAGGAAGACGUACGGCAGCGGGGCGUUGACGGCGGCGAGGAAGACGACAGCAAGGACGACGGUGCUCGGGUUGGUGCUCCGGGAGCGCUCGCAGCGGGUGUUGACGGUGGCGGCGAGGACAACGGAGCUCGGACGGCGCAGUUAGGGUUCGUGAGGCGAUCUCGCGCAGGUGGGGAAGGAGAGAAAGAGUUCAAGGUCUUUAUAGUGCAGGUGGCGUUUAGUCCCGGGCCUGGGCACGGCCCGGGACUAAAGGUCCUUUAGUCCCGGUUCUAGCGAGGAACCGGGACUAAAGGUCUGAACCUUAGUCCCGGUUCCUAUCUGGAACCGAGACUAAAGGACCUUUACUCCAAGUCGGUGGUCAGGCCCGGGACUAAAGGUCCUUCCACCAAAUUUUGGAGCUUGUUUAGGUCGUUUCACCUUUUUUUUUUCUUUCUUCUUGCUAAAUGCAUAGUUAAUUAAAUAUUUAUCAUAACUUGUUUGAAAAAUACACAUUAAUUUUGUUUGACUCUAUUGUGCAUUACAAAAAUUCUAAAAACAAUUUAUUUUCAAAUAAUUUAAAUUAUUCAACAUAAAUGUUAUUUAUAAUUUAUACUAUUCAUCAAUAAAAAGUUUGAACCACUCAAUUUUGAAUUUUGAAAGAAUUCAUAGCCACACACCGGUUUUCAGAACCCUAGAUGGUCUCGACUGGAAAAGUCAUGAAUACCAAUAUUGUUCCACUCAUCAAGAUCUACAUUUCAUAUAUAGAUCAUUUUUGCAUUUGACAAAGUGUUGGGAAAGUCUAGUUGAAAAUACAAAAUUCUCACAUAUAGCUUCAUAUAGUUUAUGUGAGAUUUAAGAUCUGGUGAGUAUUGUUUACUUAAACUUUCUCAAAUGAAAAAAUGGUCUAUAUAAAAAGUUUGGAUAUUGAUGAGCUCUAACAACUUGGUAUUCAAAUUUUUUUCAUUUUAAGUAAUUUAGUUUAUCAUUUAACAAAGUUUGACCAAAACCCAUCUUGAAUUUUAAAAACAUGUGCCUAGGAAUUACUAAAAUUUAUCUAAAUGGAAAAAUGGAUAAUGUAUCAAAUGUAGAUCUUGAUUAGCUCUAACAACUUUGUAUUCAAAAUUGUUUCAUUUGAAGUGGAUUCAAAAUGGUUUUUUCUUGUCAUGUUUCCCUCUCUUGGGUUUUGUAGACAUGUCUUUCACAUAGAACACUUGAUUCACAUCAACAGCAAGGACAAAUGGAUCAUUUCUAUACCCAAUAUUGUUGAGGUCCACUAUUCUCAUUUCAUACUCCUUAUCGACUGAUACCCCUCCUCCGGUCAUCUUCACCCAUCGGCAUCAGAAUAGAGGGACUUUAAAAUUAUGCGCACAGUCUAGUUUCCAAAUCUCCUCUAUGCGACCAUAAUAUGAGUGUAUGUCCCCAUUCGGUUCUAUGGCAUCCACACGGACACCACUAUUUUGGUUGGUACUCUUUUUAUCUUGGGAUACGGUGUAAAAUGUAUUUUCAUUUAUCUCGUACCCUUUGUACGUGAGGAUGUGCCACGCUGGUUGCCUAGCCAACAUAUAUAGUUCAUCUCCAAUAUUUUUGUCACCCUGGCAUUUUUUGCAACCAAUAACCAAAUGUUUCCAUGUGAUGACGCAUAAUCCAAGCCUCAUUCCUCCCAGGAUUCUUGGAUCGUAUAAAAUCCAUGUGUUCCUCAAUAUAAGGUUCCACCAGAGUAGAGUUUCAAAGAACUAUGAAGUGCACUUAAUUGAAAGAAUCAUCACCCUGGCUGAUAUAUGUUUUCUUUCCUAGUGUACCCUUUCCACCAAGUCUCCCCUCGUAUCAUGAUUCAGGAAGACCAAUCAAGUCAAGGUCAGGAAUGAAGUCCACACAAAACUCGAUGACCUCCUCUGUCCCAUAUCCCUUAGCGAUGCUUCCUUCUAGCCGACCCCGCUGGUGAACAUAUUUUUUUAGUACACCCAUAAAUCUCUCUAAGGGAAACAUGUUGUGUAGGAACACAGGACCCAGAAUAUUAAUCUCUUUAACCAGAUGAACUAGGAGAUAUGUCAUGAUAUCAAAGAAAGAUGGAGGGAACACCAACUCAAAACUGACAAGACAAUGAACCACAUCAUUCUGAAGAGUAGCUAGAUCCAAAGGAUUGAUUGCCUUCUAAGAAAUUGCAUUGAGAAAUGCACACAGCUUCACGGUGGCAAGACAUACAUAUGGAGGUAGAAUUCCUCUUAAGGCAACCAGAAGCAGUUGCGUCAUAAUCACGUGGCAGUCGUGUGAUUUUAAGUUUACAAAUUUCUUCUCCGACACAUUUAUUAUACGCUUUAUAUGGAGAAGAACCCAGAUGGGACCUUAAUGCUGCUUAGGCACUCAAACAUGCUUUCCUUCUCCUCAUUGCUAAGAGUGUAGCUAGCAGGUCUUAAGUAAUGGCGUCCAUCCUCUGUCUUCUUUGGAUGCAGGUUGUCAUUCUUUCAUAUGCUUCAAGUCCUCUCAUGCCUCAAGGGUAUCCUUAGGCUUUCCAUACACACCCAUGAACCCUAGAAGAUUGACACAAAGAUUCUUUGUCAGGUGCAUCACAUCGAUCGAGUGGCAGACCUCAAUGUCUUUCCAAUAUGGUAGCUCCCAAAAUAUUGACUUCUUUUUCCACAUUGGGGUGCGCCCCGAAGCAUCUUUUGGAACAGGUUCUCUGCCUUGUCCCUUUACAAACACUACUUUCAAAUCCUUGACCAUCUUGAAUACCUCCGCCCCAUCUCGGUUGCUGGGCUUGAACUGGCGUUCUGCCGUACCUUUAAAAUGUUUGUCUUUCUUUCUUAGCUAGUGGUUCAUAGCAAGAAAUCAACGAUAGCCAAGAUACACGACCUUUCGACAUUUUUUCAAAUAAACAGCCUCAAGGUAACCAAAACAAUGGGUGCUUGCAUUAUAUCCCUUAUUUGUCUGUCCUAAAAGAUUACUUAGAGCUGGCCAAUCAUUGAUUGUCACGAACAACAAUGCUCGCAGGUCAAAUGCUUCCUGUUUGUACUCAUCCCACACACGCACACCUGGUUUGCUCCAUAGAAGUAGGAGUUCCUCAACUAAUGGCCUUAGAUAGACAUCGAUGUCGUUGCCAGGUUGCUUCGGGCCUUGGAUGAGCACCGGUAUCACAAUGAACUUUUGCUUCAUGCAUAACCAUGGAGGAAGGUUGUAGAUACAUAGAGUAACGGGCCAAGUACUAUGACUAGAGCUCUGGUCCCCAAAAGGAUUAAAUCCAUCCGUACUUAAUGUGAACCUUAGGUUUCUUGCGUCGUCUGUAAUGUUCGGGAAUUCUCUAUCUAUUUCUCUCCACUAGGACCCAUCUACAGGGUGUCUCAACAUGUUGUCCACCUUAUGGUCUUCUUUGUUCUAUCGCAACAACUUUGCAUGGUCCUUGUUUCUGAAUAGUCGUUUUAGGCGUGGUAUUAUUGGAGCAUACCACUAUUGACUCUUCUUAGCGUCACUAUCUAGGAUUGUCAGUCCUUGGCACAACACUAAAAAUGCUUAUGUGAGACCAAAAGUGGCAAACGGUUUUACCGCAAGCGGACGGUGGUCAAUGCAGCACUUCACCAGGAGUAUUCCAGGUAUCGUAUUUUCCACGGGGAACAAGAAGUCGAAUAACUAGACCAAUUGACUUGUCGAAUGAUGAACAAAGGGCUUAGGAUUGGGUGGAGAGGUAUUUCUAGUAUUUUGCUUCUGGCUAAGCUAUCCUAAGUAUACUGGGAGUUAACUCCCUUCCUACUGUGGCCGAUAGGUGAAAAGGGUGUGGCGAAACACUUCCCUAGGCAGCUACGAUGCAGGCCAACUAUUAUUUGCAACUUGUCUAACAACAUACUGAAGAGAACUCCUAAUGUCUAGAAAAGGCCUAUCACGCUUCACUGCUAGCGUUCUUCAGUUGCGACCAGAAGUCCACAAGGGCAGACUUAGUCUAGACACCACGUCUACACUAAUUCUACUACUCUAGACCCAGCUAAGGUUUCAAGCACUUCACACAAGGCAAAGCAAUGUGCCAGUAGGCCGGUUGUAUACUUAAAAUAAACUAAGACAAAAAGUAAAUACCGAAAGUACUCAGAUAAAAGGCAACUAGAAGGAAGACUUACUAGAAGACAAGCAUCCGCUGAGGUGCUCCUGGAAGAAGACUCCCGACAAGCCGAGACUCCUCCUCGGGGAACUCCUCACUCUCUUCCAUCUAUUCUCACAGUUAGCUAAGAGUAGCUCUUCCUAAGAUACAUCAUACUUAACUAGGCUCUCUAAGGGGGUAUUUAUAGGGGAGAGAUGGAGUAGGGGCUACUCCAGCGCCACGUCAGCGAUCCGCGUGCUCCCUCUUCUCCACCGUUGGAUCAAACCGACCUUCCCACCACCAUAGAUCAAGGGUGGAGAUAUUUCCACACAUGUUUAGCAUGUGGAAGGUCGGUGGAGGCAAACCGACCUUAGGGGGCCCACAUGUUAGGGUCGGCCGACCGACCUAUUGCUUCCAUUUGGGCCCCACCAAGCUAUUAGAAGGUGCUGAGGUCGGUGGGAGUGUGGGCCAGGUGGGACCCCACCAAAGGUGGGUCAGCCGACCUACCCUUGGGGGGGUGUUGGCCCACCAUCUCGCUCCACAUGUUGUCCCCACUAGUUGUCAUCUUCAAUCUUUUGUUGAUCUAUGGUGGUUUUGGUUCUUGAUCAUCUUUGCUUCAUUUGAGCUUGAUCAGGCUUGAUUAGUGGAUGUUUGCACCUGCAUCCAAAUAAUGACAUGUACAUGUGGAACCAAGUGAAUUGUACCUAUGUCACUACUUAGUUGCUUGGUGUUAUCUCCAAAACUUAACCAUUGUUGACGGUUUUAGUGGUAGAAAAUCAUAGUGAAAAUACCGUCAACAACCACAUAACCUUGGCAGGGAUUUUCUUCUUCGGACAUUCUUCAUCCUCAACAUCGCUAGGGGCAUCUCGCAAGAUCUUGUACCGUGACGCAAUGCAAAUAGGGCAUUCAUCUAAAAUCUCAUGCUCGCCACGGUACAGGAUGCAGUCAUUAGGACAUGCAUGUAUCUUCUCAAUUUGUAAUCCUAGAGGGCAGACGAUCUUCUUUGCUUUGUAUGUAGUGGUGGGCAAUUCAUUAGGCUUCGGAAGCAUCUUUUUUGGAUCUUCAGUAAUUUCCCAAUUACCUUGAUAGAUAUACCAUUCUCUACCUUCCACUGUAACAACUCCAGUGUUGUGCCUAGCUUUUUCUGCCCAUCUUCGGGAGACGGGUAUAGUAACUUCUUGUGAUCUUCUAGCAUUUGGUCAAACUUAGCCUUCUCCUUUUCACUUUCGCAAUCUCUCUAUGCAUCACGAAUGACAUCACCAAGAGCAUCAUCAUCUUUAGCUAUAGUGUUUUCUGCAUCUACCUCUUCUUUACCUUCCUCCAUCACAAAGUCACAGUAUUGAGCAAAAACAUCAUCAGGGUCCGCUUGUUCUUCUUCACCUUCUUCCAUCAUAACCUCAGUCUCUCCAUGCUUGGUCCAACAAAUUUAGUUUCACAUGAAAUCCGACUUCAACAAGUGCAAGUGAAUACUUCUUGAGGUACAAAAUUCUUUCAAAUUCAUACAUAUGGCACAUGGACAGCACAUAAAACUAUCCCACUUGUUUUUCUCUGCCACUGUGAAGAAUUCUCGCAUGCCCGCAAUGAACUCGUUGGAGCGUCGAUCGGCAUUGUACAUCCAAUGAUGUGUCGUCACCUGUAUUAUCAUGGAAUUUGCAUUUUUCUAUUAAAAGGUGUAAUUUUAUCUCUAAAUAAAAUUAAUUUGAAGAAUUUAUAAAGUUAAUAUUAAUUUAUUUUAAAAUCACAAAGAAUCAACAUUAUUUAAUAUUUUCAAAUGAGAACAUGAACAAAUUAAACUAUAAAAUAUCCUCAAUUGUCUAUAAUAGAACUAAACAUGAUUUGUGUAUACAUACUAGUAAUGAUAUGUGUAUACUAUUUUUUAGGUACUACAUUUAUCAUCUUUCAUAAAAUUUCAAACAUGAAAAGUGAUUAAGCUAGCAACAUGAAAUAAAUAGUCAUAUAUGUUGACGGUCCUUAAGUAUCAAAUUUAAUUAUCAAAUAAAUAAAGAAAAGGAUACAAAUGCAACCGACAUCCAGACUUAGGGUUUUAUCUGACAGAAUUCCACGAGUUUUGGUGUUUGUCUAUUUCUGCAGGGGGUUAUCAGGAAUUAUGGAAGAAAGGCCCACACGUCGGGUUUACAUAGAGAUAUUAACGUGCCGUACAAUUAUCCUACAUCUAGAAAAGUCCAGAAGCCACGAGAACGAACGGGAGACCGGACGGGCUCAGGGGCAGGGCGCCUGCCCUCCCCCCUUGGGCGCCCACCCUGGCCUCGGGGCCAAUCACAGCCAACUUCGCGGAUCAUGCUCCACCGACCUAAAGGAUCAAGGAAAACCGUGCGAUUAAUGUCUGUUUGAUCCAACGGCCCAUAUUCACUUGGAAGGACUAUAUAACCAGACCCCCUGGUCCCUGGAGGGGAGGACCUCAGACCCCUAAUUCAUUAUUCAUCUUGGGAGAAGAAGCCUCUGAUCAAGCCCUAGAGCCACCACAUCAAUUAGAUCUCUAGUUUAGUAUAGCUACAUAGGAUUAAUAGAACUAGAAGGAGUCAAUCUUCGAUUGGUUUCCGGAUCUGUCAAGAGGAUUCUUGGUAAUUCCUCUCUUGUUCUUUAAUUGUUCAUCUUUGUUCUUCAAUAUUAUGAAUAUGACUUUGUUCUACUUCAAUAUAUUGAUUAUGACUUUGCUCUACUUAUUUAUAUUCACAAUUAUAUUGUUCUUAGUUUAUCAUAGUUAUAUGCUUGGCUUAGUUAGAUUGGAAUUAUAUACAUGUUUAGGAUCGUAUAGCAUUUAUCCAUGUGUACAGUGGGUAAAUGAUAAGUAUUGUAUAGGCGUGGUGCCUAUACCGUAUUUAUUUGCGAUUGUACCCUAUAUGCCAGAUCGCGGGGUAGUUCGUGGCAGUGACAACUCCAUUGAUUCUUAUAUAGUCCCGCUCUCAUGUAUUGGGCUCGUAGAGCAACAUUAUUACAAGGGAGUGAUUGCGAUGUUUCUCAUAUUUCUUGAUAAUAUCACUAUGCAUGGGCGUAGUCCUGUCUCGCAAUGAUUGCCAAGUAUAAUUGCACUAACUAUGAUAUGCUAGACUGUAUAGUCGAGAAUAACUUAGGGAAUAUUCUUGUAGUUCGUCCUAAUUCCAUGCUAAUGACUUGCUAGAAUAUCUAAUUGAGGUGCUUAUCAUAUUUAUAUGUGGCUAAGUUAUGCUGAUCAGAUUAAUUAUCUUUGUCACCAUUCAUACUUUAUAUAUCUUUUAUGUGACACUUAUCCCUGUAUGAAAGAGAUAGAUAAAUGCUCUCAAUUAUACAUGCAAUGAUAGAUACUCAAUCUUAUAUUCCAUUCUAUAAUCAACAUUGAUGAUUACUAAUCCCUUCCCAGUGGUAAAAAUAUAAAUAACGAUACCUGGAAUACUUCCCGGUUAAAAUGCUACAUCGGUAUUAAUCUGUGUGCUUGCAGAUCUUAUUUAUUAUUUAUUAUAAAGAGCAAUUGCAUAUUUCAAUACUGCGUCUUUCAUGUCAUGCUGGGGAUGACAACUUGGCUUAAGUGGCAUGAGGGAUAGGUUUGGCAUUUUUGGCGCCGUUGCCGGGGAAGGUUGAUUACUAAUCAGGAAUGAAUAUGGAAUUUCGAGUCAUCAUUCGCAUCACUAAUAUGAUUGAGAUUAUAAAUUCUCUCAUACAGUUUUGCCCCGAUAUUUUUCUAUUUUAUUUUAUGUAGGGUAAUGUAUGAAUAGAAGACAUCUUCCAGGAAAUUUUGUUGACAAUCCCGAAGCGUUAUUCAGAAAAACAAGAGCCAAGCUCAAGAAGAGAUCAUCAACACUUUAGCACGAAGCUUCAUCCAAUGAAGAAGAUCACCGAAGUUUCACCCGGAACUUGUCUUCAGAAUUCAAAGUCAUGGCGAACAAAUCGAUCCGUGAGUUCUCAGGUCCCACUACGGACAACAUCCGUACUAGACCUGCUGUAGAGAUCGACGGCAACUUUGAGCUCAAGCCUGGACUUAUCAACAUGGUGCAAUCCAACCAGUUCUGUGGGAAGGUACACGAAGAUGCUAGUGCUCAUCUCCAACACUUUCUGGAGAUUUGCAGCACAUUCACCAUAUCAGGAGUCCCCAGAGAUGCUAUACUACUUCGCCUCUUCCCAUUCUCACUAUUGGGGAGAGCAAAGUAGUGGUUCUACGCUACAAAAGAGAAGAAUACUACGUGGGCACUCUGCUCCACAAACUUUCUGGCUAAGUUCUUUCCCAUGGGCAAGACCAAUGCUCUCUGUGGGAAAAUUACAAGUUUUCAGCAACAACAUGAUGAAUCCGUUCCAGAAGCAUGGGAGCGCUUCCAAGACUACAUCCUAGAAUGUCCCCAUCAUGGAAUGGAGAGUUGGCUACUGAUGUAGAUGUUUUAUCAUGGGCUUGGCAACAGUGCCCGAGAGACCAUGGAUGCUGCAGCUGAAGGAGCGUUCCUAUCACUCACCAUAUCACAAGCCACAGCUCUUGUGGAGAAGAUGGUGUCCAACCAAGGCUGGAAUGAAGAAAGGACCCAGACACGCAAGAGAGGUGGUGGUAUGCAUCAGCUCAAGGAGGUAGACAUGCUGUCUGCUAAGCUAGACCUGCUCAUGAAGAAGCUCGAUGAUAGAGCUGGAGAUGAGAAAGAAGUCAUGCACAUCUACGACUCUCACAUGACUUGUGAGGAGUGUGGAGAUACUGGACACUUAGGCAAUCACUGCCUUGAGAUGCUUGAGGAUGUGAACUACAUCAACAAUGACAACAACUACUACUACAACCGUCCUCAAACAAAUAAAGGUUGGAAUCAAUAGAGGCCUAACUACUCAGGUAAUUAUCAAGGUAAUAAUUCUUAUAAUAAUAAUAAUAAUUUUCCACCUGUGAGAGAGUUAGUGUCUAAUCAAGGAAAGCUAAUAGAUAACUUAUCUAAGAAAUUGGCAUCUAAUGAUAAAAUGCUAGAAAAUAUAAAUAAUAGAAUGGAUAAUUUCUCUACUAACAUCAAGAAUCAACUUAGCUUUAAUAAAAUGAUUGAAUCUCAGUUAAAUCAAAUAGUUGGUGCUGUUCCUGCUACUAACCCCGGUAUACCAUCACAACCGGAAGGAUUAGAAUCUGCAAAUCUUGUAGACAUGUUUGAUGUAGGUAACUACUGGAGUAACCCCGUCACUGAAGUUACUACUGACCUUCUGCCGGUCAAGAGAGGCGAUCCAGGACGCCCUGUCAUCCCGAUCUCCAUCGGCAUGGUGGACUUCCCAGAAGCACUCUGCGACUUUGGCUCUAGUGUCAACAUUAUGCCCAGGGUACUCUAUGAAAAAUUCUUUACAUAUCCUGUAUUAGAAACAACCAUGUGUUUGCAGUUUGCAGAUUAGGCGUUAAGUUUCCCAAAGGGAAUAUUAAAGAACCUCUGUGUCUGAGUUGGUACCUUGUACGCCCUAGCAGACUUCGUGGUGAUAGAGACCGGUAAUGAUGAGAGGCACCCAUCAUCUUAGGGAGGCCAUUCCUAAACACCACGGGAGCUGUCAUCUACGCUAGUGCUGCCAAGAUCAGUUUCUACAUCAAAGGGAAGAAUGAGACGUUUUCUUCAAGAACAAGAUUACACAAAUCCCAGAGCAAUCCGGACAUGAACCAAGGAAGAGGAUCAACAGGAGGAACAUGAACAAGCAAGUGUGGACCGAGUCAGCUAAGAUGGUCACUGCAGUUCAUGGAGGUCAAGAUCAUCGACUUAAGUCACCGUUUCUAACCAAGAAGGACGACCUAGGUAUGCCAAGCAUCCACUGCUCCAUCAAUGGGUACAACCUCUACAAGAAACUUUGCGACACCGGAUCGGGUGUCAACAUAAUGGCCGCAGUCACCUAUCGGCUCCUGUUCGGAACCAUGCCCUUAAAACCGACAUACAUUUAGCUCCAGAUGGCAGAUCAGACGUUCCGAAAGGUUGAAGGUAUAGUAACUGAUGUCCCUGACAAAAUAGACGAUCAUUUUGUCCAUACAGACUUUCAGGUUAUUGACAUGGGAGAAGAUGACUACGAUCCACCCAUCAUCCUUGGGAGACCAUUCCUCAGCACCGUUAAGGCAAUCAUCUACAUUGGAACUGGAGAAGUCCACAUGCACUUCCCCUCAGAGAAGGUACGCCGCUAUUUUACUGACCCUAACUAUAUAGUUGAAGACUCUAAGCAGGUCAGGACAAGAAGAAGACGUCGCAACCGCAACCAGAAGAGGCAAAUCAUCAAGGAUAAGGAGAAGUGGUAAGGUCUGAAGACAUACAGCUUGAACAUAAUUAUCGUGAGGAGACCGUAGCACCGAGUCAGGUGUGGAGAGACAAGAUAACUAUACAUGAAGAGGAGGCGCUGCUGGAAGCACCGACUACGCCAUCCAACGAAUCCCAGGACAACUGAGAAAAUGGAGAGUCCCGUUCGGAGGACUUAAAAACACCGAACGCCUUGCCAAGAGGUAAACUUGGUAGUUAUCUUUUCCUUUCAAUUAUUUCAAAUAGCCAGAUUAGUUAAUCAUGUUCGUACUAUCUUAAAAAAAUAAAAAUAUUAAAAACAGUAAGCCCCAUGUGAGUAUACGAGUGGCAUAAACUUCAUAAGUACAUUCACUGUGGUGGCAUAAAAAUAAAAAUAAAUAUUUUUUCUGCUUUAUAAAAAUGAAAAUAUAAAAAAUAGAGAGUAACAUUUAUUGAGGAGGGUCGACAUGAUAAAGGCUAGAUAUGUAAGCUAACACUUAAUCAGUCCACAAAGCAUUGUUGUCUAUUUGAGCUCCACAGAAUUUAAGGAUCAAGAAGACUAGCAGAAGGACAUUCUAAUCGCUGUCAGGGUGCUACCGACUUUCAAAUACACCUCUGCCACCUGCUAGCUACAUCAGAAGAAAUUACGUCAAAAUUCAGCUUGGGGGAGAGCACCCCCAUUUAUCCCGCUAAGUAUUUCUAUCUACAUUUAUACUUAUACUAUAUUAAAAUAUAAAUAUACAUAAACAUGAAAAACUAAAUAAAGAUUUUGUGCCUAUAUAAAUAUAUGUCUUUUGCUUAGUAUGUUUAAUAAAUAAAUAAAGUGGCUAUGCUAAACUGAAUCUUAAUAAUAAAACUCUAGCAUGGAUAUGAUGAAUAGUUGCUCUGCCUAAUUUUUAAAAUUUGAGUUCUCUCUCAAGUUUAGACAUAACAGUUAUAAUUUCAAGCUUGCUCUAAAUCUGAACUUGUGGGAAGAAAACUUGAUCUGAAGUCUAAGUUGUUAACGGAUACGAUAUGGGAAGGUUGAGCUGCUGUUUAUCUAUUCCUAGAGAUGCUAGAAUUCUAGAGAAUUUUAUCUUUGGAAAAUCUUUAAAAUAACACAUGAUGAGUUCCUGUAUGAUGAGAGUUUGAAUUCCUACCACAGCCAUAUAUACAUGUUUGCUAGACUUUGAGCCACACAUUUACUUUUUACUGAUUAUGAGCAUUGAGUGUGGUCAAGAUGUGUAGACCCUUAGGAGCUUGUCAUGUGGUUAAAUCAAGAUUCACUUGCACAUUCACUCACACAUGCUGCUUCUACUCUGGAAGUACGCAUCCACAUAUAUCCACCCAUUUCCAUCUCCAGAACCACCCAAAAAUAUUCUACUCCUAAUCCGGGAGAGAAUAGCCAAAAAUAUUUCUGUUUUUCCCUGUGAAAUAAAUGCUCAAGUUAUCUUGGUUACUACCACUUGCUACAUUAUUUCAGGAAAUGAGUGCUCUAAAAAAAGAAAAAGAUACGAGGAAAUAAAAAGGGGCAAGUGCCCGAAACCUCGAAAGAAAAGAAAAAGUGAGACGAGAGGUAAAAAUGGACAAGUGUCCGACAGUAGAAUUAGGGGUACAAGAUACCCACCUGAGAGGAAAGAAAAAGAAAAUAUAGAGCAAUCAUUCUCCUCAAAAAGUUUAAAAGAGCAAGAAAGGUGUGUAUCCCCUCAAAAGAGCAAAAGUAGAAUUAGACUUUCACCAUUGUUAUCACCAUCAUCACCAUACACCAUUCAUUCGCACACAUGCACAUCUUGAUUUGACUUAUUGACUUGUUUCUCUGGAUCCAUGGUUUGACUAUGCAAUAAAUGUCUUGUAAGUAUGUAUACUUUAUCUCCCACCUAUGAGCUCCAGAUAUCAAAAGCCUUAUUAGAGUAGGGUGAGAGCGAAGGCAAUGACACUAUGCUUCAUACUAGAAAUACCAUAUAUUUUGAGAGAAGACAUAUACCAUCACUGCCUUGGUAAGGAUCCAGAAAUACCACAAAAGAGAGAUCUGAGAGAGUCAUACAAGGAAUCUUUGAGUUUUAUUUGAAAAUCUGCAAAAACUCCAGAGCUAUAGCUGAUCAAGAAUACGAGACAUGGCACUUGACUAGACUGUUCUAUCUUUUUACUCCUCAAGACAGAAGUGACGGUUACAAGUCCCAUGGUGAAAGGUAAAAUAAGUAAGUUUUAAGUCUUGACAGUUUACUCUAACUCAGAGAUGAGACCUCAUUUGAAAGCAUGUGUACCGUCAACUUUUAAAAGGUAUAACAACAACUUCUGCUCCAUCACUGAGAUUAUCCUUGCUCAGGGACGAACAAGAGGUAAGCUUGGGGGAGUUUGUUGACGGUCCUUAAGUAUCGUAUCAAAUAAAUAAAGAAAAGGAUACAAAUGCAACCGACAUCCAGACCUAGGGUUUUAUCUGACAGAAUUCCACGAGUUUUGGUGUUUAUCUAUUUCUGCAGGGGGUUAUCAGGAAUUAUGGAAGAAAGGCCCACACGUCGGGUUUACAUAAAGAUAUUAACGUGCCGUGCAAUUAUCCUACAUCUAGAAGAGUCCAGAAGCCACGGGAACGAACGGGAGACCGGACGGGCUCGGGGGCAGGGCACCUGCCCUCCCCCCUUGGGCGCCCGCCUUGGCCUCGGGGCCAAUCACAGCCAACUUCGCGGAUCAUGCUCCACUGACCUAAAGGAUCAAGGAAAAUCGUGCGAUUAAUGUCGGUUUGAUCCAACAGCCCAUAUUCACUUCGAAGGACUAUAUAACCAGACCCCCUGGCCCCUGGAGGGGAGGACCUCAGACCCCUAAUUCUUUAUUUAUCUUGAGAGAAGAAGCCUCUGAUCAAUCCCUAGAGCCACCACAUCAAUUAGAUCUCUAGUUUAGCAUAGCUACAUAGGAUUAGAACUAGAAGGAGUCAAUCUUUGAUUGGUUUCCGGAUCUGUCAAGAGCAUUCUUGGUAAUUCCUCUCUUGUUCUCUAAUUGUUCAUCUUUGUUCUUCAAUAUUAUGAAUAUGACUUUGUUCUACUUCAAUAUAUUGAUAAUGAAUUUGCUCUACUUGUUUAUAUUCGCAGUUAUAUUGUUCUUAGUUUAUCAUAGUUAUAUGCUUGGCUUAGUUAGAUUGGAAUUAUAUACCGUAUUUAUCUGCGAUUGUACCCUAUAUGCCAGAUCGCGGAGUAGUUCGUGGUAGUGACAGCUCCAUUGAUUCUUAUAUAGUCCCCCUCUCGUGUAUUGGGCUGGCAGAGCAACAUUAUUACAGGGGAGUGAUUGCGAUGUUUCUCAUAUUCCUUGAUAAUAUCACUAUACGUGGGUGUAGUCCUGUCUCGCAAUGAUUGCCAAGCAUAAUUGCACUAACUAUGAUAUGCUAGACUGUAUAGUUGAGAAUAACUUAGGGAAUAUUCUUGUAGUUCGUCCUAAUUCCAUGCUAAUGACUUGCUAUAAUAUCUAAUUGAGGUGCUUAUCAUAUUUAUAUGUGGCUAAGUUAUGCUGAUCAGAUUAAUUAUCUUUGUCACCAUUCAUACUUUAUAUAUCUUUUAUGUGACACUUAUCCCUGUAUGAAAGAGAUAGAUAAAUGCUCUCAAUUAUACAUGCAAUGAUAGAUACUCAAUCUUAUAUUCCAUUCCAUAAUCAACAUUGAUGAUUACUAAUCCCUUCCCAGUGGUAAAAAUAUAAAUAACGAUACCUGGAAUACUUUCCGAUUAAAAUGCUACAUCGGUAUUAAUCUGUGCGCUUACAGAUCUUAUUUAUUAUUUAUUCUUGAGAGCAAUUUCAUAUUUCAAUACCGCGUCUUUCAUGUCAUGCUGGGGAUGACAACAUGGCUUAAGUGGCAUGAGGGAUAGGUUUGGCAUUUUUGGCGCCAUUAUUAGAAUUAGAAAACUAAGUCUACUUUUGGUAGUGACGUUAAGAAUGCCCAACAAUAUACGCCAUGAAAUUAUAAUAUGGUGCUGCUAAAACAUAGGAGGAUGAAGCUAGCAACCUAUCAAACAAAUCGACGAUAGCGUAGAAGCGUUGAAGUAGAUUGAUCGCUAAAGAUAAGAGCAAGAACAAGCAAGAAUAAUGGAAGAACAAGCAAGACCAAAGGAGCUCGGGCUCGGGCAGGGAGGAAGAAGAGGGAGAAGGAGCUUGAAUUUAUAGGGGGACAGUUUAAUCCCGGUUGGUAACACAAACCGGGUAUAAAUCCCAACCUUUAGAUCCUGGUCGGUGCCACAAACUGAGACUAAUGGUUGGGCUUUAGUCCCGGUUGGUGACACCAACUGGGAUUAAAGGUCCCUCCCGACAGCGUCUGACAACAGAGCCGUUUUUUGUCUCGGGCACCAAAAAUGUCGAGACUAAAGGCAUUUGGGCACAUCGACGAAAGGCCUAUUCUCUAGUAGUGCUCCAGGAUACAAGGUGAUUUAUCCCACAAAAUAGUUUCAAAAUGCAACCCCCUAAUUCGUGUUGAGGUUCCACCAUGGUAAUCUCCUGGUCACCAAUCUUUCCCCGGCCGGCUACCAAUCAAGGCACGUGUCAUAAGCCACCUAAGCGAACCAUAUAUUGCUGCUCAACUCUUCCCAUCACCUUGGCGCCAUCCAAUGAGUUCCUCUACCAUGGAAGGUCCACGGUCCACUCAUCUCCUGCACACAUGAAGUCAUUACUGCUCCACACCAAGUUCUGAUGGUCAUUAACACCAUUACGGGCCGGUCAGCCACAACCGCCCCAUGCAUGAUCAUUAACACCCGUUACCAUAUCAUCUGGUGGACUAUGUCUUCCCUAGCCAAGCUUUCGGAUAGUCACCAUCUUGUCUAUGCCUUUUGAUCAACUGAUUUGGUGUUUGAUUUGGCAUGUGUUUUGACUCCAUUUGUGCUUGGGUCUUCACUAAACUUGGACCUUGCAUCCCUAGGACCUAUAUCAACAUGUCUGACAUCUCUACACACAUGUUUGCCCUAGUGAUUGGGCUGUCAUCAAUAUCACCAAAAUCACACAUUGAAUAUGGCUACAGCUCCCUAUUUUGAGUGGUUGAAAAUUCAAUCAAAGAAAGCAUCAAAUUGCAUCAAAUUGACUCAAUUGAAGAAUGUAUGCACUAAGCAAGCUUGGUUGUAUGAUCUUGAUGCCACUUGUGACUUGGAAUGCUUCUUGAAACCAACUAGGGUGGUUUUCACUUUCGUACGCCUUUGAAGUCAUGCCAUGUAAUACCCGAUUUUAAGGACAAAAGCAGAUAUGCACCAUAUAUGAGUUUUAAAAGUCAAUUCUCACAUAUAGCUACAAAUAAGGGGUAAUAUCAAAAGACAAUGCAUAAAUAUAUAACGUACUUAAUAUAAAAGAGAUAACCUUUGAUAGGAAACAGCGGAUAGACAACUCCAAACUUUGGGUAUUAACUUCACGCUACAGGAUCCAACUAACUGGUUGAUCACAAGCCUAAAACAUUUCCUGAGGUAUGGGGGAAAUAGCAAGAGUGAGUCCAUGUCGAACUCCACAAGUAUAGCAACUAGAUUGUUUAGAUCCCACAAUCUCAUGAUCAAUGUGACAUAAAUAAUGUAGAGCAUUAAACAAUAAAUAUGAGCAUAAUAACACAACAAGAAUCAUCACACUUAACGCAAGAAUCCCCAAGGCCGCUCCUGACCGUGAGCUCGGCUAGUAUACUAGUUUUUAACACUCUGCAUAGGUUGUACAUCUAUAACCAUGAGUCAUGAUUUACCCUUUCGCCGGAGGUGAUCAGACUCUUAACCCACUACCAAGGAAGGUCGACAGGGAUCACUAUGAAGUCUUUCAAAGGUUCGUCUAACAAGUUAGGGCCGCUUGAUUUCAUUAGUCAGUUCGUGUGAUCCACCCGCAGGAAUCCACGGUCUGCUAUUCCCUAAUUACGCCACACGAGUAACCGCUAACAAGCUAGAAAAGAUACUCAUACUUAACUAAAGCCAAAUCCAUUAUAGCCCUCAUGGUUGCACUGUUGUCCCGGUUAUCACUUACAGAUAAUUCAUCAAGUUGCUAAAGAGUCAUUUUUAUGAUUUGUUGCUUAAGCAUUAAUCAAGUCACAAGAUCACGGUCACAGAAUUAAAACCCAAAUGCUAUACUUGCCUUAAUCCAAAUGCUCUUGUUGAUCCUACUGGUCUUACUAGUUGUCCAAAGCUCUGAUCUUGAUCACUGAAGUACUCUUGUUCACCACGAAUUGCUCACCAACUAAACUCGAUCAUCGAUCACCAACACACAAACAAUCGGGGACAACAUACACGAAGCAAACAAGGCUACAAUUAGAACAGUACACCAAUCAUAUAAAAACAGUAUGAAAAGUUUAGGAAAUGAUUCUACGCAUUGCUACGAUUACACGAACGUAAACAUCACGAAAAUCAGAGCUAUAACGAAGAAGAUAUGAAUUUUCUAAGAUUUUCUUUAGAAAAAUAAUUAAUUAAACAGGGUCAUGAAACUAAAAUGCUUCAAACCGCUGAACCAAGUUUACUAACAUGUAGAUCUUUCAAAAACAAAACCAACGCAAUUUGAAUCGGUCAAAUCCAAGUUAAAAUGAAUAUUUUAUGGCCAAAAGAAACUCAGUGGCAAUUUAGUAAAUAUAGAAAACGUAUUCUGAAUUCAGACAGAGAAGAAAUACGUCUUCCAAAUGCGGUUGGCGUAUUCAACCGGGGUGCUUUGGACCGCGGAUUUAUUUAACAGAAACUCAGGGACUCUUUAACAAAAGUGCCACGCGAAGGGGUAUGUUGAGAUCUCGUCCGUUGAUCGCAAAACGGAUGGCGCAGAUUAGAUCUAGGAAAGGGGAGGGGCAGCUGCCGGCCAGAUUAGGACCUCCUGCGGCGGCGUGCCAUGGCCGGAAGCUCGGAGCUCACUGGAGUUCAUCGUUUAAGCUAUUUCGGCCAUCUUAAAACGAAAGAAAAACGUCGGGAGAAAGAGGAGGACUUCACGAACUCACCCAGGCGCUUUUGGGGUCGAGGAAGAGCUCAGAGAAGGCGCGCGACGCGAGAUGGCGGCGGCAGCGUUUCCUGCAAGUUCGGCGAUCAUUAGCGGUUGAACCAGAGCAUGAGAGAAAGAAGGAGAGGACUUGGCGACCUCGCAGGAACGUUGUGAAGCUCGGCCGAGGCUCGAAUUCACCGGAGUGGCAGCACGAUGCGUUAACCAUGGUGGCGGGCGGAAAACAGCUCAGUGAGAUCUAGAUCAACACUAGGGACGGCUUCGGAAGUGUAAAGAUGGGAAAUAGGGGUCAUGGCAAGUGCCAGGGGCCUUAUUGGGAAAGUUGAUUACGUCCUAAGCUCGAAAUCCCGGAGAAGUCGGGAUUUGCUACCCGGUCAGGAGUCCUGCACAGCUCCGACUUGAGACUGAAGAAGAGUAGGUGUCUGGCGAGUGGGCCCGAGACGUCAGUGUCUCCCGGCGUGGGGUCUGCGCGUCAGUGAAAGGGAGGAAAGGAGGGGGGCGCGGGCUGGCCGAAUGCUGGGCCGGUCGCGCGUGCGCGUGCAGGCCGCGAGAGAGGGAGAACGGGCACGGUCCAGAUGAGAAGAAGGGGGGAAGGGGAGCUAGGCUCGGCCUGCCGUUGGGCUUGCGCGCAGAUUAGGGAGCAGGCCGAAAGGGAAAGGGGUUGGGCCUCUUGGGCCAAAGCAGAGAGAGGGAGAGGUUUUCCUUUUCUUUCAUUUUUCUUUUAUUCCAAAAGCUAUUUAAAACUCAUUUCAAAAUCAUUUUAAAGCUUUUGGAUUUUUGACAAAGCCACACAUCUCAAUAAAAUAAAUGCACAAGCAUGAAUGCACCACAGUUUUGCUAUGUCCUAUGAUAAAUUUUAUUUUGAAGAAAAAUAUUAUUUCUCCUAUAUUUUCAUGAGCACAAAAAUACAAAAUUAAAUCAAAUUCUUCUAUUUUGAAGACUUGUAAAUUUUAGGGUGUUACAAAUCUACCCCCUUAAAAUGAAUCUCGUCCUCGAGAUUCGGAAGAGGUACAGAUUCCAAAAGAAGGAAACAGGAAAAAGAUCUUAACAACUCUUUCAACUUCACACUUGCAUACCAAAGGUAAAAACUUAUGUCUCAGAAUCACACUCGUGAACAAAGUUUCCACGAAAUUUCUUUUAUUCAUAAUUGAUCAAAGUCCAUCUUGACUGCCAACUUUUUGACUAAAACAACUUAAAGACAUAAUAACUUAGCAUGGAUUUGCCUCCUCAGGUAGGAGUGGACCACCUUGAUACUCAAUUCUUUUCCCUGAUGGUGCGGUUAAGAAAAUUUUCCACUGGGUAGCAUGGAUCACUCCUUUGUGUGCACACAACCAUCCAUUACCAAGAACCAAAGGAAUGUCGAGUGACUCAAGCACAAUGAGAUUUACAGUGAAGUUUUCCUUGCUUAUGACAAGACUGAUAUUUGAGCAAACAUGAUCUGCCUAUAUUUCUCCCAUUGGGGUUCAAAGUAACAAAGGCUUCGUCGUUGGACACUUCACCCGCUCGAUCAUUUUUACCAAGUUGGUGGAAAUGAAAGAAUGUGAAGCACUUGGGUCAAGCAAAGCAAAAACUAGCACUGAGUCCAAUUGAAUAUAGCCUCCCACCACUUUGGUGGCUCCUUGAAUGUUAUUCCUAUCCACACUGCUCAGUCUUCCAUUGAUAUAAUUUCGAUGCACUUUAAUUCCAAGAGGAGGCUUCUUACAACUUUUCCUUUUUUGCUUCCAUCGUUGUGGAUUCUGAUUUGAUUCAAUGUCAACUUGCUCUUCUAUAUUAUUGUUUUGGUAACACUCAGUUUUAUCAUACUCAUAACAUUCUUCUUCAAAGGCAAUAUGAUCAUACUCUUCCCACAUAUCCAGGAGAGGCAUCAUAUUGUGCUCCUGAUCCAUGGGACACUACACUCCCUGUCACCAAGUGAACAACGUCAGUAACACGAGCAAGGAUAGAUGAUCAUAACCAUAAGAUAUCUCAGAAGGCAACUCUCACUUCAAGAUAAAUUAAAAAAUGCGUCAUCCCAUGAUAUCAUGGUACUAUCCCCCUUAAGAUGAGACUGAUUGGGGGACACUAGGGACUAGUUCUCAUAUCCUUUUUAGACGCUACACAUCACAGUCUUUUAAAUUCGUUGUACCUGUUGACACUUACUAACACCACUUGGAUACUAGGUUGUCAUCCCCAGCAUGGUGCCAGAGUGUACAAAGGUAUUUAUGGAUAUGGAGGCUCUCUAGAAAAUACUCUAUUCUAUCCGCAAGCGCACAGAUAAAACAUCUCAUUGUAGCAUUUCACCAGGAAAGUAUUCCAGGUAUCGUUAUUUAUAAUUUUGCUCAAGAGAACAAGGGUGAAAUUAAGAUAAGGAUAAAAUCUAUCAAGGCAUAGACUAGAGAUAAACUUGCAAGAACAUGAUUACCAAUGAAGAACUCGUCACACAGUCACUUACUUUGACAGGGGGUAAGCCAUAAUAAUAAUGAUAAUGAAAUAUAAGCUCAUGGGUAAAUAACAUAGUGAUUAGAAAAUAGACUACUCCUCAUAUAUGUAAGGUGACGUCGGAUUAGCUAGAGAAUGGAUUCUAAGUUAUCUACUAUCUACUAAGUCACAAUCUACUCUAUUAUCUACAAGAUCAUAUAUAGUAUAAAAGACUCUUUAUUCAUGUAUAAGGAACAUUGCUAAAGUAAAUCAGAGCAUCGCAAGACUCACUCUGCAAAUCAAAUUCUGCCAGUCCUAUCAACAGAGGGUGGACUAUAUAAGAAUCAACGAAGCUGUCACUAUCACGAACUACCACACAACCCGGCCAAUAGGAUAUAUUUGUAGGUAAAUAACAUCUAAGCACCACGCCUACAUGUGAUCUACCACUUAACUCCCACGUGUCAAGAGCUAAGCGCUUUGCAAACUUAUACAUAAACUCAUUAUCAAUCAUAACUAUAUCAAAUAUAGAACUAGAGUAAACUAAGAGCAUAAUAAAUAGAGACAUCAUACAAUUAGAAUAAAGUAGUAGAGAAAGAUAUGAAAUAAUACCAAUCUUUAUUAACGAAGAUCUGAAUCCAGAGCGUAGUGCUCUACUUCUCUAAUUCUAUCUAAUCAAUCCUCUAAACUUGAAGGAUUAGGGAGUAGCUAAUUCUAAUUCUUUGUGGGAGAGAAGUCCUAAAACCCUAACUUUGAUGGCUACCUCUGAUAAUGAUUUCUCCUAUCUCCCCUGGGGUGGAGAGUGUUGGGUAUUCUUAACAUCAUUACUAAAAGUAGACUAAGUUCUCUAAAUCUAGUAACGGUGCCAAAAAUGCCAAACCUAUCCCUCACACCACUUAAGCCAAGUUGUCAUCCCCAGCAUGAUAUAAGAGACGCGGUAUUGAAAUAUGCAAUUGCUCUUCUAAAUAAAUAAUGAAUGGGAUCUGCAAGCGCACAGAUUAAUACCGAUGUAGCAUUUUAACCGGGAAGUAUUCCAGGUAUCGUUAUUUAUAUUUUUUCCACUGGGAAGGGAUUAGCAAUCAUCACUAUUGAUUACAGAAUAGAAUAUGAGAUUGAGCAUCUAUCAUUGCAUGUAUAAUUGAGAACAUUAUAUCUAACUCUUCAUACAGGGAUAAGUGUCACAUAAAAGAUAUAUGAAAUAAUAAUAGUGACAAGGAUAACUAAUCUGAUCUAGCCACAUAAUAAAUAUGAUAAGCACCUCAAUUAGAUACUCUAGAAAGUCAUUAGCAUGGUAUUAGAACGAACUACAAGAAUAUUCCCUAAGUUAUUCUUAACUAUAUAGUCUAGCAUUAUCAUAGUUAGUGCAAGCAUACUUAGCAAUCAUUGCGAGACAAGACUACGCCCAUGCAUAGUGAUAUUAGCAAGGAAUAUGAGAAACAUAGCAAUCACUCCCCUGUAAUAAUGUUGCUCUGCCAGCCCAAUACACGAGAGGGGGACUAUAUAAGAAUCAAUAAAGCUGUCACUAUCACGAACCACCCCACGAUCUGGCAUAUUGGGUACAAUCGCAGAUAAAUACGGUAUAAGCACCACGCCUACACAAUAUCUAUCAUUUACCCAUGGAUCCGAUGGAUAAACGCUAUACGAUCCUAAGCAUGUAUAUAGAUCGUAUCUAACUAAGCCAAGUACAUAACUAUGAUAAACUAAGAACAAUAUAAUCUUGAAUAUAAACAAGUAGAGCAAAGUCAUAAGCAAUAUAUUGAAGUAGAACAAAGUCAUAUUCAUAAUAUUGAAGAACAAAGAUAAUUAGAAAGCAAUUAGAAGCACAAUUAGAGAAUUACCAAGAAUCCUCCUGACAGAUCCGGAAACCAAUCGAAGAUUGACUCCUUCUAGUUCUAAUCCUAUGUAGCUAUGCUAAUCUAGAUAUCUAAAUGAUGUGGUGGCUCUAAUCUUGAUCAGAGGCUUCUUCUCCCUUGAUGGAACAAUGAAUUAGGGUUGAGAGGCUCUCUCCUCCAGGGGCCAGGGGGUCUGGUUUUAUAGUCCCUCCAAGUGAAUAUGGGCCCUUGGAUCAAACCGACAUAGAUUGUAUGGUUUAGAUUCAUCCUUUAGGUCGGUGGAGAUCUCCCGCAAAGCAGAGUCCUGAUUGGACUCAGGGGCAGGGCGGGCGCCCUGACCAACUGGGCGGCCGCCCAGGGUCAGGCCCCGUUUCGCCUCCGCUUCGGUCUCGUGGCUUCUGGAGUCUUCUAGAUGUAAGAUAAUUGCGCAGCACGUUAAUAUCUUUACGUAAUCCUGACAUGUGGGCCUUUCUUCCAUAUUUCCUGAUAACCCCCUGAAGAAAUAGACAAACACCAAAACUCGUGGAAUUCUGUCAGAUAAAACCCUAAGUCUACAUGUUGAUUUCAUUUGGAUCCUUUUCUUUAUUUAUUUGAUAAUUAAAUUUGAUACUUAAGGACCGUCAACAAACUCCCCCAAGCUUGCCUCUUGCUCGUCCCUGAGCAAGGAUAGACUCAGCUAUGGAUCAUAAGUUGUUGCAAUAUAUUUAAAAAAUUUGACGGUACAUAUGCUUUUAAAUAAGAUCUCAUCUCUGAGUUAGAGUAAACUGUCAAGACUUAAAACUUACUUACUUUACCUUCACCAUGGGACUUGUAACUGUCACUUCUGUCUUGAGUGGUUAAAAGAUAGAACAGUCUAGCCAAGUGCCAUGUCUCUUAUUCUUGAUCAGCUAUAGCUCUGGGGUUUUUUUGGAGAUUUUCAAAUAAAACUCAGAAAUUCCUUGUAUGAUUCUCUCAGGUCUCUCUUUUGUGGUAUUUCUGGAUCCUUACCAAGGCAUUGAUGGUAUAUGCCUUCUCUCAAGAUAUGUAGUAUUUGUGGUAUGAGGCAUAGUGACAUUGCCUUCUCUCUCACCCUACUCUAAUAAGGCUUUAAUAUCUAGAGCUCAUAGGUGGGAGAUAAAGUAUACAUACUUACAAGACAUUUAUUGCAUAGUCAAACCAUGGAUCCAAAGUAACAAGUCAAUAAGCCAAAUCAAGAUGUGCAUGUGUGGCGAAUGAAUGGUGUAUGGUGAUGCUGGUGAUAACAAUGGUGAAAACAAUGGUGGUGGAAGUCUAAUUCUACUUUGCUCUUUUGAGGGGAUACAUACCUUCCUUGCCUUUGAAACUUUAUGAGGAGAAUGAGAUGCUCUUCUUUUUCUUUUCUCUCAGGUGGGCAUCUUGUACCCCUAAUUCUACUGUUGGACACUUGUCCAUUUUUACCUCUCGUCUCACUUUUUUCUUUUCUUUCGAGGUUCCGAGCACUUGCUCCUUUUUAUUUCCUCGUAUCUCUUUCUUCUUUUUUUUAGAGCAUUCAUCUCUUGAGAUAAUAUAGCAAGUGGUAGUAACAAGAUAACUUGAGCAUUUAUUUCACAAGGGGAAAAUAGAAAUAUUUUUGGUUAUUCUCUCCCGGAUUAGGAGUAGAAUAUUUUUAGGUGGUUCUGGAGAUGGAAAUGAAUGGAUAUAUGUGGAUGGUACUUCCGGAGUAGAAAUAGCAUAUAUGAGUGAACGUGCAAGUGAAUCUUGAUUUAACCACAUGACAAGCUCCUAAGGGUCUACACAGCUUGACCACACUCAAUGCUCAUAAGUAGUAAAUAUUAAAUGUGUGGCUCAAAGUCUAGCAAGCAUGUAUAUAUGGCUGUGGUAGGAAUUUAAACUCUCAUCAUACAGGAACUCAUCAUGCAUCAUUUUAAAGAUUUUCAAAGAUAAAAUUCUCUAGAAUUCUAGCAUCUCUAGGAACAGAUAAACAGCAGCUCAACCUUCCCAUAUCAUAUCCGUUAACAACUUAGACUUCAGAUCAAGUUUUCAUCCCACAAGUUUAGGUCUAGAGCAAGCUUUAAAUUAUAACAGUUAUAUCUAAACUUGAGAGAGAACUUAAAAUUUGCAAAUUAGGCAGAGCAACUAUUUAUCAUAUCCAUGCUUAAGUUUUAUUUAGAUACAGAUUAGCAUAGCCACAUUAUUUAUUUAUUAAACACACUAAGCAAAAGAUAUAUAUAUAUAUAAGCAUAAAAUCUUUAUUUGGUUUUCCCAUAGUUUAUGUGUAUUUUAAUAUUCUAAAAUAAUAUAAGUAUAAAGAUAGAUAGAAAUACUUAUCGAGAUAAAUGGGGGUGCUCUCCCCCAAGCUGAAUUUUGACGUAAUUUCUCUUGAUGUAGCUAGCAGGUGGUAGAGGUGUAUUUGAAAGUCAGCAGUAUUCUGACAGCGAUUAGAAUGUCCUCCGUCUGCCAGUCUUCUUGAUUCUUAAAUUUCUGUGGAGCUCAAAUAGACAACAAAGCUUGUGGAACUGAUUAAGUGUUAGCAUAAAUAUCUAGCCUUUAUCAUGUUGAGACUCCUUAAUAAUUGUUACUCCCUGUUUUUAUAUAUUUUUUUUUAUAAAGCAGAAAAAUAAUUAUUUUAUUUUUAUGCCACCACAGUGAAUGUACUUAUGGGUUUUAUGCCACUCGUCUACUCACAUGGGGCUUAUAGUUUUUAACAUCUUUAUUUUCUUUUUAAGAUAGUGUGAAUAUGAUUUACUAAGUAAGCUAUUUGAAAUAACUGAAAGGGAAAGGGUAACUACCAAGUUUACCUCUUGGCAAGGCGUUCGGUGUUUUUAAGUCCUCCGAACGGGACUCUCCAAUUUCUUAAUCGUCCUGAGGUUCGUUGGGUGGCGUAGUCGGUACUUCCGGCAGCGCCUCCUCUUCUUGUAUAGUUAUCUUCAUUUUCCAUACCUGACUCGGUGCUUCAAUCUCCUCUAGAUAAUUCUAUUUAAACUCAACGUCUUCUGAUCUUACAACUUCUCCUUCAUAAUCUGCCCAUCCGUCCUUGAUGAUCUGCCUCCUCUGGUUGCGGUUGCGUCGCUUUCUUACCUGCUUAGAUUCUUCAAUGAUAUAGUUAGGGUCAGUAAAGUAACGGCGUACCUUCUCUGAGGGGAAGUGCAUAUGGACUUCUCCGGUUCCAAUGUAGAUGAUUGCUUUAACGGUGCUGAGGAACGGUCUUCCAAGGAUGAUGGGUGGAUCGUACUCGUCUUCUCCCAUGUCAACAACUUGAAAGUCUGUGUAGACAAAGUGAUCGUCUAUUUUGACUGGGACAUCAGUUACUAUUCCUUGAACUUCUCAAAAUGUCUGAUCUGCCAUCUGGAGCUGAAUGUAUGUUGGUCUUAGUGGCAUGGUUCCGAACAAGAGCCGAUAGGUGACUGCGGCCAUUAUGUUGACGCCUGAUCCGGUGUCGCAAAUCGUCUUGUAGAAGUUGUAUCCAUUUAUGGAGCAGUAGAUGCUUGGCAUUCCUGGGUCGUCCUUCUUGGUCAAAAACGGUGACUUAAGUUGAUGAUCUUGGCCUCCAUGGACUACAGUGACCAUCUUAGCUGACUCGGUCCACACUUGCUUGUUCCUGUUUCUCCUGUUGGUCCUCUUCCUUGAUUCACGUCUGGAUUGAUCUUGAAUUUGUGUAGUCUUGUUCUUGAAGAAAAACGUCUCCUUCUUCCCUUUGACGUAGAAACUGAUCUUGGCAGUACUGGCGUAGAUGAUAGCUCCCGUGGUGUUCAGAAAUGGCCUCCCUAGGAUGAUAGGUGCUCUCUCAUCAUUUCCGGUCUCUACCACUACGAAGUCUGCUGGGGCAUACAAGGUACCAACUCGGAUACAAAGAUUCCUCACUAUUCCUUUUGGGAAAGUGUCGAGGGUAUCGGUAAGGGGUACCCUCAGCGGUGCGCAUUAUGAGAUUGCCCGUACGAAGGUUGGGACCCUCAAUUCGACGCUUUAAUCUUACGUACGCGCCGCGAUCGACGGUCGCAGCCUCGAAGACGGAAAUAGCGUCGAGCGAAUCAGUCAGGGCUCGAGUGGCGACUACCGUCGAAGACGGAAGCGGGCUCGAGCGAACCGAGAGACGUCGAGCGUCAGGACACUGUCCGCCGCCUGACGCGCGCACGCGGGCGGGAGCAUUAAAUGCAUCUGACGUUUCCCACCUAACACACGGGUCACGGAAGGCGUGAUAGGGAACAAGCUUCUGUCCCAUCGUUCUUUUUGCAGCUUUCCCACCGAACGACCCAGGGUGUGUCAGGACGCAGGAAAAGAGAAUGGAACGUCUAAUCGGGACCCCCUCGAGACACCCAAGGUCAGCGCUCCGGAUAUCGGCGUAUUACGCAGCGCCCGACCCUCGACCGAACAAGGUCCCUUCCCAGAGACAAGUCGGGCGUCGACUGACAACACCAUAGCUGCUCCGCCGGAUCCGCCACCAUACCGUAUAAGCAUGCGACCUCAGAACCAGCACAAGGCGGCUGGCAGGGCAGAACACAGGAGCUCGCGCAAUCAUCACCAAGCUAUCAAGAUGGGACGGCUCGAGGCCAUGCCGUACGGAAGCCUCGAGUAGGUCAGCGCUCCAUGCGGCUAUCGAUCCCUACUCUAACAUCUAUGCAUGUACCCUGUGUUUCUCCUUGGAGCUAUAAAAGGAGGGACUCAGGAAUAGAAGAGCGACAGAUCACAACACAAGAACACACACACGUAGUAGAGCUACACACUUCAUUCCACGCUUGUAUUCGCCCCUGUACAAGCACUUAGGUGCAAGAUAAUACAAACUCUCUCCCCCCGCUGGACGUAGGGCCUUCUCUUGCCCGAACCAGGAUAAAUCUCUGUGUCUUCUUGCAUCACCAUCCGGAAAGGGGAGCACGCAUACAAAUUUACUCGUUGGUGUGAUCCCCCGGGGGAAAAACACCGACAGUUGGCGCGCCAGGUAGGGGUCCUGCGUGUUUUUCACCGAUUUCCCACCACUUUCCGGAUGGCUACUCCUGCCUCGCCGCUUCCGCGCUCCACGGUGAUUUGGUUUGGGAGUCUCGAGUUCAUGUCUACGGGCUCCGGCUACGACAUGAUCUUGCUCUCAGUCAAAGGACCAGGAGAAGUCCGCGUUACGCCAGCACGGUUGAAGGCCCCAAGACGCCCUCACCACCACGCCUCUCCGCCUAAGAAGAGGCGCGGGCUCAACCACCGCGGCCCCUCUGCUUCAGCGCGACCAGCAACUCGCGCAAGGCAGGAUGUGGGCCACAAGGCAGCGACACCGCGUGACCGAGCAACAAGCACAACGACUUAGCACCACGCGACGACAGGGGGAGACGCGUCUCGCGCGCCCUCCCCCACCGCAGCUAGGCUACUUCCACACGGGUUGUUCUCUCCAAGGGCGGCACUGCCGUUCGGGUUGGACAACGCCGCGGCGUCGCUCGCCAAGACGAUACGCCCAAAUGCUCAGAUGCACGUGGAAAGACCAAUGGUCAUCCCACGUAGCUCUGAAGAGCAGCGGCCGACGUCCGAACUGCCGGACCUUUCCCGAGUACGAGGCCUCCGCCGUCUAGGCCCCGGGCGAUACUCGAUCACCUCCCUCGGGCAACGAUGGUCGGAGGAAGGACGUGAGUGUUCCCACACUGCCGAACCAGACUCCGACUCCGAGACAGACAGCUACGACCCUACGAGGGAAUGCUAUCACCUCGACGGGGCGGCAGAAACCACCGACGAAACACGGGAUGCUGCUGUGGGUGGUCGAGCCCCCGCGACGCAAGAAGACCCCAGGACGCCUGGGAAUGACGGACGGCUCGACCCUCUUCCUCAGGAAGAUAGAACUGCGCAGCUCGCGCAGCUGCGGGAGCUCAAGAUGAAGCUCGACGAAGAUCGCGAGCGCCUCGUCCUGCUCGAGCAAAUCCUCGAACAAGACCUGCCCUACCCGCCGGGCGGAAGUGUCCGCAGACGCGCUCGAGAGGUACAUCGACAGAUCGUCGGUGACACAGAGGCGGAGCAACCUGUCGGCCGUUUCCCUCGAGCGGGCCAGAAUGUAGUAGCAGCGACGAUGCUGCUACGUAACAUGCCAGAGCCAUCAAAUUCCCAGGCCCGACGAAUUCGAGAUGAAGUUCAGACAUUGCUCCAGGUGGCAGCAGUUCAACAAGCCGAAAGUUCGGCAUCUCGACGACGAGGAGCUGCCACAGAGAAGCGCGGCGAACAGCCUCUAAUCGAAGAGGAGGUGUCUGUCCAGCAACAACCUCCCCCUCGAGGUAGAAAGACCGCUCUCAUCCUCCCUGCCGACAACCAACGUCGACACGACGCGCGACACGACGUUAAAGAAAAUAGACGCCGCUGGCACGGAGACGCGGAAGAACGUGGUUAUAGCGCGCAUCGCGGCGGGAGGUACGACAGCGAUGAGGACCGGGUGGCCCCCGAGCCACCAGGCCCGCGGGUGUUCAGCAGGGCGAUUCGCAGCACGCCCCUGCCUAGUCCAUUCCGACCUCCAACCAGCAUCGCGAAGUACAAUGGAGAAACCAAGCCAGAACUAUGGCUGGCCGAUUUCAGGCUGGCUUGUCAGCUAGGUGGCGCUCGGGGGGAUGAUCGAGCCAUCAUCAGACAGCUACCCCUUUUCCUCUCCGACACUGCACGUCGAUGGCUCGAGGAACUCCCAGCCAAUCAGAUUCACAACUGGGUUGACCUGGUCAGAGUCUUCGAGGGUAAUUUCAAGGGGACCUAUAUACGGCCAGGGAACUCGUGGGACCUCAGCAAAUGCAAGCAGAAGUCAGGAGAGACUCUUCGGGAGUACGCUCGACGCUUCUCGAAGCAGCGCACUGAGUUGCCACACAUCCCCGACCACGACGUCAUCUUGGCGUUUGUCUCGGGCACCACCAGUCGAGACUUGGUGCGGGAAUUAGGCCGCAAUCGACCUCAAACCGUCGACGAGCUGAUGGACGUAGUGGCUAACUACGCGGCAGGGGAGGAGGCAGUCGGCGCCUUCUUCAGCUCAGAAGGAAGAAAAGGCAAGCAGCCCGUCGAUGAAGAUGGGACUUCCGGUCGAGGCCUCAAGAAAAAUAAAAAGAAGCAGAAAGUGCGGCAGUUCCACCAGGGAGAUUCGGGUGACGACCUCGUCGCCACGAUGGAUCGAAAGAAGCCGCGAGGCCCUCCGGAGGGAGGCAUCUUCGACAAGAUGUUGGAGGAGCCGUGCCCUUACUAUAAGGGAGGCGCUAACCACAAACUCAAGGAUUGUCGCAUGCUGAGAAAGCAUUUCGACGGUCAGGGGCUCAAAAAAGAUGCGCGUGAUGACUCCAAGAAGGAGAAGGCUGGCGGCAAGGAGGACAACAAAGAUGACGACGGCUUCCCGGCCGUCCACGACUGCUACAUGAUCUAUGGCGGGCCUUCGACUCAGUUGACCGCGAGGCAGCGCAAGAGGGAGCGUCGCGAAGUCUUUGCAGCAAGGAUGGCGGUGCCCCAGUAUCUUAGCUGGUCAAGCACUCCCAUCACCUUCGACCGAGAAGAUCACCCCGACAAGGUGGUCGCCCCAGGCGUCUACCCGCUCGUCGUCGACCCCAUCAUCAUCAACGCCCGACUCUCGAAAGUGCUGAUGGAUGGCGGCAGCAGCCUCAACAUCAUCUACCUCGAGACCCUCGAUCUCCUCGGCAUAGAUAGAGGGCGCCUCCAGCCAAGCGCCGGCGGCUUCCAUGGCGUCGUACCAGGGAAAAAGGCACUGCCAGUAGGUCGAAUCGACCUACCGGUCUGCUUCGGCACGGCGGCCAACUUCAGGAAGGAGACCCUCACCUUUGAGGUGGUUGGGUUCCGAGGCACGUACCACGCCAUCAUCGGACGCCCGGGCUACGCCAAGUUCAUGGCUAUACCCAACUACACAUACUUGAAGCUGAAGAUGCCUGGUCCCAAAGGCGUCAUCACCAUCAGUUCUUCCUUCGAGCACGCGUACGAGUGCGACGUCGAGUGCGUCGAGUACGGGGAGGCGGUCGAGAGCUCCACCGAGCUCGUUGCGAAGCUCGAAGCCAUGGCCGCUGAGGCUCCAGAACCUAAACGUCAUGCGGGCAGCUUCGAGGCGGCGGAAGGAACUAAGAAGAUCCCGCUCGACCCCAACAACUCCGACGGCAAGGUGCUGACAAUCAGCACUGACCUCGACCCCAAAUAGGAAACCGUGCUCGUCGACUUUCUCCGUGCGAAUGCUGAUAUGUUUGCAUGGAGUCCCUCGGAUAUGCCGGGCAUACCGAGGGAAGUCGCCGAGCACUCCUUGGAGAUUCGAGCCGGUUCCAAGCCAGUGAAGCAGCGGUUGCGCCGAUUCGACGAGGAAAAGCGCAAGAUCAUUGGCGAGGAAGUCCACAAGCUUUUGACGGCCGGAUUCAUCAAGGAGGUUCAUCAUCCUGACUGGUUAGCGAACCCUGUAUUAGUUAAGAAAAAGAAUGGGAAAAUGAGGAUGUGUGUCGAUUAUACUAGUUUGAAUAAAGCAUGUCCGAAAGUUCCUUUUCCGUUACCACGCAUUGAUCAGAUUGUCGAUUCUACCGCGGGAUGUGAAACCCUUUCUUUCCUUGAUGCUUAUUCUGGUUAUCACCAAAUAAAAAUGAAAGAGUCCGACCAGCUCGCGACCUCUUUCAUCACGCCUUUCGGGAUGUAUUGUUACGUGACCAUGCCAUUUGGGCUUCGAAACGCGGGAGCCACGUAUCAACGUUGCAUGCUCCACGUAUUUGGCGAACAUAUAGGUUCAACGGUCGAGGCCUACGUCGACGACAUUGUCGUCAAGUCAAAGCAACGAGGAGACCUGAUCCAGGACCUCGAGGUUGCUUUCAGCUGCUUACGCACCAGCCGGAUCAAGCUUAAUCCCGAGAAGUGCGUUUUCGGCGUGCCUCGAGGCAUGCUCUUAGGAUACAUUGUUUCACAGCGCGGUAUCGAGGCCAACCCCGAGAAAGUCUCGGCCAUCACGAAAAUGGGGCCAAUCCGAGACAUCAAGGGUGUCCAGAUAGUCACGGGGUGCCUGGCGGCUCUGAGCCGUUUCAUCUCGAGACUAGGAGAAAAGGCAUUACCAUUAUAUCGACUCCUGAAGAAGGUCGAGCGUUUUUCUUGGACCCCCGAGGCCGAGGAAGCACUUGAAAAGCUGAAAAAGACGCUGACUUCGGCACCAGUUCUGGUUCCACCUCAACCUGCGGAACCGCUGCUCCUCUACGUCGCGUCGACGACCCAGGUCGUCAGCGCGGCGGUGGUGGUCGAAAGACAAGAGGAGGGUCACGCGCUGCCAGUCCAAAGGCCGGUCUAUUUCGUCAGCGAGGUGCUCUCGGAAACCAAGGCGCGUUACCCCCAAAUCCAGAAGCUGAUCUACGCCGUAAUCCUUGCCCGCCGUAAAUUACAGCAUUAUUUCCUUGGUCAUCCUAUCACGGUGGUCUCUUCUUUCCCUUUGGGCGAAAUAAUCCAGAGCAAGGAGGCCACGGGAAGGAUAGCGAAGUGGUCGGUCGAGCUCAUGAGCGAGACUCUCACUUACGCGCCUCGAAAGGCCAUCAAAUCGCAAGCCCUGGUAGACUUCGUCGCAGAAUGGACGGACUCCCAGCUUCCCCCGACUCAGGUCCAGGCGGAGCUGUGGACAAUGUAUUUCGACGGGUCACUCAUGAAAACUGGGGCCGGGGCCGGCCUACUGUUCAUCUCACCCUUGGGCGUCCACAUGAGGUAUAUAAUUAGGAUUCAUUUCGCCGCAUCUAACAAUGUCGCAGAAUAUGAGGCCCUCGUCAACGGUCUCAAGAUCGCUAUUGAGUUAGGAGUCCGACGCCUCGACGUCCGAGGCGACUCCCAACUCGUCAUCGACCAGGUAAUGAAAGCCUCGAGUUGCCAUGACCCAAAAAUGGAAGCAUACUGCAAGGAGGUGCGUCGACUCGAAGACAAAUUCCACGGCCUCGAGCUCGUCCAUGUCGCUCGACGCUACAACGAGGCAGCCGACGAACUCGCCAAGAUUGCAUCUACCAGAGGAACAGUGCCGCCUGAUGUAUUCUCAAAGGAUCUACACGAGCCAUCCGUCGACCUAGGCACGGGGGCUGGCGUCGAUACCACCAUCGCCCAACCAACCAAUGCUGUCGAUGCGCUCUUGAUGGAGGAAGAGGUGAUGGAAAUAGAACGACGACCGGGUCGACCAUUCGAUUGGCGCACACCGUUCCUCGACUGCCUUAUCCGCGGUGAGUUGCCAGAAGACAGGACAGAAGCUCGUCGUAUCGCUCGACGGGCCAAAUCAUAUGUGAUCUAUGGUGAAGACAACGAGCUAUAUCGACGGAGCCCGACGGGGAUCUUACAGCGUUGCAUCACCAUAGAGGAAGGCCGAAAACUCCUCGACGACCUGCACUCGGGGGCUUGUGGCCACCACGCCGCCCCACGGACCCUUGUAGGAAACGCUUUUCGGCAAGGCUUUUACUGGCCAACGGCCGUAGCGGAUGCCAUCGAGCUCGUACGCUCGUGUCAUGGGUGCCAAUUCUACGCCAAACAGACGCACCAGCCCGCCCACGCUCUUCAGAUGAUCCCCAUCACCUGGCCGUUUGCGGUGUGGGGGCUCGAUUUAGUAGGACCUCUACAAAAGGCGAAAGGAGGGUAUACCCAUUUGCUGGUGGCUAUUGACAAGUUCUCCAAAUGGAUCGAGGCUCGACCCAUCACUAACAUCCGCUCCGAGCAGGCCGUCCUUUUCUUCUCCGACAUAAUCCACCGAUUUGGGAUCCCCAAUGUCAUCAUCACCGACAACGGCACCCAGUUCACUGGCAGAAAGUUCUUGGAUUUCUGCGAUCAGCAUCACAUCCGUGUAAACUGGUCCGCAGUAGCCCACCCACGAACUAACGGCCAGGUCGAGCGUGCCAACGGCAUGAUUUUGCAAGGACUCAUGCCAAGGAUCUACAAUCGAUUGAAGAAAUUCGGCAAGAGAUGGGUCGAGGAGCUUUCCUCGGUCCUAUGGAGCCUAAGGACAACGCCGAGCAGGGCCACCAAAUACACCCCGUUCUUCAUGGUCUACGGCUCUGAGGCCAUCCUCCCCACAGACCUCGAGUAUGGGUCACCUCGACUCAAGGCUUACAAUGAGCAAUCGAACAAAGAAGCUCAAGAAAACGCGGUCGACCAACUCGAGGAGGCUCGAGACAUGGCCCUCCUCAACUCUGCUAGAUAUCAGCAGAGACUCCGACGCUACCACGACAAGCACGUGCGCAAGAGGGACCUCAACGUAGGCGACCUUGUCCUACGACGCCGGCAAAGCAACCAAGGACGCCACAAGCUAACCCCACCUUGGGAAGGCCCGUAUGUGGUGGCCGAGGUCCUUAAGCCAGGAACGUACAAAUUGGCGGACGAAAAGGGGGCAGUCUUCACCAACGCAUGGAACAUCGAACAGCUACGUCGAUUCUACCCCUAGAAGUCCUAGAUUUACGAUCCUACUUUUUGUACGAAGACUUUGUAAAUGAACGCAUGAAUAAAUAAAGUCUUUCCCUCGAGCAGUUUCUUUCUGUACCAAAAAUAGUUACGAAUUAUAGUCUCGACGUUAAAAGGGGAUGCCGACCAUGACCCAUCAUAGUCCGCACCCCCUCAGGGGCUACCAGAGGGACGACCCCUCCCCAAGCGUCGAAAAAGCCAAAAAGUUUCUCUCUUUCCUACUUAGUAAACCUUGAACGAUCGAGUAGUCGAGGCGCCUCGAGCCCCUCGAGGACCGAAGGAUAGCGAGCCUGAGAACAUCUACGCCCCCGGGCAAUGGAAACUCUACUCACUCCCUCACCCUCGAGGCGAUCGAAGCUGUGUUUUACGAAAAAUCGAACAAGGAACACAUGUGUAGGCGCAAAAGAAGUAAAAGAACAUCGAGUGGAAAGACAAACAAACAUUUAACAACCACAAAAAUACUGUAUCGCUUAGAAACAGGAUUAACUAAGUUUUAUACAAGGGGCCCCAGGCACCCCGAGCAGGCUCGCAGGCCUCAGUCCAUGGUACGAUCCUCACCGCCCUCACCUCCGCCCGAGCUAGCCUCAGGAGGGAGCACCUCAGGCUCGAAGAGCUUGGCCAACCUUUCCCCAGGAACCUCCGCGUCGUCGAUCAAGGCAUGGAGCCUCUCCUCGUUCUCCGCGUCGGUCUUGGAGAUGUCGGUGACGAAGCCAUGGGACACCACCUCCAUGUCGUAGGAGAAGCCCGAGCAGACAACCGCCAUCGCCCGCUUCACCCCGAUGUGGAGGGCAUCCCGCACCCGAUCUCGCAGCGUUGCGCCUAUGUAGCACAACUGGUCGAUCAGGGCGUCGCCUCGAGCGUCCUCCCUCGACUCAUCCAUAGGCUCGACCUCCCAAGAGGUCGAGAGAUCGCUUAUCGCCGUCCGCACUCGACGGUUCAAAGCGACCUCAGCCUCGAGUUGAGCCUUGGCGUUGCGAGCCUCGGCUUGGGCGGCCAGGAGCUCGUCCUUAAGCCCUACGAAUGCCAAUACAAAGGAGCUUUAGGAAAAACUCAAGCACACCUCGAAAAGGAAAUUCGACAAAGGGAACAUACCUUUGAUGCUCUCCUCUAGAGCCGUGUUCUCGCCAACCAAUCUGGUAUUGGCACGCUCGAUCUCUCUGUUGGAGCGCGUCAGCUCAGUAUUGGCGACGCGGAGAUCUUCGAUCACCCUGCCAGCCUGAGCGACGGCUCCACUCUUCUCUAGCAGUUCUCCCUUCAGACGCUCGACGUCGUCAGAGAGACUGCGGGAUCGAGCUCGCUCCAUCUCGAGGUCUUCGAGGGCUUUCUUUUUUGCGUCCUCGGCGGCACCCCUGGCGACCUCAUUGUCCACGUACGCCACCUUCAUCUUCUGGAAGGUAUCGCGGAGGGAGUCCAGGUCGGUUUGGAGAAGGCCCUUCUCCUUGUCCAGGUCCGCAAUGAUGCCCUUGUGGGACAGGACCUCCUCCCGGGCUCUGGACGCGGCCUCCUCGACCGUAAGAGCCCGUUCCCGUAGCCGCACCGCCUCCUCCUCCGCCUUCUUCGAGACCUCUCGGGCCUCGGCCAAAGCAGCCUCCCUCACCUUCUUCUCCUCCUCGAGUGCUAUAAGAUCUUUGUAAGCUUUGAGCAGCUUUUCCUGUGACUCGAGGAGUUGAUCCUUGAGGAGGGGAAGCUGCUCCCAUCGGCCCCUCGUGGCAUGUAUGAAGCUAGACUUGAUGCGAGAGGUCUCUUUCAUAUCCUGCGAAUCAGGGGUCAGGGGGAUUAGAACACAGAGACACGAAAGCACCACAAAGAUUGGAGCUCGAGAAACACUUACAAAAUAAGCAGGCCCGAGCCCGUUGUUGAUGACGUCCGAUAGGAGCCCCACCACGUGUUUCAUCCAAAGGCGGAGCUCCUCGACGUGCUCCCACUUCUCGACUUCCUUCUUGUCAUCGAGGAAGAUAUUGGGCUCGGACGGGUCGCUGGAAGCUCGGAUACGAAUCCGAUCGGGGCACCAGUUCUCCAUCUCCCGAUCGGCCCGCACCUUGACGCCGCGGAGGAAGUUCUCGACGGUCUCGAGGGAACCCCCGUGGCGCAAGAACAGGUCGGCGAGGCAAGGGAACCGGCCGUCGUCGUCCACCGUCUUCCACGUACCGUCCUUGCUCCCAGACGAUCCGAUCUCGUCUUCCUCAGAGGGAAAACGGUCCUCCCACGCUCGACGCUCCCGGAGGAACCCUGGGGCGAUCCCGUCCAUGCCGUAGAGUGUCCCCUUGAUCUCGGACUCGGGGUCGGUAGGGGUGCGCAUCAUGCAGGCGAGCGCCACUACUCCGUCCGCUCGCCCCGACUCUGCCCGGAUCGCGGCAGGCGCCCCCGGGAGGAGCCACGCUGGGGUGGGAGGCCCGUACACCGGCAAAUCUCCCUCUUGAUCGCCGGGCUCUUGCGACGCCAGCGGCGCCGGUUCGGCCAAAAUUUGAGGCGGGGGCUCGAGCGGCUCGUUCUCUUGGCCCCCCAGCUGCUGUUGCUGCCCCAGCUGCUGCUGCUGCUCCUCCUGCUGAUGCUGCAGUUGCUCCUCCGGCUGGGGUUGCUGCUGCUGCUGCUCCAGUGACGGCUGCGUCGCCUCGCGCUCCCGCCCCUCCUCCUCCACCAUCUUCCUUUGUGCCUCGAGGACUCGAAGGCCUGCGGGCCAGGGAGUCCGUCCUGCGACGUUGGGAGUCGACGCUUCUUCCUCCAUAGGUCGAGCGCCCCCAGACGCUUCGUUGCCAUCAGACGUAUCGCUGAUGGUGAUGGGUUCCCCCUCGACCCCCAAUCGAGAGGGCUCGGGGGCUCCCUCUGACGCUCGCGUCUGGGGGGCCGCAUCAUGAGUCGGUGGCGGCGGAGUAGGCGCGGGACGAGGCAAAGCCAUCUCGACGCCGGCUGAAGGUUGAGUGCUUGUCGGGCCUACAAAACAAAGGGUGAGGGUCAGACGUUAUGAUAACCGACGUAAGAAUAUCACGACACCCAGGAAUUAACUACGAACCUGGUUCCGUGGAGGCGACACCUGUUCUGAGCCUCUUGGCCAUCGAUGGUUGGGCCUGCUCGAGGGUCCGUUUCAGCCUGAGAAAAAGUCGGCAUGUGAGGAAGGGUGAAAAAAUGAGGGGACAAAGACCGCAACAACAAAAGGGCUUACCCCACGGGCAGAACGGCCCGCCUUCCGCCUACCCGACCAGCGGGCCUCGAACCACCCCGCGUCGGGGCGCUAGGCCCCUCGGGGGCAGAAACUGGCCUAGGUACGUUGGACCCCGCCUGGCGGGCGCCGGGACUCGCGCUCCUACGACCGGCGUCCCCUUUCUCAGAGGCCGCAACGCGACCGCGAGUCAGCGGCCCCGACGCCUGAGACCUAGCCGGACCGCUCUCCCUGGGCGCCAGGGGAGGGCACGGUGCGUCUUGGCCCGCCUUGGACGCGGAAGGCGCGUCGGGCCGGGGACGACGAGAUCCGCUCGGACCCUCCUCCGGCGCCUCCGUCCGGGGGGCGUCGACGUCACCUCGAGGCGGGCCCUCGAGGAUCCGAUCAAGGCACGACGCCAUCCCCUCGGAGUCGUCGCUACUCUCGUCGUCGUCGUCGUCGUCGUUGGGGGAUUCUUCCUCAGGUUCCCCCCUCUGCCUGGACUUGGCUCGACGCGCCUCUAAUGCUUGGCGGUCGAGGUUCUUCUUCUUCUCCCCCUUCUUCGCGGAGUCCUUUGCAGACUUCAGCUUCUCGGCGGAUUGGCGCCGCUUGUCGCGAUCGACCUCGUCCUCCUUUACCGGAGGCCUCGAGGACCGGACAUCAAUUCGACCCUGCCAAAACUAAGGUAGACUUAGAAAAAAGAGAGGGAAUAAGGGAAACCCAGAAUCGAGGAUGCGUGUAAGAAGAAAGCGUACCAGAUCGAUCGAGCCUGCGUCAGGCCUCAUGGGGAAGCCGUUGACAUGCUCCGGCUUAAAAUCACCGGCAAUUGCGGCCCUGACUCGGGCCGCGACUUCAUCGUCUGCCGGAGGCUCGCUGGACAUCCGGCAUGCCUCGAGGUCCCGAGACGAGACGCCAGGGCCCAUCUCGUCCAUCCUCAGCGGUCGUGACAUCAGAGGGAGAACUCUCCGAUGAUGGACGGCCGAGAGGACAAGGGCGGCGGUCAAACCUUCCUAACGAAGCUUCUUCAGGGCGUCGAGGAGAGGGUCGAGCCGAGGCUGAUGAGCUUGGACGACGCCGUAAGUCCAGUCCGCUGGGCGCUCCAAGAUCAGACGGCCCGAGUAGGAAGGAAGGAGGUUGUCGUCGUUCCGCAGGUAGAACCAUUGGGAGUCCCAGCCGGCGUGGUUGGUCGACAACCCUACCGGGAUGUACUCCCGCGGUCGGUCCGUCUUCCCCGUCUUCUGCACCAGAUUGAGGCAACCCGCCCGCACGGGUUUCCUCACGCCCGUGGUUCCGGUGGAGGCGUGAAACAGCUCGCCCCUGUAGAGGUGGAGCCACAGCUCCCAAUGCGGCAUCAUCCCUAGGAAGCCCUCACACACGGCGGCGAAGACCGCCGCCACGGUGAUGGCGUUCGGAGAGAAGUGCUGCAGCUCCACCCCAUAAUGGAAGCAGAGGGCCCGCAUGAAGCGGCUUGGAGGCGCGCCCAGACCGUGGCGGUGAAACUUGGCGAAUGACACCACGUAGCCCUCGGGCGGCUGAGGCGCCCUGUGGCUCGCCGGCGGCGCGAUCCACUCUGGCGACGACAGCGAGGUGCGGCGGCGGAGCAGUCCCUCCUUCUCAAGCUCCAACAGCCGGCGCUCCGUCAUCGACGACGGGCGCCAGUCAUCGGCAGCGACGAGUCUUACAGGCAUCUCGGCUAACGGGACGGUGGGUUCGCUACGGCUCGAGGCGGCGUAGGCGCGUGAGAUGGCAAGAAGGCAAAGGCAGCGAAGGAACAAGAGCAAGAAGGCGGAAGAGAGAGGAACGGUGGUGCCGCGACGACGUAUUUAUAGGCAGCCGUCCGCCAACGGACAGAUCCGAGAAGUAAGGUAACCCCCCCCAUAAAUGCGCCGCUUGACAGUUCUCUCUCUCUUCAUAGGCCGGACUCUCCGAAUUCCUCGCCGAUACGGUGUCGUAACGUCAUCCGCCUAAAAAGACGCGCCCAACGGGCAGAAAGGCGAACCGCCACGGCCGUUCCCUUCCCUCGUAAGCCAAGAGACAUAACCGCAAAAGUCUCGAGAGGUCGAUGGCUGGCCCGCCGAAAGGGUUCGACAGCCGAUCUCGAGCGCCAGAGUCAGGGAUCCCCAGCAAGCGGUCGAAGAUCGAGGCCCGCCUCGAGGUCUUGCUGGCGAUGUUCAAGGUAGGGUCGAGACAGUCGAGAGGAAUCCCCCCGAAGGGAGGCAUCGAGCCGCUGGACUCUAUCGAAUGAGACCGGUAUCCCCUACCACGUCGACCCUGCUUUAUGAGGACGCCUCCGGGCUACAGCUGACCCCCUCGAAAGGGGCACAGGUUCUCACUUGGACUACCCGCUAGGAACUCAAUUCGGGGUGGAAGACGCUCGCUCUAUCGAGAGUACGUCAAAACCCCCGGGCAAAAAACGAGCUAGUCAGAACCUUCCACCACUGGUGUCGAAAGCGUUUCUGCAAAUAAGAUAACAUAACCCUCGAAGGAGUUAAAUACUCCUCCGAGGUCUCGGGGGCUACCCCGCGGGGUCGCUCGCGCGCCCCCACGAAAAUUCGACCGUAAAUCAAAAAACCUCCAUUCGAGCGCUAGCGCUCAAAUGGAGGCUCGGGGGCUACUGUCGAGGGUAUCGGUAAGGGGUACCCUCAGCGGUGCGCAAUAUGAGAUUGCCCGUACGAAGGUUGGGACCCUCAAUUCGACGCUUUAAUCUUACGUACGCGCCGCGAUCGACGGUCGCAGCCUCGAAGACGGAAAUAGCGUCGAGCGAAUCAGUCAGGGCUCGAGUGGCGACUACCGUCGAAGACGGAAGCGGGCUCGAGCGAACCGAGAGACGUCGAGCGUCAGGACACUGUCCGCCGCCUGACGCGCGCACGCGGGCGGGAGCAUUAAAUGCAUAUGACGUUUCCCACCUAACACACGGGUCACGGAAGGCGUGAUAGGGAACAAGCUUCUGUCCCAUCGUUCUUUUUGCAGCUUUCCCACCGAACGACCCAGGGUGUGUCAGGACGCAGGAAAAGAGAAUGGAACGUCUAAUCGGGACCCCCUCGAGACACCCAAGGUCAGCGCUCCGGAUAUCGGCGUAUUACGCAGCGCCCGACCCUCGACCGAACAAGGUCCCUUCCCAGAGACAAGUCGGGCGUCGACUGACAACACCAUAGCUGCUCUGCCGGAUCCGCCACCAUACCGUAUAAGCAUGCGACCUCAGAACCAGCACAAGGCGGCUGGCAGGGCAGAACACAGGAGCACGCGCAAUCAUCACCAAGCUAUCAAGAUGGGACGGCUCGAGGCCAUGCCGUACGGAAGCCUCGAGUAGGUCAGCGCUCCAUGCGGCUAUCGAUCCCUACUCUAACAUCUAUGCAUGUACCCUGUGUUUCUCCUUGGAGCUAUAAAAGGAGGGACUCAGGAAUAGAAGAGCGACAGAUCACAACACAAGAACACACACACGUAGUAGAGCUACACACUUCAUUCCACGCUUGUAUUCGCCCCUGUACAAGCACUUAGGUGCAAGAUAAUACAAACUCUCUCCCCCCGCUGGACGUAGGGCCUUCUCUUGCCCGAACCAGGAUAAAUCUCUGUGUCUUCUUGCAUCACCAUCCGGAAAGGGGAGCACGCAUACAAAUUUACUCGUUGGUGUGAUCCCCCGGGGGAAAAACACCGACAGAAAGUUAUCGUCUGAUCUGCAAACUGCAAACACAUGGUUGUCUCUAAUAAAGGAUAUGUAAAGAAUUUCUCAUAGAGUACCCUGGGUAUAAUGUUGACACUUGAGCCAAAGUCGCAGAGUGCUUCUGGGACAUCCACCAUGCCGAUAGAGAUCGGGAUGACGGGGCGUCCUGGAUCGCCUCUCUUGACCGGCAGAAGGUCAGUAGAAAAUUCAUUGAUGGGGUUACUCCAAUUACCUGCAUCAAACAUGUCUACAAGAUUUGCAGAUUCUAAUCCUUCCGGUUGUGAUGGUAUACCGGGGUUAGUAGUAGGAACAGCAGCAGCUAUUUGAUUUAACUGAGAUUCAAUCAUUUUAUUAAAGCUAAUUUGAUUCUUGAUGGCAGUAGAGAAAUUAUCCAUUCUAUUAUUUAUAUUUUCUAGCAUUUUAUCAUUAGAUGCCAAUUUCUUAGAUAGGUUAUCCAUUAGCUUUCCUUGAUUAGAUACUAACUCUCUCAAAGGUGGAAAAUUAUUAUUAUUGUUGUAAGAAUUGUUACCUUGAUAAUUACCUGAGUAGUUAGGCCUCUGUUGAUUCCAACCUUGAUUUUGUUGAGGACGGUUGUAGUAGUAGUUGUUGUUGUUGAUGAUGUAGUUCACAUCCUCAAGUAUCUUAGGGCAGUGGUUGCCUGAGUGUCCAGUGUCUCCACACUCCUCACAAGUCAUGUGAGAGUCGUAGAUGUGCAUAACUUCUUUCUUGUCUCCAGCUCUAUCAUCGAGCUUCUUCAUGAGCAGAUCUAGCUUUGCAGACAGCUUGUCUACCUCCUUCAGCUGAUGCAUACCUCCACCUCUCUUGCGUGUCUGGGUCCUCUCUUCAUUCCAGCUUUGAUUGGACGCCAUCUUCUCCACAAGAGCUGUGGCUUGUGGUAUAGUAAGUGAUAAAAAUGCUCCUCCAGCUGCAGCAUCCAUGGUCUCUCGGGCACUGUUGCUGAGCCCAUGAUAGAAUGUCUGCAUCAAUAGCCAACUCUCCAUUCCAUGAUGGGGACAUUCUAGGAUGUAGUCUUGAAAGCGCUCCCAUGCUUCUGGAAUAGAUUCAUCAUUUUGUUGCUGAAAACUCGUAAUCUUCCCACGGAGAGCAUUGGUCUUGCCCAUGGGAAAGAACUUAGCCAGGAAGUUUGUUGAGCAGAGUGCCCACGUAGUAUUCUUCUCCUUUGUAGCGUAGAACCACUGCUUCGCUCUUCCUAACAGUGAGAAUGGGAAGAGGCGAAGUAGUAUAGCGUCUUUGGAAACUCCUGCUAUGGUGAAUGUGUUGCAAAUCUCCAGGAAGUGUUGUAAAUGAGCACUAGCGUCUUCGUGUGCCUUCCCACAGAACUGGUUGGAUUGCACCAUGUUGAUAAGUCCAGGCUUGAGCUCAAAGUUGCCGUCGAUCUCUGCAGCAGGUCCAGUGCGGAUGUUAUCCAUAGUGGGAGCUGAGAACUCGCGGAUCGAUUUGUUCGCCAUGGCUUCGAACUCUGAAGACAAGUUCCGGUGAUCUUCUUGAUUGGAUGAAGCUUCUUGCUGAAGUGUUGAUGAUUUCUUUAGCUUGGCUCUCGUCUUCUUGAAUAAUGCUUCAGGAUCGUCAACAAAAUUUCCUGGAAGAUGUCUUCUAUUCAUAUAUUCCCCUGCAUAAGAUAAAAAUAGAAAAUAUCGGGGUAAAACUGUAUGAGAGAAUAGAUAAGCUCAAUCAUAUUAGUGAUGUGAAUGAUAACUCAAAAUCCUUUAUUCCAUUCCUAAUUGGUAAUCAACCUUCCCCGGCAACGGCGCCAAAAAAAUGCUUGUUGGGUAUUCUUAACAUCAUUACUAAAAGUAGACAAAGUUCUCUAAAUCUAGUAACGGUGCCAAAAAUGCCAAACCUAUCCCUCACACCACUUAAGCCAAGUUGUCAUCCCCAGCAUGAUAUAAGAUACGCGGUAUUGAAAUAUGCAAUUGCUCUUCUAAAUAAAUAAUGAAUGGGAUCUGCAAGCGCACAGAUUAAUACCGAUGUAGCAUUUUAACCGGGAAGUAUUCCAGGUAUCGUUAUUUAUAUUUUUACCACUGGGAAGGGAUUAGCAAUCAUCACUAUUGAUUACAGAAUAGAAUAUGAGAUUGAGCAUCUAUCAUUGCAUGUAUAAUUGAGAACAUUAUAUCUAACUCUUCAUACAGGGAUAAGUGUCACAUAAAAGAUAUAUGAAAUAAUAAUAGUGACAAGGAUAACUAAUCUGAUCUAGCCACAUAAUAAAUAUGAUAAGCACCUCAAUUAGAUACUCUAGAAAGUCAUUAGCAUGGUAUUAGAACGAACUACAAGAAUAUUCCCUAAGUUAUUCUUAACUAUAUAGUCUAGCAUUAUCAUAGUUAGUGCAAGCAUACUUAGCAAUCAUUGCGAGACAAGACUAUGCCCAUGCAUAGUGAUAUUAGCAAGGAAUAUGAGAAACAUAGCAAUCACUCCCCUGUAAUAAUGUUGCUCUGCCAGCCCAAUACACGAGAGGGGGACUAUAUAAGAAUCAAUGAAGCUGCCACUAUCACGAACCACCCCACGAUCUGGCAUAUUGGGUACAAUCGCAGAUAAAUACGGUAUAAGCACCACGCCUACACAAUAUCUAUCAUUUACCCAUGGAUCCGAUGGAUAAACGCUAUACGAUCCUAAGCAUGUAUAUAGAUCGUAUCUAACUAAGCCAAGUACAUAACUAUGAUAAACUAAGAACAAUAUAAUCUUGAAUAUAAACAAGUAGAGCAAAGUCAUAAGCAAUAUAUUGAAGUAGAACAAAGUCAUAUUCAUAAUAUUGAAGAACAAAGAUAAUUAGAAAGCAAUUAGAAGCACAAUUAGAGAAUUACCAAGAAUCCUCCUGACAGAUCCGGAAACCAAUCGAAGAUUGACUCCUUCUAGUUCUAAUCCUAUGUAGCUAUGCUAAUCUAGAUAUCUAAAUGAUGUGGUGGCUCUAAUCUUGAUCAGAGGCUUCUUCUCCCUUGAUGGAACAAUGAAUUAGGGUUGAGAGGCUCUCUCCUCCAGGGGCCAGGGGGUCUGGUUUUAUAGUCCCUCCAAGUGAAUAUGGGCCCUUGGAUCAAACCGACAUAGAUUGUAUGGUUUAUAUUCAUCCUUUAGGUCGGUGGAGAUCUCCCGCAAAGCAGAGUCCUGAUUGGACUCAGGGGCAGGGCGGGCGCCCUGACCAACUGGGCGGCCGCCCAGGGUCAGGCCCCGUUUCGCCUCCGCUUCGGUCUCGUGGCUUCUGGAGUCUUCUAGAUGUAAGAUAAUUGCGCAGCACGUUAAUAUCUUUACGUAAUCCUGACAUGUGGGCCUUUCUUCCAUAUUUCCUGAUAACCCCCUGAAGAAAUAGACAAACACCAAAACUCGUGGAAUUCUGUCAGAUAAAACCCUAAGUCUAGAUGUUGAUUUCAUUUGGAUCCUUUUCUUUAUUUAUUUGAUAAUUAAAUUUGAUACUUAAGGACCGUCAACAGAGAGGCCUUGAUUAGAUAGUCCUUUCCAGUGAAUUUGGGCCGUCUGAUCAAACCGACAAUGAUCGCACGGUUUUCCUUGAUCCUUUAGGUCGGUGGAGCAUAAUCUGCGAAGUUGAAUCUGAUUGGCCCCGAGGCCAGGGCGGGCGCCCAAGGGGGGAGGGCGGGCGCCCGGCCCCCGAGCCCGUCCAGUCUCCCGUUCGUUCCUGUGGCUUCUGGACUCUUCUAGAUUAAGGAAAAUUGCGCGGCACGUAAUUAUCUCAUUGUAAACAUGACAUUUGGGCCUUCUCUCCAUAUUUUCUGAUAACCCCCUGCAGAAAUAGAUAAACACCAAAGCUCAUGGAAUUCUGUCAGAUAAAACCCUAAUUCUAGAUGUUUGGUGCAUAUUGAUCCUUUUUCAUGUUUAGUUGAGAGUUAAAUUUAGUACUUAAGGACCGUCAACAAACUCCUCCAAGCUUACCCUUUGCUCGUCCCUGAGCAAACAGCUAAACUCAGACGGAUCAGGAGUUGCUUCGAUGUUUUCUUUCCUGACAGGCACACAUGCUUUCACAUAAAAAUUCUUCCAAAUUAGAGUGAAGUGUCACGGAGCUUAGUACCUGCACUUAAGUCUUAAGUAAUGGAAAGACAAAAUAAUUAAAUCAAGCACUAUUCCUCCUGUCUAUACUUCACCUUUGUUCCGGAGUUUUGUAUAACUUUUCAAAAAUAAAACUCAGAGUUCCCAGCAAUGAUUCUCUCAAGUCUCUCUAUAUGUGGUAUUUGUGGAUCCUUACCAAAAAUUUCACUUACCUAUAGCAAUGGAAUAUUUAAGUGGAGCUCAUAGGAGUGAAUAACAACUCAUACAUAUGUUGUCUAAUCGAGCCAUGGAUCCAAAGGAACUCAGCAUAUAAUUAAAUCAAGAUGUGCAUGUGUGGUGGAGUAAAUGAUAGUGAUGGUAAAAAUGUAUAAGUGAUGAUGAAGCUUACUUCUCAUUGCUCCUUAUAUUGCUAUCUCUCCUCUUCUUUGAUCUUUGCUUUGGGAGAACAUGGGCUCUCUUUUUCUUCCUUUUUUUUCAGGUGGGUAGUAGAUACCCCUAAUUCUAUUGUCGGACACUUGUCCAUUUUUUCCGCUCAAGUGGGCAUCUUUGUACCCCUAAUUCUACUCCGGACACUUGUCAAUUUUUACCUCUCGUCUCACUCUUUUUCUUUCUUUUUCGAGGUUCCGGGCACUUGCCCUUUUUAUUUCCUCGCAUAUUUUUGCAUAACCCAUGCCUCUUCUGCAUUGAAUCUUUUUAGAGAGAGAGAAUAACAACAUUUGGGACAGUGAGGGACAAUAUUUUAGCAAUUUUAAUGAAUGGUGGUGAAUGGUGUAGUGGAUGUGUGCAAGUGAAUAUCUUAAUUUAACCACAUGAAAAGCUCCUAAGGGUCUACACAGCUCGAUCAAACUCAAUGUGAAUAUAAAAGAUGUUAUAGCAAGUAUGGUUGUGGUAGGAAGUUUUGUCAUGCUAGGAACUCAUCAUGUGAUUUCUAAGUUUUUUAAAAUAAAUCUCCAGAACUUAGUGUAGUAGGAACAAGAUAAACAGUAGCUCAAACUUUAUAUCAUGCCUUUCGCUUACUUAGACUUUAGUUUUAGGUUCAUGCUUCCCGUAGAUAGUAAAUUUGAGUUUUUAGUAAUUCCUAGAAGAACUCUAAUAAUAAAAAGCUAGGUACUUGAAAGUAAGCAAACAGUGCAACUGUUCAUCAUUUCCAUCAUGUAUCUUUUUGGUCUUUUAUUUUUUUCUAGAGAUUAACAGUUAGCAGGGAAAAUAAAGCACACUUAUCUACACACUCUUUUUAUUUUGUUUUCAUGUUUAUAAAAUGCAGUAAAUUAAAGCAAGAAAAUAUUUAUUGGGUUUUCUAUGUUUUUUCUUUUUAAGAUAAAAUACUAAAAUAGAAAAGAAUAAAUAAGAAAAGCAAAUAAAAACUUACUUGAUAAAACGGGGAGGAACUCCCCCAAGCUGGAUGUGGUUGUCGGUCUUACCCAAUGUUCCACAAUCGCAUCAUGGUGGUGAUGUUGUCGUUCAUUGUCGUGGUGUCUUGUCUCAGUUCUUGUACUGCAGUGGCGUGGUCCUGGUUCCAUUUUUGUUGUUGUUCCAGGAGUCGUCCAUGUUCUGCUUGCGUAUUCUAAAUGUCAAGGAGGGUGUUGUCGGUACGGGUGAAGAAAGCGCUGGCCUCUUAGUAGUAGUCGUUCGUGAAAGCAUAAGAGGCAUCGGAGUAUCGUCCUGCAUCGAAUUGGGGUGGAGGUCUGGACCCUGAAGCUCCAUAUGGAUCAGUGGAGUACCUGCCCGUACUGAAAGGCGGGUUUGUCCAGUGGUGAUGUUGGCUCUCCGGCCAUGUCUCCUGUGUUGGCUCUUGUGGUUGAGCAUGUCGAACCCAUGGGACCCGAAGGACUCGGGGGUUGUAGUCACAAUAAUGCAGGUGCGCUGCUUCUUCCGGUUCGUGAUCAGCUCCAUACCAGGUACGUUCUUGAUGGGUGGUCAUCCUUUCAGAUGCCACUCGUUGUGGAGCUCUCUGGUUUACCGGUGUCACUGCAAUCUCAAUCAAAAAAUUUUGAACAACAUAGAGGCCAUGGUUCGGGUUAGGUAACCGAAUCUUGCCUUUAUUAUCGUAUAACAUAUACAUUGUGUUCCCUUCUUUUUUCAACAUCCGAGCUUGCCUAAAUAUGUCAUAGCCAUGAUAAAUUCGUAACUCAUCUAUGAAUUCCAAUGACGAGUUUUCUAGCAAAUGAAGAUUAGAGGCUAGACGAGUGAUAAGUGAAGUACAUCCUAUAGGUCCCUGAAGACUAGGUAUACUAAGCCAAUGAGAAACCAAAAGUGUAACAGGUGAAGUAGGUACUUUAUUUAUAGCAGCAUAUAGAAGUUGUAAAUCUCCUACUCUUACUUUUCUAUUGUCAUCACGAUGGAAAAGAUUGUACCCAAGCCAUUUGUGGAACAUCCUAAGAGUGGGGUGUUCCAUGUCACUGGUUCGGGCCUGACUAUAAAACUCAUCUCUAGAUAUCUCUCUCCAGAACUAGUGUCUCUCAAAAUUGGGUAAGUCGGAGUCAAUGUCUAAGAUGCAUCUUGAAGAGAAACCAAGAUGGUUGCUCAGUUCUCUCCAAGACAACAUGGUGUCCUGUUUGAACAUCCGAAAAGCAAUUCCCCCUCAUAAUAUUGUAAAGUGCAAAGAAAUUCAAGGGUGAGAAGAUGGGAACCCAGCUCAGUUAUGUUCCAAAAAUUUGUCCAUCCCACCAUCUAGAAAAUCAAAUCGAAUUCAGUAUCCAUACCUAUUUCUUGUAGCAAGAUAGGAUCAAGAGUGGGGGUGUGAAUGAAAUCCUUAUUCUUUAGCUGCUGGUAAACUUCCUUCUCCCUGUGGGUUUUCAGUCCAAGGUCUCCUAUCUUGAGGAGGACCUUGACUUGCUGAUCAGAUGAAGAUGACAGAGCUUGCAAGGGUGUCGGGUCGACGCUCAUCUCUGACGGGUGCGAGGAGUGUCGGGAUGAACUCCUUGUACCUAUGUUCUUGAGGGCCUUCCCUGCGUUCUUUACCUUUUUGAAAAUCCUGCAAACAAAAGUUGACACAAACACAACUAGUGGAAAAUGUGAGAGAAAAUGUUAGUGGUCAGCUGUCUGAAAUGUCAGUAGUCCAGGGGUUAGUUGUUCAAGACAAGUUUUUUAUUUUGGCAACACCUCCCCCUAAACAACUUUUACUUCCGCUUUGGACAGCGGGAUCACUACUUUCUAGGUGAACCUCACUCUCUCACUCAGAGACUACCAACGUCUCUUCCACUCUUUUCUUCCUCUCUACUCUCUUCUUACUUCACUACAAGAGCUCCUUCUCUGGAAACUGAAACUUGCAUGGUUUUCUGGAAUGCUUGUAUGAAGAAGUUGGAGGCAAGAAGUGGCAAUUUAUAGGAGGAAAGGGGGACAGGGCGGGCGCCCACCUUUGGCGGCCAUCCUGGCUGCCCUUUCUCCACUCCCUCCUUUGCUUGCCUCUUACGCAGAAUAAUAGUUCAUGGGUGGUGGUUGGUCGGUGGAAAAGUGCUGGUCAGUGGAGUUAUGUUGGUGGAUUAAAUAAUGUGAUGGGAUGUGUGUGAGGUGUAGUGUAUGACAUGUGGGACCCAAGGAGUGUGGGUCAUGCUUCUAGAAGGUUGCUAUAAAUAAAUAUAAUGCAGGAAAAAUCUAUGAGAAUUGAAACUUAUUGAAAUGAUAAUGGAAAAUAUUUUUGUGCCUCCACAAUUAAUAAAUAUGGGUUGUUACACACCAUAAAUAUUAUUUAUAUGGGGCUUUUCAUUAUUAUAAUAAUGCUAUGAAUAAACAUGGAUAAUGCAGGAAUUACUUAUGCAAGAAUUAAUGACGUUGGAUAAAUACCGAUUUACCUCCCGGCGAGGGUUUGGGAUUUUUGGGUCCCCCAAGCUGGACCUCCAAAUCUUUUUAAUCUUCUGAAUUACCUUCCUCUGGAGAUGGUGUCUCCAGUGGUUCUUCUUCAUGAACUUCCUUCACUGUAGAGUCGCUCUCUGGUCUGGGCUUGAAUGUGAAGUGUUCUUCUUUUCCGUUUAUGUUGAACUUGAUUUCUCCCUUCCGGACAUCAAUGUGGGGAUUGGCAGUGCUCAGAAAUGGCCUUCCAAGGAUGAUGGAUACUUUUGAGUCAGGACUCAUGUCCAGUACCAUGAAGUCUACUGGCACAAGGAAAUCUCUGAUCUUGACUGGAAUGUUUUCGGCGAUGCCCAAUGGGUGUCGAACUGAUUGAUCUGCUAGUUGCAGGCACAUUGAUGUUGGUUCUAGGGUCGUAUGCUCAAGCUUCUCGUAGACUGAUGUUGGCAUCACACUGACACUUGCUCCGAGAUCACAAAGUGCAUUGUUGAAGUGUUGGUUUCCGAUCGAGCAAUCAAUAGUGGGGCAUCUUGGAUCCUUCUUCCUUGGUGGUUUAUUGAGGAUGGCCACACUACAUUCUUCUGUCACCUUGAUAACCUCAGUGGUGGGCAAUGGUCUCUUCUUGUUAAGAAUAUCUCUGAUGUACUUUGCAUAUGUGGGUACCUGUAUGGCAUCAAGCAGAGGUAUGUUGACAUAUAAUUUCUGAAUGACCUCUACAAACUUACCAAACUGCUCAUCCGACUGCAGUCCUCUGUUUCUUCUGGGAAAUGGCAAAUAGUUAGUGUCGUAAAAAUCUUUCCUCAUUUCUCUAGUUCUUGGUGGUUGUAGCAGAUCUUCUGCUUCAACUGGGCUUUCUUCUUCUAUCACUGUUGGUUGCACUGGUGUUGUUGUUCUUUGUUUCUCUUCUGGGUAUGGGGGAUCCCUGGUGGUUUUGCCUCCUCUAGUAGUUAUGUUCUUGUUGGUGCAAAAGCUGAUCUGCAAACACAAAAGGCUAAUACCCGAUCUAAACGUUAAGGCGUGCCAGCCGAUUUGACCUUACAAUCGACAAAGGUGGUAACUCGAACACUUUGGUCCCAACAACAGCAAUGCGCCCGGAUGUCACGGCCAAGAGGUGCUCACGCGGAACUUGAGAACAUGCCGAGUUUGACUCGAUGAAUUCCUAAGAACUCGUGGUAAAAAGAAAAUAUGACGAAGUCACCGAAAAAGUAGAUACUGAAUAUGUGUAAAAACUUGUGUUUGAUUGAUUGAUAGAUAUCUCAUUACAGUGCCACGGGGUAUAUAUUUAUACCCUGCCUAAAAGAACUACAAUUAGAGACGACUAGAACUCGAAUUCCAAAUUAAACAGAAUCCGUAUACAAAACGAAUCCUAAUAACUAAGAAAAAAAUUAAACUAUCCUCCGUAACCGAUCGGUACACUGCCACGAGUCAAUCGGCAACCUCCGCGCUUUUCUUCAGAGUCAUCGGCAGACUGCCUGUUACAGCUAUCGGCAAACAUCGGCACUGGUCAUCGGCACGAACACAUCACCACCUCUAGACUUGGUCAUACUGGGUCGUUUCCCCAUCGGCACCAACCUUCAUCGGCAACUCCCCUGUAGACUAGUCACCAUUGCCCCAUCUACCGAUCUACACUUUAUUAACUCCAGGUGCGUAUCCAAAGAUACGUGUCCAAAAACGGUGUCAACACAUGCCCCCCAAUUUCGGAGUAUAAAAUCAUUAAUGCUCCAAAAUUCUCCUUAGUAAUGAUACAUUUCCGCAAUUACUUCCCUUGAUUGAUAAUUAAUUACCAAAUCUAAACAACCUCAUCCUGACUCUCCUGCAGAUUCCUCGAAUUCCUUAACUUUCCGAACCGAAUCUCCCCAGAAUGUACUCAUCGGCAACAUUACCGUUAGAGAGGACUGCCGAUGGACCGACCAAGCGAUCUUGCACAGUAAGAUAUCUUCACCGCUCGCUGUCAAAUCACCUGCACAAUCCCUUGAUUAUCGUGCGAAUAGUUACCAUAUCCACCUGAACACCCUCGGAUUUCACGGAUGCGGCAAAGAGAUAAGUCAGAUUUGCCCUUGCCCUUUUUGUCCUAUAAAUACCUCCUUCUCUGGUACUCCUCCUCCAUCUUGUCAUUCUACAGCCUCAAAUCCACCUUCCUGGCGGCGGCAUUGCCUGAGAACUCCAUGAACUCCAGCAAGGACCUCCUCCAACAAUCUUCAAAGUCUUCGAUCUCUCCCUCUCCUCGGGAAGAAAUGGCCAUCAACUUCAUCGUCCCUGAGGUCAACCUACCAUCCCCCUUCUUUUUGUACUUUUGCUGUACUCCUGUUCAUCUGCGAAUCUUUUUACUGAGUAAUUUUUUUUUGUUUUUUUUCUUUUCUGUUCCUUCAUCCUUAAAACCCUUUAGGAGUUAGCCAAUAAGAUCGUAAUUCCUACCGAUCAACCUCACUUCCAGUGCCUUGGUCCAUUGGGAAACCCAUAUCCCACCGAUCUGAUAAACGCAGAGACAAAUAGGAUCUUCAGAGCCGAAAAUUUCUCCUUAGAUAUGUGGAAAGAUGCUUUCCGUUCCUGGCCUAGCCCCACCAAGGGAUGGAAAGACUGGUUCCUGAGAAUCGGCAAUUCAAAUGAAGUCCACUGGGGAGAACGGAAAUUGGACCAGUGCAUUAGGCUAUCCAUUACCGAUAUGGAGAGGAACGAGUCGCUGCUGAUAGCUGCCUCAUACGUUUGGUCGGACACUCUUAAUGCUUUCGUGUUCGGCCAUGGUCCUGCUUCUCCUACUCUUGCCGAUGUACUCAUGCUCACCGGCUUAGAUAUAUCAACUGCCGAUAACAACCACCUAUUUGAUAAUAAGCCUAGUUCCAAGGUAGAAAGUCGUAGCAUCGGUGGUUGGUCUGGGUACAUUCAGAAGUACCGAAAAACAGGAUCGGUUGGGGAAAGGGAACAUGUCAUCUUUCUGAAUAUGUGGCUCGAUAAGUUUGUAUUUUGCGGUCGAUCGACAGGACCAACCUCUGUUUACCAAUCGGCAGCAGAAAGAUUGGCCAAUGGUGGCCGAUUUCCUCUUGGUCGAUAUUUGCUUGGCUCUGUCUAUCACCUCCUCCACCAAGUAGCUGAGAAACUCCUGCUAGGCCAACCCAUCGGCAACUUGGGAGGUCCCUGGUGGUUUAUCAACAUGUGGCUCAGCGUUCACAUGCAUAAGCGCCUUGAAUUCAACCUCUUCUCACAGCGCUUCCCCGGAGACAUAGCCGAAAAUUAUGAAGUGGAUGAGGAAGAAUCGGCAACUCGCCCCCCUUUGAACUAUGGUGAAGCUGCCAUUGUUUUACCUGGUACUAGUGGGAAUGAAGACCAUGUCAGCCGAUUCUUCCAGACUCUCUAUGAGGGUCUGACCAAAGACCAGUGGGCAUGGAUGCCCUAUGAAGAUACAGAGACCAGAUUCCCACUCACUUUCCACCUCUUCGACAACGCCCUCAACAAGGACCAUGAUCUGAUGAUGGUAAUUACCAGUCCGAGAGCUAUACCAGUAAACUUCUUCGGUAGUGGAAAGACCUCCAAUCUCACAUACAAGUUCUACAACCCAUCGGCAUUGGCCCGUCAGCUGGCCUUUGGAGAGCUACCGAUUGCACUUUGCUACGCCAAUGUGGUGAAGCCGAGGGAGAUCAUCACCAGCGGUCUUGAGUGGAUCAGAAUAGCUCAACUCCCACCAAAUGUCGAUACAUCAGACAUUGAUUUAACGGCAUGGAUCCCAGCUCUCUUCAUCACCCAGGCAUACAAACAGUGGUGGGCGGAGUGGAAAGAGCACCUGUUCUGCAGAUCGGCCCUUACAUACCGCGGUAUGAUCGACCCCAAGUACAAAGUCCCCGAGAACACUGUAAGUCUUUGACCGAUGCCUCCAUUCUAUUACUUUUAUUCUCGUCGGCAACUUAAUUCCUCUGUUUUACACAGGUCGACGAUACACCACCGACAGUCAGCAGGAGAGGAAGGCCGAUCGAACUCCUUCCAUCGGGCCCGAUCUCUCUGAUCGGCAACAAUGCACCAAGCUUGGCGACCCUAAUGCACCGGAACGUGCGCUUCAAGAAGAUCACCACUAAACGAGCCAAGACGUCUCCAUCGGUCACUGCUGCCGCUUUGGCACAAGCUUUCAAGGUAAAUUCUUGACUUCUUCAAUUUAUACCGAUUCCAUUCUAUACUCACAUAGCUUUUUCAGGAUACAUCGGCAGCCAUGGGAACUUCAUCGGUAACUUUCACUGUUUCAACCAAAAUUUCAUUAAUACUCUAUUACAUUUAUACUUAUGAAACCUUCGUUGUUGUAUCAGCAAAUUGGCAGAUCGGCAAAGACUAGAAGUACCAAGGUGAGUGCCGAUGCCCCCCAGUCUAGCAAGGUCAAGAGAAAAGGCCCUAAAAGCACCAAGUCACAAGCAAAACGCCAGAAGACAAUAGCGCCUCCUCCUCCUCCUCCAGGGUCGCCGAUUUAUGUGGAAUCGUCCCCUUCUUCACCAGACAUUCAGACACAUCAAGCACCGUCUCCACCUCAGCCGCAAGAAGUACCUCAGCAAGAAGAGACAUCAGCCGAUGUACGUGAGCAGACUGCCGAUCCAGUGGGUUCAAUCAUAGCAUCGGUAGUCUCCUCAAUUCAAAUAAGCAUUGCAUCCCCUCAAGGUAAAGUACUGUCUAUGAAAUCAUUGCCGAUGGAUUUAUCUUUCCAACUUAUAAUUAUUCCUGUUAAUUUUUCAGCUAACAUUGUCCAAUCGGCAGCUCCAGCCGAUCAACCUGUGGUACCAUCGGCCUCAACUAGCCAGAGGCGAGAGAUAGCUCUGAAACAAGUAAAUCGUUUGAUCUCUAUCUUUCAUAUUACUAAUACUUGAUCAUCAAAUAACUUAUCUUAUUUCUUCUCUAGGAACAAGACUCUCUGGACAACUUGUUUUCCUUUGCCAUCGAGAUUUCUGAUGACGAAGGCGAGGAAGCAAGCUCUUCCCAAGUAGUGGGGAUUUCAUCGGCAGAAAUCAGAGCAAAGCUGGAAGAUCUGUUGGCCCUGCUUCAUCAGGACACUGCUCAAUUAGUUGAUGAUUCUGACCCAGCCAAAGUUUUGUUCAAAGCUCUCAGAGGUCAAAUUCCUGCCGAUGCCGAAGAAAUCCUCUUCCAGGCUGCACACUUGGAGAGCCGCCAGCUUCAGUACCAAAAGGCCACCCAACGCCUUGCCGAUAGAGCCACCCAUGCCCAACUCUCAGAGGAAGUAAUGCAAAUGACACGCCUUGCCGAUGAGAAGCACAAGAGCAUCGGCAUCCUACAGUCCUCAGGGGAGACACUAAGGCAGAAGAUUUCCGAUCUGUCGGCAAAAAGGGAAGCCCUACUGGCAGAGCUCAAACAAGUAGAAGAGGCCCUCUCUCAAGCUCAGGAAGAGGAAAGUCAGCUGCCCGAAAUGAUCAAGACUCUCCAGCAAGAACGAAACAUCCAAGCCCGCAAAGCACUGCAGAUGAAGAAGAAGUUGAAGCCAGUGGAGGGCUCUGCCGAUGAAGACAUCAGGGAGAUAGAAGAAGCCGAUCAAAUCCGCCUGCGUGCCAUAUCGGCUAUCCAAGCCUUGCUUAAUAUAUAAGCUCUUCAUCGGCGGCAUGUCUUGUUCUGCCUUUAGAGAUUGCUGACUAUUUUGGUCUAGCCGAUCGGACUGUUAUCGGCAUCUUUUUUUUAAAACAUCAUACUCAGUCCUAGAUACACUUUAAUCUAGCCGAUAGGAGUGUUAUCGGCACUUAAACUUUCAUGCGUUGACCCAUAUGCUUGGGUAGUAUUUCUUUAAGUAUUUUUCAUUCAAUGCUCUGGGAAAUUCAACUCCUUCGAGAGUUUCCAAAAUAUAAGCAUUACCAGGAGCAGACCAAUUUAUUCGAUAAAGACCUUCCCAAUUAGGAGACCAUUUACCAAACUUUGAACUUUUAGUUCCAAUCGGUAAUAUUAGUUUCCACACCAAAUUCCCAUCGGCAAACUCCUUAGCUUUUACCUUUUUAUCAUACCAUCUAGCAACUCUCUUUUUAUUUUCUUCUAUACUUAUCAAAGCCCUCAGCCGAUGCACUGCUAAAUCGUCUAACUCAUCUUUCAUCAAAGUAGCAUAGUCAUCGGCAGCCAACUGGUCUUGAAAAGAUAGUCGCCUAGAUCCAGUCUUAAUUUCCCAUGGUAGCACUGCAUCGUGUCCAUACACUAAUUGAUAAGGUGAAACUUUAAUUGACCCAUGACAGCCAUCCGAUACGACCAUAAAGCCUCACUUAACAAUGUAUGCCACCUUCUAGGAUUUUCUUCAAUCUUUCGUUUGAUGAGUUUAAUAAUUCCUUUGUUAGACGCCUCGGCCUGCCCAUUGGCUUGAGCAUAAUAAGGGGAAGAGUUGAACACUUUAAUCCCCAUACUGAUUGCAAAUUCAUCAAACUCUCCCGACGUAAACAUGGUACCCUGAUCGGUAGUAAUUGUUUGAGGAAUACCAAAUCGGUAAAUAAUAUGCUCUUUCACAAAAUCAAUCAUAUUGGCCGAUGUUACUUUCUUCAAAGCAAUAGCUUCAACCCACUUAGUGAAAUAAUCAGUGGCAACUAAGAUGAACUUAUGCCCUUUACUUGAUGGUGGGUAAAUCUGGCCGAUCAAAUCAAUAGCCCAUCCCCGGAACGCCCAAGGUUUAAUAAUAGGAUUCAUAGCCGAUUGUGGGUGCCCUUUGAAUAUUGCCAAAUUUUUGACAUCCUUGGCAUCCUUUGAAAUAUUUAAAGCAAUCUUCGAGUAUAGUUGGCCAAUAAUACCCGUUUCUCCUAAUCAUCCAUUUCAUCUUAAAAGCCGACUGAUGUGCUCCACAUACUCCCUCAUGGAUUUCUCCCAUCAAACUUUUAGCCUCAUCAUCACCUAAGCAUUUGAGAAGAACUCCAUCUAUUGUUCGAUAAUAAAGGUCAUCCCCAAGGAGUGCGUACUUAGUAGCUUGAAACCUGACACACCUCUCAACCUUUUUACAUAGAUCCUUUAAAUAAUCAAUGAUCUCCUUUCUCCAAUCAUCGGCACCGAUUGCCGAUAACGUGUUAAAUAUGGGUUGAUAUCCCGAGGCAUGCUGAGCCAACCGAUUAGCCUCCUCAUUAUGUAAUCGAGGAACAUGCUCUAAUCGGAAAUCCUUGAAUUCUUUUAAUAGCUGCAUACUCCGUUCAUAAUAGGUUAUCAAGACUUCGCUUCGGCAUUCAUAAAUCCCAGCUAGGUGAUUUAUGACAAGCAUAGAAUCGCCGAAGAUUUCAACAGCAUCAGCAUGAACCUCUUUUAAUAAUUCCAACCCUUUGAUCAAAGCUUGAUAUUCAGCUUGAUUAUUGGUUGACGUAGCAACAAUCGGCAAAGAAAACUCAUACUUCUUUCCCUGAGGAGAAACUAAUACUAUACCGAUUCCUGCCCCCCGGUCACACGUGGAUCCAUCAAAGAAGAGCGUCCAAGGAACAAUUUCCAAAGUACCCGUCAUACCACAAUGUUGAGUCACAAAAUUGGCCAUAAUCUGUCCUUUAACUGCCUUAGCCGAUUCGUAACGUAGAUCAAAUUCCGACAGUGCCAAAAUCCAUUUACUGAUUCUACCACUCAUAAUCGGCAUAGAUAACAUGUAUCGGACUACAUCAUCUUUGCAUAUAACAGUGUAUUCGGCCGAUAGCAAAUAGUGCCUUAACUUGAUACAUGAAAAAUAUAGGCGCAUAAACAUAAUUUUUCAAUUGCCGAAUACGUGGUCUCAGCAUCAACUAGCCUUCUACUUAAAUAAUAAAUCACACGCUCCUUUCCUUCAAAUUCUUGGAUCAAAGCCGAACCGAUGACCAUCCCAUCGGUAGACAAAUAUAAUCUGAAAGGCUUCCCUUGCUGAGGUGGAAUCAGGACUGGAGGAUUUGUUAAAUAAUUCUUGAUUUCAUCCAAGGCCAAUUGUUGCUCUUUUCCCCAUACAAACUCUUGAUCGGCUUUCAAUUUAAGUAAAGGACUAAAAUCACGAAUUUUACCAGACAAAUUAGAUAUAAACCGUCUGAUAAAAUUUACCUUGCCGAUCAAAGACUGGAGCUCAGUUUUAUUGGUAGGAGCAACUAUCUUGUUAAUGGCAUCAAUAGAUCUCCUGCUAAUUUCAAUUCCUCUUUGAUGUACCAUGAAACCAAGGAAUUGCCCUGCCGAUACACCAAAUGCACACUUGUUAGGAUUCAUCUUUAAACCAUGUUUCCUUGUGCACUCCAACACCUUUCACAAAUCGGCAAGAUGCUUGGUGAAAUCCCCAGACUUAAUCACCACAUCAUCAAUGUAGAUUUCUACCAGCUUGCUGAUGAACUCAUGAAAGAUAAAAUUCAUAGCCCUCUGAUAAGUAGCACCAGCAUUUUUCAAGCCAAAGGUCCUGACUAUCCAUUCAAACAGCCCAACAUGACCAGGACAUCUAAAUGCGGUCUUUGGAAUAUCUUCUUCAGCCAUGAAUAUCUGAUUAUACCCUGCAUUGCCAUCCAUGAAGCUUAUGAUCCGAUGCCCAGCCGCAGCAUCGACUAGCAAAUCGGCAACUGGCAUUGGGUAACCAUCCAUCGGCGUAGCCUUGUUAAGAUUCCUAAAAUCAAUGGAAACUCGAAGCUUCCCAUUUUUCUUGUAAACUGGAACGACAUUGGAAAUCCACUCGGCAUACCGACACUGCCAAAUAAAUUUAGCUUUGAUAAGUUUGGUUAUUUCGGCCUUAAUAUCAGGAAGAAUAUUAGGAUUACAUCGGCGGGCUGGCUGCUGAUGUGGCCGAAAUCUAGAUUUUAUAGGCAACCGAUGUUCAACGAUAGAUCGGUCCAAACCAGGCAUCUCAGUAUAAUCCCAAGCAAAGCAAUCUUUAUAUUCCUUUAACAAAUCGGUUAACUGUUGCUUACACUCAGAAUUUAACUUAGCACUAAUAAAAGUAGGCCUUGGCCUAUCACCAUUACCUAUGUCUACCUCUACUAAAUCAUCGGCCGAUGUAAACCCCUGGCCUAAUUUUCCAUCAUCGGCGAACUUAUCCAUUAAAACUCCUCAUCAGAACCGACUGCUUGGAUCGGUGGAAUUUCGUAAUCGGCAACCUUGAGGAAAUCCUUCUCCCAAAUUUCUCCUGAGAUGCACCUGGUCCUUUCAUAAGUAUCCGCCUCUGCCGAUGCUAUAACAUAUGAAGAAUCUCCUGGGACAAUCUCAAUAUUGUCACCUACUCACUGAACCAAGCAUUGAUGCAUUGUGGACGGGAUGCAACAAUUAGCAUGGAUCCAAUCUCUCCCUAGUAGCAGAUUAUAAGCACCCUUUCCACUGAUAACGAAUAAAGUUGUCGACAAGGUUUUGCUGCCGAUGGUCAACUCGACACAUAUUGCUCCCUUAACCGGAGACACAUUCCCUUCAAAGUCCUUCAGCAUCAUAUCGGUCUUGGUCAAGUCUUGAUCUCCUUUCCCAAGCUUCCGAUAAACUGCAUACGGCAUAAUAUUGAUAGCAGCCCCACCAUCAACAAGUAUCUUGGUCAUCGGCUGCCCAUCAACCCUACCUUUGACAAAUAGAGCUUUAAGAUGCUGUCUUUUAUUGUCGGCAGGCUUUUCAAAGAUAGCCGUCAUUGGAUCCAGAGCCAACUGAGCUAUUUGGUCAGAAAAAUCCACCUCCUCGACAUCACUGGACGGCGCAAGGAACUCCAUCGGCAACAUAAACACCAUAUUAAUAUCUGCCGAUGGUCCUUUCCCCUUGGGAUCUGGCUGUUGCCGAUCUUCGGACUUAGCAGAAUUUUCUCCUUUGCUCAGCUUUUCUCGUCUUUCACGCUGCAGCCUUCUUUUCUGUGUUCUAGUCAGCCCCUCUGGACACCACGGAGGAAGUUGAGGCUGCCUCACCGAUGGGUAGCGAUUUUGCCUUGACUCCACUCGAUAAGUAUUAGCAUCCCUGCAAAAUAUAAACUCAUCGGGAACUCGUGCAUCCGCCAUUUCUUCAAGCUCCUCUUGAUUUCUGGGAAAAUAUCCGACACGGUCACCAAGUCUAUCAUGCACACUGAGCCUGCCCCCCAGCCGAUCAUGAACUGAAGCUCUCCCCUUAAUCGGCCCAUUAAAUCGUCGAUCAUCGUUCUGAUACUGCCGAUUAGGUCGAUCAUACCGAUCAUAACCAUUGCACUCAGGGCAAUCUCUAACAGUGGGCAGUUUAAUGUUUUGCUCCCAGCAAUGGAUAAAGAACGGGCAGUUCCAGUGAUCUUUAUGCCGAUUCCACUCCUGUCGGUGUCUUUCUUCUUCCCGACGAUGAUCCUCCUGUUGGCGCCGAUACCGAUCCUCACGUUGUUGCCAGGUCUCCCGAUGUCUUCUAUGAGUUAUCACAAUACCAGAUCGGGGAGGUCUUCCUGAGUUGGUUCCUUCCUGAAUUGGACCCUUGCCUUUAGCGUCAUCGGUAGUAAUCUGAUGUUGAGGAUCCACCAAUGCGCUUUUUUCAGCUGCCUCUGACGUCAAGACCUUGGUUUUUCCCUUAGCGUCAACAUAUUUGUUGGGAAAGGAUGUUGAUCGAUCUUCAUCGGCUUCUGAGCUUUAGAAUUAUCAAACUUGAUUCUCCCAGACUCUAUAGCCGAUUGCAACUAUUGCCUGAAAACCUUGCACUCAUUUGUGCUGUGAGAUGUUGCAUUGUGACACUUGCAAUAUUUCAUCUUCUUUAAUUCCUCGGCCGAUGGAAUCGCAUGAUUGGGUGACAACUUGAUUUGCCCUUCCUGAAGUAGAAAGUCAAAUAUCCUAUCGGCUUUGGUGAUAUCAAAUGCAAAUUUCUCUGGCUCUUUAUGCCCAAAAGGGCAAGACAUCGGCUUCUUAUUUUUUAUCCACUCUGCCAAGCCGAUGACUGGUUCUUCAUCAGAGUCUGAACUUGCUUCCUCAUCGACAAAUGACACCUUUUUAUUCCAUGCUCUUUUGGGUUCAAAAGGUUUAAUAUCUUGGUCAGAAAUCCUCUGCACCAAAUGACUUAGACUCUCGAACUCUUGAGAAGCAUACUUGUCUCUGAUAUGUGGCAACAACCCCUGGAAAGCCAAAUCGGCUAGCUGCCGAUCAUCCAGAACUAGACUAUAGAACUUAUUCUUAACCUCUCGCAACCUCUGCACAAAGCUUUCAACCGAUUCAUCAUUGUGUUGCUUCAGCCUGACUAAAUCGGUGAUCCUUUUCUCAUGAACUCCAGAAAAUAAGUAUUUAUGAAAUUGUUUCUCUAGAUCGGCCCAAGUAAUUACCGAAUUGGGAGGUAAUGAAAUAAACCAAGUAAAGGCUGAUCCAGACAAAGAUGAUGAGAAUAAGCGAACCCUUAACUCAUCUCUAUUGGCAGCUUCUCCACACUGGAUGAUGAACCUCUUAACAUGUUCCAUGGUUGAUGUAUCAUCCUGUCCAGAAAACUUGGUGAAAUCUGGUACCUUGUACCGAUUUGGAAGUGGAAUUAAAUCAUAUGCAGGAGGAUACGGUGUCCGAUAAGGGUAAGUGUUGACUUUGGGUUUUAUCCCAAAUUGGUCUCUCAUUACUUCAGCUAUCUUAUCGGCCCAAUAAGCAUCGGCAUCUUGCCGAUGAGGUGGUUGUGGAUCUGGCACCUAUUGGUAAGCUUCCACGUGUCUCUGAGGUGCACGAUCUCCAUGAAACAUUGGAUUGACCAUUGUAUGCUGACCACCAAGUUGCUGACCAAGAUUCAUCGGCUGGUUGAUCAAUCCUUGAUUCUGAAAUCCAGGUUGCACUAGUCCCUGUUGAAACCCCACAGCCUGAUGAUUCUGCUGAGGCAUCUGUGGAAAGACAAACUGCCCUGUCCAUCCACUAUUAACAUUCAUCGGCGUAGGUCCUGCCGAUGACUGGUAAAUGGGCAUCAUCAUUUAAUUGGCAUACCCUGGCUGUGUCAUAAACCUUUGCUGCGUCGGCAUUGGAUCUGCCAAUGCAUUAGGCAUCUAGAACGUCGGUGCUUGAGAAUUCCCAGUGUAAGGUCUUGCAGUAGUAGUUGUAGAAUACUGGGGAUUCUGAAUCAUCGGCGAGCUUGGAGGUGCCGAUGCCAUAGGAGCCUUGCCUGUCACGUCAGCCACUUGAGAUGUUCUAGGACCUUUUGCCAUCAAUUCUGGGGGCAUACCAUAGCCCCACCAGUUGGGAGGAACAGUCCCUGACAUCGCCGAUGCCAAUAGAUCUGUGGCAAGCUUGAUUUGCCCAUCUGAUGUUGAUGGAUUGGUCGUCAUCGGUGUAGAUUGCGCAUUAGUCAUCCCUGCAACGGCCGUAGUAUCCGAUGGAGCCGUGACUACCGAUGACCCUAGCUGGUGAUAGACAGGACCCACAUAAGAUGGUGGUAUUUGUCCAACUUUGAAAGUUCUAGUCACAACAUUGAAAACUGUGUUGGACAGUACACCAGAUUGAUUGAUCAAGGCACGGUUAAUAGCACUGUCAACCAUGUCUUGAAGUUUACCAAGAUUGGCCUCAAAAGUAACUUGCCGAGGCAUCGGCUAUGCUUCCUUCUGGAUCACCUCGCCACUCCUGUUGAUGCUAAAGGAUUUCAAGCAUAGCUGCAUGUAGUCCUCCAUGGCUUUUGCCAUAGCUUGCUUCUGCUCAUCUCUGAGAUUGGCUUCCAUCACGGGGAUAACGUUCUCCAAGUUGAAAUCAGUGUUCGACAUGUUGAUCUUGAUCUUGAAUCUCUGUCCCACCGGGCGUGCCAAAAGAUGUGUUGGUGCAAAAGCUGAUCUACAAACACAAAGGGCUAAUACCCGAUCUAAACGUUAAGGCGUGCCAGCCGAUUUGACCUUACAAUUGACAAAGGUGGUAACUCGAACACUUUGGUCCCGACAACAGCGAUGCGCCCGGAUGUCACGGCCAAGAGGUGCUCAUGCGGAACUUGAGAACAUGCCAAGUUUGACUCGACGAAUUCCUAAGAACUCGUGGUAAAAAGAAAAUAUGACGAAGUCGCCGAAAAAGUUGAUGCUGAAUAUGUGUUAAAACUUGUGUUUGAUUGAUUGAUAGAUGUCUCAUUAUAUUGCCACGGGGUCUAUAUUUAUACCCUACCUAAAAGAACUACAAUUAGACACGACUAGAGCUCGAAUUCCAAAUUAAACGGAAUCUGUAUACAAAACGAAACCUAAUAACUAAGGAAAACAUUAAACUAUCCUCUGUAACCGAUCGGUAACUGCCACGAGUCAAUCGGCAACCUCCGCGCUUUUCUUCAGAGUCAUCGGCAGACUGCCUCUUACAGCUAUCGGCAAACAUCGGCACUAGUCAUCGGCACGAACACAUCACCACCUCUAGACUUGGUCAUACUUGGUCGUUUCCCCAUCGGCACCAACCUUCAUCGGCAACUCCGCUAUAGACUAGUCACCAUUGCCCCAUCUGCCGAUCUACACUUUAUUAACUCCAGGUGCGUAUCCAAAGAUACGUGUCCAAAAACGGUGUCAACAGUUCUUUACCUGCUCAAUGUUAGUGGCAACAGGCAAUGUAGCAGCUAGCUUUAUUAAUUUAAGCUCUACCCUUUUAUUAAGAGUGUUUUGCUCAUCAAAGGCAAUUAAUAGAAAAUUCAUUUUAUUGUGUAUAUCUUUUAGAGACGAUUCAUUUGUGUCUAGCCUUUGUUUAACUUCAUCAUUAGUUUUUGUUUGUUGAGCAAUUAUCUCUUUUAAUGAAAGUUGCUUGAAAGUGUUACCUGAAGUCAUACCUUUGCUAUUGGGCUGACUCGAAGUAGGUUGAUUUUUGUAUGCUGUCCCAAUGGCCCUUUGAUCUUCUUUGAACUUGGCCCUCUGGUCAAUCCAAUGGAACAAAUUUCCAUCUUGGUUGAUAGUGCAUUUACUUCUUAUGGUAUUUCUUCAGUUUGAUGACAUUGUUGAGCUUCAUCUUGGAACCAGCUUUGGUUUUCUGCUAUCUUAUCCAAAAGUAUCUCUGCUUUUCCAAUUGUAAGCUCCAAGAAUGAUCCUUUAGCAGAUGCAUCUAGGCACUCACGAGCCUUCUGGAUUAAUCCAUGGUAGAAGGUCUGCAUAAGUAACCAUGUGGCCAUUCCAUGGUGAGGACAAUCUGAUAUGUAUCCUAGAAAACACUCCCAUGCUUCUGAAAUGGUUUCUGUCUUCUGCUGUUGGAAACUGAUAAUAUUUCCUCUUAAGGCAGUUGUUUUGCCUAUAGGGAAAAACUUUGAUAGAAAGGCAUCUGACAAGUUCGUCCAGUUGUUGAUGUUAUCUUGAUGAGUGUAAAACCACUUCCUCGCUCUCCCUUGUAGUGAGAAUGGAAAAAGGUGAAGCAGUAUGACGUCUUUAUCGACUCCGUUGAUGCGGAUUGUGCUUCCAAUCUCUAAGAAAUUCUGCAAGUGUGCACUAGCAUCUUCAUGUGCCUUUCCACUGAAUUGUGUAGCUUGUACCAAAUUGAUGAGGUUUGACUUGAGCUCGAACUCGGGUGCUCCUUCUUCUACUGCAAAUCUUGGACCAGUUGAAAUGUUCUCAAGACUUGGAGCAGAGAAUUCUUGCAAGGCCUUCUGUGCCAUAGCUUCAACAAUUGGUGGCUAGCUUCUUCUUUCUUUCUUGAUUGCUUUGGUUCUGAUGAUGAAGAGUUGAAUGUACCAAAGUCAAUCCUGAUAUACCCUGUAUAAAAAUAUAAACAUAGAAAAACAACAGGGUGAACCUGCCAAAGCAGAGGUGCCUUAUUAUGAUUUCUCACUUAGUAGCUGUUUUAUGCAAUUAUUUCUCUAUAGUCUAGUCUAAUAUUUUAUGUGAAUAUCCUUGACUGAUUUCCUGACUUUCCUUACCGUUCCUAUGGGUUUCCCUUUUUGUGUGUUCCCCGGCAACGGCGCCAGAAAUGCUUGUGGACACUUACUAACACCACUUGGAUACUAGGUUGUCAGCCCCAGCAUGGUGCCAGAGUGUACAAAGGUAUUUAUGAAUAUGGAGGCUCUCUGGAAAAUAAUCUAUUCUAUCCGCAAGCACACAGAUAAAACACCUCAUUGUAGCAUUUCACUAGGAAAGUAUUCCAGGUAUCGUUAUUUAUAAUUUUGCUCAAGAGAACAAGGGUGAAAUUAAGAUAAGGAUAAAAUCUAUCAAGGCAUAGACUAGAGAUAAACUUGCAAGAACAUGAUUACCAAUGAGAAACUCAUCACACAGUCACUUACUUUGAUAGGGGGUAAGCCAUAAUAAUAAUGAUAAUGAAAUAUAAGCUCAUGGGUAAAUAACACAGUGAUUAGAAAAUAGACUACUCUUCACAUAUGUAAGGUGACGUCGGAUUAGCUAGAGAAUGGAUUCUAAGUUAUCUACUAUCUACUAAGUCACAAUCUACUCUAGUUAUCUACAAGAUCAUAUAUAGUAUAAAAGACUCUUUAUUCAUGUAUAAGGAACAUUGCUAAAGUAAAUCAGAGCAUCGCAAGACUCACUCCGCAAUACAAAUUCUGCCAGUCCUAUCAACGGAGGGUGGACUAUAUAAGAAUCAACGAAGCUGUCACUAUCGCGAACUACCACACAACCCGGCCAAUAGGAUACAUUUGUAGGUAAAUAACAUCUAAGCACCACGCCUACAUGUGAUCUACCACUUAACUCCCACGUGUCAAGAGCUAAGCGCUUUGCAAACUUAUACAUAAACUCAUUAUCAAUCGUAACUAUAUCAAAUAUAGAACUAGAGUAAACUAAGAGCAUAAUAAAUAGAGACAUAAUGCAAUUAGAAUAAAGAAGUAGAGAAAGAUAUGAAAUAAUACCAAUCUUUAUUAACGAAGAUCCGAAUCCAGAGCGUAGUGCUCUACUUCUCUAAUUCUAUCUAAUCAAUCCUCUAAACUUGAAGGAUUAGGGAGUAGCUAAUUCUAAUUCUUUGUGGGAGAGAAGUCCUAAAACCCUAACUUUGAUGGCUACCUCUGAUAAUGAUUUCUCCUCUCUCUCCCCCUGGGGUGGAGAGGCCUUGAUUAUAUAGUCCUUUCAAGUGAAUUUGGGCCGUCGGAUCAAACCGACAUUGAUCGCACGGUUUUCCUUGAUCCUUUAGGUCGGUGGAGCACGAUCUAAGAGUUUGGUUCUGAUUGGCCCCGAGGCCAAGGCGGGCGCCCAAGGGGGGAGGGCGGGCGUCCUGCCCCCGAGCCCGUCCGGUCUCCCGUUCAUUCCCGUGGCUUCUGGACUCUUCUAGAUUAAGAAAAAUUGUGCGGCACGUAAUUAUCUCGUUGUAAACAUGACAUGUGGACCUUCUCUCCAUAUUUUCUGAUAACCCGCUGCAGAAAUAGAUAAACACCAAAGCUCGUGGAAUUCUGUCAGAUAAAACCCUAAUUCUAGAUGUUUGGUGCAUAUUGAUCCUUUUUCAUGUUUAGUUGACAGUUAAAUUUAGUACUUAAGGACCGUCAACAGUACCGAGUCUCUUGAUCCAAGGUUAGUUUUAUCACUAAGUUUGAAUUAUUGGUACCUUUAUCACAGUUAAGUUGCUUCACUCUCACAUUAUACAUAUAGCUUUGUAGACUUUGGUGUCAUCUGAUCCUCAUAACAUAACUCUCAAUCCAUGAGUAUCAGCCAUGACAUAUACCUCCAUUAAUAUUCUCUUAAUGGGAUGAUAUCUUGAACCAAAAACCAAUUUUACCGAACACUUGUGAUCUUUACACAUCAUCCAACAUUAACCAAUUAUUCUCCAUGUAACCCCUUUAUUUAGGCUACCCCCUUAGGAAAGGUCAACUAGGGGACACAAGAAAUGUAGCUUGCAUGUGUUCUAGACAAGUUAACUAGCAUUGAGAACUUCUGACAUCCCAAAGAACUUAUGUGCAAGAGAACAAACAGGUAUAAUUCUCGCGAUAGGAAAGCACCAGCAUAGUAAAAUAGGUAUAACUCUUAUUAUGUUAAUCCAAUAAUGUUGUAGCUUAUACCGUUAGAAAACUUACGUAAUUCUCCACAACUUUCAUGUAGAAAACUUCCUUAGGUUCUGUGUCUUUAAGCUUAGGUAAAACAACCAAACAUAAUAUCCAUCCUGACAAUGUCUCAGCAAAGGUACAGUAAAUUGUAGCAGUCAUACCCUGAGCUACAGAACUCAUAUGACGACGAUCCUUAUAUUGUUGAAAAUCAUAUAAAAUCCUCUACAACUUUUGUAUACAUCAUUUUCCCAGAUUCUGAAGUUAAUUUGGCUGAAAUUAGGAAAAUACCAGAUUUGUCCAAAUUUUGAAACAGUACAAAAACAUCCAAUUGUAAAUGUCAUAUCUCAGGUUCUACUUAUCCAAAUAAGUUCCAUCUUAUACCGUUAGAAACUUUAGCAAUUUUUCUAAAACUUUUAUAUAGAACACUUUUCCAAAUUCUAUAGUUAUAUUUGUUGAAAACAGUAAACAACCGAAACUGGUCCAGAUUCCUGAUAGCACAACUGUAUCAUCUUGUGAUUUUUGUAACUUCCAAACCAUAAUAGCUAUGAGGGCGAUUCUUGCGGUCAGAGAAAGAUCUUGAAGUCGAUACACCAGAAUUAUUGUAGACUGCUCCAGAAAUCAGCAAGGGAUAGAAACAUGAUAUAACCAAACUCAACUACUUAUUUCAUUACUCCUUAUGCCUUAGGCCUACAAACUAAAUUAAAUUGUGAAGAAAUCCCACAAGAUCAUUGCAAUCAUUACAAAGAUCCAAAUCAAGCAUAAGUGUAAUAACAAUCAAUUAAGCAUUAAAGGUUCACAAGGCACACAAACUCAACUUUCGCUACUAGCGUUUUUAUUACACAAGGGGACACAAACUCCUAAAUCUUAGACUCGGUGUGGCUACUUUCACGAUGCAUCUGUUGCUUCUUUUGUGUACAAGAGUUUACAUACUGUCCUUCCUGUCGGCAAUGAUAACAUUUUCUCUUAGUUGGAUCCUUUGUGAUGUCAUUUUCCACUGAAGUGUUGCUCGGUGUGUUAUCAGCUCGCUGACUAUGAAGGUUUAUCUUUGGCUGGUUAGCUUUCUUCCCACCUUGGUUGAUCCUUUGAGGUUGAAACUCUUUAUAAGUGAUUGUCCACCCAUCUAUGUAUACCUCAUGAGCAGUGGGGUUAGCUUGGGGAGUUUGUUCAUCUCCAAGGUUUGAAUUUUCCUGACAAGAAUUCAAAGCUACAUGUGUCAAUUUAAGAUUUGAAUGUUGAUCACUACCCAAUGCUGGCUCUGGUGAUUUUGCCUUCCUCUUUUUGUCCUCAUUAGUCACACAAGUUGGUUUUGUCUUAACUUCCUUUUUAGAUGACCUUUUUUGAAGACAAGGGAGGUCAUAAUGCUCACAACAGUGGCAUUGAUCCUGAUAUCCUGAUGUAUUACUCCCAACACUUCCAUGAGUUCUCAUAUUUUUCUAGGCUUCUGCCACUUGUCUCCUCACUAGUCCUGUGAUGCGUUAUUAAGAGUUCUUAUUCUGAGUUAUUCCUUCCACUACUUGUGUUUGCAUGGCUAGAAGCUUCUCCUUGUCGAAUGCUUUCACGGUUGGCAUAUUUGAGUGCUUUUGUUCCUUCAUGCCAAGGGUCUCCUCGUUAUGAGCCAUCUAAAGAGACAAUAAGGGAUUAUUUAGAAUAGAGACAAAGUUUUAUAAAUAGACAGGGCAGAAGUAAGCAUAACUUUUAGCAAUUAUCAAGGUUAAGGUGAAAGCAAGAACUAAGCAAAGAUAGAAGCAUGCUAAAACGUCUGGUUCUAACUAGGCUUGCGUCCUACAGUCAGCAUUGCUUUGACACCACUUUGUAAUAUCCGAUUUUAAGGACAAAACCAGAUAUGCACCAUAUAUGAGUUUUAAAAGUCAAUUCUUACAUAUAGCUACAAAUAAGGGGUAAUAUCAAAAGACAAUGCAUAAAUAUAUAACGUACUUAGUAUAAAAGAGAUAACCUUUGAUAGCAAACAACAGAUAGACAACUCUAAACUUCGGGUAUUAACUUCACGCUACAGGAUCCAACUGACUGGUUGAUCACAAGCCUAAAACAUCUCCUGAGGUAUGGGGGAAAUAGCAAGAGUGAGUCCAUGUCGAACUUCACAAGUAUAGCAACUAGAUUGUUUAGAUCCCACAAUCUCAUGAUCAAUGUGACAUAAAUAAUGUAGAGCAUUAAACAAUAAAUAUGAGCAUAUUAACACAACAAGAAUCAUCACCCUUAACGCAAGAAUCCCCAAGGCCACUCCUGACCGUGAGCUCGGCUAGUAUACUAGUUUUUAACACUAUACAGAGGUUGUACAUCUUUACCCAUGAGUCAUGAUUUACCCUUUCGCCCGAGGUGAUCAGCCUCUUAACCCAGUACCAAGGAAGGUCGACAGGGAUCACUAUGAAGUCUUUCAAAGGUUUGUCUAACAAGUUAGGGCCGCUUGGUUUCAUUAGUCAAUCCGUGUGAUCCACUCGCAGAAAUUCAUGGUCUGCUGUUCCCCAAUUGCGCCACACAGAUAACCGCUAACGAGCUAGAAAAGUUACUCGUACUUAACUAAAGCUAGAGCCAUUAUAGCCCUCAUAGUUGCACUGUUGUCCCGGUUAUCACUUACAGAUAAUUCAUCAAGUUGCUAAAAAGUCAUUUUAUCAUUUGUUACUUAAACAUUAAUCAAGUCACAAGAUCAUGGUCACAGAAAUAAAACUCAAAUGCUAUACUUGCCUUAAUCUAAAUGCUCUUGUUGAUCCUGCUGGUCUUACUAGUUGUCCAAAGCUCUAAUCUCGAUCACUGAAGUACUCUUGUUCGUCACGAAUUGCUCACCGACUAAACUCGAUCAUCGAUCACCAACACACAAAUAAUCGGGGACAACAUACACGAAGCAAACAAAGCUACAAUUAGAAUAGUACACCAAUCAUAUAAAAACAGUAUGAAAAGUUUAUGAAAUGAUUCUACGCAUCACUAUGAUUACACGAACGUAAACAUCACUAAAAUCGGAGCUAUAACGAAGAAGAUAUGAAUUUUCUAAUAUUUUCUUUAGAAAAAUAAUUAAUUAAAUAGGGUCACAAAUUUAAAAAGUUUCAAACCGCUGAACCAAGUUUACUAACAUGUAGAUCUUUCAAAAACAAAACCAACGCAAUUUGAAUGGGUCAAAUCCGAGUUAAAAUAAAUAUUUUAUAGCCAAAAGAAACUCAGUGGCAAUUUAGUAAAUAUAGAAAAUGUAUUCUGAAUUCAGACCGAGAAGAAAUACGUCUUCUGAAUGCGGUUGGCGUAUUCAACCGAGUCGCUUUGGACCGCGGGUUUAGGCCUUGUUUAGUUCACCCUGAAAUCCAAAAACUUUUCAAAAUUCUCCGUCACAUCGAAUCUUGCGGCACAUGUAUGGAGCACUAAAUAUAGACGAAAACAAAAACUAAUUGCACAAUUUAUCUGUAAAUCACAUGACGAAUCUUUUAAGCCUAGUUACUCUAUAAUUGGACAAUGUUUGUCAAAUAAAAACGAAAAUGCUACAGUACUGAAAACCAAAAACAUUUCGGAACUAAACAAGGCCUUAUUUAACAUAAACUCAGGGACUCUUUAACAAAAGUGCUAGGCAAAGAGGUAUGUUGAGAUCCCGGUCGUUGAUCGCGAAACGGAUGGCGCAGAUUAGAUCUAAGAAAGGGGAGGGGCAGCUGUCGGCCGGAACAGGGCCUCCCGUGGUGGCGCGCCAUGGCCGGAAGCUCGGAGCUCACUGGAGUUCAUCGUUUAAAGCUAUUUCGGCCAUCUUAAAACGAAAGCAAAACGUCGGGAGAAAGAGGAAUUCGCGAACUCACCCAAGCGCUUUUGGGGUCGGGGAAGAGCUUAGAGAAGGCGCGCGCCGCGAGAUGGCGGCGGCGGCAUUUCCUGCAAGUUCGGCGAUCAUUAGCGGUUGAACCAGGGCGCGAGAGAAAGAAGGAGAGGACUUGGCGACCUCGUAGGAACGUUGUGAAGGUCGGCCAAGGCUCGAAUUCACCGCAGCGGCAGCACGAUGCGUUAACCACGGCGGCGGGCGGAAAACAGCUCGGUGAGAUCUAGAUCAACACUAGGGACGGCUUCGGAAGUGUAAAGAUGGGAAAUAGGGGUCAUGGCAAGUGCCAGGGGUCUUAUUGGGGAAGUCGAUUACGUCCUAAGCUCGAAAUCCCGGAGAAGUCGGGAUUUGCUGCCUGGUCAGGAGUCCUGCAUAGCUCCGACUUGAGGUUGAAGAAGAGUAGGCGUCUGGCGAGUGGGCCCGAGACGUCAGUGUCUCCCGACGUGGGGUCUGCGCGUCAGUGAAAAAGAGGAAAGGAGGGGGGGCGCAGGCUGGCCGACUGCUGGGCCGAUCGCGCGUGCGCGUGCAGGCCGCGAGAGAGGGAGAACGGGCUCGGCCCAGAUGAGAAGAACGGGGGAAGGGGAGCUGGCCUCGGCCUGCCGUUGGGCUUGCGCGCAGAUUAGGGAGCAGGCCGGAAGGGAAAGGGGUUGGGCCUCUCGGGCCAAAGCAGAGAGAGAGGGAGAGGUUUUCUUUUUCUUUCAUUUUUCUUUUAUUCCAAAAGCUAUUUAAAACUCAUUUCAAAAUCAUUUUAGACCUUUUGGAUUUUUGACAAAGCCACACAUCUCAAUAAAAUAAAUGCACAAGCAUGAAUGCACAACAGUUUUGCUAAGUCCUAUGAUAAUUUUUAUUUUAAAGAAAAAAUAUUAUUUCUCCUAUAUUUUCAUGAGCACAAAAAUAUAAAAUUAAAUCAAAUUAUUCUAUUUUGAAGACUUGUAAAUUUAGGGUGUUACAUGCCAUCACAUGGAAAUGCCCUGACUUUAUCCCACUUGAAGAGGCGUUCCAGUUUUCAUGUUGUGCUUCAUCUAUGUAACUGGAAUCAACAAAUUUUCAAUUCUCCCCAUUUUUUGGCACAAGGUGUAUACACUCCCCCUUAAAUCUUGGUCUCCUCAUUUCCUUUUCCUUCAUGUUGGAGCCUUUAUCCAUGUGCCACAGAUUUGUGGAAGCUUGCUUCAAUUUUUCAUAGAUUCCAAAGGAAAGCUCGUUUUGAAUUCAUCAUUUUCCCCCUUUAUCAUCCAUACCAAGAUGGUCCUCAAGAAUAACUUUAACUACAUGAAUCUCACACAAAGAGGGGUAUUAGUAGCGAAGUUGUACAUGUCAGGAGUAUUUUACUAUUGUUCCACUUAGGGGAACAAGGCCGUUUUUCACAUGUAGUCCAAAAAACACAUUAUAAAGAUCAAGCUCCACCAAAAAGUGCGCACAACUAAUUGAAUCACAAAUGAGUAAAAUCUAAGACCCCACACAAAAGUGUAGGGAACAAAUUCAAAUAUGAAAUGCAAUCCUACACAUGGUAGUGUCUACACGAUGCAUGAUAUGACACUCACAUUACCUUGGCAUUGGGAAGAGGAACUUGGGUAAAAGAUACAAAUCUACCCACUUGGCAUUUACUUGAAACAAUAUGAUGCACACCCAUUCAUUCAUCCCUAGAAGUAUCCUAAGUUUCCAAAUUCCCUAAAACGUCAUACAAAUGUGUUGAGGACCACAACAUUUUGAGUCUGAUCCAUGUUCUUGGUCACCUCUUUGGGCAUGUUCUUGGUCACCUCUUUGGGCACCCAAAUGUGCUUGGUCUACCCCUGUUAUGUGGCUGCUGGAGAUAGAGGGAAAUGGAUUGGGAUCGAAAAAGCGGCGGCUGAUGGCGUAAACAGUACCCACGCUACAGUACCUACGUACCUGUAGGUACUGUUCACAGGGAGACGGCUAUGAGAGCAAGAGGGAAGGCUAGGGUUUUGGACGCUAGGAACGCCAGCCGCGGGGCUCUGCCCACAGCCGGCAAGAGAGAAGGGAUUUCCUUCUAAUCUCUUGCUUGAUUAAACUUACUUGACCUCUAAGCAAACGACUAAUUAACCCUAGUGGGCUAAGGCCCAAUAGGUCCUUGACUCUUCUAACAACCCCCAAUUCUUCCACCCAACCUUGUUGGCAACCACCUUAUCAUUGCUCACAUUGAGUAUGUAGUACCAUCCCCAGACUAAACGGACCCAACUAGCAGACAGACAAUUCAUUCCAACAAAGCACGACCAAUUGACCAUACAGUCUAUGCCCAGAUGACACAACAAAUACAUCACUCAUGGUGUGGCCCUAUUUAGAUUCAUCUGAAGUGACUUGCACUACAAGAAACCUUGCAAUCUAUGACGGAUUCUUCGUGACAGAUUCAGACAACGUCACCAAUCGAGAUGUGCAGUGUUGGAUAACCAGCCCAGGGCCCGAUACACUCUCGCAUAUAAAACCUGCACCAAAACCCUAACCCACCCGGCUGCCUAUCUUCUUUCAAUCCACCGCCGCCCCCUUUCCGGUCAGUGCCCUCCACCCCACCAAGUCAUCAACGAAUCCCAUCCUUGGAGGAGUCUGGCGCAUCAAGCAUGGAGGCCGAGGGUGGCCCUUCACCUUCACCAAAACUCUUUGGAUCCGGCCAUGUAUGAGGCCGAUGGUGGUGCCCCCACCCAACCAUUGGUAGAUCUAGCGCUUGGAGCAGAGCAGGCCAUCUGAGGUUAGUGGAGGAUGGACUAACACUUAUCACGGGAGAGUUGUGGGCUGAGCUUUGAGUUUUCCUUCAACUCAGGCGAGAUUGUCACUGACGAGGUUGUAGAUAGGGUUGCGCAUCGCUCUGGACAGCCACUCUAAGUGGCAACGAGAUGGACUCUGGUGUGGCAAAGGUGAACCAUCAUUUCUAAUUAUCUCCUUUAUUUUCUCUAUCAUGAAAUUUGCGAAUUGGCUGUGGAUUUGAAACUAGGGUAAGGCUGUGUUGUUUUUUUAAUCGAAAUUAUUCCAUGGGGCAACACAGAUUGUAUUUUAAUAAGCACUUUUUUUGCAGUGAAAUGGCUAAGCGGUGAAAUUUAGAGGGGAUAGCUAAGUACAAUUGCAACUGACAUAGUUGUGGUUGAUAUGUCCUACUGUAUUGGUACGAUCUCAUUCAGAUAAAUAUCAGAGGAUGCAGAUCUAGACAGUUUGAUUGAUCAGUUCUACCUAUGUUGGUCACUAGUUAUUCUGCAAUAGUCAUUAAGUAGCUGAUACAAAGUUCUGCAUAGUCAUUAUUGUACCAGUGUUGAUCGCUCUAGUUAUUCUGUUCUGAACGGUGCAGUUGAAUAGUUGGUUGGUUGUGAAGGUCACUAGGAGAUGUACUUGUCCAUGGAAUAUUUAUUUGAGGCUUUGUGCUACAUGUUUGCAUUUUCAAUUCAUUGGUUAGUUUUCUUUGCUGGGACCUAGGACUGAAAUUAUACUACUAGCAGUUCCUAAGCUAUAUGGCGACCUUGUUGCGCUGGCUACAUGUUUGCAAUUGUAUAUGAUUCCAAUACUUCCUGCUGCAGGUUGGCUUGGUAUAUGAUUCCAAGAUAUAUUGCCUUAAACCACAACAGUGAUCAUAUUUAUACAAAUAUAUUUUAGAAUGCUUAGUGCAUACUUUCCUGAUGGUAUAAUAUAUAUAGGAACUUAUAAGGAGAACUAGAAGUGACAGUCGUCCGUGUUCUUGCCUUCCCUGGUUUUCAGAUAGCAGCACCAACACCAAGACAAGGUAAGCAUCAUGUUGUUCCAAUUCAGAUUAGUAGCAGCAGUAAGCAAUUAACUUAUAGCCUUCCCUGGUUUUCAGAUAGCAGCAAGAGGACUUCGACAAGGUAUGUAGGUAGGCUUCAUGCUGAUCCAGUUCAGUAAGCAAUUAACUUAGCUAUCUGUGCAGUUUUCUAGCUCUCAUUAUCUUUUAUAUUGUUGUUUAGGUUAUCUAAUUAGUUAUGUUCCUUCCUGUUUUGGUAGUAGCAAUUGUGCAUAAGUGUAUUGACAUGAGCAGUAAUUUAGUAUUAAUAACAGUCUGUCAAUACUACUACUAUAGUAAUUGGCUAUCCUUAUUCCUUAGUCUUGUUUUUCCUUGGUUGUAGCAGACUGAUGUUAUAUAUUGGUUCCACUGAUUGUUCUCUGAGUAAGUUAGCUUGUAAUAGUGUGCAUGUUAACUCCAGCUUGCUGAUAGUUUUGCAUUUAUUAGCCUUGCCUUAUUUUCUUUUCUUUUCUUAAGUUAGCUGUCGGCUUGUAGCAGUCAUUCUGUCCAGCAACUUGUUUUUUUAACUCUAAAUACGAUAUUAGUUUACCAUCAAUAAAAGCAGAAAUAUACUUUGUGAGUGCAACCAUUUCAACUGAAUAUGUUUAAAUUGAUAGUUGUACCUAACAUAUUUUAGCUUAGGUAGCAGCUAUCUAUUAAGUUAUUUAAAUCACUAUUUGAUUAAACGUUUCUUUUUUAUAGUUUUCAGAAAGGGAAUCGGUGGAUAAACAAUAUUGGAGAAAUACUUGAAGAAGGAGCAUCAUUCCAUUGAGGUGGCUGUAUUGCUUAUUUACUUGGUGGCAUGGAGAGACGAUUGUUGGUUGUAUGAAUUAGUCUUGUUUUUAAAUUGCUUCAUCAUCAAUGUGUAAAUAUUUAUAUAUAUAAAUAUAUUUGACCAAAUGGUUGUAAAUCUAUAAUUGUCUGGGAUGCUUAGUGCAUACUUUCAAUAAAUGUCUGGGAUUUCUUACAACAAAAAUAGAUGGGCUUGAUGGUGAUAUAAGCAUUCAUGUCAUGAUCCACAUAAGCAGUCUAGAUGAUGUGGCAGUUCAUCUAUGACGGUUUAGAACCAUCACAGGUAAUGGGUUUGGGCUGGGCUAACUAGGCCUUGGGCUCAAUUGUGACGGUUUGAGAUCGUCACGAAUUCUAUUAAUCUGUGACGGUUUUGUGAAAAUCGUCACGGAGGUUAAUCCUUGACGCUCAAUAGGUGACGUUCUCUAAAACCGUCACAAAUGCUGCAUAGUGACAGUUUUUUGAUGAUCCGUGACGGAAUUUUUUCGUCAUGGAUUAGCAAGUUUUUUGUAGUGUUGAGCAGCACUAUGGUACAUAAUAGUCAUGGGUCAUCAUCAUAUGGAGCACAAGUGCUCAAGUUUGGUGGGACUACCAGAAUUGGCUUUCCAUGCUUCUUGAAUUCAAGGAAUGCAGGAAAAAUAUUGCUUGAUAAAUGCAUGUUGCCAGUCAGGUUCACUCGCUCCAAAUUACCUAAAACAAGGAAAGACUAGUUAUUAAUCAAUCUCAGCUGGUGCCUAUAUGUACGGUUGAAAACAGGAUAGAUAUUUCACGAUAUCCGUCCAUCUGAAAGGGAUUCAAAUACUAAAUGAAAUAAUCCGUAUCUAAAUCCGGACAUUCAAUAUCCGUACCACAUUUGAAUCGGAUUUCUUAAAGUCAGAUAUCAAAUACAUAUAUGGGAUGGGUAUCAAUAUCUUAACAUACCCUAUCUGAGUCCAUAUCUAACUCUGAAUAUGAGAAAAACAAAAAACAACGACCCACAUUCAUAUCUGUACAUGCCCAUUUUUAUCCGAUCUAUUUUCAUCCCUACAUGUAUGGAUUUGCCUAAUGCAAAAGAAGUAAAGGUGAAUUUGGUAAAGCAUUUAUUUCUUACAAGUCCCUUGCUUCAAGGAGUUACAGAUGACUUCCAAUGAUUCAGGUGGUAAAAGGUUCGCUGCUGCAUUGACUGAGACAAGAUUUGGUGCUCGCCCUAUUAAUCUGGAAACAAAAUAUGCUGCUCUGAUCCCACCACGAUUCUUACUGCAAAAUAUAAAUAAUGUCAGUGAAGGAACUGACAUCUAUUGUGAGGGGCCGUGCUUGGUUCUACCUGAUGUUGAUGUGGGAAAGAGCCACUUCUGUUGGCAAUGCUUCCUCAAGUAUUUGGAAGCCUAAUGUUCCCAAGCCAAUAUCCGUAGCAUUUAAAGCCCUUACAUGUGAACCCAAGAAUUUGGCCAAUGCAGCUGCCACAGAACUGAAAGCACAUUUCAAUUAAUAUGUGGACACAAGUGAAUACAGCACAGGCGCACAGCAGGACAAAAUGCAUGAAAAGAGAUACAACUUACCUCCCUAAAUGAUUGUCUGCAAUAGAUAGCACAUCAAGGGGUUGCUUCACAGUUGUGAGGCACUCCAGAAGCAUAAUCACACCAAUACUGGACAACUCACAGUUCUCGACUGUUAAUCUCAAAAGUGGAUUUUCCUUUUGAAUAGACCAUGAAAUGAAAGGGAUCAUUGAUCUGCAAUUUAAGUGAAACUGAUGAGUGCCUCAGUAAAUUAUCAUUCAUCACAAAUAUUGAGAAGUACUGUGCUUGUGCAAGAAAGUCAAAGGCAACUGAACACAGACAUGAAAAAAAUUUGUACACCCUGUAUUCAUCAUUGUAGUAUACUAAUGGAUAUUCUGUUAUGUCAGAUAGUACCUGAUACCUUCAUCCAUGAUUGGAUUGCCACUUAUAUCUAAAUCUCUUAAAUUAGGCAUUUUUAUUAUAAUUUUGUGAAGAUCUACAACAUCAUCCUUUUGCAAAUUAUUUUCCCUGGAAUGGUAAGAAUCAAGAAAUGUGAAACACACAAUUAGGCCAUCAGAAAUUCUGAAAAUAACCUGCUACAUAAGUUUCUUGAACAGCUAGAUUAUGGUAGGUACAAAGUAAUACCUCAGGUUAAGAAUGGACAGGGAGUUCAUAAAAAUAUCUGAUCUCAGCGCUAAUGAGUUUGUAGAACUUUUGUUCAGUUUUGAAAGCCAGCCAGCAAUCUACAAGAAACAACCAAUUUAACGGGUAGAAAAUAAGUAAAAGGAAAUAAAGAAUAGAUUUUCUUCAUGUCAACCCACAUUGUUUUCUGAUAUCUCAAGCGUGUGUAAAUCACAUGACGACUCAAGAAGAGUGUGAAUAAUCAUCUGAGCUAAUGAUGACUGCAUCUUAGUAUCAUUAAGUGACAGCAGAUGCAACGACCUGAACAAUUGUAAGGAUUGAACAGUGUUUGAAAGUUUCUCAUUGAAAUGGACUAUCAAGUAUCGAUAUAACAAAUCCAUAUAAGUAAAACUACUCAGAAACACAUAAAUGGUCAAUACCCCAUGAUUAAUACUAAUGGGAAGCUGCCGUAGAAGUAGAACAAAUAAACUAAAAAUAAGGUUCAUUUGUUGGCCAAUCAAUAAUAUUUCAAUUAUGAAUAUUGAAUGGCAUGCAGCUUACUUGCCAGAUGACAAAAAAUUUAACAGACCAGAAGAGAUGGUCAGAGGCUUGGUUUCACAGAUUUGUGACGAUUUAAUACUAAAUCGUUGGAUUCCAUGGCUAGAUCCCUCCUGGCACAAACUCCUGCAAAUUUUAUCCAUGACGGUAGGAUAAAGCUGACAAUGGAUAAAUUCAAGAGAAAGCAGUGUCUCUGCAUGCCAGCUCAGAAGCAAACAUGCACCAUUAACCUGUCAAUGAAAAUUCAGAAGAAACUUCAAACCCCAAUGUUGCUGACUUACUUUCAUGCCACUGAAAAGAGCAGUACAACACAAGGACAACUCGAGCUCAUGCAGAAUGGUCGUACCGAUACAAGUUGAUGACUAACAAUAUCAGCUUGUUUUAAUAUUCAAACUUAAACAGAACAUGCAAAAAUAAAACUGGGAAAUUAUUAUUUCUUUCAUAGAGUUGAAGAAAAAUUGUGCACAUGCAAAACUAAAAUUUUUCUCGAAAAACGCAGGAGAGCUGCGCAACAUUCUAUUAAGAAGUGAAAGACACAUACAACACACGUCCAGCACAAACACACACAACCCACACACACACACACACACACACACACACACACACAGCCCUGAUCCUUGGGAUGAAACGUGCCCGAGGCUAAGCUUCAAGAGGCGACCAGCAAAGGCUCAAGGAUCCUAGCAGUCUGCAAAACUAAAAUUGUGAGCAUAUCUAUGCUUUCAGCUUAUUCCAGAAAAUGAUCAUCAUGAUCUCUAUUGUUGUUUAUGCAACAGUAACGGUACUAUCAGAGGCUUAAGAUUACCUCUGGGUCUGAUAUAAUUCAUAUGAACAUUAAUCUUUCCAGCUUGCAUUGUUGCAACAAGUCCUGAGAGACAAAGGAUACCCAGCAGUCAACGUGCAAUCAUAUGAUGAUUAUAAAAAGGAUUCACCAUACUGCAAUAGAUAUGUAAUGACAUGGAUAAUAAUGUUUAGCACAUACAGAAGUUUCUGCAUUGCAAAGAACACCUUGCAGUCUCAAGCACCUGAAAAAUAAGGGGCAACAUUGAUACUGAAGAACUACAAGAAAAUAACAAACAACCAAACAAGCAUGUCCAACAUAGAUUCUUGUUGCAUCAGCACUGUAGGACAUAAAAUAGCAUAACCAAAUUAUCAUAUAUCACAGGGCCCUCAAUCAUGUCAUGAGUAUUUUUAAUUAAUAGAAUAUUCAUAAUUGGCAAGUUUUGCUGAAAAGAUUAAAAAAAUGUUAAUCAAAAAAGAAAUGCAUAUGUACAACAAUCAUCGUAUGCUGGCACCUCACAUAGCAACCAAAUUUGCUGCAUUGAUAUUCUAGUCUUGAAUGAUGUUGAGAUGUGUCCAUGCUCUGGUAGAUGGAAUUCAUGAUUUUAGCUGCUCAAUCAUGAACAAAAACAGAAAGGUUAUUGCAGCAGUAAACGGGCUAUCACAUUUUUUAGGUAAAGAUAAUUUCUAGUAACUAAUGUCAGUUCUGCCAAUACUAUACAAAAUUAUAAACAGUAGUCACUUCAACAGUACUCCCUCCGUCCUGCUAUAGAAGGUGCAACUCCUUCCACACAAAGACCAAGAACAACUUUUACUCCAUCUAAUAACUAAUUUACCGUGUGUUGAUGGUCAUGCCACUGUUCUUUUUAAUCAUGCAUUUAGCUUGGUGAUCUCUCAUCCAGGCAGAUAUGGCCAAUCAAACGGUCACUCUGCAGUGCAGCAGCAUGCAGAGACCGCAGCAUGGUAGAAGGAGCAAUAAUUGGCGCAUGUUUGCAUGCCCAUAAAAAAGGAGACUAAGUGAACCACGCCCUCUAUUGCGGAACGCAUGGAAAAACGGUUACGCCUUCUAUACGAGGAUGGAGGGAGUAAAUGGGUAUCACAUUGUUAGCUAAAGAUAUUUUUAAAAUAACUCAGUUUACAUUCUAAAACUAAGAGGGCAAUUACUCAGUUAACCAAGCAAUGUUAAGUUGGUAACAAAUGAAUGACAAUACGGUAGACAUGUCAUGAAAGAAAACAGGAUACUAACCUGAUGUACUCAGCUCACCAACACUCCCACAAAAAGAAGGAAGAAAGGCACUCUCUGCAGCUUCAUCCAAGCACCUGUGGAGGGAAAUAAAAAGAAUUGAUAAUUUGUGUUUAAGGGGUUAAAGCAUUUCAUUCAUAAAACCCAAUCACAAAUCACUGAUAGCGUACUCUUGUAAAUGCUUUUCCCAAUACUUUUGCUGCCAGUCCACAGUGCCCAAGUUAUUAUGUCCAGCGUUAUCAAGGGGCCAGCGAAGUUUGAACAACAAUUGCCAAGUAGUGCUGAAGUCUUCACACCUGAGAGCAGUAUCAUAUAUGUCAGAUCAAAUAUUGAACAAAUCCUGGUGCUGCCGAUUCUUGUCUUCAACCCAAUGCAUUGCAGUACUGUUAACACAGUACGACGAAACACGUUUUUCUUGCAUAAAUGCAUGCAAAACCUUGAACGUUUCACGCCACGUCUGUCUCCAUCUUGCAAUCCAAGUCCAGAAGUUGUUUUAGCAGAAGAGCAGCACCUGGAACGAGAAAUUAUGAGCAUACUUCCUCCGUCCACAGAUAAAUGCACAUCUCGUCUCUCGAGAAGUCAAACAUUUUUAAGUUUGACCAAAUAUAUAUAAAAAUAUACUAAUAUUUAUCAUAUGUAAUGGGUAUCAUUAGAUUGGAUAUGGAAUACAUUUUCAUAAUAUACUUAUUCGUAAAUAUAAAUAUUAAUAUUAUUUGAUAUAUUUCUAGUCAAACUAAAAAAAGUUUGACUUUUCGAGAAGUUAUUUGUGGACCGAGGGAGUAACAUUUAGGCCUUGUUUAGUUCACCCAAAAACCAAAAAGUUUUCAAGAUUCCCCGUCACAUCGAAUCUUGCGGCACAUGCAUGAAGCAUUAAAUAUAGACAAAAACAAAAACUAAUUACACAGUUUGCCUGCAAAUCACGAGACGAAUCUUUUGACCCUAGUUAGUACAUGAUCAGAUAAUAUUUGCCACAAACAAAGAAAAGUGCUACAGUGGCCGAAAACUUUCUAUUUCGGGAACUAAUUGUUUACUUUCCAGAAAAUUUUGCAAAAUUUUUCACAUUCCCCGUCACAUCGAAUCUUUAGACGCAUAUAUAGAGUAUUAAAUAUAGACGAAAAUAAAAACUAAUUGCACAGUUCGGUCGAAAUUGACGAGACGAAUCUUUUGAGCCAGUUAGUGCAUGAUUGGACAAUAUUUGUCAAAUACAAACGAAAAUGCUACGGUGCCGGUUUUGCAAAAAAUUUUGGAACUAAACAAGGCCUAAACAGCCUUAGCUCUUCCUUUAGGAAGAUUCACGAUUUUCUCAGAGGAAGAUGUGGAAAUUGGAAUAGCAAUAGAAGGUAAACGGGCACAGGAAUGGGCGUCCGGUUGAUGUGUACGAAUUGGUAGAGAAAUGGAGAGGGGUAGGCUACCGGGCAUGGGCGGCGUGAUGGAGGGACUCGAGUGCGACAGGCGGGAGCCGGGACGCCAGCCGAUGGAGAAGCUCCCAGGGAAGCCCCUCCGCCACCUCCUCCGGGUGCAGGCGGUCCUCGUCUGCCUCCCCUCCGUCAUCUUCCGAGAACCCGCCGAGACCGUCGCCGCCGCCGCACCCUCCUGGCCAACCAGUUCGGCCCACGCCUCCGCCUGCGCGGGCGUUGUCGCUGAUGAGACGAGCAGCGACCGCGUCCAGGCACAGCGAAAGCAAGCUUGGUGCCGGAGCCUUCUUGGAGAGCUCCAUGGGCACACCACCGCCUCUCUCUCUCUCUCCCCUUGUCGGUCGCCCCCGACUGCCGCGUCGCGUAGUCGCGUUGGCUAGAAAUUUCUGACGGAAGGGCGGCGGCUUACUAGACGGGCCAGGGCCCACGAGAGUGGCCUUGCUUCGGCCCAUUUCUCAUAUGGGUUUCUUGGUAGGCCGCCAAAACCUGUUUGGAUUGUAGAUUGGUAGCCUCAUCCAUGUUUCAUCAACUCAUCAUCAAGAAAAGAAAAGAAAAAAAUAAUAAGAUUGUCCGGUAAAGAAGGAUUUGUGGGCUUGGUACUAUGAUCGCAAGGGGUGUUUUCGGUUCGCUCAACCUAUAGGAUGCUCACCUUAAACAGGGAGAAUGUGACCACAUGGCUUGAAGAAAGAUUGGGGCAAUUAGAUGCAAUGGUGCACUACUACACAAAUCUUAACUGUGAAGGAUAUUUUCGAUUUACUAAGCGAACAUCACAACUGCCAUGGCCAAAAGAUCACAAUAAACAUUUGAUUUACCGAGCCGGUUCGAAUGCCCACCACGGUCAAUCAAAUAAAAAAGAAAAAAGAACAAGUAGCAGCCCAAAUGGGCCUGAAUCUAGGCCUCACACACCGCCUGCAUGCCCGAUCUGCCGCCGCCGCGUGCCGCUGCUACUCCAUGAUCUAGCCUCCACGUGCAAACUGCCGCCUGAUUCCGCACCAUCGGGGAGGAAGAAGAGGUAGUCGACACUAGAUCUGGCAGCCCAACCAUGGAUCCAGUGAAAGCUUUAGUUUGGUUUUGGAUAAUUGAUGAAACCCUAGUAUUAACCUCUAUACUAAGUAUGUGUAGACUUAAUGAGGUUGGUACAUGCCAAGUGAUGGAGCAAGUGAUGAUCAUGGUGAUGAUGGUGAUGACCACAAGAUGAUCAAGUGCUCAACUUCAAAAAGAAGAAAGAGAAAAACAAAACCCUAUUAAGUUCAAGGCAAAGGUAUUGCUUAAGAUUUUAGUUUCGGUGAUCAAGACACCAUAGAGAGUGUGAUCACAUUUAGGAUAGAUAGUCGUACUAUAAAGAGGGGAAUUCUUUGGCUAAACGGUUAUCAAGUGCCACUAGGUGUCAUUGUUCUUGUGCAUGCAUUUAGAACCUAGUGAGCUAACUUAACUCCUUCAAAAAAAAUGAUUGUGAAAAUGCUAACACACGUGCACUUGUUGGUUCACACAUUGUGGUGUUGGCACACUUUGAGAAGGAGGUGGAGUUUGAAGGGUAGAGAGAGGAUGGGUUUCUCUCUCCCUUCCGCCGAGCUUGCUCGGCGGGAUUCGGCGCUUUUUGAGAAAAUGAAGUGCAUAUUUUCUAUUGCACCGGUGGGAAUUUUGGAGAAGCCGGACGCUGGCCGCGGAAGCACCGAACGCUGAGCCUACGCGUCUGGUGUGCUGUGGUGCUCGGCUCGGCUAGGGUUAAGCAACAGACGCUAAGCACCGGACGCGGGGUAACUCCUGUUCAUGCGUGACCUCUGCGAGUAAACCUAACUGAGAGCACCGGACGCUCGAGGUGCGUCCGGUGGGGUGCGUUCGGUGUCCGCGCGUUUUGGAAACCUCUCUAGGUAUGAGACCGGUGAGCACCAGACGGUCCGGUGCUCAGUCCGGUGACCCCGUGAGUUUGUAGACCUCCCUAAGUUUAAGUCCGUUGAGGACCGAACGAGUCCGGUGCGAACUCACUGUGAGUCUGGUGCUGCAGCCACAGGGAGACUCACGUUGGCGGCAACGGUUGGAUUUCAAACGGUCGAAAUUUUCUAGGCACCGGACGCGUCCGGUGGCCCCGUUUUCAGUCCAGUAAAAGAGCCAACGGCUCUAUUUGUUUAAGGGGCUUAUAAAUAGUUGUUGGCCGGCUUGGGGCUCACACUCUUGACAUUCUAACAUACUUGACAUCCUUGUGAGCCUAAGCAAUCUCCUCCCACUCAUCUCCUUCAUAGAUUAUUCAUCUUUAUGAGAUUGGGAGUAAUUCCAAGUGCAUUUGCUUGAGUGAUUGCAUCUAGUGGCACUUGGGGAUCGAUUUGGCUGCAUUUUUCUUGUUACUCUUGGUGGUUGCCGCCACCUAGACGGCUUGGAGCAGCGGAGGAGCUUUGGCACGAGUUGGUGAUUGUUCAUUGAAUUUCUCUCGGUGAUUGGACUUCAUAUUGUUGAUUGGUUCAUCCCCUCUACGCGGUGGUAUAAAGAUCAAACUAUCUCUUUUUACAUUUCCGCAAACUAGAGUAGCUUACUUACUUGUAUAGAAACUUUAGGUAGCUUUCUAGUGUAAGUAGUGACAUAGCUCUUGUGUGCCUAGUGAUUAUAUCAACUAGAAUUGUUGGAUAAGUGGCUUGCAAACACCCCUUUAAAGCUAGAGCAAAAAGCUUCGCUUUGUUAUUUACUAACCUCUUGCUCUAAUGAGUGUAGAAUUUUUAAAUAGGCUAUUCACCCCAUCUAGCCAUAUUAGGACUUUUCAUCCAGCCUCCUCCUCGACACAUCCAAGCUCGUCCUCGCCAGAUCCACCACCGCACAAGCACCGCUGGAAUUGAGCUCCUCCAUGCUAGAUCUGGUCUUGUCCUUGUUGAUGGUAGAUAAGUGUCAUUUUUAAUCGUCAACAUAGCAUGAGAAAGGACCUAAAAUAUAAUUACCAUCUAGAUAUAGGGGUUACUGUUGUAGACUCAUUUGUGGGUAAACAGUAUAGGCACUGCGCUAAGAGGAUCACCACAACCAACAGUAGUGGCUCAAAAGAUAAUAGAAUAAGUCAAUUUUUACAUGCAAUUGCGUGAGUCUAUUUAGAAGAAGAAUAAGCAUCACUUGCUUACAUGCAGUGGCUAGGAAUAAUUGCCUAAUUUAGACAGUAUGUAUAGAGAGAGUGUGUUCAUCCUAUAAGGACAUCGAGUGAUGUAAGAAGUAGAUUAUUGAAGGAAACAGAACCUCCCACGUAGGGUGGGUUUUUCCUUGGACGGUGUCCACGAGCGCUUCAAUCGUGGCCACUGGCGAAGAACCCACCGCUCCGCUUCCCGAUAUCCCUUGCGUUCCAAUUCUCAAUCUCACCAAUCCCUUCAUUCUCCUCUACGUACUCCACGGCGGCAACGUCGUAUCAAUUUGGUAUUGGAGACCUUUCUAGGUGCAUCGACAACCAUGUCUGGCACCCCCUUCGAUCCUGCGGCCUUGGAGGCGAGGCUGGAUGCAAAAUUUGAUCGUGUGUUCGCCCAUCUUACCACCAUCACCAACCGCCUCAACUCCCACGACCAGCAAAUGGCGCGCAUCGAGUCUGGCAAGCCCGACAUGGGCAAGGGCACCAGCAGGACCGUUGAUCACAUUAGCGAUGAUGUCAGCGAUGCCGGCGAAGAGGACGAGGAUGCGCACGGCUCAGAGCACGACUAUGCCUAGGCAGCAUUCCGCGACAACACCAUUCACAAACAAGAUGGCUAGGGUUGCUGGCCCUCACGUGAGUAGAAGCGCUACGACCAUCUUAGCUUUCCAAAGCAAGAAGUUUUUCCCAUCAAAAAGAUCAAGAUUCAAAGCAGCAGCAAAACCUCUGACAGAAAAAUACCUAUUAUAAUUAGUUUUUUGGAUUGUUAGAAUUAUAGGCAAUUUCCAUAUCAUUUUAAUUCCGUAAAUUAAAAACAUGAUGAUGACAUAUAAAGCAUUAUUAAUAAAUGAUAGCAUGGUAUGACACAUGUUCAUAACAACAAUGAACAUGUGAACAGGUAACAUGUGCAACAUAUAUAUAAAAUAAAUAUUUAAACAUGGGACAUUAAUAGUACUGCAUAUGCAACAUUGUAACAGAACUAAUGAAACACAAAAACAGUAACAUGUGAAACAGAACGACUGUAUGACAGAAACAAAAAAGCAUAAGACAUAACUAGCAGGAACAGACAUAAAACAUCUUACGAAACGAUGCAACAGAGCAAAUGAAACAUGUUCAUAGUAGCAUAUGAAACAAUAGAUAGAAACUAUUGAAACAAACACACUCUGGACGACGUAAAACAGGGAGAAGAUGAACGGUUCAUACCCUGACGAUCCCGACCCUUGUCCUGUCUCCAACGUCAUGUUGAGGAAGAGGGUGAAGACGACAGUGAUGCUCCUCCCGGCUUGACGAAGAAGCGAUCCACAGCAAUACACCGGGAAGAAGAAGAAGACGUCGAUCGACGUUGGCGAUGUUGGGCAAUCGCGUAGACGUUCCCCAAAAACUUAAUUGUCGUCCUCCCGGUGCAAGGAUCACGAACGGUAAGGGCUUUGGAGGCACCUGCCCUCUCCCUUCUUCGUGCGCGCGGAUCGAGGAAGAAAUCUACGUUGUUGUGGAAUUGUAUCUCUGGAUUGUGUUCUUCACAUCCUGAUUAACGGAGUAGUAUGUGCUAUAUAUAGGAAAAACAAGAGGUGGGCAAGCCAACAGGCAAGGAGCCUCAUGGCUUGGAGGCCAAAAGUCUCACAUCUCCUCACGCAUGAAAGCCAAAGGCCUCAUACGCAUGCAUAGGCCAAAAGCCUCACACGCAUGCAAGAAAGCCAAGAGCCCAUGAUGCUCACGCCACUCCUUUAGUGGAGAUAAUGACAAUUCAUUUAAUCAAUUAGAAUAAUGGAAGUAACUCUCAUAUUCAAUCACCGUGAUUAGCAAAAUAAAAAGUCCCUCCAUUCGCCACAUCACGUCCACAGUGUGUGACACAUACCCCAAUCGUUCAGUUAGAAACUCGUACCGUAUAAAACGGUUUACAUACCAUAGAGUUUAUUGAUUUAUUAAAUAUAUAAAGGGAUCUAACCUAUAAUAAAUCCAAUAGUAUAUAUGGCGAGAAGUGGAUGUAUGGUGAGGUGGAUAUGCGUAGUUGAGAGCGAUCCUGCGAAACUAUAUAUAUAGGUUGUAAAAUAAUUUGUGGUGAUGCAUAGAGAGUCUACCAUACCGAAACUAUAUAUAUAGGUUGUAAAAUAAUUUGUGGUGAUGCAUAGAGAGUCUACCAUACGCUUUAGGUUUUGUGAUUAGCAGAUUCGUCGUAGAGUCAGACCCGAGAUGAAAAAAAUUAAGGUUUCAUCGGUCAUCUGCACCACACGUCCACACCGCCGAGUUCAACAAUACGUAAAUACUUCGGUGUUAAAGAACGGUGUAAACAAGUUUUAUCUCGGUAAAAUUCAUUUUAUAUGGUACAACUUUUAUCCUAUCUUUUUUUAUUAAGCAACUCCAACAGCUUUGCAAAUAAGUUUGACAUUUUUGUUUUUUGUCAAAACUUUCAAAAUCUUCUAUCCAACAGUUUGGCAAUUGGUGUCAGACCCAAAUUUAAGGAUAAAUUUGAGUGCAAUAAACUCUUGUAUGAGCCCCAGGAAUAGUCACACACGCAAGUCGACAAAUUACAACAGUAUCAUCAUAAGUGUCUUACAACGCGAUGAAUACAUCAACAAAUAAUAAAGUCUUGCAACAAGCGGAAAUAAAACACAUAUCUAACUCUAGCAUGGUAGCUCCAGCAUAGGGACAACCAACUAGUGGAUCGCCAACCUAGUAGUCCUCCGAAAAAUCCUCAUAGCAGCUGUCAUCUAUUACUCAUCCGGGAUUUUUAUCCAAAAACAAAUAUAGAACAAGCAUUGAGUACAUCUCAUACUUGUUGAUAUUUGUUAACGCCAUGAGUAACUGAUCCGCAAGCGCACGGAUAUCGGCGAGCAUUUCACCUGGGAGGUUAUCCAGAGUAUCGUAUUUAUAUUUUUACCACUGGGAGAAAGUGUGCAUCUGACUAACCAAAUGUAUUGCUACUACCCUUUAGGCUACAAACAAUGUGAUUCGAUGUGAGCGAUGUAUAGAGAAGACUACAACCGCACUCUCGUUCUAACCUUGGUAAGGAUGAUCUACUGUUCUAUUGAAGAGGCUUACGGAAUCUAGACACCACAAAGGAUGUUCGACUCGCACAUAUAAACUCUACCGAUCCUGCUAACGGGAUGUGGGCUACAAAGGUAACUCAGAAAUGUCACGUUCCUCGCUACUACCACGGUCCGGCUAGACAGGGGAUAUCUAUGAGUACCCUAGCCCAAACACAACGUUUACGCUAGCAAUGAUUACUCUAAACUCUACCGGAAGAUAUUAAAGUAAACUCAUAAACCAAAGAACAAAGAACUUACUAGAAUUUAGAAGUCGAAAUACUGAAGAAUCCUAGGAGCAAGAGCCUCGGGUUAGGAGACUUGAUCCCGCAGGUACAACUUCGGAGUAGACACCGAUAGGCUGGGCUUCCUCCGAUCUACGCCUCCACUCUAUCUCUCUCAAUCUAGAAGAACUUAGAAGAACUAAUUCUAAUCUCACAUUGGAUGCUAAGCCCUAUGAGGUUGGAACCCUAGAGGGACCUCUCUCUCUGAAUCCUCUCUGGAAAAUAUGCUAAUGAAUAAUGAGAUUGCUCUCCUCCAGGGCCAGGGGUCCUACUUAUAUAGUCCCCUCAAGUAAACGUGGGCCGUCGGAUCAAACCGACCUUAAUCGCACGGUUUUCCUUGAUCCCUUAGGUCGGUGGACUAUAUAAGCACGACCUUAAUCGCACGGUUUUCCUUGAUCCCUUAGCAUAAUCCGCGAGACGGGACCUGAUUGGUCUCUGUAGCAGGGCGGACGCCCAAGGGGGGAGGGCAGGCGCCCUGCCCCCGGGCCCGCUCGGCCUCCCGUUCGUUCCCGUGGUUUCUAGAUUCUUCUAGAUGAUAGAAAAUUGCGCGGCACGUUAAUAUCUCUAUGUAAACCCGACAUGUGGGCCUUUCCUCCAUAUUUCCUGAUAACACCCUGCAGAAAUAGACAAACACCAAAACUCAUGGAAUUCUAUCAGAUAAAACCCUAAGUCUGGGUGUUGGUUGCAUUUGGAUCCUUUUCUUUAUUUAUUUGAUGAUUAUAUUUGGUAUUUAAGGACCGUCAACAACUCCCCCAAGCUUACCUCUUGCUCGUCCCUGAGCAAGGAUGGACUCAAGAGUUUCUGCAGUGGUUUCAUGCCUUAAAAGUACACAUGCGUUCAAGCAAGAUCUGCUCUCUGAGUUAGAGUAAACUGUUAAGACUUGAAACUUACUCAUUUUACCUUUCACCAUGGGGCUUGCAACCGUCACUUGUGUCUUGAGUAGUUAAAAGAUAGAACAGUCAAGUCAAGCGCCAUGUCUCUUGUUCUUUGAUUAACUAUAGCUCUAGAGUUUUUACAGAUUUUCAAAUAAAACUCAGAGAUUCCUUGUAUGACUCUCUCAAAUCUCUCUUUUGUGGUAUUUAUGGAUCCUUUCCAAGGCAGUAAUGGUAUAUGCCUUCUCUCAAAGUAUGUGGUAUUUUUGUUAUGAGGCAUAGUGAUAUUGUCUUCUCUCUCACCCUACUCUAAUAAGGUUUUGAUAUUGUAACAUUCGAUUUUAAGAACAAAAUCAGAUAUGCACCAUAUGUGAGUUUCAGAAGACAAGCCUCACAUAUAGCUACAAAUAACGGGUAAUAUCAAAGGACAACGCAUAAAUUAUAUAGUGUAGAUAAUAAAUUAGAAACAACCUUGGGCAUCAAACCACAGAAGAGAAGUCCAAACUUGGGUGUUAACCUCACUCUACAGGAUCCAACUGACUGGUUGAUCACAAGCCCAAUACUUCUCCUGAGGUGUGGGGGAGAUAGCAAGAGUGAGUCCAAGACGAACUCCGCAAGUAUAACAACUAGAUUGCAUAGAUCCCACGGUCUCAUGAUCGAUGUGACAUAAAUAAUAUAGAGCAUUAAACAAUAAACAAUGAGUAUCUUAGCACAACAAGAUUUAUCACCCUUAAUGUAAGAAUCCCCAAGGCCGCUCGUAACCGUGAGCACGGCUAGUAUACCAGUUUUAACACUCUGCAGAGGUUGUACAUCUUUACCCAUAAGUCAUGAUUUACCCUUUCGCCUGAGGUGAUCAGCCUCGUAACCCACUACCAAGGUAGGUCGGCAGGGAUCACUAUGAAGUCUUUCAAAGGUUCGUCUAACAAGUUAGGGCCGCUUGGUUUCGGUAGUCAGUCCGUGUGAUUCUACCCCGCAGGGGAUCCACGGUCUGCUAUCCCCUAUUUGCGCCACACGGGUAACCUCUAACCAGCUAGAAAAAUUACUCAUACUUGACUAAAGCCAGAGCCAUCAUGGCCCUCAUGGUUGCACUUUCAUCCCGGUUAUCACUUACGAAUAAAUCCUCAAGUUGCUAAGAAGUCAUUAUUAUCAUAGUCAUGGAAUUAAAACCCAAAUGCUAUACUUGCCUUGAUCUAAUUGUUCCUGCUGGUCCUGCUAGUCUUACUUGCUUCCAAGGCUGUGAUCUUGAUCACCGAAGUAAUGCCCACUGUCUAAUCUCGAUCAUCGAUCAUCAACAUACAAACAAUCGGAGACAGACAUACACGAAGCAAACAAGAUUACAAUUAGAACAGUACACAAGCAAUAAAUAAAUUUAAAUAAAGGUUUUCCAAAAUCAUCUACAUGCUGCUACGAUCACGUCAACGAGAAACUCACGGAAAACGGAGUUACGACGCGAAAUCUACUCAUUAAACGGGACUACAAGGGCUAUCUACGGACAUGUAAUUAACUAGGAAAUCUAACAGUGGUAAACCUAAAAAAUAGUGGUACCAACGCGAAGCUUAUGAAAUUAUGAAACUAAUGCAACUUGAAUGGAUCGAAUCGGAGCUUAAACGGAGAAGAUAUGAAUUUUCUAAGAUUUUCCUAUAGAAAAGUAAUUAAUUAAAUAGGAUCACGAAAUUAAAAUGUUUCAGACUGCAGUAGUAGUGGGUCUAACAUGUAGAGAAUUUAAAUACGAAUGUAACACAAUUUGGACGGGUCAAAUCGGAGUUGAAACGAGCAUUUUAUGACUAAAACAAAAUUAGUGGCAAACUUGUAAAUACUGAAAACGUAUUUUGAAAUGACCCGAGACCGUUUACGUUUUCAAAUCAGCAAAAUGUAUUUUCCAAAGGCGUAAAGGACUGCGAGUUUGAUUCCUAAAAAUUCCAGGGGCUCUUUAACAACUUUUACCCCGAAGGGGUAAGUUCUAAUCCCAACCGUUGAUCUCAAAUCAAACGGCUGAGAGGGUUUGGGAGGGGGUGAAGGGCGCCGGCCUGAGCACCCAUGGCGGCACCAUGGCCGGAGUUGGCCCAAACCUCGCCGGAGUUCACGUUUCUAGCGCUAGGGUGCACCAAAAUCAAAUCCGAGAGCAUGUUAAGCAAGAGGAGAUCGAGACGAACUCACCUAGGGCACGAAAUCGCGGUAAAGAAGACCCGAGGAUGGCCGGCGUCGUGAUUGGCGGGCGGUGAACUUCUACACAAGUUCGACGUCACGGGGUGAGCAAAAGAGAGCAUGAAAAUGAGGGACAAAGGCUCGAGGGUGUUCGCUACCAUGAAGGGAAACCCGACGUCCAAGCCUUAGCGGUUCCAGGGCAACGUGGAGCUUGGUCCACGGCGGCGGGAUGCUCCGGUCGAGGGAGAUCCGAAUUCGGCGGCAAGCAAAGGCUUCAGGGGUUCUUGCGUCGUGAGGAUGGGGAGAGAGGGAUGCGGGGCAGCCGCACAGGCUCGGGCGCGGCACAAAACAGAGAGAGGCACGGGGGGGAGGAAAUCGUGGGAGCGGGGCGGCUCGGGCGGUUGCGCCGAGUGAAGAGAGUGGGGAAGGAGCGGUUGGAGAGGUGGGGGAUGAAGCUGACAUGCAGGCCCCACGCGUCAGAGGGAGAAGGGAGGAAAGGAGGGGCAGCCGGAUGGGCCUCGGCCCAAGAGGAGAAAGGGGAAGGCGCGAGGUGGGCUGGGACAGCAGGCCGAGAAGGAGGGGAACAGGGUUUCUUUUCUUAUUUUUUUUGAACCAAUUUUCAAAUGCUUUUAUAAUUUGAAUUUUGAACAAAUUUCUUUUUGCUUAAAUUCACACAUCACAAAAAAAAUAAAAAUAAAUAUUGCAGUAUGUAUGCAUCAAAAUGUUUCUAACCUUAUAUUAAAUUUUAACUUCCCAAAAUUUAUCUAUUUUUCCUAUAUUUUAAUGCUCACAAAAUUGACUCAAUAAAUCAAAUUCAACUAUUAAAAACAAGCAAAUUUUAGGGUGUUACAGAUAUCUGGAGCUCAUAGGUGGGAGACAGAUAUACAUACUUACAAGACAUUUAUUGCAUAGUCAAACCAUGGAUCCAGAGAAACAAGUCAAUAAGUCAAAUCAAGAUGUGCAUGUGUGGUGAAUGAAUGGUGUAUGGUGAUAACAAUGGUGAAAGUCUAAUUCUACUUUUGCUCUUUUAAGGGGAUAGAUACCUUUGUUGCACUUUGAAGCUUUUUGAGGAGAAUGAGAUGUUCUAUAUUUUCUUUUUAUUUUCUCUUAGGUGGGUAUCUUGUACCCCUAAUUCUACUGUCGGACACUUGUCCAUUUUUACCUCUCGUCUCACUUUUUCUUUUCUUCGAGGUUCCGGGUACUUGCCCCUUUUUAUUUCCUCGUAUUCAUCAUUUUUUAGAGCACUCACCCUCCUGGAAUAAUAUAGCAAGUGGUAGUAACCAAAAUAACUAGAGCAUUUAUUUUCACAGGGAAUAACAGGGAUAGGAAAAAGUUUUCGGCUAUUCUCUUCUGGAUAGGAGUAGAAUAAUUUUAGGUGAAUUUUGAGAUGAAAGUGAGUGGAUGUAUGUGGAUGCGUACUUUCGGAGUAGAAGUAGCAUGUGUGAGUGAACGUGCAAGUGGAUCUUGAUUUUAACCGCAUGACAAGCUCCUAAGGGUCUACACAGCUUGACCACACUCAAUGCUCAUAAGCAGUAAAAAGUAAAUGUGUGGCUUAUAGUCUAGCAAGCAUGUAUAUAUGGCUGUGGUAGGAAUUUAAACUCUUAUCAUACAGAAACUCAUCAUGUGUUAUUUUAAAAAUUUUCAAAGAUAAAAUUCUCCAGAAUUCUAGCAACUCUAGGAACAGAUAAACAGCAGCUCAACCUUUCCAUAUCAUAUCCGUUAACGACUUAGACCUUAGAUCAAGUACUCUUCCCACAAGUUCAGGUUUAGAGCAGGUUUAAAUUAUAACAGUUAUGCCUAAACUUGAGAGAGAGCUCAAACUUGAAAACUAGGUACAUGACAGGGCAACUAUUAUCAUAUCCAUGUAAGAGUUUAUAAUUUAAGUUCAGUUUGGCCUAGACACUUUAUUUAUUUAUUUAGCAAACUAAGCAAAGAUAUAUAUAAGCACAAAAUUUUUAUUUGGGUUUUCAUGAUUAUGCAUCUUUUUAUUAUUUGAGUAAAGUAUAAACGCGAGUAGAAACACUUAGCUGGAUAAAUGGGGGUGCUCUCCCCCAAGGUGGAUUUUGACAUAAUUUCUUCUAAUGUAGCUUGCAGGUGAUGGAGGUGUAUUUGAAUAUCGGCAGCACCCUGACAGCGAUUACUAUAUCCUCCGCUGGCUAGUCUUCUUUGAUCCUUGAAUUAUGUGGAGCUCAAAUAGACAACAAAGCUUUGUGGAACUGGUUAAGUGUUAGCAUAAAAUCUCUUAGCCUUUAUCAUAUUGAGAUUCCUCCUAUUAAAUUUUAUUUAUUUAGGAGGAUCAUGUACUUAUUAUUUUUAUAUUUCUAUUGUAAGAUGAAAACAUAUUUAUUUUAUGCCACCAUAGUCAAUAUACCUAUGGCUUUUAAACCACAAGUCUACUCACAUGGGGCUUUAGAUUUUAUGAUGUAGUGCAAUGAACAAAUAUUUUUGUUUUCUUUUCUAAUGCUAAUAUGGAAAAGUAAAUAUGCUAAUACAAGUGAUGGAAUAAAAAGAAAAGGAAUGCAGAAAAGAUAAAUAUGGAUAAAUACUGAUUUUACCUUCCGGCAAGGAUCCAAUGUUUUAAGUCUUCUGGACAAGACUUCUCACCGUGUUCAUCCUUUAAGUGCAUUAUUUGAUUAGGUGUGGGUCUUGACAUCUGCACCUCUUGAUACGGUGUCACCUAUGUUCUUCGUUUGUCCAGCAGUUCGAGGUGCGGUAUUGGCAGCAUCCUGCUCAGUGUGUUUGUGCUCAUAGAUCCAAAUCCUUCACUUGGUGGAAUCUGGGAGUUGUAAAACUCCUUCAGGUUGCUCGAAGUGUACCUGCUCAUAGAGACAAGGCAGAGAUCAAGUGCAUGGGCCCUGUUGGUAGAAAACACCAACAGAACCAAAAGUGUAUUUGUUCUUCUCUAACCUUGAACAUAGUGAGCAAGAUAAAGUUGAUGGAUAACAAGAUCAUGAGUGUAGCAUUAAAAACAUUUGUCAGAUCAGAUUGCUCAACCUAAUGGAAAGAUAAUCUAUCUAUAUUUAUGUUUUUAUAUAUAUAUAUCUUCCAAAGAUUGAAUGUGCAACAUUUUAGCUUAUAUGAUUAGGAGUGUGGGAUCACAAAUGUAGUACUAAGAACAAAGAUUAAAGGACUAAACAUGUUGAAUUAAUUAGGUUGGUUAAUUUAUGUUUGUCUCUUUAUUCAUGUGAACACCAGAACCAAGGAGAAGCUUAUAAAAGUGAUAAUCGAGUACCUUAAGAUGUUACCUUACUUGAAGAGUGAUGGUACAAUAUCACCUUGUGGAAGCUUUCCAUUCUUAGCGGUUGUGCACCGUGUUUGUGGCACACUUUGUCUUGUUCUAUGGAUCAUCUCUCUAUGAUGAAUGAGCUAUGUCUUCCUUGUGCAAAUCGUUAAACUUCACGUGUCUCCUUUGUCUCCAAUGUGAGUUUGUAUCUCUGGACUUCCCAGGUUGAUAUUGAAAGUUUUCCUGCAGGGGUUAGUCCGACAAAAUAUAGCAAUGUCUACUUAAGCAGUUUUUAGUUCAGUAACCAAACUAGACUCCAUGUCUAAUCAGAUUAAGGAAGGCUAUUUAACCUAAGCACCACGCUUAAUUUAAAUGCCAAUGGAAGUAUGUCGAGUACUUCCAAACCAACACUUGCUUGUGAAUAGAUAAAGGUAGCAUGACAGCAUUUAUAGAGAUCUACUCAGGUGGAGAUGAAAAAUAAGUUUAGUGUUUAGAAAAAUUGAGCAUGCCUCAAAAGUAGGGACAACCAACAUAGUAACAUGGCAAAGGAUGUUCUUAUGUAAGGUAUUUCCCCCAAGCUUGAAUUUUGCAAAAUUCAAGAUUGGAUGAAUUUAAUUCAACGUUGCAUGAUGAUUGGUUGGGCAUACCUUGCGCUUGUCAUUCCUCGCAUCUUCUUGCUCCAAUCCUAGAAAGGUUAGUGUCACGAAUACCCGAAGGAAUAUUUCUACAAUUAUCUUUAUAUGCUCAAUACACAAGGCAAUGUUUCAAAUAAUUAAAAGUUCAUGUUACGAUCUGAUAAGUGCUUGUUUUAGGACACUAAGCUUGUCCUUAGGAAACCAUCAAAUUAUGUUGGUGAAGUGGUUUCCCCUCCAACACCAACCUAAGCGUGCCUAUAUCAAGAUCAACUCAACGAUAUCUGCAAUAUUUAUUAUAGACAUAUGCAUCGAUAACCACCCCUUUAAUGUUUUUAUAAAUAGAAAGGAAGAGGGGGUUGGAGAUCUCAAAUGUGGUAAGGUUGGAGAGACCAAUUGAUUGGGGAGAUGUUCUAUAUGAGCAAGGACUUGGUGAGGUAUUUAUGAAAUAACUUCCAUGCUCACUGUUGUUUCUCUCAUUCUCUAACUCCAAGGAUGAUUCUUCAUGAAUGCUUAAAAUUCCUCUAGGAUUGUCUCUCAAGUUUGUUUUAUCCAUCCAUUAAAUGGUGAUAGCACAUGGAUUUUUAAUGCCCUCUAGCCAUUGAUGUUGCUCUUCUCGAUCCUCCUUGUGGUCUUGGUGACUCUUAUGCAUGGGAUGUCUAGAGAGAUUCAUAGGAUCAUCAGGAGGUUCAAGAGAAAGAGCAUAGUAGAAAUUAUUGUUGAUAUUUGGGAACGCAAUAAGGAAUGGAUCCGCAAGCGCACGGAUAUCAGUGAGCACUUCACCCGGGAGGUUAUCCACAGUAUCGUAUUUAUUUUUUUACCACUAGAAGAAAGAGUGCAUGUGACUAACCCGGUCUAUUACUACUAACCUUUAGGCUACAAAGAAUGUUUCUCGAUGUGAUAGAUGUAUAGAGAAGACUACAACUGUAAUCUCUUUCUAACCUUGGUAAGGAUGAUCUACUACUCUAUUGGGGAGGCUCACAGAAUCUAGACACCACAGAGGAUGUUCAACCCGCACCUAUAAACCCUAUUCCUCCUGCUAACGAGAUAUGGUUUGCAAAGGUAACUCGGAAAUGUCACGUUCCUCGCUACUACCACGGUCUAGCUAGUCAGAGAAUAUCUAUGAGUAUCCUAGCCCAAACACCACGUCUACGCUAGAGAUGAUUACUCUAAACUCUACGCGAAGAGAUUAACGUAAACUCAUAAACCAAAGAACAAUAAAAUAAGAACUUACUAGUAUUUAGAAGUCGAAAUACUGAAGAAUCCUAGGAGCAAGCUUCGGGUUAGGAGAACUUGAUCCCGCAGGUACAAGCUCGGAGUAGACACCGACAGGCCGGGCUUCCUCCGAUCUACACCUCCACUCUAUCUCUCUCAAUCUAGUAGAAACUAGAAGAUCUAAUUCUACUCACAUUGGAUGCUAAGCCUAAAAGAAAUUUUAUUUAGAGGAGAGGUAUUCCUUCGAGGGCUCCUCUCAACUCUAUGAUGAACUUGUCUCCUCCAGGGGCCAGGGGUUCUGGUUUUAUAGUCCCCUCAAGUGAACGUGAGCCAUUGGAUCAAACCGAUAUUGAUUGGACAGUUAUCCUUGAUCCUUUAGGUCGGUGGAGCGUCGUCCGCGAAAAGAGUUCUGAUUGGAAUCCAGGAGGGGGCGGGAGCCCUGGUCCUCAGGGCGAGCGCCCUGGGCCAGGCCCCGUUCGGCCUCCGCUUCGUUCUCGUGGCUUCUCGAGUCUUCUAGAUGGUAGAAAAUUGCGCGGUGCGUUGAUAUCUCUAUGUAAUCCCGACAUGUGGGCCUUUCUUCCUUAUUUCCUGAUAACCCCCUGCAGAAACAGAUAAACAACAAAACUCGUGGAAUUAUGUCAGAUCAAACCCUAAUUCUAGGUGUUGUUUGCAUAUUGGUUCUUUCUCUUGUUUAUUUGAUAAUUAAAAUUGAUACUUGUUGAUGCAAAACUGAUCUGCAAACACAAAGGGCUAAUACCCGAUUCCAACGUUAAGGCGUGCCAGCCGAUUUGACCUUGCUAUCGGCAAAGGUGAUAACUCGAAUACUUUAGUCCUGACAACAGCGAUGCGCCCGGAUGUCACGGCUAAGAGGUACUCACGCGGAACUCGAGAACACGCCGAGCUUAAGUCGACGAAUUCCUAAGAACUCGUAAUAAAAGGAAAAAAGUAUGACGAAGUCGUCGAAAAGUAGAUGCUGGAAUAUGAGUAAAAACGUGUGUUUGAUUGAUUUCUUGAUUUUUUUGAUUACAAGGUCCUAGGGUUUAUAUUUAUACCCUGCUCAAAGAGCUACGACCAGACACGAUUAGAAUUCGAAUUCCAAAUUACACGAAAUCCGUAUACAAAACGAUGCAAAUAACUAAGGAAGUAAUAAAACUAUCCUUCGUGACAAACCGAAACUCCUCCACAUGACAACUGGCAGCUUCUGGACUCCUCCUUCGCGUCAUCGGCAAUCCCCUUGCCAUAGUCAUCGGCAGACCUUUUUAUCCAGUCAUCGGCACCAUAUUACUGCCUGUGGACUUAGUCACAUUCAACCUCUCCCUCAUCGGCAACCAUCCUCAUCAGCAACCUGCAUCGUACUGCCACCCUAUCCUGCCAUCCUGGACAUGUGCCCAAAAAUGGUGUCAACACAUGCCCCCCAGUUUCGGAGUAUAAAACUAUUAAUGCUCCGAAAUUCUCUGCAGUAAUGAUGCCUUCUCCGCAAUUAAUGCUCCUAAUCUGGUAACCGACAACCUCAAUCUGGACAACUCUGAUCCUAAUCCUCCGCAGAUUCCUCGAAAUCCCCAACUUCCUAAACGGGCAUCUUUCUUGGUCGUACAUCGGCAACAAUACCGUUACAAAGAUCUGCCGAUGCUCUGACCAGGAUAUUCGCAAAAACGGUUACCUCCCCUCUAUCCGCCCAUCGGCAAGAUGACCGUUAUAGAAUAUCGCCGAUGGACCGACCAGGAGAUCUCGCACAGUAAAAUAUCUUUAGAUAAUGACCGCUUCCUGUCAAAUCACCUACACAAUCCCUGGAUUACCGUGCGAACAGUUACCAUAUCCACCUGAGUACCCUCAGGCUUCUCGGAUGCGGCAAAGAAAUAAGUCGGAUUUGCCCUUGCCCAUCUUGUCCUAUAAAUAGUUCCUUCUUGGGUACUCCUCCCCCAUUACACCAUUCUACUAUCCAACUUUGCUUUUCCAGCGGCGGCGCCAUUUACAACCCCCAAGAUCUCUGACAAGCACUCCUCUUCAUCAACUCCGGUGCCCUCCAACGUCCUCUUCACGACAAGAUGGCCAUUGGCUUCGUCGUCCCUGAGGUUAGACUUCCAUCUCAUCUCCUGUACUUUUUCUCGCAUUCCUGUUCAUCUGCGAUUCAUCCUACUGAAUAUCUUCCUUUUCCUUUUCUUUGUAUUUUUUAUUCCCCAAAACACUAGGAAUUGUCCAACAAAAUUGUCAUCCCUACCGAUCAACCACACCUUCAGUGCCUCGGCCCUCUAGGGAAUCCAGAUCCAACCGACCUUAUCAAUGCAGAAACCAACAGGAUUCCCUUUAGAGCCGAAAACUUUUCUUUAGAUCUGUGGAAAGACACCUUUCGCUCUUGGCCCAGCCCUACUGUAGGGUGGAAAGAUUGGUUCUUGAGGGUCAGCAAUUCUUAUGAAGUCCAGUGGGGUGAGAGGAAGCUAGCUCAAUGCAUUAGGCUAUCCAUUGCCGAUAUGCACAGGAACGAGUCACUGCUGAUAGCUGCAUCCUACUUUUGGUCAGACGCUCUCAAUGCUUUUGUUUUUGGCCACGGCCCUGCUUCUCCUACCCUUGCCGAUGUAGCCAUGCUCACUGGGCUAGAUAUAUCCUCUGCCGAUAGCACCCACUUUUUUGAUACUGCCCCCAGUGCCAAAGUGGAGACUCGCGCUAUCGGCGGUUGGUCAGGGUACAUCCAGAAGUACCGCGGGAGAGGGCCUGUCACCAUAAAGGAGCAAACCACCUUUCUGAACAUGUGGCUGGACAAGUUUGUAUUCUGUGGUCGAUCGGCAGGACCGACUUCUGUCUAUCUAUCGGCAGCAGAAAGACUGGCUAGCGGCGGCCAAUUUCCUCUCGGCCGAUAUUUGCUCGGCGCUGUUUACCACCUUCUUCAUCAGGUAGCCCAGAAACUCCUGCUUGGCCAAUCCAUCGGCAACUUGGGAGGCCCCUGGUGGUUUAUUAAUAUGUGGCUCAAUCUGCACCUGCAUAAGCGCCUUGAUUUCAACUUGUUCUCACAGCACUUCCCAAGAGAUAUAGCCGAGAAUCAUGUGUUGGGUGAAGAGGAAUCGGCAACGCGUGCCCCCUUGAACUUUGGCGAAGCCGUUAUAGUCUUACCCGGUUCAGGGAACAAUCCGGAUCAGAUCGGCCGAUUCUUCGAGACUCUGUAUGAGGGUCUGGCCAGAGAUGAACGACCAUGGCUGGCUUAUGACGACCCAGACAGUAUGCUCCCUCUGACCUUCAAUCCAUUUGAUGAAGCUCUCGACAGGGACAAUGAGGUGAUGAUGGCAAUUGUGACUCCCAGAGCCAUACCAGUGAAUUUCUUCGGUAGCACAAAAACCUCUCCCCAAACCUAUGAAUUUUACCAUCCAUCGGCAUUAGCUCGCCAGCUAGCUUUCGGCCAGUUGCCGAUUGCACUUCCUUAUGCCGAUGUGAUAAAGCCCAGAGAACCCAUCACCAACCUUCUCGAGUGGACUCGAGUAGCCCAGCUACCACCAAAUGCCGAUACAGAUGUAGAUCUGUCAGAAUGGGUUCCAGCUGCCUUUAUCACUCAGGCAUACAAGCUAUGGUGGGCAGAAUGGAAAGAGAAUCUAUUCUGCAGAUCGGCCCUCUCAUACCGCGGCAUGAUCGACCCCGAAUACGAAGUCCCUGAUGACACCGUAAGUAUUUUAAACCGAUGUCUCAUUUUCCAAUACUAUUUCCAUCGGUAACUUACCCCUGUAUUCCUUUUGCAGGUUGACAACACCCCCCCAUCGGUUAGCAGGAGUGGCAAGCCGAUCGACUUGUUCCCCUCAGGCCCGAUCUCCUCAAUCGGCCACAAUGCUCCCACUCUGGCUUCCAUCAUGCAUCGGGGUGCGCGCCUCAAGAAAGUUACCACCAGGAAAACUCAGACAUUGCCAACGGUAACUGCUUCCACUCUGGCGCAAGCUUUCAAGGCAAUUUGUUAAAACCUUUUUCAUUUAUGCUGACUAUCUUUGUAUCGGCUAUCUGUGCUCAUAAACUCCUUUUUGUUGUUGCAGCAAACUGGUGCAUCGGCAAAAGCCAAACGCCAAGGUGCCGAUGCCCCCCAGUCUAGCCAGCCAAAGAGGAAGGGCACCCAAGGUGCUAAGGCUAGAACAAAGCGCCAGAAAGUGGCAACUCCCCCUCCUCCUCCGGUGUCUCCAAUUCCGGUGGAAUCUUCCCCCUCUUCUCCAGAAGUCCAGACACAACAAGCACCAUCUCCCCAACCAAUGCAGGAAGCACCACAGAUGGAAGAACCCCAGCAGGAAGAACCUCAAACAGAAGGUACAUCAGCUGACGUGGGUGAACAAACAACUGGCCCGGCAGGUCCAAUUAUAUCAUCGGCGGUUUCCCUGAUUCAGACAACUGUUGUUCCUCCUCCGGGUAACAUAUCUCAACAAUACUUCUGCCGACAAACUUAUUCUCAUUUAGUCUCAUAACCAAUCCUGUCUUCUCUCAGGCGAUAUCGUUCCAUCGGCAACAUCUGCCGAUCAACCUGUAGCUCCAUCGGUAUAUUUGAGUCAAAGGCAAGAAAUUGCCCUGAAACAAGUAAGUCAUCCAAUUUUUCCACCAGCAUCGUCUGCCGAAGCUUUGACCAUAAAAAUGACUUAUUUCAUUCUCAUUUUCAGGAACAAGAUUCUCCCGAUAGCUUAUUCUCCUUCGCCAUUGAUAUCUUCGAAGAAGAAGGCGAGGAAGCAAGCUCUUCUCGGGCAAUUGGGACUGUAUUGGUAGAAACCAGGGCUAAGCUGGAGGAGCUAUCGGCCAUACUUCAUCAAGACACUGCUCAACUGGUCAACGAUUCUGACCCGGCCAAGGCCCUGUUCAAAACCCUUAGAGGCCAAAUUCCUGCCGAUGCUGAAGAAACCCUCUUCCAUGCUGCAUACCUAGAAAGCCGCCAGCUACAGUACCAGAGAGCCACUCGACGCCUUGCCGAUAGAGCUGCUCAAAUCCAGCUUUCUGAGGAGAUGAUGAAAGAAAAACUCUUAGCCGACGAGAAACAUAAGAACAUCGGCACCUUAAAGUCCUCAGGCGAUGCACUGAAGCAGAAAGUAUCUGAUCUAUCGGCAAAAAGAGAAGCUCUGCUGGCCGAACUCAAGCAAGUAGAGGAUGCUCUGUCCCAAGCCCAGCAAGAAGAGAGUCAACUGCCGGAGACCAUCAAGCACCUUGAACAAGAACGAAACGUCCACGGCUGCAAAGCGUUGCAGCUGAAGAGGAAGCUGAAGCCGAUAGAAGGUUCUGCCGACGACGAUAUCAAAGAGAUAGAGACAGCCAAUCAGAUCCGGCUGCGCGCCAUAUCGGCAAUCCAAGCGCUGCUGAACAUCUGAAGCUUUCAUCGGCAACACACCUUUGUUUUCCUGCUUUUAGCUUUUAGUCUAGCCGAUAAGACUGUUAUCGGCAUCUUUUGAAACAUUAAGUCUGCCCCCAAACAUUUAAAUCCAGCCGAUAGGAGUGUUAUCGGCACUUAAACUUUUAUGCAUCGACCCAUAUACUGGGGUAGUACUUCUUUAAAUAUUUGCCAUUUAAUGCUCUGGGAAAUUCAACUCCUUCGAGAGUUUCUAGAAUAUAGGCAUUACCAGGAGCCGAGUGUCUUAUCCGAUAAGGACCUUCCCAAUUAGGAGACCACUUCCCAAACUUUGAACUUUUAGUCCCGACUGGCAAAAUCAACUUCCAUACCAAAUCCCCAUCGGCAAACUCCUUAGCCUUUACUUUCUUAUCAUACCAUCUAGCAACUCUCUUCUUAUUUUCUUCUAUACUCAUUAAAGCCUUUAACCGAUGCCCUGCUAAAUCAUCUAACUCAUCGGUCAUCAAAGUGGCAUAAUCAUCGGCAGCCAAUUGAUCUUGAAAAGAUAAUCGCCUAGAUCCAGCCUUAAUCUCCCAAGGCAACACUGCAUCAUGUCCAUACACCAAUUGAUAGGGUGACACCUUGGUUGAUCCAUGACAAGCCAUCCGAUAAGACCAUAGUGCUUCAUUUAACAAUGUAUGCCACCGCCUAGGAUUUUCUUCAAUCUUUCGUUUAAUAAGCUUGAUAAUUCCUUUGUUAGACGCUUCGGCCUGCCCAUUGGCUUGAGCAUAGUAAGGAGAAGAAUUCAACACUUUAAUUCCCAUACCGAUUGCGAAUUCAUCGAACUCCCCUGACGUGAACAUGGCGCCCUGAUCGGUAGUAAUCGUUUGGGGAAUCCCAAAUCGGUAAAUAAUAUGCUCCUUCACAAAAUCAAUCAUAUUGGCCGAUGUGACUUUCUUCAAAGGAAUAGCUUCGACCCACUUAGUGAAAUAGUCAGUGGCAACUAGAAUGAACUUAUGCCCUUUGCUAGAUGGUGGAUAAAUCUGGCCGAUCAGAUCGAUGGCCCAUCCCCGGAACGGCCAAGGUUUUAUUAUAGGAUUCAUAGCCGAUGCGGGUGCUCUCUGGAUAUUACCGAACUUUUGACAACCUUGACAUCCCUUGAAAUAUUUAAAACAAUCUUCAAGUAUGGUUGGCCAAAAAUAUCCAUUCCUUCGAAUCAUCCACUUCAUCUUAAAAGCUGACUGAUGCGCUCCACACACUCCUUCAUGGAUUUCCCCCAUCAAACUUCUGGCUUCAUCAUCACCCAAGCAUCGGAGAAGAAUUCCGUCGACAGUUCGAUAAUACAAUUCAUUUUCAAGGAGCACAUACUUGGUUGCUUGAAAUCGAACCCGUCUUUCAACUUUUUUGGAUGGAUCUUUUAGAUAAUCAAUAAUUUCUUUCCUCCAAUCACCGACACUGACUGCCGAUGUCGCAUUAAUCAUUGGCUGAUAUCCCGAGGCAUGCUGGGCUAACCGAUUAGCGUCUUCAUUAUGCAAUCGGGGAACAUGCUCCAAUCGGAAGUCCUUGAAUUCCUCUAACAGUUGCAUACUUCUCUCGAAAUAGGUUAUGAGAACUUCACUUCGGCAUUCAUAGCUUCCGGCCAAUUGAUUUAUAACCAACAUAGAAUCCUCGAAUAUUUCAACAGCAUCAGCACGAACUUCUCUUAACAACUCCAAUCCCUUGAUCAGAGCUUGAUACUCAGCCUGAUUAUUUGUUGAUGUAGCAACAAUCGGCAAGGAAAACUCAUACUUCCUCCCCUUAGGAGAAACUAAUACAAUGCCGAUUCCUGCCCCCCGGUCACAGGUAGAUCCAUCAAAGAAGAGCGUCCAGGGUGCAAUUUCCAAGGUUUCCACUAGACCGCAAUGCUGAGUCACAAAAUCGGCCAUAAUCUGCCCUUUGACUGCCUUAGCCGAUUCGUAACGCAAAUCGAACUCCGACAGCGCUAAAAUCCAUUUACCGAUCCUACCACUCAUAAUCGGCAUAGAUAGCAUGUAUCGGACCACGUCAUCUUUGCAAACAACAGCACAUUCAGCCGACAACAGGUAAUGUCUCAGCUUGAUACAUGAAAAAUAUAAGCAUAAGCACAGUUUCUCAAUGGCCGAAUACCUGGUUUCAGCAUCAAUCAACCUCCUACUCAAAUAAUAAAUUACUCUCUCUUUCCCCUCAAAUUCUUGAACUAAAGCUGAACCGAUAACCGAUCCAUCGGUAGAUAAAUACAAUUUGAAGGGCUUCCCUUGUUGAGGUGGAACUAAAACUGGAGGAUUUACUAGAUACCUUUUGAUUUCAUCCAGAGCCAACUGCUGUUCUUCUCCCCAAACAAACUCUUGAUCGGCUUUCAAUUUAAGAAGAGGACUGAACGCACGAAUCCUCCCAGAUAAAUUCGAUAUAAAUCUUCUGAUAAAAUUCACCUUGCCGAUCAAAGAUUGGAGCUCGGUUUUAUUGGUAGGGGCCACUAUUUUAUUGAUGGCAUCAAUAGAUCUUCGACUAAUUUCAAUACCCCUCUGAUGUACCAUGAAACCAAGAAACUGCCCUGCCGAUACGCCAAAUGCACACUUGUUGGGAUUCAUCUUCAAUCCAUGCUUCCUUGUGCACUCCAACACUUUUUGUAAAUCGGCAAGAUGCUUUGAGAAAUCUCCAGACUUAACCACCACAUCAUCAAUAUAAAUUUCUACGAACUUGCCGAUGAACUCAUGAAAUAUAAAAUUCAUAGCCCUUUGAUAAGUAGCACCAGCAUUCUUUAACCCAAAAGUCAUGACUAUCCAUUCAAAUAGUCCAACAUGACCAGGACACCUGAAUGCGGUUUUUGGAAUAUCCUCCUCUGCCAUGAAUAUUUGAUUGUAACCCGCAUUACCAUCCAUGAAGCUGAUGACCCGAUGGCCAGCCGCAGCAUCAACCAGUAGAUCGGCGACAGGCAUUGGGUAUCCAUCCAUCGGCGUAGCUUUAAUGAGAUUCCUGAAAUCAAUGCACACCCGAAGCUUCCCGUUCUUCUUGUAAACCGGAACAACAUUGGAAAUCCAUUCGGCAUACCGACACUGCCGAAUAAACUUAGCUUCAAUAAGUUUAGUGAUUUCGGCCUUAAUAUCAGGUAGAAUGUUAGGAUUACAUCGGCGGGCUGGUUGCUGAUGUGGCCGAAAUCCGGACUUGAUGGGUAACCGAUGUUCGACAAUUGAUCGGUCUAAACCAGGCAUCUCUGUAUAAUCCCAAGCAAAGCAAUCUUUAUAUUCCUUUAACAAACUAAUUAAUUGUCGCUUACACUCAGGAUCUAAUUUAGCACUAAUAAAAGUAGGUCUAGGCUUAUCACCACUACCUAUAUCUAUUUCUACCAAAUCAUCGGCCGAUGUGAAUCCCUGGCCUAAUUUUCCAUCAUCGGCGAAUCUAUCCAUUAAAAACCGUCGUCAGAACCGACUGCUUGGAUCGGUGGAAUCUCAUAAUCGGCAACUUUGAGAAAAUCUUUCUCCCAAGCUUCUCCUGAAAUGCACCUGGUCCUUUCGUAAGUAUCCGCUUCUGCCGAUGCGAUAACAUAAGAAGAAUCUCCUGGGACGAUCUCAAUCUUGUCACCUACCCACUGAACCAAGCACUGAUGCAUUGUAGAUGGGACACAACAAUUGGCAUGAAUCCAAUCUCUCCCCAAUAAUAAAUUGUAGGCACCUUUUCCGCUGAUCACGAAAAAAGUCAUCGGCAAGGUUUUGCUGCCGAUGGUCAACUCUGCACAUAUCGCCCCCUUGACUGGAGACACGUUUCCUUCAAAGUCUUUGAGCAUCAUAUCGGUCUUGGUCAAAUCUUGAUCCCCUUUCCCAAGCUUCCGAUAUACUGCAUACGGCAUAAUAUUAAUAGCAGCUCCACCAUCAACUAGGAUCUUGGUCAUUGGCUGCCCAUCAACCCUUCCUUUGAGGAAUAAAGCUUUAAGAUGCUGCCUCUCGUCAUCGGCAGGUUUCUCAAAGAUAGCCGUCAUCGGAUCCAGAGCCAACUGAGCUAUCUGAUCAGAAAAUUCCAACUCAUCGUCACUGGCUGGUGCAAGAAACUCCAUCGGCAACAUGAAGACCAUGUUGACGCCUGCCGAUGGACCUUCCCUCUUAGUGUCUGACGGCUGCCGACUUCCAGAGUUCUCUCCCUUGUUUAGCUCCUCUUGCCUUUCUCGUUGCAAUCUCCUUUUCUGUGUCUUGGUUAAUCCUUGAGGGCACCAUGGAGGAAGUGGCCUUUGCCUUGCCGUCGGGCGUCGGUUCUCCGUUGACUCCAUGCGAUGCGUGUUAGCAUCCCUGCAAAAUAUGAAUUCAUCGGGAACCCGCGCAUCAGCCAUUCCUUCGAGCUCCUCUUGGUUCCUGGGAAAAUACUGGACACGGUCACUAAGUCUGUUGUGCCCACUGAAUCUGCCCCCCAGCCGGUCAUGAACUGACACCCUUCCUCUGAUCGGCCCAUUAGCUCGCCGUUCAUCAUCAUAAUAACGCCGAUCGUUCCUAUCGUACCGAUCAUAACCGUUGCAUUCAGGGCAGUCUCUGACAGUAGGAAGCUUGAUAUUCUCCUCCCAACAAUGGAUGAAGAAUGGGCAAUUCCAAUGAUCCCUGUGCCGAUUCCACUCCUGUCGGCGUCUUUCUUCUUCCCGUUGAUAAUCUUCCUGCUGGCGUCGAUACCGAUCUUCCCGUUGUUGCCAUUUUUCUCGAGGCCUCCUAUGAGUUAUGACGAUGCCAGAUCGAGGAAGCCUUCCUGAGCUAGUUCCUUCCUGGACCAAGCCCUUACUUCUUGCAUCGGCAGUAGUAACUUGAUGCUGAGGAUCUACCGAUGCACUCUUCUCAGCUGUUUCUGACGUUAAGACCUUAGCCUUCCCCUUAGCGUCCAACAUGUUUGUCGGGAAAGGAUGUUGGUCUAUCUUCAUCGGCUUCUGGGCUUUAGAACUGUCAAACUUGAUUCUCCCUGACUCUAUAGCCGAUUGCAGCUGCUGUCUGAAUACUUUGCACUCGUUGGUGUCAUGUGAAGUUGCAUUAUGCCACUUGCAAUAUCUCAUCCUCUUCAACUCUUCUGCCGACGGGAUCACGUGGUUAGGUGACAGUUUGAUUUGACCUUCCUGAAGUAGAAAGUCAAAUAUCCUAUCGGCCUUGGCGGUGUCAAAGGCAAACUUCUCUGGUUCCUUCUGCCCAAAAGGACAAGACAUCGGCUUCUUGUUUUUUACCCACUCUGCCAAACCGAUUACUGGUUCCUCGUCGGAAUCUGAGCUUGUUGCUUCGUCAACAAAUGACACUCUCUUAUUCCAUGCCCUCUUAGGCUCGAAAGGCUUGAUGUCUUGAUCAGAUAUCCUCUGCACCAAAUGACUUAAACUUUCGAACUCCUGAGAGGCAUACUUAUCCCUGAUAUGUGGCAACAAACCCUGGAAAGCCAAAUCGGCUAGCUGCCGAUCAUCCAGAACCAGGCUAUAGCAUUUAUUCUUGACCUCUCGUAUCCUCUGCACAAAUCCCUCAACCGACUCAUCAUUACGUUGCCUCAACUUGACCAAGUCGGUGAUCUUCUUCUCAUGAACCCCCGAGAAGAAGUAUCUGUGGAAUUGCUUCUCUAGAUCGGCCCAAGUAAUUACUGAGUUGGGAGGUAAUGAUAUGAACCAAGUAAAGGCCGAUCCAGACAAUGAUGAUGAAAAUAGACGAACCCUCAAUUCGUCCCUGUUACCAGCCUCUCCACAUUGAAUAAUGAACCUGUUGACAUGCUCCAUGGUUGACGUGUCGUCCUGUCCGGAAAACUUUGUAAAAUCCGGUACCUUGUACCGAUGUGGAAGCGGGAUCAAAUCAUACGCUGGAGGAUACGGUGUCCGAUAAGAAUAAGUGUUGACUUUGGGUUUUAUCCCAAAUUGUUCCCUCAUUACUUCAGCAAUCUUAUCGGCCCAAUACGCAUCGGCAUCUUGCCGAUGAGGCGGCUGCGGAUCUGGCACUUGGUGGCGAACCUCCACGUGUCUGUUUGGGACGUGACCUGCAUGGAACAUCGUAUUGGUCACCUGUCCUCCAAUCUGCGGACUACCAAACUGCUGUCCACCGAUUAGCUGUCCUCAGAGUUGCUGUCCAAAAUUUAUUGGCUGGUUGGGAAUCCCCUGACCUUGGAACCCGGGAUAAACCUGCCCUUGCUGGAACCCCGUAGUCUGAUAACCCUGCUGGGGCGAUUGUGGAAAGGCUUGUUGUCCAAGCCAUCCAUUAUUAGCGUUCAUCGGCAUAGGUGCUGCCGAUGAUUGGUAAUUGGGUACCGUCGUUGAAUUGACAUACCCCGACUGGGCCACAGGCCUCUGUUGCAUCAGCAUUGACUCUACCGAUGCGUUGGGCAUCUGAAACAUUGAAUCUUGAGGAUUCCCAGUGUGAGGCCUUGCGGUAGUAGUUGUGGUAUACCGAGGACUCUGGUUCACCGGCGCAUUGGGAGGUGCCGAUGUCAUAGGAGUUUUGCCCCUCAUGUCAGUUAUUUGUGAUGUUCCCGGCGUCAACUCUGGAGGCAUACCAUAACCCCACCAGUUGGGAGGAAGAUUUAACCCUGACAUUGCUGAUGCCAACAUAUCUGUUGUCAGUUUAUGCUGCCCAACUGAAAUUUGUAGAAGAGGUAUGAUCUCCAGGGGCCAGGGGGGUCUAGUUUUAUAGUCCCUUCAAGUGAAUCUGGACCGUUGGAUCAAACCGACAUUGAUUGAACGGUUAUCCUUGAUCCUUUAGGUCGGUGGAGCAAUAUCCCGAAGGAGAGUCCUGAUUGGACUCUGGUUGAGGGCGGGCGCCCAGGAAAGGAGGGCGGACGCCCUGUCCCUGAGUCCUCUCGGCCUCCGCUUCCUUCCCAUGGCUUCUGGAGUCUUCUAGAUGAUAGAAAAUUGUGCGGCACGUUAAUAUCUCUAUGUAAACCCGACGUGUGGGCCUUUCUUCCGUAUUUCCUGAUAACCCCCUGCAGAAAUAGACAAAAACCAAAACUCGUAGAAUUCUGUUAGAUAAAACCCUAAGUCUAGGUGUUGGUUGCAUUUGGAUCCUUUUCUAUGAUUAGUUGACGGUUAAAUGUGAGCUUUAAGGACCGUCAACAGUACAUACCCUGAAACCAUAAAAUUAACAAUAUCUGCAUACCAGGGGUCAGACCUGUUAAUCCUGUAGAGCAUGUCGUCUCGGAGUGAAUCAUUGAUGGGGGUUUCCUGUGGACUCUUAAAAUACAUUCUAGACAAGUGAUCAGCAACAGAAUUUUCUACUCCCUUUUUAUCUUUUAUUUCUAAGUCAAAUUCUUGAAGUAAUAAGAUCCAUCUAAUUAGGUGAGGUUUAGCAUCUUUUUUAGUGAGCAGAUACUUUAGUGCAGCAUGAUCAGUGUAAACAAUUAUUUUAGCUCCAACUAAAUAAGAUCUAAAUUUAUCAAUGGCAAAGACAACAGCCAGAAGCUCUUUUUCAGUGGUAGCAUAAUUAAGUUGAGCUCCUGUCAAAGUUUUACUGGCAUAAGCAAUUGCAUGAUGCUUCUUAUUUUUAGUUUGUCCCAAAACUGCCCCCACAGCAUAAUCACUAGCAUCACACAUAAUUUCAAAAGGCAAUGACCAAUCAGGGGGUUGAAUGAUUGGUGCAGAGAUGAGUGCAUUCUUUAAUAAGUUGAAAGAUGUUAGGCAUGCAUCAUCAAAUUCGAAAGGAGCAUCCUUGGCUAGCAAAAGAGUAAGUGGUCUAGCAAUAAAUGAAAAAUCUUUUAUGAAUCUGCGAUAAAAACCAGCAUGGCCAAGAAAGCUUCGAAUUCCUUUAAUAUUCACAGAUGGAGGUAGUUGUUCAAUUACUUCAAUUUUAGCUUUGUCUACCUCAAUACCUCUUUCAGACACUAGGUGUCCCAGCACUAUUCCUUCCCUAACCAUAAAAUGACAUUUUUCCCAAUUAAGGACUAAGUGCUUUUCUUCACAUCUUUGCAAAACCUUGUCUAAGUUUUCAAGACAACUAUCAAAAGUUUUUCCAUAUACAUGGAAAUCAUCCAUGAAAACUUCCAUAAUCUCUUCAAUCAUAUUAGAAAAUAUAGACAUCAGCAUCUUUGAAAAGAAGCUGGUGCAUUACAUAACCCAAAAGACAUUCUACGGUAAUCAUAAGUUCCGUAUGAGCAUGUAAAAGUGGUUUUGCUUUGAUCAUCGAGAUGGAUGGGGAUCUGGUGAUACCCUGAAUAUCCAUCUAAGAAACAGAAGAACGAAUGGUUCGCUAAUCGCUCUAGCAUCUCAUCUAUGAAAGGUAAAGGAAAAUGAUCCUUUUUUGUGGCUUUGUUCAGUUUUCUAUAGUCUAUGCACAUCCGCCACCCUGUGAAGGUGCGUUGCGGAAUUAGCUCGUUCUUUUCAUUCGUAACGACAGUCAUGCCUCCCUUUUUAGGCACAACUUGUACUGGGCUCACCCACUCACUGUGCGGCAUAGGAUAUAUAAUCUCUGCAUGCAGCAACUUUAUAACUUCCUUUUUAACUACCUCUCUCAUCGUGUUGUUAAGUCUACGUUGGGGUUCUCGAGAAGGUGAAACAGAAGGAUCUGUUGGAAUACGAUGGGUACAAAUCAUAGGACUGAUUACUGUAAGAUCUUGGAGUGAGUAGCCAAAAACUAAGUGAUGUUUCUCAAGAAUAGUCAUCAAUCGUAGAGUUUGCUCCUGAGUGAGUUUAUCACUAAUGAUCACAAGAAACUCUGGAUUAUUGUUUAGGAAAGCAUAGAUAAGACCGGGUGGUAAAGUUUUAAGCUCUAUGGGAGGUCUAGGUGUUUCUGCAAACUCAUCUAAGGGUUCUGGUUCAGAAGGUUCAGCUUCUUCUUCUGUGAAGAAAGGAGUUUCGUCUUCUAAGUCUGGUUUAUCUAAAAGCUCUAGAGAUGCAGCCUUUACCUCCUGCAUAGGCUCAGGUAAAAGAUAUGACUCGGCCUUAUUAUUUAAGGAGUGUGAAAUUGUUAUGGGAAAUUUAAAAGUUUUUCCAAAAGAAAUGUGUAGCUUUCCAGUAUGACCUUCAUAAACGAGUCUUCUAAAAGGUUGUCCUAUCAACAGGUCGAAGUCCCAUGUAUCAAAGAUAUAGAAGUUCAAAUGAACCAUGGAGCCUUCUACCGUAAGAGGUAGGACAUUAAUAAUUCCAAUACUAGGGACUAAUCGUCCCGAAGAUUCCUUUAUGACUUUUGUUGUGGGGGUUAAGACAAGAUUUUUAAAUAAUUUAAGUGCAAAAGAUUCAGACAUGAUGUUGAUCCCCACAACAGGAUUAUAGAGAGCAUCAAAUCGAUCAGAAUCAUAAGCACAGCGUAUAGUUAUAGAGGGUGUGUCCAAACGGAUCACAUCAGAGGAAAGCUCUGAUUCCUCCAACCAUUCGCUACUCAUGACUGCGAUAAGCUCUCUCAAUUGAUGUUCACUUGGUAAACAAAUGCUAAACUGGCCGUUUUGGGGUUUGUUAGUAGAAUGGUAAUUUGAAAUGUUUCCAAAAUCGGCAAAAAGAUCAGAUUCUAUAUCCAGCAUGAAAUCCGGUGGUGGAAUUUCUUCCUUUUGUGGCUCAGAACUUGGGAUAGCUAAAGUAGAUGGAGAAUUUGGCAGAGUGUCUACUUCGGCUUCGUGGGUUUCAUCAUGAAGGGUAUUAUCCAUCUCAGCUUCUAGGAUUCUAUCUAAGAUCACUCUAGCUUCAUCAGUAGGGAUACGAAAGAAAGAACCUCGAGACAUUAUAUGUAGCAUUUGUUUGAGAUCCUUCUAAAGACCUCGAAAAAAUGAAAUAAAAGAACAGGGUCUUCAAGAUUAAGGUUUGGACCAGAUUCUAAAACAUCAGAAAAAUGUUUCCAAGAUUUUCCCAAAGUUUCAUUAUCUUUUUGUUUAAAAGAUAGGACUUCGAGUCUAAGGUCGCCGAUACAGUCGAGGGAAUAAAAAUCUAGACAAAAGUUGGCUUGUAAAAAUCUAGACACAUGUUUGCUCAAAAUCUCUAAUAUGAAGGUAAGGGUUUUCGUCUUCCUUUCCCGAAAAAGAUAGGUUUUGAAUCAUGGCAAUCAACCUAGAACUUAACCUAUACUGGGAUGUUUGGAUAGGCUGUGAUGACUCCCAUGGUAAAAGGUCAGUUUCCGAAGGUGUUCCAAAUUGAUAGAUUGAUUUAGAAUCUUGGUUUUCCAUAAGGUAAGAAUAAAGAAAAUAAAUAAAGAAUAUAAAAGAUAAGAAAAGAUAAAAGUAUAGAUACAAGCUAGUAGUAAGACUCAAGGUUAUCUCAGCAAACCGUCUUUCUCCCCGGCAACGACCCCACAAAUGCUUGUUGAUAUUUGGGAACGCAAUAAGAAAUGGAUCCGCAAGCGCACGGAUAUCGGUGAGCACUUCACCCGGGAGGUUAUCCAGAGUAUCGUAUUUAUUUUUUUACCACUAGGAGAAAGAGUGCAUCUGACUAACCCGGUCUAUUACUACUAACCUUUAGGCUACAAAGAAUGUUUCUCGAUGUGAUAGAUGUAUAGAGAAGACUACAACCGUAAUAUCUUUCUAACCUUGGUAAGGAUGAUCUACUGCUCUAUUGGGGAGGCUCACGGAAUCUAGACACCACAGAGGAUGUUCAACCAGCACCUAUAAACCCUAUUCUUCCUACUAACGAUAUAUGGUUUGCAAAGGUAACUCGGAAAUGUCACGUUCCUCGCUACUACCAUGGUCUAGCUAGUCAGGGAAUAUCUAUGAGUAUCCUAGCCCAAACACCACGUCUACGCUAGAGAUGAUUACUCUAAACUCUACGCGAAGAGAUUAAAGUAAACUCAUAAACCAAAGAACAAUAAAACAAGAACUUACUAGUAUUUAGAAGUCGAAAUACUAAAGAAUCCUAGGAGCAAGCUUCGGGUUAGGAGAACUUGAUCCCGCAAGUACAAGCUCGGAGUAGACACCGACAGGCCGGGCUUCCUCCGAUCUACACCUCCACUCUAUCUCUCUCAAUCUAGUAGAAACUAGAAGAUCUAAUUCUACUCACAUUGGAUGCUAAGCCUAAAAGAAAUUUUAUUUAGAGGAGAGGUAUUCCUUCGAGGGCUCCUCUCAACUCUAUGAUGAACUUGUCUCCUACAGGGGCCAAGGGGUCUGGUUUUAUAGUCCCCUCAAGUGAACGUGAGCCAUUGGAUCAAACCGACAUUGAUUGGACGGUUAUCCUUGAUCCUUUAGGUCGGUGGAGCGUCGUCCACGAAAAGAGUUCUGAUUGGAAUCCAAGAGGGGGCGGGCGCCCUGGUCCUCAGGGCGGGCGCCCUGGGCCAGGCCCUGUUCGGCCUCCGCUUCGUUCUCGUGGCUUCUCGAGUCUUCUAGAUGGUAGAAAAUUGCGCGGUGCGUUGAUAUCUCUACGUAAUCCCAACAUGUGGGCCUUUCUUCCUUAUUUCCUGAUAACCCCCUGCAGAAACAGAUAAACAACAAAACUCGUGGAAUUUUAUCAGAUCAAACCCUAAUUCUAGGUGUUGUUUGCAUAUUGGUUCUUUCUCUUGUUUAUUUGAUAAUUAAAAUUGAUACUUAAGAACCGUCAACAAUUAUUAGGCUCAAGGAUGGGUUUAAAGAUAGGUUCAAAUGAAUCAUCAAAAGUGGGUGUAGAAGGGGAGAAGAUGAGAUUGUCUUCUAAAUGGCUUCGCUCUCUUUCUACUGCAUCAUUUAAGAUGUCAUCCUUGAGUCUUUCUAGAUGUCCAUCAAAGGGAUUGGAUUGGAGAUGCUUUCUAAGAGAUCCCUUCUUAGGAAGGUUCAAACUAUAUGCACUCAAAGGUCUCUUAUGAACCAGGAAGUUUAAGCUCAUCCCAAAAUGAAUUUCCAAAGGUAGAAUUUCUUCUUCCCUUAGAUGAUUUUGGAGCACUACUAGUUUGGGUUGGAUAGCCGAAUCAUGGGGUUGAAAUGUUUGGAAAUUGGCUAUUGAAACUUCCUUUCCUCGUCUAGGAGAUGAUUCCUUCUCUAUCUCUAGGAUUUUUUUAUGAAGACUAGUACAAGAAGGAUGUCCACGAAUGAAGACAUACCUUGCUUUACUAACAGAUAAAGAAAGAAAAACUCUACCAAAGGUUAUAUGAUUAAGACCAAUGUGAAAAUAUCGAGGAAAAACAUGGUCUUGUAGGGCUAGGUCUAAACCAGAAUUUAUAGAAAGAUUAAAAGAUUCCUUAGGUGUAGCUAAAAGUUCAUUAUCUUCUUGAUUAAAAGAUAUGACCUCGGCUAUAGAAAAGGGUUGGUUUUGACCUACUGCAAUCAACUCCGGACACAGAUCAUAAUUAGGGGCAAAGAAAGGACUUGUUGACUCCCAUGGUCUAUGGCUGGUCUCCGAAGGUGCAAAAAAAUUCAAUAAUAGGUGUGGAAUUUGAGUUAUCCAUAAAGAUGGAAAAAAUAAAAAGAUAAAAGAAUAAAAGUAUAAAAGUAUAAUACAAGAUAAUAGCAAGACUCAAAGUUAUCUCAGCAAACCGUCUUUCUCCCCGGCAACGGCGCCAGAAAUGCUUGUUGAUAUUUGUUAACGCCAUCAGGAACUGAUCCGCAAGUGCACGGAUAUCGGUGAGCAUUUCACCUGGGAGGUUAUCCAGAGUAUCGUAUUUAUAUUUUUACCACUGGGAGAAAGCGUGCAUCUGACUAACCAAAUCUAUUGCUACUACCCUUUAGGCUACAAACAAUGUGAUUCGAUGUGAGCGAUGUAUAGAGAAGACUAUAACCGCACUCUCGUUCUAACCUUGGUAAGGAUGAUCUACUAUUCUGUUGGGGAGGCUUACGGAAUCUAGACACCACAAAGGAUGUUCGACCCGCACCUAUAAACCCUACCGAUCCUGCUAACGGGAUGUGGGCUACAAAGGUAACUCGGAAAUGUCACGUUCCUCGCUACUACCACGGUCCGGCUAGACAGGGGAUAUCUAUGAGUACCCUAGCCCAAACACCACGUUUACGCUAGCAAUGACUACUCUAAACUCUACCGGAAGAGAUUAAAUUAAACUCAUAAACCAAAGAACAUUAAGAAUAAAGAACUUACUAGAAUUUAGAAGUCGAAAUACUGAAGAAUCCUAGGAGCAAGCCUCGGGUUAGGAGACUUGAUCCCGCAGGUACAACCUCGGAGUAGACACCGACAGGCCGGGCUUCCUCCGAUCUACACCUCCACUCUAUCUCUCUCAAUCUAGAAGAACUUAGAAUAACUAAUUCUAAUCUCACAUUGGAUGCUAAGCCCUAUGAGGUUGGAACCCUAGAGGGACCUCUCUCUCUGAAUCCUCUCUGGAAAAUAUGCUAAUGAAUAAUGGGAUUGCUCUCCUCCAGGGGCCAGGGGUCCUGCUUAUAUAGUCCCCUCAAGUGAACGUGGGCCGUCGGAUCAAACCGAACUUAAUCGCACGGUUUUCCUUGAUCCCUUAGGUCGGUGGAGCAUACUUCGUGAGAUAGGACCUGAUUGGUCUCUGUAGCAGGGCGGGCGCCCUGCCCCCGGGCCCGCUCGGCCUCCCGUUCGUUCCCGUGGUUUCUAGACUCUUCUAGAUGAUAGAAAAUUGCGCGGCACGUUAAUAUCUCUACGUAGACCCGACACGUGGGCCUUUCCUCCAUAUUUCCUGAUAACCCCCUACAGAAAUAGACAAACACCAAAACUCGUGGAAUUCUAUCAGAUAAAACCCUAAGUCUGGGUGUUGGUUGCAUUUGGAUCCUUUUCUUUAUUUAUUUGAUGAUUAUAUUUGGUACUUAAGGACCGUCAACAAUACUCCGCAAGUAUAACACGAGGUUUCAUGAGCCUCAAAAGAGUUAGACUCUAGCUACUACAGUUGCCAUUUUAAUAGAUCAAUGUUUUAACAUUAAUUAUGCAUAAAUUAUGCUUGAGUACCCGAUUAACCCACAUGAUUACAUGAUAAUAACACCGUUAACUGUCACGGCUAACACCAUUGUUGACGGUCCUUAAGUACUAAAUUUAACCAUCAAAUAAACAUGGAAAAGGAUCAAUAUGCACCAAACAUCUAGAAUUAGGGUUUUAUCUGAUAGAAUUCCACGAGCUUUGGUGUUUAUCUGUUUCUGCAGGGGGUUAUCAGAAAAUAUGGAGAGAAGGCCCACAUGUCAUGUUUACAACGAGAUAAUUACGUGCCGUGCAAUUUUCCUCAAUCUAGAAGAGUCCAGAAGCCAUGGGAACGAACGGGAAGACGAUCGGGCCCGGGGCAGGGCGCCCGCCCUCCCCCCUUGGGCGCCCGCCCAGGUCACAGGUCCAAUCCGAACCAAACUCUUGGAUCGUGCUCCACCGACCUAAAGGAUCAAGGAAAACCGUGCGAUCAAUGUCGGUUUGAUCCGACGGCCCAAAUUCACUUGAAAGGACUAUAUAACCAAGGCCUCUCCACCCCUGGGGGAGAGAAGAGAAGAGGAGAAAUCAUUAUCAGAGGUAGCCAUCAAAGUUAGGGUUUAGAGCUUCUCUCCCACAGAGAAUUAGAAUUAGCUACUCCCUAAUCCUUCAAGUUUAGAGGAUUGAUUAGAUAGCAAUUAGAGAAGUAGAGCACUACGCUCUGGAUUCGGAUCUUCGGUAAUAAAGAUUGGUAUUAUUCAUAUCUUUCUCUAAUACUUCGUUCUAAUUACAUUAUGUCUCUAUUUAUUAUGCUCUUAGUUUGCUCUAGUUCUAUAUUUGAUAUAGUUAUGAUUGAUAAUAAGUUUAAGUAUAAGUUUGCAAAGCGCUUAGCUCUUGACUCGAGGGAGUUAGGUGGUAGAUCACAUGUGGGCGUGGUGCUUAGAUGUUAUUUACCUGCAAAUGUAUCCUAUUGGCCGGGUUGUGUGGUAGUUCGUGAUAGUGACAGCUUCGUUGAUUCUUAUAUAGUCCACCCUCCGUUGAUAGGACAGACAGAAUUUGUAUUGCGGAGUAAGUCUUACAAUGUUCUGAUUUACUUUAGCAAUGUUCCUUAUACAUAAAUGAAGAGUCUUUUAUACUAUACAUGAUCUUGUAGAUAACUAGAGUAGAUUGUGACUUAGUAGAUAGUAAAUAACUUAGAAUCCAUUCUCUAGCUAAUCCGACGUCACCUACAUAUAUGAGGAGUAGUCUAUUUUCUAAUCGUUGUGUUAAUUACCCAUGAACUUAUAAUUCAUUAUCAUUAUCUUUAUGGUUUACCCCCUGCCAAAGUAAGUGACUGUGUGACGAGUUUUUCAUUAGUAAUCAUGUUCUUGCAAGUUUAUCUCUAGUCUAUGCCUUGAUAGAUUUAGUCUUUAUCUUAAUUUCACCCUUGUUCUCUUAAGCAAAAUUAUAAAUAACGAUACGUGGAAUACUUGUCCUGGUGAAAUGCUACAAUGAGGUGUUUUAUCUGUGCGCUUGCGGAUAGAAUAGAUUAUUUUCUAGAGAGCCUUUACAUUUAUAAAUACCUUUGUACACUCUGGCACCAUGCUGGGGAUGACAACCUAGUAUCUAAGUGGUGUUAGCUAGUGUCAACAAACAUUUCUGGCGCCGUUGCCGGGGAACAAAAGGGUAAUACAUUGGAACGGUAAGGAAAGUCAAGAAAUCAGUCAAGGUUAUUCACAUAAAAUAUUAGACUAGACUAUAGAGAAAUAAUUGCAUAAAAACAGCUACUAAGUGAGAAAUCAUAACAAGGCACCUCUGCUUUGGCAGGUUCACCCUGUUGUUUUUCUAUGUUUACAUUUUUUAUACAGGGUAUAUCAGGAUUGACUUUGGGUACAUUCAACUCUUCAUCAUCAGAACCAAAGCAAUCAAGAGAAGAAGAAGCUAGCUACCAAUUGCUGAAGCUAUGGCACAAAAGACCUUGCAAGAAUUCUCUCCUCCAAGUCUUGAGAACAUUCCAACUGGUCCAAGAUUUGCAGUAGAAGAAGGAGUACCCGAGUUUGAGCUCAAGUCAAGCCUCAUCAAUUUGGUACAAGCUACACAAUUUAUUGGAAAGGCACAUGAAGAUGCUAGUGCACACUUGCAGAAUUUCUUAGAGAUUGGAAGCACAAUCCACAUCAACGGAGUUGACAAAGACGUCAUACUGCUUCGUCUUUUUCCAUUCUCACUAGAAGGGAAAGCAAGGAAGUGGUUCUACACUCAUCAAGACAACAUUAACAACUGGACGAACUUGUCAGAUGCCUUUCUAUCAAAGUUUUUCCCUAUAGGCAAAACAACUGCCUUAAGAGGAAAUAUUGUCAGUUUCCAACAGCAGAAGACAGAAACCAUUUCAGAAGCAUGGGAGCAUUUUCAAGGAUACAUGUCAAAUUGUCCUCACCAUGGAAUGGCCACAUGGUUACUUAUGCAGACCUUCUACCAUGGAUUAACCUAGAAGGCUCGUGAGUGCCUAGAUGCAUCUGCUAAAGGAUCAUUCUUGGAGCUUACAAUUGGAAAAGCAGAGAUACUUUUGGAUAAGAUAGCAGAAAACCAAAGCUGGUUCCAAGAUGAAGCUCAACAAUGUCAUCAAACUGAAGAAAUACUAGAAGAAGUAGAAGCAUUAUCAACCAAGAUGGAAAAUUUGCUCCAUUGGAUUGACCAGAGGGCCAAGUUCAAAGAAGAUCAAAGGGCCAUUGAGACAGCAUACAAAUAUCAGCCUACCUCGAGUCAACCCAAUAGCAAAGGUAAAGAACAUAACUACUAGAGGAGGCAAAGCCACCAAAGAUCCCCCAUACCCAAAAGAGAAACAAAGAACAUCAGCACCAGUGCAACCAGCAGUGAUAGAAGAAGAAAUCCCAGUUGAAGUAGACGAUCUGCUACAACUACCAAGAUCUGGAGAAAUGAGGAAAGAUUUUUACGACACCAACUAUUUGCCAUUUCCCAGAAGAAACAGAGGACUGCAAUCGGAUGAGCAGUUUGGUCAGUUUGUAGAGGUCAUUCAGAAAUUAUAUGUCAACAUACCUCUACUUAAUGCCAUACAGGUACCUACAUAUGCAAAGUACAUCAGAGAUAUUCUUAACAAGAAGAGACCACUGCCCACCACUGAGGUUAUCAAGCUGACAGAAGAAUGUAGUGCGGCCAUCCUCAAUAAACCACCAAGAAAGAAGAAGGAUCCCGGAUGUCCCACUAUUGAUUUCUCGAUCAGAAACCAACACUUCAACAAUGCACUUUGUGAUCUCGGAGCAAGUGUCAGUGUGAUGCCAGCAUCAAUCUACAAAAAGCUUGAGCAUGCGACCCUAGAACCAACAUCAAUGUGCCUGCAACUAGUAGAUCAAUCGGUUCGACACCCGUUGGGCAUCACCGAAAACAUUCCAGUCAAGAUCAGAGAUUUCCUGGUGCCAGUAGACUUCGUGGUACUGGACAUGAGUCCUGACUCAAAAGUAUCCAUCAUCCUUGGAAGGCCAUUUCUGAGCACUGCCAAUGCCCACAUUGAUGUCGGGAAAGGAGAAAUCAAGUUCAACAUAAAUGGAAAAGAAGAACACUUCACAUUCAAACCCAGACCAGAGAGAGACUCUACAGUGAAGGAAGUUCAUGAAGAAGAACCACUGGAGACACCAUCUCCGGAAGAAGGUAAUUCAGAAGAUUAAAAGAUUUGGAGGUCUAGCUUGGGGGACCUAAAAAUCCCAAACCCUCACCGAGAGGUAAAUCGGUAUUUAUCCGCAUCAUUAAUUCUUGCAUAAUUAAUUCUUGCAUUAGUCAUAUAUAUUCAUAGCAUUACUAUAAUAAUAAAAAGCCCCAUAAAAAUAAUAUUUAUGGUGUGUAACAACCCAUAAUUAUUAAUUAUCGUGGAGGCACAAAAAUAUUUUUCCAUGAUCAUUUUUAAUAAGUUUCAAUUCUCAUAGAUUUUCCAGCAUUAUAUUUAAUUAUAGCAACCUUCUAGAAGCAUGACCCACACUCCUUGGGUCCCACAUGUCAUUGUUGGGUAUUCUUAACAUCAUCACCAAAAGUAGACUAAGUUCUCUAAAUCUAGUAACGGUGCCAAAAAUGCCAAACCUAUCCCUCACACCACUUAAGCCAAGUUGUCAUCCCCAGCAUGAUAUAAGAGACGCGGUAUUGAAAUAUGCAAUUGCUCUUCUAAAUAAAUAAUGAAUGGGAUCUGCAAGCGCACAGAUUAAUACCGAUGUAGCAUUUUAACCGGGAAGUAUUCCAGGUAUCAUUAUUUAUAUUUUUACCACUGGGAAGGGAUUAGCAAUCAUCAAUAUUGAUUACAGAAUAGAAUAUGAGAUUGAGCAUCUAUCAUUGCAUGUAUAAUUGAGAACAUUAUAUCUAACUCAUCAUACAGGGAUAAGUGUCACAUAAAAGAUAUAUGAAAUAAUAAAUAGUGACAAGGAUAACUAAUCUGAUCUAGCCACAUAUUAAAUAUGAUAAGCACCUCAAUUAGAUACUCUAGAAAGUCAUUAGCAUGGUAUUAGAACGAACUACAAGAAUAUUCUCUAAGUUAUUCUCAACUAUAUAGUCUAGCAUUAUCAUAAUUAGUGCAAGCAUACUUAGCAAUCAUUGCGAGAUAAGACUACGCCCAUGCAUAGUGAUAUUAGCAAGGAAUAUGAGAAACAUAACAAUCACUCCCCUGUAAUAAUGUUGCUCUGCCAGCCCAAUACACGAGAGGGGGACUAUAUAAGAAUCAAUGAAGCUGUCACUAUCACGAACCACCCCACGAUCUGGCAUAUUGGGUACAAUCGCAGAUAAAUACGGUAUAAGCACCACGCCUACACAAUAUCUAUCAUUUACCCAUGGAUCCGAUGGAUAAACGCUAUACGAUCCUAAACAUGUAUAUAGAUCGAAUCUAACUAAGCCAAGUACAUAACUAUGAUAAACUAAGAACAAUAUAAUCUUGAAUAUAAGCAAGUAGAGCAAAGUCAUAAGCAAUAUAUUGAAGUAGAACAAAGUCAUAUUCAUAAUAUUGAAGAACAAAGAUAACUAGAAAGCAAUUAGAAGCACAAUUAGAGAAUUACUAAGAAUCCUCUUGACAGAUCCGGAAACCAAUCGAAGAUUGACUCCUUCUAGUUCUAAUCCUAUGUAGCUAUGCUAAUCUAGAUAUCUAAUUGAUGUGGUGGCUCUAAUCUUGAUCAGAGGCUUCUUCUCCCUUGAUGGAACAAUGAAUUAGGGUUGAGAGGCUCUCUCCUCCAGGGGCCAGGGGGUCUAGUUUUAUAGUCCCUUCAAGUGAAUAUGGGCCGUUGGAUCAAACCGACAUAGAUUGUAUGGUUUAGAUUCAUCCUUUAGGUCGGUGGAGAUCUCCCGCGAAGCAGAGUCUUGAUUGGACUCCUGGAGAGGGCGGGCGCCCAGGGGAACAGGGCGGGCGCCCUGUCUCUGGCCCCGUUUCGCCUCCGCUUCGUUCUCGUGGCUUCUGGAGUCUUCUAGAUGUAAGAUAAUUGCGCAGCACGUUAAUAAAAGUGAUAGUCAAGUACCUUAAGAUGUUACCUUACUUGAAGAGUGAUGGUACAGUAUCACCUAGUGGAAACUUUCCUUGCUUAGCGGUUGUGCAUCGUGUUUGUAGCACCCUCCAUGGAUCAUUUCUUGUGAGCUAUGCCUUCCUUGUGUAAAUUGUUAACCUUCAUGUGUCUCACUCUUUGUCUUCAAUGUGAGUUUAUCUCAAGACUUCCCAGGUCGAUAUUGAAAGUUUUCCUGUAGGGGUUAGUCCAACAAAAUAUCCAAUGUCUACUAUAGCAUACUAUCGGCUCAAAGAUCAAUCUAGACCAUGUCUAAUUUGAUUUAGGAGGGAAUUUUAACCUAAGCACUAUGCUUAAUUUAAAAAAACCUUUGGAAGUAAGAUCAUCGUUCCUAAACUAAGCACCAUGCUUAAUUAAGAGAUAAAUGAAACUACUCCAAACCUAGACAUAUACUAAAGCAAAUAAAGGUAGCAUGAGAGCAUUUAUAGAGAUCUACUCAAGUGGAGAUGAAGUAGUGUGAUUAGUAUUUAACAAAAUUGAGCAUGUCUUAAAGGUAGGGACAACCAACACAGUAACAUGGCAAAGGAUGUUUUUAAUGUAAAGUACUCCCCCAAGCUUGAAUUUUGCAAAAUUCAAGUUUGGAUGAAUUUAAUUCAAUGUUGUAUGAUGAUUGGUUGGACAUAACUUAUGCAUGUCAUUCAUCCGAUCUUAUUGCUCCAAUCCUGGAAAGGUUAGUGACAAGAAUACCUAAAGGAAUAUUUUUACAUUUAUCCUUAUAUGCUCAACACACAAGGUAAUGUUGCAAAUAAUUAAAAGCUCAUGUUACAAUCUGAUCAGUGCUUGUUUUAGGACACUAAGCUUGUCCUUGGGAAACCAUCAAUUUAUGUCGGCGAAGUGGUUUCCCCUCCAACGCUGACCUGUAUCAAGAUCAACUCAACGAGAUCUGCAAUAUUUAAUAUAGACAUAUGCAUCGACAACCGCCCUUUUAAAGUUUUUAUAAAUAGAAAGGAUGAUGGGGUUGGAGAUCUCGAAUGUGGUGAUGUUGGAAAAACCAAUGGAUUGGAAAGAUGUUGCAUAUGAGCAUGGAGCAAAUGAAGUGGCUAUGAAAUAAUUUCCAUGCUCAUUAAUGCUUAGAGUGAAAUCCAUGUGGCAUGGUGAAAAUGAUAAGGUGAUUGUGGUAAAAAAAGGAAAAGAAAAAGGAUACACGGACGACUUGGUUCGAAACUAGCACAGCUACCAUUCCCCGGCAACGGCGCCAGAAAGCUUGUUGGGUAUUUUAAACGCAAACAGAAAAAUCCGCAAGCGCACGGAUACCGAUGUAGCUUUCACCUGGGUGUAUUCCAGAGUAUCGAUUUUCCACAGGGAACGUGAGUGUAGUAAUUAAGAUUCAAGAUCGCCCAAGGAUAACUAUAUAAUUAUUUUUGGUGGGAAGAGAGGAAGUUUCCUGAGAGUUCUCUAGUUGAUCUAAUAAUCAAGAAUUACUUCAAGAUUAUCUAUAUCGGGACAUCAGAACACUAAUCACAGAAAGAGAUGAGAAGGGGGCUAGGAAGCUCCGACUACGGUCCUACAAACACCGAUCCGAACGUGGUGGAAUACGUCGACCGUUAGGGCGGUCACUACCCUAGGGCUACCACAACAAUCCGCAGGAUUGGGUGCAAUUCCAGGUAAUCGCAAGACUAAACACCACGUCUAAUCUAUUAAUUACUACUCUAGCGUUAUAAAGAAUUGAAACCCUAACUUUGAUUCUGUAGAAGAGGUAUGAUCUCCAGGGGCCAGGGGGGUCUAGUUUUAUAGUCCCUUCAAGUGAAUCUGGACCGUUGGAUCAAACCAACAUUGAUUGAACGGUAAUCCUUGAUCCUUUAGGUCGGUGGAGCAAUAUCCCGAAGGAGAGUCCUGAUUGGACUCUGGUUGAGGGCGGGCGCCCAGGAAAGGAGGGCGGGCACCCUGUCCCUGAGUCCUCUCGGCCUCCGCUUCCUUCCCAUGGCUUCUGGAGUCUUCUAGAUGAUAGAAAAUUGUGCGGCACGUUAAUAUCUCUAUGUAAACCCGACGUGUGGGCCUUUCUUCCGUAUUUCCUGAUAACCCCCUGCAGAAAUAGACAAACACCAAAACUCGUAGAAUUCUGUUAGAUAAAACCCUAAGUCUAGGUGUUGGUUGCAUUUGGAUCCUUUUCUAUGAUUAGUUGACGGUUAAAUGUGAGCUUUAAGGACCGUCAACAGUACAUACCCUGAAACCAUAAAAUUAACAAUAUCUGCAUACCAGGGGUCAGACCUGUUAAUCCUGUAGAGCAUGUCGUCUCGGAGUGAAUCAUUGAUGGGGGUUUCCUGUGGACUCUUAAAAUAAAUUCUAGACAAGUGAUCAGCAACAGAAUUUUCUACUCCCUUUUUAUCUUUUAUUUCUAAGUCAAAUUCUUGAAGUAAUAAGAUCCAUCUAAUUAGGUGAGGUUUAGCAUCUUUUUUAGUGAGCAGAUAUUUUAGUGCAGCAUGAUCAGUGUAAACAAUUAUUUUAGCUCCAACUAAAUAAGAUCUAAAUUUAUCAAUGGCAAAGACAACAGCCAGAAGCUCUUUUUCAGUGGUAGCAUAAUUAAGUUGAGCUCCUGUCAAAGUUUUAUUGGCAUAAGCAAUUGCAUGAUGCUUCUUAUUUUUAGUUUGUCCCAAAACUGCCCCCACAGCAUAAUCACUAGCAUCACACAUAAUUUCAAAAGGCAAUGACCAAUCAGGGGGUUGAAUGAUUGGUGCAGAGAUGAGUGCAUUCUUUAAUAAGUUGAAAGAUGUUAGGCAUGCAUCAUCAAAUUCGAAAGGAGCAUCCUUGGCUAGCAAAAGAGUAAGUGGUCUAGCAAUAAAUGAAAAAUCUUUUAUGAAUCUGCGAUAAAAACCAGCAUGGCCAAGAAAGCUUCGAAUUCCUUUAAUAUUCACAGAUGGAGGUAGUUGUUCAAUUACUUCAAUUUUAGCUUUGUCUACCUCAAUACCUCUUUCAGACACUAGGUGUCCCAGCACUAUUCCUUCCCUAACCAUAAAAUGACAUUUUUCCCAAUUAAGGACUAAGUGCUUUUCUUCACAUCUUUGCAAAACCUUGUCUAAGUUUUCAAGACAACUAUCAAAAGUUUUUCCAUAUACAUGGAAAUCAUCCAUGAAAACUUCCAUAAUCUCUUCAAUCAUAUUAGAAAAUAUAGACAUCAGCAUCUUUGAAAAGAAGCUGGUGCAUUACAUAACCCAAAAGACAUUCUACGGUAAUCAUAAGUUCCGUAUGAGCAUGUAAAAGUGGUUUUGCUUUGAUCAUCGAGAUGGAUGGGGAUCUGGUGAUACCCUGAAUAUCCAUCUAAGAAACAGAAGAACGAAUGGUUCGCUAAUCGCUCUAGCAUCUCAUCUAUGAAAGGUAAAGGAAAAUGAUCCUUUUUUGUGGCUUUGUUCAGUUUUCUAUAGUCUAUGCACAUCCGCCACCCUGUGACGGUGCGUUGCGGAAUUAACUCAUUCUUUUCAUUCGUAACGACAGUCAUGCCUCCCUUUUUAGGCACAACUUGUACUGGGCUCACCCACUCACUGUGCGGCAUAGGAUAUAUAAUCUCUGCAUGCAGCAACUUUAUAACUUCCUUUUUAACUACCUCUCUCAUCGUGUUGUUAAGUCUACGUUGGGGUUCUCGAGAAGGUGAAACAGAAGGAUCUGUUGGAAUACGAUGGGUACAAAUCAUAGGACUGAUUACUGUAAGAUCUUGGAGUGAGUAGCCAAAAACUAAGUGAUGUUUCUCAAGAAUAGUCAUCAAUCGUAGAGUUUGCUCCUGAGUGAGUUUAUCACUAAUGAUCACAAGAAACUCUGGAUUAUUGUUUAGGAAAGCAUAGAUAAGACCGGGUGGUAAAGUUUUAAGCUCUAUGGGAGGUCUAGGUGUUUCUGCAAACUCAUCUAAGGGUUCUGGUUCAGAAGGUUCAGCUUCUUCUUCUGUGAAGAAAGGAGUUUCGUCUUCUAAGUCUGGUUUAUCUAAAAGCUCUAGAGAUGCAGCCUUUACCUCCUCCAUAGGCUCAGGUAAAAGAUAUGACUCGGCCUUAUUAUUUAAGGAGUGUGAAAUUGUUAUGGGAAAUUUAAAAGUUUUUCCAAAAGAAAUGUGUAGCUUUCCAGUAUGACCUUCAUAAACGAGUCUUCUAAAAGGUUGUCCUAUCAACAGGUCGAAGUCCCAUGUAUCAAAGAUAUAGAAGUUCAAAUGAACCAUGGAGCCUUCUACCGUAAGAGGUAGGACAUUAAUAAUUCCAAUACUAGGGACUAAUCGUCCCGAAGAUUCCUUUAUGACUUUUGUUGUGGGGGUUAAGACAAGAUUUUUAAAUAAUUUAAGUGCAAAAGAUUCAGACAUGAUGUUGAUCCCCACAACAGGAUUAUAGAGAGCAUCAAAUCGAUCAGAAUCAUAAGCACAGCGUAUAGUUAUAGAGGGUGUGUCCAAACGGAUCACAUCAGAGGAAAGCUCUGAUUCCUCCAACCAUUCGCUACUCAUGACUGCGAUAAGCUCUCUCAAUUGAUGUUCACUUGGUAAACAAAUGCUAAACUGGCCGUUUUGGGGUUUGUUAGUAGAAUGGUAAUUUGAAAUGUUUCCAAAAUCGGCAAAAAGAUCAGAUUCUAUAUCCAGCAUGAAAUCCGGUGGUGGAAUUUCUUCCUUUUGUGGCUCAGAACUUGGGAUAGCUAAAGUAGAUGGAGAAUUUGGCAGAGUGUCUACUUCGGCUUCGUGGGUUUCAUCAUGAAGGGUAUUAUCCAUCUCAGCUUCUAGGAUUCUAUCUAAGAUCACUCUAGCUUCAUCAGUAGGGAUACGAAAGAAAGAACCUCGAGACAUUAUAUGUAGCAUUUGUUUGAGAUCUUUCUAAAGACCUCGAAAAAAUGAAAUAAAAGAACAGGGUCUUCAAGAUUAUGGUUUGGACCAGAUUCUAAAAGAUCAGAAAAAUGUUUUCAAGAUUUUCCCAAAGUUUCAUUAUCUUUUUGUUUAAAAGAUAGGACUUCGAGUCUAAGGUCGCCGAUACAGUCGAGGGAAUAAAAAUCUAGACAAAAGUUGGCUUGUAAAAAUCUAGACACAUGUUUGCUCAAAAUCUCUAAUAUGAAGGUAAGGGUUUUCGUCUUCCUUUCCCGAAAAAGAUAGGUUUUGAAUCAUGGCAAUCAACCUAGAACUUAACCUAUACUGGGAUGUUUGGAUAGGCUGUGAUGACUCCCAUGGUAAAAGGUCAGUUUCCGAAGGUGUUGCAAAUUGAUAGAUUGAUUUAGAAUCUUGGUUUUCCAUAAGGUAAGAAUAAAGAAAAUAAAUAAAGAAUAUAAAAGAUAAGAAAAGAUAAAAGUAUAGAUACAAGCUAGUAGUAAGACUCAAGGUUAUCUCAGCAAACCGUCUUUCUCCCCGGCAACGACCCCACAAAUGCUUGUUGAUAUUUGGGAACGCAAUAAGAAAUGGAUCCGCAAGCGCACGGAUAUCGGUGAGCACUUCACCCGGGAGGUUAUCCAGAGUAUCGUAUUUAUUUUUUUACCACUAGGAGAAAGAGUGCAUCUGACUAACCCGGUCUAUUACUACUAACCUUUAGGCUACAAAGAAUGUUUCUCGAUGUGAUAGAUGUAUAGAGAAGACUACAACCGUAAUAUCUUUCUAACCUUGGUAAGGAUGAUCUACUGCUCUAUUGGGGAGGCUCACGGAAUCUAGACACCACAGAGGAUGUUCAACCAGCACCUAUAAACCCUAUUCUUCCUACUAACGAUAUAUGGUUUGCUAAGGUAACUCGGAAAUGUCACGUUCCUCGCUACUACCAUGGUCUAGCUAGUCAGGGAAUAUCUAUGAGUAUCCUAGCCCAAACACCACGUCUACGCUAGAGAUGAUUACUCUAAACUCUACGCGAAGAGAUUAAAGUAAACUCAUAAACCAAAGAACAAUAAAACAAGAACUUACUAGUAUUUAGAAGUCGAAAUACUAAAGAAUCCUAGGAGCAAGCUUCGGGUUAGGAGAACUUGAUCCCGCAAGUACAAGCUCGGAGUAGACACCGACAGGCCGGGCUUCCUCCGAUCUACACCUCCACUCUAUCUCUCUCAAUCUAGUAGAAACUAGAAGAUCUAAUUCUACUCACAUUGGAUGCUAAGCCUAAAAGAAAUUUUAUUUAGAGGAGAGGUAUUCCUUCGAGGGCUCCUCUCAACUCUAUGAUGAACUUGUCUCCUACAGGGGCCAAGGGGUCUGGUUUUAUAGUCCCCUCAAGCGAACGUGAGCCAUUGGAUCAAACCGACAUUGAUUGGACGGUUAUCCUUGAUCCUUUAGGUCGGUGGAGCGUCGUCCACGAAAAGAGUUCUGAUUGGAAUCCAAGAGGGGGCGGGCGCCCUGGUCCUCAGGGCGGGCGCCCUGGGCCAGGCCCUGUUCGGCCUCCGCUUCGUUCUCGUGGCUUCUCGAGUCUUCUAGAUGGUAGAAAAUUGCGCGGUGCGUUGAUAUCUCUACGUAAUCCCAACAUGUGGGCCUUUCUUCCUUAUUUCCUGAUAACCCCCUGCAGAAACAGAUAAACAACAAAACUCGUGGAAUUUUAUCAGAUCAAACCCUAAUUCUAGGUGUUGUUUGCAUAUUGGUUCUUUCUCUUGUUUAUUUGAUAAUUAAAAUUGAUACUUAAGAACAGUCAACAAUUAUUAGGCUCAAGGAUGGGUUUAAAGAUAGGUUCAAAUGAAUCAUCAAAAGUGGGUGUAGAAGGGGAGAAGAUGAGAUUGUCUUCUAAAUGGCUUCGCUCUCUUUCUACUGCAUCAUUUAAGAUGUCAUCCUUGAGUCUUUCUAGAUGUCCAUCAAAGGGAUUGGAUUGGAGAUGCUUUCUAAGAGAUCCCUUCUUAGGAAGGUUCAAACUAUAUGCACUCAAAGGUCUCUUAUGAACCAGGAAGUUUAAGCUCAUCCCAAAAUGAAUUUCCAAAGGUAGAAUUUCUUCUUCCCUUAGAUGAUUUUGGAGCACUACUAGUUUGGGUUGGAUAGCCGAAUCAUGGGGUUGAAAUGUUUGGAAAUUGGCUAUUGAAACUUCCUUUCCUCAUCUAGGAGAUGAUUCCUUCUCUAUCUCUAGGAUUUUUUUAUGAAGACUAGUACAAGAAGGAUGUCCACGAAUGAAGACAUACCUUGCUUUACUAACAGAUAAAGAAAGAAAAACUCUACCAAAGGUUAUAUGAUUAAGACCAAUGUGAAAAUAUCGAGGAAAAACAUGGUCUUGUAGGGCUAGGUCUAAACCAGAAUUUAUAGAAAGAUUAAAAGAUUCCUUAGGUGUAGCUAAAAGUCCAUUAUCUUCUUGAUUAAAAGAUAUGACCUCGGCUAUAGAAAAGGGUUGGUUUUGACCUACUGCAAUCAACUCCGGACACAGAUCAUAAUUAGGGGCAAAGAAAGGACUUGUUGACUCCCAUGGUCUAUGGCUGGUCUCCGAAGGUGCAAAAAAAUUCAAUAAUAGGUGUGGAAUUUGAGUUAUCCAUAAAGAUGGAAAAAAUAAAAAGAUAAAAGAAUAAAAGUAUAAAAGUAUAAUACAAGAUAAUAGCAAGACUCAAAGUUAUCUCAGCAAACCGUCUUUCUCCCCGGCAACGGCGCCAGAAAUGCUUGUUGAUAUUUGUUAACGCCAUCAGGAACUGAUCCGCAAGUGCACGGAUAUCGGUGAGCAUUUCACCUGGGAGGUUAUCCAGAGUAUCGUAUUUAUAUUUUUACCACUGGGAGAAAGCGUGCAUCUGACUAACCAAAUCUAUUGCUACUACCCUUUAGGCUACAAACAAUGCGAUUCGAUGUGAGCGAUGUAUAGAGAAGACUAUAACCGCACUCUCGUUCUAACCUUGGUAAGGAUGAUCUACUAUUCUGUUGGGGAGGCUUACGGAAUCUAGACACCACAAAGGAUGUUCGACCCGCACCUAUAAACCCUACCGAUCCUGCUAACGGGAUGUGGGCUACAAAGGUAACUCGGAAAUGUCACGUUCCUCGCUAUUACCACGGUCCGGCUAGACAGGGGAUAUCUAUGAGUACCCUAGCCCAAACACCACGUUUACGCUAGCAAUGACUACUCUAAACUCUACCGGAAGAGAUUAAAUUAUACUCAUAAACCAAAGAACAUUAAGAACAAAGAACUUACUAGAAUUUAGAAGUCGAAAUACUGAAGAAUCCUAGGAGCAAGCCUCGGGUUAGGAGACUUGAUCCCGCAGGUACAACCUCGGAGUAGACACCGACAGGCCGGGCUUCCUCCGAUCUACACCUCCACUCUAUCUCUCUCAAUCUAGAAGAACUUAGAAGAACUAAUUCUAAUCUCACAUUGGAUGCUAAGCCCUAUGAGGUUGGAACCCUAGAGGGACCUCUCUCUCUGAAUCCUCUCUGGAAAUUAUGCUAAUGAAUAAUGGGAUUGCUCUCCUCCAGGGGCCAGGGUUCCUGCUUAUAUAGUCCCCUCAAGUGAACGUGGGCCGUCGGAUCAAACCGAACUUAAUCGCACGGUUUUCCUUGAUCCCUUAGGUCGGUGGAGCAUACUUCGUGAGACAGGACCUGAUUGGUCUCUGUAGCAGGGCGGGCGCCCAAGGGGGGAGGGCGGGCGCCCUGCCCCCGGGCCCGCUCGGCCUCCCGUUCGUUCCCGUGGUUUCUAGACUCUUCUAGAUGAUAGAAAAUUGCGCGGCACGUUAAUAUCUCUACGUAAACCCGACAUGUGGGCCUUUCCUCCAUAUUUCCUGAUAACCCCCUACAGAAAUAGACAAACACCAAAACUCGUGGAAUUCUAUCAGAUAAAACCCUAAGUCUGGGUGUUGGUUGCAUUUGGAUCCUUUUUUUUAUUUAUUUGAUGAUUAUAUUUGGUACUUAAGGACCGUCAACAAUACUCCGCAAGUAUAACACGAGGUUUCAUGAGCCUCAAAAAAGAUAGACUCUAGCUACUACAGUUGCCAUUUUAAUAGAUCAAUGUUUUAACAUUAAUUAUGCAUAAAUUAUGCUUGAGUACCCGAUUAACCCACAUGAUUACAUGAUAAUAACACCGCUAACCGUCACGGCUAACACCAUUGUUGACGGUCCUUAAGUACUAAAUUUAACCAUCAAAUAAACAUGGAAAAGGAUCAAUAUGCACCAAACAUCUAGAAUUAGGGUUUUAUCUGAUAGAAUUCCACGAGCUUUGGUGUUUAUCUGUUUCUGCAGGGGGUUAUCAGAAAAUAUGGAGAGAAGGCCCACAUGUCAUGUUUACAACGAGAUAAUUACGUGCCGUGCAAUUUUCCUCAAUCUAGAAGAGUCCAGAAGCCAUGGGAACGAACGGGAAGACGAUCGGGCCCGGGGCAGGGCGCCCGCCCUCCCCCCUUGGGCGCCCGCCCAGGUCACAGGUCCAAUCCGAACCAAACUCUUGGAUCGUGCUCCACCGACCUAAAGGAUCAAGGAAAACCGUGCGAUCAAUGUCGGUUUGAUCCGACGGCCCAAAUUCACUUGAAAGGACUAUAUAACCAAGGCCUCUCCACCCCUCGGGGAGAGAAGAGAAGAGGAGAAAUCAUUAUCAGAGGUAGCCAUCAAAGUUAGGGUUUAGAGCUUCUCUCCCACAGUGAAUUAGAAUUAGCUACUCCCUAAUCCUUCAAGUUUAGAGGAUUGAUUAGAUAGCAAUUAGAGAAGUAGAGCACUACGCUCUGGAUUCGGAUCUUCGGUAAUAAAGAUUUGUAUUAUUCAUAUCUUUCUCUAAUACUCCGUUCUAAUUACAUUAUGUCUCUAUUUAUUAUGCUCUUAGUUUGCUCUAGUUCUAUAUUUGAUAUAGUUAUGAUUGAUAAUAAGUUUAAGUAUAAGUUUGCAAAGCGCUUAGCUCUUGACUCGAGGGAGUUAGGUGGUAGAUCACAUGUGGGCGUGGUGCUUAGAUGUUAUUUACCUGCAAAUGUAUCCUAUUGGCCGGGUUGUGUGGUAGUUCGUGAUAGUGACAGCUUCGUUGAUUCUUAUAUAGUCCACCCUCCAUUGAUAGGACAGACAGAAUUUGUAUUGCGGAGUAAGUCUUACAAUGUUCUGAUUUACUUUAGCAAUGUUCCUUAUACAUAAAUGAAGAGUCUUUUAUACUAUACAUGAUCUUGUAGAUAACUAGAGCAGAUUGUGACUUAGUAGAUAGUAAAUAACUUAGAAUCCAUUCUCUAGCUAAUCCGACGUCACCUACAUAUAUGAGGAGUAGUCUAUUUUCUAAUCGUUGUGUUAAUUACCCAUGAACUUAUAAUUCAUUAUCAUUAUCUUUAUGGUUUACCCCCUGCCAAAGUAAGUGACUGUGUGACGAGUUUUUCAUUAGUAAUCAUGUUCUUGCAAGUUUAUCUCUAGUCUAUGCCUUGAUAGAUUUAGUCUUUAUCUUAAUUUCACCCUUGUUCUCUUAAGCAAAAUUAUAAAUAACGAUACGUGGAAUACUUGUCCUGGUGAAAUGCUACAAUGAGGUGUUUUAUCUGUGCGCUUGCGGAUAGAAUAGAUUAUUUUCUAGAGAGCCUUUACAUUUAUAAAUACCUUUGUACACUCUGGCACCAUGCUGGGGAUGACAACCUAGUAUCUAAGUGGUGUUAGCUAGUGUCAACAAACAUUUCUGGCGCCGUUGCCGGGGAACAAAAGGGUAAUACAUUGGAACGGUAAGGAAAGUCAAGAAAUCAGUCAAGGUUAUUCACAUAAAAUAUUAGACUAGACUAUAGAGAAAUAAUUGCAUAAAAACAGCUACUAAGUGAGAAAUCAUAACAAGGCACCUCUGCUUUGGCAGGUUCACCCUGUUGUUUUUCUAUGUUUACAUUUUUUAUACAGGGUAUAUCAGGAUUGACUUUGGGUACAUUCAACUCUUCAUCAUCAGAACCAAAGCAAUCAAGAGAAGAAGAAGCUAGCUACCAAUUGCUGAAGCUAUGGCACAAAAGACCUUGCAAGAAUUCUCUCCUCCAAGUCUUGAGAACAUUCCAACUGGUCCAAGAUUUGCAGUAGAAGAAGGAGUACCCGAGUUUGAGCUCAAGUCAAGCCUCAUCAAUUUGGUACAAGCUACACAAUUUAGUGGAAAGGCACAUGAAGAUGCUAGUGCACACUUGCAGAAUUUCUUAGAGAUUGGAAGCACAAUCCACAUCAACGGAGUUGACAAAGACGUCAUACUGCUUCGUCUUUUUCCAUUCUCACUAGAAGGGAAAGCAAGGAAGUGGUUCUACACUCAUCAAGACAACAUUAACAACUGGACGAACUUGACAGAUGCCUUUCUAUCAAAGUUUUUCCCUAUAGGCAAAACAACUGCCUUAAGAGGAAAUAUUGUCAGUUUCCAACAGCAGAAGAUAGAAACCAUUUCAGAAGCAUGGGAGCAUUUUCAAGGAUACAUAUCAAAUUGUCCUCACCAUGGAAUGGCCACAUGGUUACUUAUGCAGACCUUCUACCAUGGAUUAACCUAGAAGGCUCGUGAGUGCCUAGAUGCAUCUGCUAAAGGAUCAUUCUUGGAACUUACAAUUGGAAAAGCAGAGAUACUUUUGGAUAAGAUAGCAGAAAACCAAAGCUGGUUCCAAGAUGAAGCUCAACAAUGUCAUCAUACUGAAGAAAUACUAGAAGAAGUAGAAGCAUUAUCAACCAAGAUGGAAAAUUUGCUCCAUUGGAUUGACCAGAGGGCCAAGUUCAAAAGAUCAAAGGGCCAUUGAGACAGCAUACAAAUAUCAGCCUACCUCGAGUCAACCCAAUAGCAAAGGUAAAGAACAUAACUACUAGAGGAGGCCAAGCCACCAAAGAUCCCCCAUACCCAAAAGAGAAACAAGGAACAUCAGCACCAGUGCAACCAGCAGUGAUAGAAGAAGAAAUCCCAGUUGAAGUAGACGAUCUGCUACAACCACCAAGAUCUGGAGAAAUGAGCAAAGAUUUUUACGACACCAACUAUUUGCCAUUUCCCAGAAGAAACAGAGGACUGCAAUCGGAUGAGCAGUUUGGUAAGUUUGUAGAGGUCAUUCAGAAAUUAUAUGUCAACAUACCUCUACUUGAUGCCAUACAGGUACCUACAUAUGCAAAGUACAUCAGAGAUAUUCUUAACAAGAAGAGACCACUGCCCACCACUGAGGUUAUCAAGCUGACAGAAGAAUGUAGUGCGGCCAUCCUCAAUAAACCACCAAGAAAGAAGAAGGAUCCCGGAUGUCCCACUAUUGAUUGCUCGAUCAGACACCAACACUUCAACAAUGCACUUUGUGAUCUCGGAGCAAGUGUCAGUGUGAUGCCAGCAUCAAUCUACAAAAAGCUUGAGCAUGCGACCCUAGAACCAACAUCAAUGUGCCUGCAACUAGCAGAUCAAUCGGUUCGACACCCGUUGGGCAUCACCGAAAACAUUCCAGUCAAGAUCAGAGAUUUCCUGGUGCCGGUAGACUUCGUGGUACUGGACAUGAGUCCUGACUCAAAAGUAUCCAUCAUCCUUGGAAGGCCAUUUCUGAGCACUGCCAAUGCCCACAUUGAUGUCGGGAAAGGAGAAAUCAAGUUCAACAUAAAUGGAAAAGAAGAACACUUCACAUUCAAACCCAGACCAGAGAGAGACUCUACAGCGAAGGAAGUUCAUGAAGAAGAACCACUGGAGACACCAUCUCCGGAAGAAGGUAAUUCAGAAGAUUAAAAUAUUUGGAGGUCUAGCUUGGGGGAUCUAAAAAUCCCAAACCCUCACCGAGAGGUAAAUCGGUAUUUAUCCGCAUCAUUAAUUCUUGCAUAAUUAAUUCUUGCAUUAGUCAUAUAUAUUCAUAGCAUUACUAUAAUAAUAAAAAGCCCCAUAAAAAUAAUAUUUAUGGUGUGUAACAACCCAUAAUUAUUAAUUAUCGUGGAGGCACAAAAAUAUUUUUCCAUGAUCAUUUUUAAUAAGUUUCAAUUCUCAUAGAUUUUCCUGAAUUAUAUUUAAUUAUAGCAACCUUCUAGAAGCAUGACCCACACUCCUUGGGUCCCACAUGUCAUUGUUGGGUAUUCUUAACAUCAUCACCAAAAGUAGACUAAGUUCUCUAAAUCUAGUAACGGUGCCAAAAAUGCCAAACCUAUCCCUCACACCACUUAAGCCAAGUUGUCAUCCCCAGCAUGAUAUAAGAGACGCGGUAUUGAAAUAUGCAAUUGCUCUUCUAAAUAAAUAAUGAAUGGGAUCUGCAAGCGCACAGAUUAAUACCGAUGUAGCAUUUUAACCGGGAAGUAUUCCAGGUAUCAUUAUUUAUAUUUUUACCACUGGGAAGGGAUUAGCAAUCAUCAAUAUUGAUUACAGAAUAGAAUAUGAGAUUGAGCAUCUAUCAUUGCAUGUAUAAUUGAGAACAUUAUAUCUAACUCAUCAUACAGGGAUAAGUGUCACAUAAAAGAUAUAUGAAAUAAUAAAUAGUGACAAGGAUAACUAAUCUGAUCUAGCCACAUAUUAAAUAUGAUAAGCACCUCAAUUAGAUACUCUAGAAAGUCAUUAGCAUGGUAUUAGAACGAACUACAAGAAUAUUCCCUAAGUUAUUCUCAACUAUAUAGUCUAGCAUUAUCAUAAUUAGUGCAAGCAUACUUAGCAAUCAUUGCGAGAUAAGACUACGCCCAUGCAUAGUGAUAUUAGCAAGGAAUAUGAGAAACAUAGCAAUCACUCCCCUGUAAUAAUAUUGCUCUGCCAGCCCAAUACACGAGAGGGGGACUAUAUAAGAAUCAAUGAAGCUGUCACUAUCACGAACCACCCCACGAUCUGGCAUAUUGGGUACAAUCGCAGAUAAAUACGGUAUAAGCACCACGCCUACACAAUAUCUAUCAUUUACCCAUGGAUCCGAUGGAUAAACGCUAUACGAUCCUAAACAUUUAUAUAGAUCCAAUCUAACUAAUCCAAGUACAUAACUAUGAUAAACUAAGAACAAUAUAAUCUUGAAUAUAAGCAAGUAGAGCAAAGUCAUAAGCAAUAUAUUGAAGUAGAACAAAGUCAUAUUCAUAAUAUUGAAGAACAAAGAUAAUUAGAAAGCAAUUAGAAGCACAAUUAGAGAAUUACCAAGAAUCCUCUUGACAGAUCCGGAAACCAAUCGAAGAUUGACUCCUUCUAGUUCUAAUCCUAUGUAGCUAUGCUAAUCUAGAUAUCUAAUUGAUGUGGUGGCUCUAAUCUUGAUCAGCGGCUUCUUCUCCCUUGAUGGAACAAUGAAUUAGGGUUGAGAGGCUCUCUCCUCCAGGGGCCAGGGGGUCUGGUUUUAUAGUCCCUUCAAGUGAAUAUGGGUCGUUGGAUCAAACCGACAUAGAUUGUAUGGUUUAGAUUCAUCCUUUAGGUCGGUGGAGAUCUCCCGCGAAGCAGAGUCUUGAUUGGACUCCUGGAGAGGGCGGGCGCCCAGGGGAACCGGGCGGGCGCCCUGUCUCUGGCCCCGUUUCGCCUCCGCUUCGUUCUCGUGGCUUCUGGAGUCUUCUAGAUGUAAGAUAAUUGCGCAGCACGUUAAUAUCUCUAUGUAAUCCUGACGUGUGGGCCUUUCUUCCAUAUUUCCUGAUAACCCCCUGCAGAAAUAGACAAACACCAAAACUCGUGGAAUUCUGUCAGAUAAAACCCUAAGUCUAGAUGUUGAUUUCAUUUGGAUCCUUUUCUUUAUUUAUUUGAUAAUUAAAUUUGAUACUUAAUGACCGUCAACAAACUCCCCCAAGCUUACCUCUUGCUCGUCCCUGAGCAAGGAUAGACUCAGUUAUGGAUCAUAAGUUGUUGCAAUAUAUUUAAAAAUUGACGGUACACAUGCUUUUAAAUAAGAUCUCAUCUCUGAGUUAGAGUAAACUGUCAAGACUUAAAACUUACUUACUUUGCCUUCACCAUGUGGCUUGUAACCGUCACUUCUAUCUUGAGUGGUUAAAAGAUAGAACAGUCUAGUCAAGUGCCAUGUCUCUUAUUCUUGAUCAGCUAUAGCUCUGGGGUUUUUGCAGAUUUUCAAAUAAAACUCAGAGAUUCCUUGUAUGAUUCUCUCAGGUCUCUCUUUUGUGGUAUUUCUGGAUCCUUACCAAGGCAGUGAUGGUAUAUGCCUUCUCUCAAGAUAUGUAGUAUUUGUGGUAUAAAGCAUAGUGACAUUGCCUUCUCUCUCACCCUACUCUAAUAAGGCUUUAAUAUCUGGAGCUCAUAGGUGGGAGAUAAAAUAUACAUACUUACAAGACAUGUAUUGUAUAGUCAAACCAUGGAUCCAAAGUAACAAGUCAAUAAGUUUAAUCAAGAUGUGCAUGUGUGGCGAAUGAAUGAUGUAUGGUGAUGAUGGUGAUAACAAUGGUGAAAACAAUGGUGGUGGAAGUCUAAUUCUACUUUGCUAUUUUGAGGGGAUACAUACCUUUCUUGCUUUUUUUUGAAACUUUAUGAGGAGAAUGAGAUGCUCUUCUUUUUCUUUUCUCUCAGGUGGGUAUCUUGCACCCCUAAUUCUACUGUCGGACACUUGUCCAUUUUUACCUCUCGUCUCACUUUUUCUUUUCUUUCGAGGUUCCGAGCACUUGCUCUUUUUUAUUUCCUCGUAUAUUUUUUUUAUUUUCUUUUUUUAGAGCACUCAUCUCAUGAGAUAAUAUAGCAAGUGGUAGUAACAAGAUAACUUGAGCAUUUAUUUCACAAGGGAAAACAGAAAUAUUUUUGGUUAUUCUCUCGCGGGUUAGGAGUAGAAUAUUUUUGGGUGAUUCUGGAGAUGGAAUGGGUGGAUAUAUGUGGAUGGUACUUCCGGAGUAGAAGUAGCAUAUAUGAGUGAACGUGCAAGUGAAUCUUGAUUUAACCACAUGACAACUUCCUAAGGGUCUACACAGCUUGACCACACUCAAUGCUCAUAAGCAGUAAAUAGUAAAUGUGUGGCUCAAAGUCUAGCAAGCAUGUAUAUAUGGCUGUGGUAGGAAUUUAAACUCUCAUCAUACAGGAACUCAUCAUGCAAUAUUUUAAAGUUUUUCAAAGAUAAAAUUCUCCAGAAUUCUAGCAUCUCUAGGAACAGAUAAACAACAGCUCAACCUUCCCAUAUCGUAUCCGUUAACAACUUAGACUUCAGAUCAAGUUUUCAUCCCACAAGUUUAGGUCUAGAGCAAGCUUUAAAUUAUAACAGUUAUAUCCAAACUUGAGAGAGAACUUAAAAUGUGUAAAUUAGGCAGAGCAACUAUUCAUCAUAUCCAUGCUUGAGUUUUAUUAUCAAGAUACAGAUUAGCAUAGCCACUUUAUUUAUUUAUUAAACACACUAAGCAAAAGACAUAUAUAUAAGCACAAAAUCUUUAUUUGAUUUUUCCAUAGUUAUGUAUAUUUAAUAUUCUAAAAUAAUAUAAGUAUAAAGAUAAAUAGAUAGAAAUACUUAUCGAGAUAAAUGGGGGUGCUCUCCCCCAAGCUGAAUUUUGACGUAAUUUCUCUUGAUGUAGCUAGCAGGUGGCAGAGGUGUAUUUGAAAGUCAGCAGCAUUCUGACAGCGACUAGAAUGUCCUCCGUCUACUAGUCUUCUUGAUUCUUAAAUUCUGCGGAGCUCAAAUAGACAACAAAGCUUGUGGAACUGAUUAAGUGUUAGCAUAAAUAUCUAGCCUUUAUCAUCUUGAGACUUCUUAAUAAUUAUUACUCCCUGUUUUUAUAUUUUUAUUUUAUAAAGCAGAAAAAAAAUUAUUUUAUUUUUGUGCCACCACAGUGAAUGUACUUAUGGGUUUUAUGCCACUCGCAUACUCACAUGGGGCUUACUGUUUUUCACAUUUUUAUUUUUUUUUUAUUUUUAAGAUAGUACGAACAUGAUUAACUAAGUAAACUAGUUGAAAUAAUUGAAAGGGAAAAGAUAACUACCAAGUUUACCUUGGCGUUCGGUGUUUUUAAGUCCUCCGAACGGAACUCUCCAUUUUCUUAAUUGUCCUGAGGUUCGUUGGGUGGCGUAGUCGGUACUUCCGGUGGCGCCUCCUCUUCAUGUAUAGUUAUCUUCAUUCGUUGGGUGGCGUAGUCGGUACUUCCGGUGGCGCCUCCUCUUCAUGUAUAGUUAUCUUCAUUUUCCACACCUGACUUGGUGCUUCAAUCUCCUCUGGAUAAUUCUGUUUAAACUCUACGUCUUCUGACCUUACAACUUCUCCUUCGUAGUCUGCCCAUCCAUCCUUGAUGAUCUGCCUCCUCUGGUUGCGGUUGCGUCUCUUUCUGACCUGCUUAGAUUCUUCAAUGAUAUAGUUAGGGUCAGUAAAAUAACGGCGUACCUUCUCUGAGGGGAAGUGCACAUGGAUUUCUCUGGUUCCAAUGUAGAUAAUUGCUUUAACGGUGCUGAGGAACGGUCUUCCAAGGAUGAUGGGUGGAUCGUACUUGUCUUCUCCCAUGUCAAUAACUUGAAAGUCUGUGUAGACAAAGUGAUCGUCUAUUUUGACUCGGACAUCAGUUACUAUUCCUUUAACUUCUCGAAAUGUCUGAUCUGUCAUCUGGCGUUGAAUGUAUGUUGGUCUUAGUGGCAUGGUUCCAAACAAGAGCCGAUAGGUGACUGCGGCCAUUAUGUUGACGCCCGAUCCGGUGUCACAAAAUGUAUUGUAGAAGUUGUAUCCAUUUAUGGAGCAGUAAAUGCUUGGCAUUCCUGGGUCGUCCUUCUUGGUCAAAAGCGGUGACUUAAGUUGGUGAUCUUGGCCUCCAUGAACUACAGUGACCAUCUUAGCUGACUCGGUCCACACUCGCUUGUUCCUGUUCCUCCUGUUGGUCCUCUUCCUUGAUUCACGUCUGGAUUGAUCUGGAAUUUGUGUGGUCUUGUUCUUGAAGAAAAAUGUCUCCUUCUUCCCUUUGACGUAGAAACUGAUCUUGGCAGCACUAGCGUAGAUGAUAGCUCCCGUGGUGUUCAAGAAUGGCCUCUCUAAGAUGAUAGGUGCUCUCUCAUCAUUUCCGGUCUCUACCACUACGAAGUCUGCUGGGGCAUAUAAGGUACCAACUCGGACACAAAGGUUCCUCAAUAUUCCUUUUGGAAAAGUUAUCGUCUGAUCUGCAAACUGCAAACACAUGGUUGUCUCUAAUAACGGAUAUGUAAAGAAUUUUUCAUAGAGUACCCUGGGUAUAAUGUUGACACUGGAGCCAAAGUCACAGAGUGCUUCUGGAACGUCCACCAUGCCGAUGGAGAUCGGGAUGACGAGACGUCCUGGAUCGCCUCUCUUGACCGGCAGAAGGUUAGUAGAGAAUUCAGUGACGGGGUUACUCCAAGUACCUGCAUCAAAUGUGUCUACAAGAUUUGCAGAUUCUAAUCCUUCCGGUUGUGAUGGUAUACCGGGGUUAGUAGUAGGAACAGCAGCAGCUAUUUGAUUUAACUGAGAUUCAAUCAUUUUAUUAAAGCUAAUUUGAUUCUUGAUGGCAGUAGAGAAAUUAUCCAUUCUAUUAUUUAUAUUUUCUAGCAUUUUAUCAUUAGAUGUCAAUUUCUUAGAUAGGUUAUCCAUUAGCUUUCCUUGAUUAGACACUAACUCUCUCAAAGGUGGAAAAUUAUUAGCAUUAUUAUUGUAGGAAGAAUUGUUACCUUGAUAAUUACCUGAGUAGUUAGGCCUCUGUUGAUUCCAACCUUGAUUUUGUUGAGGACGGUUGUAGUAGUUGUUGUUGUUGUUGAUGUAGUUCACAUCCUCAAGUAUCUCAGGGCAGUGGUUGCCUGAGUGUCCAGUGUCUCCACACUCCUCACAAAUCAUGUGAGAGUCGUAGAUGUGCAUAACUUCUUUCUUGUCUCCAGCUUUAUCGUCGAGCUUCUUCAUGAGCAGGUCUAGCUUUGCAGACAGUAUGUCUACCUCUUUCAGCUGAUGCAUACCUCCACCUCUCUUGCGUGUCUGGGUCCUCUCUUCAUUCCAGCUUUGGUUGGACGCCAUCUUCUCCACAAGAGCUGUGGCUUGUGGUAUUGUAAGUGAUAAGAAUGCUCCUCCAGCUGCAGCAUCCAUGGUCUCUCGGGCACUGUUGCCGAGCCCAUGAUAAAAUGUCUGCAUUAAUAGCCAACUCUCCAUUCCGUGAUGGAGACAUUCUAGGAUGUAGUCUUGAAAGCGCUCCCAUGCUUCUGGAACAGAUUCAUCAUUUUGUUGCUGAAAACUUGUAAUCUUUCCACGGAGAGCAUUGGUCUUGCCCAUGGGAAAGAACUUUGCCAAGAAGUUUGUUGAGCAGAGUGCCCACGUAGUAUUCUUCUCCUUUGUAGCGUAGAACCACUGCUUUGCUCUUCCUAACAGUGAAAAUGGGAAGAGGCGAAGUAGUAUAGCAUCUUUGGAAACUCCUGAUAUGGUGAAUGUGUUGCAAAUCUCCAGGAAGUGUUGUAAAUGAGCACUAGCGUCUUCGUGUGCCUUCCCACAGAACUGGUUGGAUUGCACCAUGUUGAUAAGUCCAGGCUUCAGCUCAAAGUUGCCAUCGAUCUCUGCAGCAGGUCCAGUACGGAUGUUGUCCGUAGUGGGAGCUGAGAACUCGCGGAUUGAUUUGUUCGCCUUGGCUUCGAACUCUGAAGACAAGUUCCGGUGAUCUUCUUGAUUGGAUGAAGCUUCUUGCUGAAGUGUUGAUGAUCUCUUCUUGGCUCUCGUCUUCUUGAAUAAUGCUUCGGGAUUGUCAACAAAAUUUCCUGGAAGAUGUCUUCUAUUCAUACAUUCCCCUGCAUAAGAUGAAAUAGGAAAAUAUCGGGGUAAAACUGUAUGAGAGAAUAGAUAAGCUCAAUCAUAUUAGUGAUGCGAAUGAUAACUCAAAAUCUUUUAUUCUAUUCCUGAUUAGUAAUCAACCUUCCCCGGCAACGGUGCCAAAAAUGCUUGUUGGGUAUUCUUAACAUCAUCACCAAAAGUAGACUAAGUUCUCUAAAUCUAGUAACGGUGCCAAACCUAUCCCUCACACCACUUAAGCCAAGUUGUCAUCCCCAGUAUGAUAUAAGAGACGCGGUAUUGAAAUAUACAAUUGCUCUUCUAAAUAAAUAAUGAAUGGGAUCUGCAAGCGCACAGAUUAAUACCGAUGUAGCAUUUUAACCGGGAAGUAUUCCAGGUAUCAUUAUUUAUAUUUUUACCACUGGGAAGGGAUUAGCAAUCAUCAAUAUUGAUUACCGAAUAGAAUAUGAGAUUGAGCAUCUAUCAUUGCAUGUAUAAUUGAGAACAUUAUAUCUAACUCAUCAUACAGGGAUAAGUGUCACAUAAAAGAUAUAUGAAAUAAUAAAUAGUGACAAGGAUAACUAAUCUGAUCUAGCCACAUAUUAAAUAUGAUAAGCACCUCAAUUAGAUACUCUAGAAAGUCAUUAGCAUGGUAUUAGAACGAACUACAAGAAUAUUCCCUAAGUUAUUCUCAACUAUAUAGUCUAGCAUUAUCAUAAUUAGUGCAAGCAUACUUAGCAAUAAUUGCGAGAUAAGACUACGCCCAUGCAUAGUGAUAUUAGCAAGGAAUAUGAGAAACAUAGCAAUCACUCCCCUGUAAUAAUGUUGCUCUGCCAGCCCAAUACAAGAGAGGGGGACUAUAUAAGAAUCAAUGAAGCUGUCACUAUCACGAACCACCCCACGAUCUGGCAUAUUGGGUACAAUCGCAGAUAAAUACGGUAUAAGCACCACGCCUACACAAUAUCUAUCAUUUACCCAUGGAUCCGAUGGAUAAACGCUAUACGAUCCUAAACAUGUAUAUAGAUCGAAUCUAACUAAGCCAAGUACAUAACUAUGAUAAACUAAGAACAAUAUAAUCUUGAAUAUAAGCAAGUAGAGCAAAGUCAUAAGCAAUAUAUUGAAGUAGAACAAAGUCAUAUUCAUAAUAUUGAAGAACAAAGAUAAUUUGAAAGCAAUUAGAAGCACAAUUAGAGAAUUACCAAGAAUCCUCUUGACAGAUCCGGAAACCAAUCGAAGAUUGACUCCUUCUAGUUCUAAUCCUAUGUAGCUAUGCUAAUCUAGAUAUCUAAUUGAUGUGGUGGCUCUAAUCUUGAUCAGAGGCUUCUUCUCCCUUGAUGGAACAAUGAAUUAGGGUUGAGAGGCUCUCUCCUCCAGGGGCCAGGGGGUCUGGUUUUAUAGUCCCUUCAAGUGAAUAUGGGCCGUUGGAUCAAACCGACAUAGAUUGCAUGGUUUAGAUUCAUCCUUUAGGUCGGUGGAGAUCUCCCGCGAAGCAGAGUCCUGAUUGGACUCCUGGAGAGGGCGGGCGCCAAGGGGAACAGGGUGGGCGCCCUGUCUCUGGCCCCGUUUCGCCUCCGCUUCUGUCUCGUGGCUUCUGGAGUCUUCUAGAUGUAAGAUAAUUGCGCAGCACAUUAAUAUCUCUAUGUAAUCCUGACGUGUGGGCCUUUCUUCCGUAUUUCCUGAUAACCCCCUGUAGAAAUAGACAAACACCAAAACUCGUGGAAUUCUGUCAGAUAAAACCCUAAGUCUAGAUGUUGAUUUCAUUUGGAUCCUUUUCUUUAUUUAUUUGAUAAUUAAAUUUGAUACUUAAGGGCCGUCAACAGUCAUACACCACACCUCACAUACAUCCCAUCAUAUUAUUUGAUCCACCAACAUAACUUCACUCACCAACACUUUUCCACCGACCAACCACCACCCAUGAUCCAUUAUUUUGCGUAAGAGUUAAGCAAAGGAAGGAGUGGAGAAAGGGCAGCCAGGAUGGGCACCAAAGGUGGGCGCCCGCCCACCUAUAGAGGGCGCCCGCCCUGCCCUUCCUUCCUCCUAUAAAUUGCCACCUCCUGCCUCCAUCUCCAUAACACAAGCAUUCCAGAAAACCACGCAAGUUUCAGUUUCCAGAGAAGGAGCUCUUGUAGUGAAGUAAGAAGAGAGUAGAGAGGAAGAGAAGAGUGGAAAAGAGGUUGGUAGUCUUUGAGUGAGAGAGUGAGGUUCACCUAGAAAGUAGUGAUCCCGCUGUCCAAGCGGAAGUAAAAGUUGUUUAGGGGGAGGUGCUGCCAAAAUAAAAACUUGUCUUGAACAACUAACCCGUGGACUACUGACAUCCUGGACAGCUGACCACUAACAUUUUCUCUCACAUUUUCCACUAGUUGUGUGUGUGUCAACUUUUGUCUACAGGAUGUUCAAGAAGGUGAAGAACGUAGGGAAGGCUCUCAAGAACAUAGGUACAAGGAGUUCAUCCCGACACUCCUCACACCCGUCAGAGAUGAGCGUCGACCCAACGCCCACACAAGCUCCGUCAUCUUCAUCUGGCAAGUCAAGGUCCUUCUCAAGAUAGGAGACCUUGGACUAAAGACCCGCAGGGAAAAGGAAGUCUACCAGCAACUAAAGAACAAAGAUUUCAUUCACACCCCUACUCUUGAUCCAAUCUUGCUACAAGAAACAGGUAUACUGAAUUCGACUUAAUUUUCCAGAUGUUAGGUUGGACAAAUUUUUUGGAACAUAACUGAGCUGGGUUCUCGUCUUCUCACCCUUGAAUUUCUUUGCACUUUACAAUAUUAUGAGGGGGAAUUGUUUUUCGAAUGUUCAAACAGGAUAUUAUGUUGUCUUGGAGAGAACUGAGCGACCAUCUUGGUUUCUCUUCAAGAUGCAUCGUGAACAUUGACUCCGACCUACCCAAUUUUGAGAGACACCAGUUCUGGAGAGAGAUAUCUAGAGAUAAUUUUUAUAGUCAAGCCCGAACCAGUGACAUGGAACACCCCACUCUUAGGAUGUUCCACAAAUGGCUUGGGUACAAUCUUUUCUAUCGUGAUGAUAUUAGGAAAGUAAGAGUAGGAUAUUUACAACUUCUAUAUGCCGCCAUUAAUAAAGUACCCACUUCACCUGUUACACUUUUGGUUUCUCAUUGGCUUAGUAUACCUAGUCUUAAGGGACCAGUAGGAUGUACUUCACUUAUCACUCGUCUAGCCUCUAAUCUUCAUUUACUAGAAAAUUCAUCACUGGAAUUCAUAGAUGAGUUAAGAAUUUAUCAUGGCUAUGACACAUUUAGACAAGCUCGGAUGUUAAAGAAAGAGGGGAACGUAAUGUAUAUGCUAUAUGAUAAUAAAGGCAAGAUUCAGUUACCUAACCCGAACCUUGGCCUCUACGUUGUUCAAAAUUUUUUGAUUGAGAUUGCAGUGACACCGGUGAACCAGAGAGCUCCACAGCGAGUGGCAUCUGAAAGGAUGACCACCCAUCAAGAACGCACCUGGUAUGGAGCUGACCCCGGAUCAGAAGAAGCAGCGCACCUGCAUUAUUGCGACUACAACCCCCGAGUCCUUCGAGACCCAUGGGUUCGACAUGCUUAGCCGCAAGAGCCAACACAGGAGACAUGGCCGGAGAGCCAAGAUCACCAGUGGACAAACCCGCCUUUUCAUACGGGCAGGUACUCCACUGAUCCAUAUGGAGCUUCAGGAUCCAGACCUCCGCCCCAAUUUGAUGCAGGACGAUACUCCGACGCCUCCUACGCUUUCACGAACGACUACUACCAAGAGGCCGGUGCUUUCUUCACCCGUACCGACAACACUCUCCUCGACAUCCAGAACACGCAAGCAGAACAUGGAUGACUCCUGGAACAGCAACAAAAAUGGAACCAGGACCACGCCACUACAGUACAAGAACUGAGACAAGAUACCACAGCAAUGAAUGACAACAUCACCACCAUGAUGAGAUUCUGGAACAUCGAGUAAGACCGACAUCCACAUCCAGCUUGGGGGAGUUCCUCCCCAAUUUAUCAAGUAAGUUUUUAUUAGCCCUUCUUAUUUAUUCUUCUCUGUUUUAAGUGUUUUAUUUAUCUUAUAGAGUAAAACUUAGAAAACCCAAUAAAUAUUUUCUUGCUUUAAUCUACUGCAUUCUAUAAACAUAAAAACAAAAUAAAAAAAGUGUGUAGAUAAGUGUGAUUUAUUUUUUCUGUUAAGUUUAAUCUCUACAAAAAAAUAAAAAGACCAAAAAGAUGCAUGAUGGAAAUGAUGAACAGUUGCUCUGUUUGCUUACUUUCAGGUACCUAGCUUUUAUAUUAGAGUUCUUCCAGGAAUCAUUAAAACUAAAAUUACUAUCUAUGGGAAGCAUAAAACUAAAGUCUAGGUAAGAGAGGGACAUAAUAUAAAGUUUGAGCUGCUGUUUAUCUUGUUCCUACUACACUAAGUUCUGGAGAUUUAAUUUAAAAACUUACAAAUCACAUGAUGAGUUCCUAACAUUACAAACUACCUACCAUACCCAUACUUGCUAUAACAUCUUUUACUUAUAUUCACAUUAAGUUUGAUCGAGCUGUGUAGACCCUUAAGGAGCUUUCAUGUGGUUGAAUUAAGAUAUUCACUUGCACACAUCCACUAUACCAUCCAUCACCAUUCAUUAAAAUUGCUAAAAAUAUUAUCACUCACUAUCCUAAAUAUUCUUAUUCUCUCUCUCUAAAAAGAUUCAAUGCAGAAGAGGCAUGGGUUAUGUAAAAAUAUGCGAGGAAAUAAAAAGGGGCAAGUGCCCGGAACCUCAAAAAGAAAGAAGAAAAGAGUGAGACGAGAGGUAAAAAUGGACAAGUGUUCGGAGUAGAAUUAGGGGUACAAAGAUGCCCACUUGAGCGGAAAAAAUGGACAAGUGUCUGACAGUAGAAUUAGGGGUAUCUACUACCCACCUGAAAAAAAGAGAGAUGGCCCAUGUUCUCCCAAAGCAAAGAUCAAAGAAAAGGAGAGAUAGCAAUAUGAGGAGCAAUGAGAAGUAAGUUUUAUUAUCACCCAUACAUUUUUUACCAUCACUAUCAUUUACUCCACCACACUUACACAUCUUGAUUUAAUUAUAUGGUGAGUUCCUUUGGAUCCAUGGCUCGAUUAGACAACAUAUGUAUGAGCUAUUUUUCACUCCUAUGAGCUCCACUUAAAUAUUCCAUUAGCUAUAGGUAAGUGACAUUUUGGUAAGGAUCCACAAAUACCACGUAUAGAGAGACUUGAGAGAAUCAUUGCUGGGAACUCUAAGUUUUAUUUUGAAAACUUAUGAAAAACUCUCAAACAAAGGUGAAGUAUAGACAGGAGGAAUAGUGCUUGACUUAAUUAUUUUGUCUUUCAAUUACUUAAGACUCAAGUGCAGGUACUAAGCUCCAUGACACAUCACUCUAAUUUGGAAGAAUUUUUAUAUAAAAGCAUGUGUGCCUGUCAGGAAAGAAAACAUCGAAGCAACUCCUGAUCCAUCUGAGUUUAGCUGUUUGCUCAGGGACGAGCAAAGGGUAAGCUUGGGGGAGUUUGUUGACGGUCCUUAAGUACUAAAUUUAACCAUCAAAUAAACAUGGAAAAGGAUCAAUAUGCACCAAACAUCUAGAAUUAGGGUUUUAUCUGAUAGAAUUCCACGAGCUUUGGUGUUUAUCUAUUUCUGCAGGGGGUUAUCAGAAAAUAUGGAGAGAAGGCCCACAUGUCAUGUUUACAACGAGAUAAUUACGUGUCGUGCAAUUUUCCUCAAUCUAGAAGAGUCCAGAAGCCAUGGGAACGAACGGGAAGACGAUCGGGCCCGGGGCAGGGCGCCCGCCCUCCCCCCUUGGGCGCCCGCCCAGGUCACAGGUCCAAUCCGAACCAAACUCUUGGAUCGUGCUCCACCGACCUAAAGGAUCAAGGAAAACCGUGCGAUCAAUGUCGGUUUGAUCCGACGGCCCAAAUUCACUUGAAAGGACUAUAUAACCAAGGCCUCUCCACCCCUGGGGGAGAGAAGAGAAGAGGAGAAAUCAUUAUCAGAGGUAGCCAUCAAAGUUAGGGUUUAGAGCUUCUCUUCCACAGAGAAUUAGAAUUAGCUACUCCCUAAUCCUUCAAUUUUAGAGGAUUGAUUAGAUAGCAAUUAGAGAAGUAGAGCACUACGCUCUGGAUUCUGAUCUUCGGUAAUAAAGAUUGGUAUUAUUCAUAUCUUUCUCUAAUACUUCGUUCUAAUUACAUUAUGUCUCUAUUUAUUAUGCUCUUACUUUGCUCUAGUUCUAUAUUUGAUAUAGUUAUGAUUGAUAAUAAGUUUAAGUAUAAGUUUGCAAAGCGCUUAGCUCUUGACUCGAGGGAGUUAAGUGGUAGAUCACAUGUGGGCGUGGUGCUUAGAUGUUAUUUACCUGCAAAUGUAUCCUAUUGGCCGGGUUGUGUGGUAGUUCGCGAUAGUGACAGCUUCGUUGAUUCUUAUAUAGUCCACCCUCCGUUGAUAGGACAGACAGAAUUUGUAUUGCGGAGUAAGUCUUACAAUGUUCUGAUUUACUUUAGCAAUGUUCCUUAUACAUAAAUGAAGAGUCUUUUAUACUAUACAUGAUCUUGUAGAUAACUAGAGUAGAUUGUGACUUAGUAGAUAGUAGAUAACUUAGAAUCCAUUCUCUAGCUAAUCCGACAUCACCUACAUAUAUGAGGAGUAGUCUAUUUUCUAAUCGCUGUGUUAAUUACCCAUGAACUUAUAAUUCAUUAUCAUUAUCUUUAUGGUUUACCCCCUGCCAAAGUAAGUGACUGUGUGACGAGUUUCUCAUUAGUAAUCAUGUUCUUGCGAGUUUAUCUCUAGUCUAUGCCUUGAUAGAUUUAGUCUUUAUCUUAAUUUUACCCUUGUUCUCUUAAGCAAAAUUAUAAAUAACGAUACCUGUGCACUUGCGGAUAGAAUAGAUUAUUUUCUAGAGACCCUUUACAUUUAUAAAUACCUUUGUACACUCUGGCACCAUGCUGGGGAUGAUAACCUAGUAUCUAAGUGGUGUUAGCUAGUGUCAACAACCAUUACCAUCAUUGCUUAAUCACAUUAAUCAUCUCGAUUAAUGCAUCAUCAUUUCAUAAGUCAUCCACCAUAACCUUUCAUACCCAACUAUUCCGUAAGGAUCCAAGGCCGCUCAUGUCUGAGAGCACGGCUAGUACACCCGUUUGAUUAAACUCAUGUAGAGGUGUGCACUUUCCCCGCAAGUCGUGUUACCCAUAUAUCCGGGGCUUGCAAGACCCACUAACACUCCCAAGGUGAGCAGGCAGGGUACACUAAGAAGCCUUCCAUAGGCCUCGUCUAACCAGUUAGGACCGUGAGGUUUCCUCGACAGGCAGAUAUAGAGAACCCCUUUCCUAUGGCACAUUUUCAUCACGGCUAUACACAUAGGAACAGAAGCAGUUCUAUACCCAAAGUGGCAAGCCUCUCUUGUGCCCUUUCGUGUAACCUCUAACCAGCUAGAUGAGAUCCUACUACUGAGCUAAAGUUAGAGCCAUUUAACCCCACGGUUGCACUGUAUCCAGGGGCGAAGCCCAAUAGGGCGGUGUGGGUGCCCAGGCACCCCCCACGAAUUCUAGGAUUUCUCAGACAUUAACAAUUUUUGGCCCUUUAGGCACACCUAUAGCCCAAUAUGAGGCACCCACCAGGCCAUGAAGCCCAUGACGCCAGUCUGGAGCUGCAAGCUACAGGAGUCCACGCAACGCAUCAGGUCCUGGAGUCCAGGCGACGCAUCAGCUGCCGCCGUCCUCACAAAGUCGCGGUUCUCCUUCCUCCACAGCGCCGCGCGAUGCCGUGAUGACUACGCGUGUGCGUGCGUGAGACUCCGGCACUGCAUCACCUUCCUUUGUCAGUUCGUCUUUCACUCUCCCUGCCGCGCCUUGCUCUAGAAGACCAGAAGCUUGAGCCGUCAAGGUCUCGAAGACGAAGUCGUCUGCUGUCUGCCUGUCCCUGUCCGACUGUCCCGUUGGUCGUUCAUCUGAUUCCCGGCGGCCAUCAUCUCGAGUUCUCGACUCGACGAUUGUUGACGGUCCUUAAGUGUCAAAUAUAAUCAGCAAACAAAUAAAGAAAAGGAUCCAAAUACAACCGACACCCAGACUUAGGGUUUUAUCUAACAGAAUUCUACGAGUUUUGGUGUUUGUCUAUUUCUGCAGGGAGUUAUCAGGAAUUAUGGAAGAAAGGCCCACACGUCGGGUUUACAUAGAGAUAUUAACGUGCCGCACAAUUAUCUUACAUCUAGAAGAGUCCAGAAAGAGUCCAGAAGCCACGGGAACGAACGGGAGACCGGACGGGCUCGGGGGCAGGGCGCCCGCCCUCCCCCCUUGGGCGCCCGCCCUGGCCUCGGGGCCAAUUAGAGCCAACUUCACGGAUCAUGCUCCACCGACCUAAAGGAUCACGGAAAACCGUGCGAUUAAUGUCGGUUUGAUCCGACGACCCACAUUCACUUGGAAGGACUAUAUAACCAGACCCCCUGGCCCCUGGAGGAGAGGACCUCAGACCCCUAAUUCAUUAUUCAUCUUGGGAGAAGAAGCCUCUGAUCAAGCCUUAGAGCCACCACAUCAGUUAGAUCUCUAGUUUAGCAUAGCUACAUAGGAUUAGAACUAGAAGGAGUCAAUCUUCGAUUGGUUUCCGGAUCUGUCAAGAGGAUUCUUGGUAAUUCUCUAUUGUUCUUCAAUUGUUCAUCUUUGUUCUUCAAUAUUAUGAAUAUGACUUUGUUCUACUUCAAUAUAUUGAUUAUGACUUUGCUCUACUUGUUUAUAUUUGCAAUUAUAUUAUUCUUAGUUUAACAUAGUUAUAUACUUGGCUUAGUUAGAGUGGAAUUAUAUACAUGUUUAGGAUCGUAUAGCAUUUAUCCAUGUGUACAGUGGGUAAAUGAUAAGUAUUGUGUAGGCGUGGUGCCUAUACCGUAUUUCUCUACGAUUGUACCCUAUAUGCCAGAUCGCGGGGUAGUUCGUGGUAGUGACAGCUCCUUUGAUUCUUAUAUAGUCCCCCUCUCGUGUAUAGGGCUGGCAGAGCAACAUUAUUACAGGGGAGUGAUUGCGAUGUUUCUCAUAUUCCUUGAUAAUAUCACUAUGCAUGGGCGUAGUCUUGUCUCGCAAUGAUUGCCAUGUAUAAUUGCACUAACUAUGAUAUGCUAGACUGUAUAGUUAAGAAUAACUUAGGAAAUAUUCUUGUAGUUCGUCAUAAUUCCAUGCUAAUGACUUGCAAGAAUAUCUAUUGAGGUGCUUAUCAUAUUUAUAUAUGGCUAAGUUAUGCUGAUCAGAUUUAUUAUCUUUGUCACCAUUCAUACUUUAUAUAUCUUUUAUGUGACACUUAUCCCUGUAUGAAAGAGAUAGAUAGAUGCUCUCAAUUAUACAUGCAAUGAUAGAUUCUCAAUUCUAUAUUCCAUUCCAUAAUCAACAUUGAUGUUUAGCAAUCCCUUCCCAGUGGUAAAAAUAUAAAUAACGAUACCUGGAAUACUUCUCGGUUAAAAUGCUACAUCGGUAUUAAUCUCUGCGCUUGCAGAUCUCAUUUAUUAUUUAUUUAGAAGAGCAAUUGCAUAUUUCAAUACCGCGUCUUUCAUGUCAUGCUGGGGAUGACAACUUGGCUUAAGUGGCAUGAGGGAUAGGUUUGGCAUUUUUGGCGCCGUUAUCAGAAUUAGAAAACUAAGUCUACUUUUGGUAGUGACGUUAAGAAUGCCCAACAAGCAUUUUUGGCGCCGUUGCCGGGGAAGGUUGAUUACUAAUCAGGAAUGAAUAUGGAAUUUCGAGUCAUCAUUCGCAUCACUAAUCUGAUUGAGAUUAUCAAUUCUCUCAUACAGUUUUACCCCGAUAUUUUUAUAUUUUAUCUUAUGCAGGGUAAUGUAUGAAUAGAAGACAUCUUCCAGGAAAUUUUGUUGACAAUCCCGAAGCAUUAUUCAGAAAAACAAGAGCCAAGCUCAAAAAGAGAUCAUCAACACUUCAACACGAAGAUUCGUCAAAUCAAGAAGAUCACCGAAGUUUCACCCGGAACUUGUCUUUAGAAUUCGAAGUCAUGGCGAACAAAUCGAUCCGUGAGUUCUCAGCUCCCACUAUGGACAACAUCCGCACUGGACCUGCUGCAGAGAUCGAUGGCAACUUUGAGCUCAAUCCUGGACUUAUCAACAUGGUGCAAUCUAACCAGUUCUGUGGGAAGGCACACGAAGAUACUAGUGCUCAUCUCCAACACUUCCUGGAGAUUUGCAACACAUUCACCAUAUCAGGAGUCCCCAGAGAUGCUAUACUACUUCGCCUCUUCCCAUUCUCACUGUUGGGGAGAGCAAAGCAGUGGUUCUACGAUACAAAGGAGAAGAAUACUAUGUGGGCACUCUGCUCCACGAACUUUCUAGCUAUGUUCUUUCUCAUGGGCAAGACCAAUGCUUUCCAUGAGAAAAUUACAAGUUUUCAGCAACAACAUGAUGAAUUUGUUCCAGAAGCAUGGGAGCGCUUCCAAGACUACAUCCUAGAAUGUCCCCAUCAUGGAAUGGAGAGUUGGCUACUGAUGCAGAUGUUUUAUCAUGGGCUCGAAAAUAGUGCCGGAGAGACCAUGGAUGCUGCAGCUGGAGGAGCAUUCCUAUCACUCACUAUAUCACAAGCCACAGCUCUUAUGGAGAAGAUGGCAUCCAACCAAAGCUGGAAUGAAGAAAGGACUCAGACACGCAAGAAAGGUGGAGGUAUGCAUCAGCUCAAGGAAGUAGACAUGCUGUCUGCAAAGCUAGACCUGCUCAUGAAGAAGCUCGAUGAUAGAGCUAGAGAUAAGAAAGAAGUCAUGCACAUCUACGACUCUCACAUGACUUGUGAGGAGUGUGGAGAUACUAGACACUCAGGAAAUCAUUGCCCUGAGAUGCUUGAGGACGUGAACUACAUCAACAACAAUAACAACAACUACUACUACAACCGUCCUCGACAAAAUCAAGGUUGGAAUCAACAUAGGCCUAACUACUCAGGUAAUUAUCAAGGUAAUAAUUCUUACAACAAUAAUAAUAAUUUUCCACCUCUGAGAGAGUUAGUGUCUAAUCAAGGAAAGCUAAUGGAUAACCUAUCUAAGAAAUUGGCAUCUAAUGAUAAAAUGCUAGAAAAUAUAAAUAAUAGAAUGGAUAAUUUCUCUACUGCCAUCAAGAAUCAAAUUAGCUUUAAUAAAAUGAUUGAAUCUCAGUUAAAUCAAAUAGCUGCUGAUGUUUCUGCUACUAACCCCGGUAUACCAUCACAUCUGGAAGGAUUAAAAUCUGCAAAUCUUGUAGACAUGUUUGAUGCAGGUAACUACUGGAGUAACCCCGUCACUGAAGUUACUACUGACCUUCUGCCGGUCAAGAGAGGCGAUCCAGGACGCCCCGUCAUCCCGAUCUCCAUCGGCAUGGUGGACUUCCUAGAAGCACUCUGCGACUUUGGCUCUAGCGUCAACAUUAUGCCCAGGGUACUCUAUGAAAAAUUCUUUGCAUAUCCUUUAUUAGAAACAACCAUGUAUUUGCAGUUUGCAGAUCAGGCGUUAAGUUUCCCAAAGGGGAUAUUGAAGAACCUUUGUGUCCAAGUUGGUACCUUGUACGCCCCAGCAGACUUCGUGGUGAUAGAGACCAAAAAUGAUGAGAGGACACCCAUCAUCUUAGGGAGGCCAUUCCUGAACACCUCGGGAGCUGUCAUCUACGCUAGUACUACCAAGAUCAGUUUCUACAUCAACGGAAGGAAGGAGACGUUUUCCUUGAAGAACAAGACUACACAAAUCCUAGAGCAAUCCCGACAUGAACCAAGGAAGAGGACCAACAGGAGGAAUAGGAACAAGCAAGUGUGGACCGAGUCAGCUAAGAUGGUCACUGCAGUUCAAGGAGGUCAAGGUCACCAACUUAAGUCACCGUUUCUGACCAUGAAGGACGACCCAGGUAUGCCAAGCAUCCAUUGCUCCAUUAAUGGAUACAACUUCUACAAGACACUUUGCGACACCGGAUCAGGCGUCAAUAUAAUGGCCGCAGUCACCUAUCGGCUCAUGUUCGGAACCAUGCCCUUAAAACCAACAUACAUUCAGCUCCAAAUGGCAGAUCAGACAUUUCGAAAGGUUGAAGGUAUAGUAACUAAUGUCCCUGUCAAAAUAGACGAUCAUUUUGUCCAUACAGACUUUCAGGUUAUUGACAUGGGAGAAGAUGAGUACGAUCCACCCAUCAUCCUUGGGAGACCGUUCCUCAGCACCGUUAAAGCAAUCAUCUAUAUUGGAACUGGAGAAGUCCACAUGCACUUCACCUCAGAGAAGGUAUGCCGCUAUUUUACUAAUCCUAACAAUAUAGUUGAAGACUCUAAGCAGGUCAGGACAAGAAGAAGACGACGCAACCGCAACCGGAGGAGGCAAAUCAUCAAGGACGGAUGGGCAGACUACGAAGGAGAAGUGGUAAGGUCUGAAGACAUACAGCUUGAAUAGAACUAUUCUGAGGAGACCGUAGCACCGAGUCAGGUGUGGGGAGAGAAGAUAGUUAUACACGAAGAGGAGGCACCGCCGGAAGCACCGACUACGCCAUCCAACGAAUCCCACGACGACUGAGAAAACAGAGAGUCCCGUUCGGAGGACUUAAAAACGCCGAACGCCUUGCCAAGAGGUAAACUUGGUAGUUAUCUUUUUUCUUUCAAUUAUUUCAAAUAGUUUGCUUAGUUAAUCAUGUUCAUAUUAUCCUAAAAAGAAAAUAAAAAUGUUAAAAAAACAGUAAGCCCCAUGUAAGUAUAUGAGUGGCAUAAAACCCAUUAGUACAUUCACUGUGGUGGCAUAAAAAUAAAAUAAAUAUUUUUUCUGCUCCAUAAAAUGAAAAUAUAAAAAUAGAGAGUUACAGUUAUUGAGGAGGCUCAACAUGAUAAAGGCUAGAUAUUUAUGCUAACGCCUAAUCAGUUCCACAAAGCUUUGUUGUCUAUUUGAGCUCCACAGAAUUCAAGAAUCAAGAAGACUAGCAGACAGAGGACAUUCUAAUCGCUGUCAGUGUGCUACCGACUUUCAAAUACACCUCUGCCACCUACUAGCUACAUCAGAAGAAAUUACGUCAAAAUUCAGCUUGGGGGAGAGCACCCCCAUUUAUCCUGCUAAGUAUUUCUAUCUAUCUACAUUUAUACUUAUACUAUAUUAAAAUAUAAAUAUACAUAACUAUGAAAAACCAAAUAAAGAUUUUGUGCUUAUAUAUAUAUAUAUAUCUUUUGCUUAAUGUGCUUAAUAAAUAAAUAAAGUGGCUAUGCUAAACUGAAUCUUAAUAAUAAAACUCUAGCAUGGAUAUGAUAAAUAGUUGCUCUGCCUAAUUUUCAAAUUUGAAGUUCUCUCUCUAGUUUAGACAUAACUGUUAUAUUUAAAGCUUGCUCUAAAUCUGAACUUGUGGGAAGAGAACUUGAUCUGAAGUCUAAGUUGUUAACGGAUAUGAUAUGGGAAGGUUGAGCUGCUGUUUAUCUGUUCCUAGAGAUGCUAGAAUUCAGGAGAAUUUUAUCUUUGAAAAUCUUUAAAAUAUCACAUGAUGAGUUCCUGUAUGAUGAGAGUUUUAAAUUCCUACCACAGCUAUAUAUACAUGCUUGCUAGACUUUGAGCCACACAUUUACUUUUUACUGCUUAUGAGCAUUGAGUGUGGUCAAGCUGUGUAGACCCUUAGGAGCUUGUCAUGUGGUUAAAUCAAGAUUCACUUACACGUUCACUCACACAUGCUGCUUCUACUCCGGAAGUACGUAUCCACUUAUAUCCACUCAUUUCCAUCUCCAGAGCCACUCAAAAAUAUUCUACUCCUAAUCCGGGAGAGAAUAGCAAAAAAACAUUUAUGUUUUCCCCUGUGAAAUAAAUGCUCAAGUUAUCUUGGUUACUACCACUUGCUACAUUGUUUCAAGAGAUGAGUGCUCUAAAAAAAGAAGAAAAAAGAUACGAGAAAAUAAAAAGGGGCAAGUUCCCGGAACCUCGAAAGAAAAGAAAACGUGAGACGAGAGGUAAAAAUAGACAAGUGUUUGACAGUAGAAUUAGGGGUACAAGAUACCCACCUGAGAGGAAAGAAAAAGAAGAGCAUCUCAUUCUCCUCAAAAGUUUCAAAGAGCAAGAAAGGUAUGUAUCCCCUCAAAAGAGCAAAAGUAGAAUUAGACUUUCACCAUUGUUAUCACCAUCAUCACCAUACACCAUUCAUUCGCCACACAUGCACAUCUUGAUUUGACUUAUUGACUUGUUUCUUUGGAUCCAUGGUUUGACUAUACAAUAAAUGUCUUGCAAGUAUGUAUACUUUAUCUCCCACCUAUGAGCUUCAGAUAUCAAAAGCCUUAUUAGAGUAGGGUGAGAGAGAAGGCAAUGUCACUAUGCCUUAUACCUAAAAUACUACAUACUUUGAGAGAAGGCAUAUACCAUCACUGCCUUGGUAGAAUCCAGAAAUACCACAAAAGAGAGAUCUGAGAGAGUCAUAUAAGGAAUCUCUGAGUUUUAUUUGAAAAAUCUACAAAAACUCCAGAGCUAUAGCUGAUCAAAGAUAAGAGACAUGGCACUUGAUUAGACCGUUCUAUCUUUUAACUACUCAAGACAGAAGUGACGGUUACAAGUCCCAUGGUGAAAGGUAAAAUAAAUAAGUUUUAAGUCUUGACAGUUUACUCUAACUCAGAGAUGAGACCAUAUUUAAAAGAAUAUGUACCGUCAACUUUUCAAGGCAUUACAACAACUUCUGAUCCAUCACUGAGAUUAUCCUUGCUCAGGGACGAGCAAGAGGUAAGCUUGGGGAGUUUGUUGACGGUCCUUAAGUGUCAAAUAUAAUCAGCAAAUAAAUAAAGAAAAGGAUCCAAAUGCAACCGACACCCAGACUUAGGGUUUUAUCUCACAGAAUUCCACGAGUUUUGGUGUUUGUCUAUUUCUGUAGGGGGUUAUCAGGAAUUAUGGAAGAAAGACCCACACAUCGGGUUUACAUAGAGAUAUUAACGUGCCACGCAAUUAUCUUACAUCUAGAAGAAUCCAGAAGCCACGGGAACGAACGGGAGACCGGACAGGCUCAGGGGCAGGGCGCCCGCCUCCCCCCUUGAGCGCCCGCCCAGGCCUCGGGGCCAAUUAGAGCCAACUUCGCGGAUCAUACUCCACCGACCUAAAGGAUCAAGGAAAACCAUGCGAUUAAUGUCGGUUUGAUCCGACGGCCCACAUUCACUUGGAAGGACUAUAUAACCAGACCCCCUGGCCCCUGGAGGAGAGGACCUCAGACCCCUAAUUCAUUAUUCAUCUUGGGAGAAGAAGCCUUUGAUCAAGCCUUAGAGCCACCACAUCAAUUAGAUCUCUAGUUUAGCAUAGCUACAUAGGAUUAGAACUAGAAGGAGUCAAUCUUCGAUUGGUUUCCGGAUCUGUCAAGAGGAUUCUUGGUAAUUCUCUAUUGUUCUUCAAUUGUUCAUCUUUGUUCUUCAAUAUUAUGAAUAUGACUUUGUUCUACUUCAAUAUAUUGAUUAUGACUUUGCUCUACUUGUUUAUAUUUGCAAUUAUAUUGUUCUUAGUUUAUCAUAGUUAUAUACUUGGCUUAGUUAGAUUGGAAUUAUAUACAUGUUUAGGAUCGUAUAGCAUUUAUCCAUGUGUACAGUGGGUAAAUGAUAAGUAUUGUGUAGGCGUGGUGCCUAUACCGUAUUUAUCUGCGAUUGUACCCUAUAUGCCAGAUCGCGGGGUAGUUCGUGGUAGUGACAGCUCCAUUGAUUCUUAUAUAGUCCCCCUCUCGUGUAUAGAGCUGGCAGAGCAACAUUAUUACAAGGGAGUGAUUGCGAUGUUUCUCAUAUUCCUUGAUAAUAUCACUAUGCAUGGGCGUAGUCUUGUCUUGCAAUGAUUGCCAAGUAUAAUUGCACUAACUAUGAUAUGCUAGAUUGUAUAGUUAAGAAUAACUUAGGAAAUAUUCUUGUAGUUCGUCCUAAUUCCAUGCUAAUGACUUGCUAGAAUAUCUAUUGAGGUGCUUAUCAUAUUUAUAUGUGGCUAAGUUAUGCUGAUCGGAUUUAUUAUCUUUGUCACCAUUCAUACUUUAUAUAUCUUUUAUGUGACACUUAUCCCUGUAUGAAAGAGAUAGAUAGAUGCUCUCAAUUAUACAUGCAAUGAUAGAUACUCAAUUCUAUAUUCCAUUCCAUAAUCAACAUUGAUGUUUAGCAAUCCCUUCCCAGUGGUAAAAAUAUAAAUAACGAUACCUGGAAUACUUCCCGGUUAAAAUGCUACAUCGGUAUUAAUAUGUGCGCUUGCAGAUCUCAUUUAUUAUUUAUUUAGAAGAGCAAUUGCAUAUUUCAAUACCGCGUCUUUCAUGUCAUGCUGGGGAUGACAACUUGGCUUAAGUGGCAUGAGGGAUAGGUUUGGCAUUUUUGGCGCCGUUAUCAGAAUUAGAAAACUAAGUCUACUAUUGGUAGUGACGUUAAGAAUGCCCAACAACGAUCUCGUUCUUGUCGUCGUCGAACAGUCGUUGUCUGCUGCCACUCCCAGUCGACUGAGCAGAGUGAGUGUUUAUUCAAUUUAUAUUCUCCUAAUUAACUUUUUGUGAUUUGUGAACUACAAUUUCUUUAUACAAAUUAAUGAAUUAUAGGUAACCAUGGAGAGGUUUUAUAAAUGGAAAGCUCAAGACAUGAUUAAUGGUAAUAGAACUUCAUGUCCACAUGAAAUCAAUUGGGAUGAGGAGAUUAAAUAUGAUCCUAGUUUCAGGAAAGAAAUUGAUUCUUACCAUCCCAACAUCAGACAAAAGGUAAGAAGAAAAUACUUGGAGAAUGGACCUUGUCAGCCUCGCACAUGUGAUUUUCCUAUUACACAAAUUGGAGAGAAAGAGAAACCUGGAAGAUUUAUUGCAGAAUGGUUUGAUGAGUUUGGUCCUUGGCUUGAAUAUAGUGUGGCAAAGGAUAGAGCAUAUUGCUUUUAUUGUUUCUUGUUUAGAGAAAAGAAAGAUGCAGGGUAUGAUGCAUUUGUGGUCAAGGGCUGGAAUGGUUAUCAUAGGAAAGAAAGGCUAAGGUCACAUGUUGGUGAAGUUGGUGGUUUACACUAUAAUGCAAUGAAGAAGUGUGAUGCUUUGUUACAUAGAAACCAACACAGAGAUGUUGCUUAUAAUCAGAUAAUUGAAGUUGCUAAGAAGGCCUAUUUUACUCGGUUGAAUGGGUCAAUUGAUACAGCUAGACUAUUGUUGAAGCAAGGAUUGCCUUUUCGUGGCCAUAAUUUGUCAAAAGAAUCCUACAAUAGAGGGAAUUUCAAGGAGUUCUAUGAUUGCUUAGUAGAACAUGAUCCAAUUUUACGCAAAGCUGUGACUACAAAUGCCACAAAGAAUAGUUGUUUGCUUGCUCCUGAAAUUCAGAGAGACAUUGUUGAGUGUUUCGCAAAUGCGAUUGUACAAUCUAUCCUCAAAGAACUUGGAGAUGAUGUCUUUUGCUUGCUAGUUGAUGAGUCAAGAGAUGUUUCUUGCAAAGAACAAAUGGCUGUGGUCUUGAGGUAUGUUGAUAAAUUUGGGAUGGUGAAAGAGAGCUUCGUUGGCCUUGUCCAUGUGGCUGAAACAAGUUCUGUCCACCUCAAGUCAGCCAUUGAUGCUCUUCUUGCAAAGUUUAAACUAAGCUUAAAACAGUGUCGAGGCCAAGGAUAUGAUGGUGCUAGCAAUAUGCGAGGUGAGUUGAAUGGCUUGCAAUCACUGAUCAUGAGAGAUAGUAAAACAGCUUAUUAUGUGCAUUGCUUUGCUCAUCAACUCCAGUUAGUCAUUGUAGCAACCGUGAGAAAACAUAAGGGUGUUAGCAAUUUUUUAAAUUUGAUUUCUAUCUUACUAAAUGUGGUGGGUGGGUCUGCUAAGAGAAGGGACAUGAUUAGAGAUAUCAAUCAUGAACAAGUGAAACAAGCAUUAGGUUGUGGGCAACUUGAGACCGGGACAGGGUUAAAUCAAGAGCAAUGUCUUCAAAGACCUGGAGACACUAGAUGGAGUUCUCAUUAUAAAACUCUGAAAAGUUUACUCAACAUGUUUCCUACAAUAGUUGAAGUGCUCAAGGUUGUUGAAAAGGAUGACAGAGAUUGGAAAAAUAGAGAUCAAGCACAUAAUCUUCUGGUAUACUUCCAAUCUUUUGACUUUGCAUUUUAUUUGCAUCUCAUGUUGACUACAUUAACUGCCACAAAUACAUUGUUAUUAGCAUUGCAACGCAAGGAUGAAGACAUUAUAAAUGCCAUUGGUUGUGUAAAAUCAACUAGACUCCAUUUGGAUGAACUUAGAAGAGAUGGUUGGGAAAGUUAUUAGAUGAUGUGAAUGGGUUUUGUGACUUGCAUGAAAUUGAUAGGGUGGAAAUGGAGAGCACAUAUAUUGAUCCUCGACAGCCUAGAAAAAGAUCAAGAAUUACAAACAAGCAUCACUAUGCAGUGGAUUGCUUUAAUGAUAUUAUUGAUUGGUUAGUUCAAGAGCUUGAUAGCCGGUUUAGUGAGACAACUACUCAAUUGCUUGUCUGCUCAGCUGCUUUCAGUCCAAGAGACAAAUUUCAUUCUUUUGAUGGGGAGACUUUGAUGAGCUUAGCCAAGUUAUAUCCAGAUGUAACACCCGAUUUUAAGAACAAAAUCAGAUAUGCAUCAUAUGUGAGUUUUAGAAGACAAGCCUCACAUAUAGCUACAAAUAAAGGGUAAUAUCAAAGGACAAUGCAUAAAUUACAUAGCGUACAUAGUAAAUCAGAAACAACCUUAGGCAGCAAACCACGGAAUAUAACUCCAAACUUCGAGUGUUAACUUCACUCUACAGGAUCCAACUGACUGGUUGAUCACAAGCCCAAAACUUCUCCUGAGGUGUGGGGGAGAUAGCAAGAGUGAGUUCAAGACGAACCCCGCAAGUAUAGCAACUAGAUAGUAUAGAUCCCACGGUCUCAUGAUCAAUGUGACAUAAAUAAUAUAGAGCAUUAAACAAUAAUCAAUGAGUUUCUUAACACAAGAUUCAUCACCCUUAAUGUAAGAGUUCCCAAGGCCGCUCGUGACCGUGAGCACGGCUAGUAUACCAGUAUUUUAACACUCUGCAGAGGUUGUACAUUUUUACCCAUGAGUCAUGAUUUACCCUUUCGCCUGAGGUGAUCAGCCUCGUAACCCACUACCAAGGUAGGUCGGCAGGGAUCACUAUGAAGUCUUUCAAAUGUUCGUCUAACAAGUUAGGGCCGCUUGGUUUCGGUAGUCAGUCCAUGUGAUUCUACCCCGCAGGGGAUCCACGGUCUGCUAUCCCCCAUUUGCGCCACACGGGUAACCUCUAACAAGCUAGAAAAGUUACUCAUACUUGACUAAAGCCAGAGCCAUUAUAGCCCUCAUGGUUGCACUUUCAUCCCGGUUAUCACUUACAAAUAAAUCCUCAAGUUGUUAAAAAGUCAUUAUUAUCAUUUGUUGCUUUAUAUCAAUCUAGUCACAAGAUCAUGGUCAUAAAAUUAAAACCCAAAUGCUAUACUUGCCUUGAUCCAAUUGCUCCUGCUGGUCCUACUGAUCUUACUUGCUUCCAAGGCUCUGAUCUUGAUCACCGAAGUAAUGCCCACUGUCUAAUCUCGAUCAUCGAUUAUCGACACACAAGCAUUCAAGGCCACACAUACACAAAGCAAACAAAGCUACAAUUAGAACAGUACACCAGCAGUAAAUAAAUUUAAAUAAAAGUUUCCGAAAUCAUCUACACGCUGCUACGAUCACAUCAACGAGAAAUUCACGGAAAACGGAGUUACGACGCGAAAGUUACGCUUUUAACGGGAUUUCAACAGCAGUUUACGGACUUGUAAUUAACUAGGGAAUCUAACAGUGGUGAAUCUAGCCAACAAAGGUACCAACGCGAAGCUUAUGAAAUUAUAAAACUAACGCAACUUGAACGGAUCGAAUCGGAGCUAAAACGGAGAAGAUAUGAAUUUUCUAACAUUUUCUUUAGAAAAGUAAUUAAUUAAAUAGGGUCACAAAAUUAAAGUGAUACAAAUUGUUAAACCAAGUUUACUAACGUAAAGUUCAUGUGAUUACGAAUCUAACGCAAUUUGAACGGGUCAAAUCGGAGUUAAAACGAAUAUUUUAUGAGCAAAACAGUUUCAAUGGUAAACUUGUAAAUACUAGAAAGCGUAUUCUGAUUCAAACCGAGACUCUACGCUUCUCCAAAAGUAAAGCGUAUUCCCUGCAAAACGACAUGGACUGCGGGUUGAUAAUCUAAAACUAUAGGGACUCUUUAACAAAAUGAGCCCCGAAGGGGUACGGAGCGUUCUGGUCCGUUGGAUCACAGAUGAACGGCCCGGAUUAAAAGAAAAGAAAGAAAAAGGAAAAAAAACAAAUAAGAAAGAGAGGGAAGGGGUGCGCACCGGCCAGAGCUGAGCAAAGUCACGGCGGUGGCCAUGGAUUCCGGCCAAAGCUCGUCGGCGCAAAUGGAUCGGCAGCUACGGUGCACGGUUUUCGAUUCCGUUUGAACCAGGAGAAAGAGGAGAGCGAUGCGAGUCCAUUCCAAACCAUAAACGCGGUCGAGGAGGCGGUUUCCGAGAAGGUUCAUGGCGACGCCAUGAACGUCGUGUCGGAGCUUGCGGAACUGGGACUCCGGGCCACGAUUCGCUCGGCAACAGGACGGGGAGGGAGCGGGGAAGAAGACGGAGCUCACCACAGCGCUAAUUCGGAGCGAAAACGGCUCGGGACGGCGGCUUCGCGUGGCGGGCGGAAAACUCCGGUGACGGUUUCUCUCUACGCACGCACGGACGGGAGCAGAAGCGAGGAGAGGGGAACUGGGGAGGAGAAGGAGACGCGCGGCUCGCAGCCCACUACUUAUCCAAGCGCGGGAGGGGAGAACGUGGGGAGCGGGGAGAGGAUCGCACGGUUGCGGCUUCAUGAGAGAGAGAGGCGGUUGGAGGAAAGGGAUGAAGCUGACGCGUGGGCUCCGCUUGUCAGCCACUGGAGAGAGAGGAGGAGGAAGGGGGUUGGUCGGCUGGGCCGACUGGGCCAAAAGGGAAAGAAGGGUUUUGUUUUUUUUCAACUCAUUUUCAAAAGCAUUUUCAAUUUGAAUUUUGAACAAAUCUUUCUUUUGCAAAAUUCACACAUCACAAAAUAAAAUGCCACAGCAUGAAUGCACACACAAAAAAAUGUUUUCUAAACUUAUAUUAAAUUUUAUUUUCCCAAAAUUUAUUUAUUAUUUUUUUUCCUAUAUUUUAUGAGCACAAAAUAGCAAAUUAAAUUAUUUUUCAUCUAUUUCCAAAAGAGCAAAAUUUAGGGUGUUACAAUUCUACCCCCCUUAAAAAUGAAUCUCGUCCUCGAGAUUCGAAAGAGGCUCAGGUCCUCUGAGCGAAACAGGAAAAUAUCUUGAUAAUCCUUUCAACUUCACAACUUGCAUACCAAACUUAAACACUUGUCUCAAGGUCACACCUCGUGAACAACAUUUCCAUUGAAUAACUAUUUUUCAUAGUUGACCGAAGUCCAUCUUGACUACUAAUCCUCUUAUCUUACAACUCCAAGAGACAUAGAAACUUAAUAUGCAUUUGCUUCAUCAGGUAGGAGUGGGCCACCAUGAUACUCAAUUCUUUUUCCUGACGGUGUUGUUAAGAGCAUUUUGUACUGGGUACCAUAGGUCACUCCUUUGUGUGCACACAACCAUCCAUUACCAAGGACCAAGGGAAUACCAAGUGACUCUAGCACAAUGAGGUUUACAGCGAAGUUUUCUUUGUUUAUGACCAGAUUGAUAUUUGAGCACACCUGAUCUGCUUGUCUUUCUCCCACUAGGGUUUGAACUAAUAAAGGCUUCCUCGUUGGGCACUUCACCCACUCGAUCGUCUUUACCAAGUCAGCAGAAAUGAAAGAAUGCGAAGCACUCGGGUCAAAGAGGGCAAAAACUUGCACUAAGUCUACUUGAAUAUAACCACCAACCACUUUGGUAGCUCCAUGAAUGUUAUGCCUAUCCACAUUGCUCAGUCUCCCAUUGAUAUAGUCUCGUUGCACCCUACUUCCAUGAGCAGGCUUCUUACAGCUUUUCCUUUUUCUCUUUCGCCGUUGUGGAUUCUGAUUUGAUUCACUUCCAACUUGCUCUUGAGUAUCAUUAUUUUGAUAGCAUUCAGUUUCAUCAUACUCAUAACAUCCUUCAGAGGCAGGAUCAUCAUUCUCUUCCCACGUAUCAGUAAGAGGCAUCAUAUAGGGCUCCUGAUCCAUGGGAUACUACACUCCCUGUCAUCAAGUGACCAACAUCAAUAACACGAGAAGGAGAGAUGAUCAUAUCCAUAGAUUAUCUCAAGAGACAACUCUCACUUCAGGAUAAGUUGAAAAUGCAUCAACCCGUGAUAUCAAGGUACUACCCCCCUUAAGAAAGGUCGGCUAGGAGGCACAAGGAAGGUAGCUUGCACUUUUUCCUGACAAGUUAUCUUGCAUUGAGACCUUUUUGACAUCCCAAGGAACUUAUGUGCAAGGAUGAAACAUACAUCCUAAAAUUUCCUCACGAUAUGAAAAUUACUAGUGCAGAAAAAUAGACAUAACUCUUGUUCUAUUAAUCCAAUAGGGCCAUAGCUUAUACCGUUAGAAAGCUUAGAAAAUUUUCUACAACCUUUCUGCAGAACACUUUUCCAAAUUCUAUAGUUAUAUUUGUCCAAAACAGCAGGCAACCAAAACUGGUCCAGAUUCUUGACAGCACAUCUAUAUCGUCUUGUGAUUUUUGUAACUUCCAAACCAUAAUAGCUAUGGGGGUGAUUCUUGCGGUCAGAGAAAGAUCUUGAAGUCCACUCUCAUUCAGAAUUUUAUCAUGAUUUUUAUUCAUCCAAGAUCAGAGACAUAAGCCGAUAAAGAUGAGAUACUCUAGAAAGGCACGAUAAGGUAACAAGAGAAAAACCAAAACCCAACUAUUUAUGUCAUUAAUCCUUAUGCCUUAGACAUAUAAACUAAAUGAAAUUGUGAAGAAACUCACAAGAUCAUUACACUCAUUACAAAGAUCCAAAUCAAACAUAAACAUAAAGAAAAUUCAACCAAGCAGUAAAGGUUCACAUGGCACACAAACUCGAUUUUCGCUGCUAGCGUUUUUAUUACACAAGGGCACAAACUCCUAUAUCUUAAACUCAGUGUGGCUUCUUUCAUGAUACUACUGUUGGUUCUUCUGUGGACAAGACUUUACAUAGUGUCCUUCCUGUCGGCAGUGAUAACACUUUUUCUUAGCUGGAUCCUUCGUGAUAUGAUUUUCCACUGAGGUGUUGCUCGGUGUGUUAUCAGCUCGCUGACUCUGAAGGUUUGUCUCUGGCUGGCUAGCUUUCUUCCUAACUUGGUUGAUCCUUCGAGGUUGAAACUCUUUAUAAGUGAUGGUUCAUCCAUCUAUGCAUACCUCAUGAGCAGUGGGGUUAGCUUGAGAAGUUUCUUCAUCUCCAAGGUUUGGAUUUUCAUGGCCAAAGUCCAAAGCUAAAUGUGACAACUUAGGAUUUGAAUGUUGUUCACUUCCCAAUGCUGGCUCUAGUGAUUUUGCCUUCCUCUUCUUAUCCUCAUUAGUCACAUAAUUUGGUUUUACCUUAACGUCCUUUUUAGAUGCCCUAUUCCGAAGACAAGGAAGACUAUAAUGCCUACAGCAAUGGCAUUGAUCCUGAUAUCCCGAUGUAUUACUACCAACACCUCCAUGGGUUCUCAUAUUUUUCCAAGCUUCUGCUACUUGUCUCUUCACUGGUCCUGAGAUGCACUGCUGAGAGUUCCCAUUCUGAGUCAUUCCUUCCACUACUUGCUUUUGCAUGGCUAGAAGCUUCUCCUUGUCGAAUGCUUUUACGGGUGGCAUCUCUAAGUCCUUUUGUUCAUUCAUGUCAAAGGUCUCCUCGUUAUGAGCCAUCUAAAUAGACAAGGUGGUUGGAUUUAGAAUAGAGACAAAGUUUUAUAACAGAAUAGGGCAGAGGUAAGUAUAUUUUUUUAGCAAUUAUCAAGGUUAAGGUGAAAGCAAGAAGUAAGCAGAGAUAGAAGCAUCCUAAAACGUCCGGUUCUAACUAGGCUUCCGUCCUACAGUCAGCAUUGCUUUGAUACCACUUUGUAACACCCGAUUUUAAGAACAAAAUCAGAUAUGCACCAUAUGUGAGUUUUAGAAGACAAGCCUCACAUAUAGCUACAAAUAAGAGUUAAUAUCAAAGGACAAUGCAUAAAUUACAUAGCGUACAUAGUAAAUCAGAAACAACCUUAGGCAGCAAACCAUGGAAUAUAACUCCAAACUUCGGGUGUUAACUUCACUCUACAGGAUCCAACUGACUGGUUGAUCACAAGCCCAAAACUUCUCCUGAGGUGUGGGGGAGAUAGCAAGAGUGAGUUCAAGACGAACCCCGCAAGUAUAGCAACUAGAUAGUAUAGAUCCCACGGUCUCAUGAUCAAUGUGACAUAAAUAAUAUAGAGCAUUAAACAAUAAUCAAUGAGUUUCUUAACACAAGAUUCAUCACCCUUAAUGUAAGAGUUCCCAAGGCCGCUCGUGACCGUGAGCACGGCUAGUAUACCAGUAUUUUAACACUCUCAGAGGUUGUACAUCUUUACCCAUGAGUCAUGAUUUACCCUUUCGCCUGAGGUGAUCAGCCUCGUAACCCACUACCAAGGUAGGUCGGCAGGGAUCACUAUAAAGUCUUUCAAAGGUUCGUCUAACAAGUUAGGGCCGCUUGGUUUCGGUAGUCAGUCCAUGUGAUUCUACCCCGCAGGGGAUCCACGGUCUGCUAUCCCCCAUUUGCGCCACACGGGUAACCUCUAACAAGCUAGAAAAGUUACUCAUACUUGACUAAAGCCAGAGCCAUUAUAGCCCUCAUGGUUGCACUUUCAUCCCGGUUAUCACUUACGAAUAAAUCCUCAAGUUGUUAAAAAGUCAUUAUUAUCAUUUGUUGCUUUAUAUCAAUCUAGUCACAAGAUCAUGGUCAUAAAAUUAAAACCCAAAUGCUAUACUUGCCUUGAUCCAAUUGCUCCUGCUGGUCCUACUGAUCUUACUUGCUUCCAAGGCUCUGAUCUUGAUCACCGAAGUAAUGCCCACUGUCUAAUCUCGAUCAUCGAUUAUCGACACACAAGCAUUCAAGGCCACACAUACACAAAGCAAACAAAGCUACAAUUAGAACAGUACACCAGCAGUAAAUAAAUUUAAAUAAAAGUUUCCGAAAUCAUCUACACGCUGCUACGAUCACAUCAACGAGAAAUUCACGGAAAACGGAGUUACGACGCGAAAGUUACGCUUUUAACGGGAUUUCAACAGCAGUUUACGGACUUGUAAUUAACUAGGGAAUCUAACAGUGGUGAAUCUAGCCAACAAAGGUACCAACGCGAAGCUUAUGAAAUUAUAAAACUAACGCAACUUGAACGGAUCGAAUCGGAGCUAAAACGGAGAAGAUAUGAAUUUUCUAACAUUUUCUUUAGAAAAGUAAUUAAUUAAAUAGGGUCACAAAAUUAAAAUGAUACAAAUUGUUAAACCAAGUUUACUAACGUAAAGUUCAUGUGAUUACGAAUCUAACGCAAUUUGAACGGGUCAAAUCGGAGUUAAAACGAAUAUUUUAUGAGCAAAACAGUUUCAAUGGCAAACGUGUAAAUACUGGAAAGCGUAUUCUGAUUCAAACCGAGACUUUACGCUUCUCCAAAAGCAAAGCGUAUUCCCUGCAAAACAACAUGGACUGCGGGUUGAUAACCUAAAACUAUAGGGACUCUUUAACAUAAUGAGCCCCGAAGGGAUACGGAGCGUUCUGGUCCGUUGGAUCACAGAUGAACGGCCCGGAUUAAAAGAAAAGAAAGAAAAAGAAAAAAACAAAUAAGAAAGAGAGGGAAGGGGUGCGCACCGGCCAGAGCUGAGCAAAGUUACGGCGGUGGCCAUGGAUUCCGGCCAAAGCUCGCCGGCGCAAAUGGAUCGGCAGCUACGGUGCACGAUUUUCGAUUCCGUUUGAACCAGGAGAAAGAGGAGAGCGAUGCGAGUCCAUUCCAAACCAUAAACGCGGUCGAGGAGGCGGUUUCCGAGAAGGUCGGAGCUCGCGGAACUAGGACUCCGGGCCACGAUUCGCUCGGCAACAGGACGGGGAGGGAGCGGGGAAGAAGACGGAGCUCACCACAGCGCUAAUUCGGAGCGAAAACGGCUCGGGACGGCGGCUUCGCGCGGCGGGCGAAAAACUCCGGCGACGGUUUCUCUCUACGCGCGCACGGACGGGAGCAGAAGCGAGGAGAGGGGAACUGGGGAGGAGAAGGAGACGCGCGGCUCGCAGCCCACUACUUAUCCAAGCGCGGGGAGGGGAGAACGUGGGGGAGCGGGGAGAGGAGCGCACGGUUGCGGCUUCAUGAGAGAGAGAGGCGGUUGGAGGAAAGGGAUGAAGCUGACGCGUGGGCCCCACUUGUCAGCCACCGGAGAGAGAGGAGGAGGAAGGGGGUUGGCCGGCUGGGCGACUGGGCCAAAAGUGAGGGGGAAAGAAGGGUUUUGUUUGUUUUUUUCCAACUCAUUUUCAAAAGCAUUUUCAAUUUGAAUUUUGAACAAAUCUUUCUUUUGCAAAAUUCACACAUCACAAAAUAAAAUGCCACAGGAUGAAUGCACACACAAAAAAAUGUUUUCUAAACUUAUAUUAAAUUUUAUUUUCCCAAAAUUUAUUUAUUAUUUUUUUUCCUAUAUUUUAUGAGCACAAAAUAGCAAAUUAAAUUAUUUUUCAUCUAUUUCCAAAAGAGCAAAAUUUAGGGUGUUACACCAGAUGAUUUCACCAAUGAUGAUCUGAGGGACCUUAGCCAUGAACUUCGCCUUUACAUUGGUGAUGUGAGAACAGAUAAUAGAUUCUCCAACCUAAAAACUAUUGGUCAGCUAUCUCAAAAAAUGGUAGAGACAGAGAAAUAUCUUUUGUAUAGAUUGGUCCAUCGACUUUUGAAGCUUGUGCUAGUAUUGCCUGUCGCUACAGCUACAAUUGAGAGAUGUUUUUCUGGCAUGAAGAUUGUAAAAACAAAUUUGUAUAAUCGCAUGGGUGAUCAACACCUGAGUCAUAGACUUAUUUGCUAUACAGAGAAAGAAGAAAUGAAGAAAGUUAGCAAUGAGGCUGUGGUUCGUCGUUUUAUGACCAUGGAAGGAAAAGGGCGUAAAUAAGAUCUCUAAAAGGUAACACAAAUGCAACACACAUCUACUUCCAAUUGAUAAUUCUAUUUUUUCUAAAUAAUUGACAUAUUUGUUCUCUUUUCUUUAGGCUCGAUCACAUAUUUUGUUAUAAUAUGGGACAUCUUUUGUUCAUUGUUGGGGACCAUAGUGAUCUUUGUCGUUUUUUAUCAACGGUGAGUGUUAUCGCUCAUUUCUGUACUAGUUUACUAAUAUUUUGACUGAAAAUCACAUUGUCAUUACUAAAAAUGUGAGUUAGGUACACUAUUUGCUUGAACAUCACAAAAGUUAUUACAGUCUUGAUAAAGUUGGGCACCCCCUGUCCAUAUGCUCUAGCUUUGCCACUGACUGUAUCCCGGAUAGUCGCUUACAGAGAAGUCCUUACAGAGGGUCUAGGACAACCUGACCGAAGUCAUUUGCACCGUAGCCCUUUACCCAUCAUGUAUCAUCAUACUAGUUUCAACAGUAACUAAUAAAGUCAAGAUAGUAGUGAAGUCUCAAUUUGUUAGAGGACUAGCAAUUCUACCCACAUGCAUUUUACCCAUAGGUGCCAUCAUACAAAGUUAAGUGGCUAGGAUGUCCUUAGGGCUAUCAAAAUUAGACACAUGCAGAUGCGUAGUUAAUUAAAUGAGUAGGUUAACAAAGAGAACCCAUGUUAUACAUGCCUUUGAUGAAGGGAGGCUGCUGCCGGUCCUCGAAAUAAACCGGGUCACCAACAAACAUGUCACUGCCAGAACUCGAUCGACGCCACACAUCAGCAUACAUCCGGAUUCAAACAUACAAGCAAACAAUUCUUUAAUUAGAACAGUACACCAACAAAACAAAAACAAAAACAAGAUGAAAAGCUCAAAAACAGAACCUACGUCUCGCUACAAUCACAUGGAUACGAAGAUCACGAAAAUUGGAGUUAAAACGACCAAAUACGAAUUUAAUAUGAUUUUCUAAAGCACUUUAAUUAAUUAAACCUAAGCCUAAAAAUAAAAAGUUUCAAACUGUAGUAACAGAGAGUCUAUCAUGUAGAGAAUUUAAAUACGAAUCUAACGCAAUUUGAAUGGGUCAAAUCGGAGUUAAAACAAAUAUUUUAUGUGUUAAAUAAAAUGAGUGGCAAAACUGUAAUUUGCAAAAACAUAUUUUGAACUAACCCGACCGAGUUCAUGCUUUCUAAAUAGGAAAACAUAUUCUGCAACUACGCCAAGGACUGCGGGUUUUAUAAUUGAAAACUGCAGGGACUCUUUUAACAAAUUUCACCCCGAAGGGGUAUGGAGCGCCCUGGGCCGUUGGAUAAGAGAUCAACGGCCCAGAUCGAAUCUUGGGGAGGGACUCGCCGGCCGACGGUCCAACGCAGCGGCGCUCCAUGGCCAGCGGCGUGGAGCUCGCCGGAGCUGCUCACGCAGGCGCUAUGGAGCACCAAAACCCUAACCGUUUGCUCCAGGAGAGAGAGGAGGUCGCGGCGAACCCAUUCCCAACCCUCUCGCGGCCGGGGAACUCCACUAACACGACGGCCGACUGUGGCGCCAUUGCCGACCCCGUCGGAGCUCGCGUGGACGGCCCUAGAGAGCACCAAUUCGCACAGGAGAAAGUCGAAGAGGGAGAGGGAGAGGGAGAUGAGGCGCACUCACCGGCGUGAACAAGGAAGACGGAGACGGCUCCGGCGGUAUUCUUGUUGCGCGCGUUCGUGGAGCAAAAUGAGAGGGGAAUGAGGAGAGGGAGUGCGGCUCGGGCGCGGGCGCUCUUCAAAACGGCCGAGGCGCGGGGGGAGGAGCCGCAGCAUGAGUGGGGAGCGUCGCCGGCAGUUUCAGCUUAGCUGCAGAAAGAGAGAGGGCGACAGUUGGGGAAGGAGGUGCUGACAGACAGGCCCUACCAGUCAGCAGGUGAGAGAGGUGAGGGAGAGGGGGAUGGCCGGCUGAGCCUCGGCCCAAGGAGAGAAGGGGAGAGGGCGGGGGAUUCGGCCUUGCAAGCGGAAAGAAAAAGAGGGGGGAAAGAGAAGGAUUUUCCCUUUCUCUUUUUCAAAACAAAACUUCAAGCACAUUUGUAAAAUUAAAUUUUGAACAAAUUUAACAUUUGAUUUUUAAAACGAUCAUCACAAUAAAAAUACACUAGUAUGUAUAUAGCAAAAAUGUUUUCUAAAUUUAUAUUAAACUUUAAAAUUUUCUAAAAUUUAUUAUUUUCUUAUAUUGUAAUACUUCACAAAAAUUAUUAAAUUAAAUUAAAUUUAUCUAUUUAAAGAAGAAUAGUUUUAGGCGUUAUAAUUGGGUGUGAUAUUUAUAACAACUUGACAAAUAGUCUUGCUCUGUGCGCAUAUAUGCCAAAGGGCAAGCGGCUUCGCAUCCUGGGCAUCGCGCCGUUUCCCCCUCGCGCGCGUUUGUCUACUGCCUGCCGCCGUCUGUUUCCUCGAAAUCCCAGAAAGAGGCACGAGUUCAGAACUUGUUGGGCAGCACGCCGGGUCCACCUCCAUCGAUGGCUUGUUGGGCAGCACGCGGGUGCAGGACUUGCACAACCGAGUGGCAGACUUGCAUCACGUGGUCUCUGACGGGCGCAGCAGGGUCAGGCCGGGUCCAAGGGCGACGGGCAUCAGUGUCCUGGACGAGGUCACGGCGACGCAAAGAAAAUCGCGCGACACAAGGCCGCGCGCGUGAGAAAAAGCCGGGUCCACAAUUUUUUUUUUCAAGUAAAUUUUGCCAAAUAUUUAGAGAUGAUCUUUUUGUUCACUCCUCAUAUAUUUUUAAAAGUUGGCAAACAAUAAUAUUUACCAAGUAAAACUUUACAAAACUGUUGGAGUUACUCUUACCGUAUCAUAUCAACUAAUAUAUUAAGAGCAUGCAUGUUUGUUUGGAGAUGUAAAAAAUUAAUAGGUACGGUAACAUUUUUAUUUUAUUUGAUAAUUAGUAUCUAAUUAUUAACUAAUUAGAUCUAAAAAAUUCGUUUCGUAAAUUACUCUAUAAAUGUAUUUUUAGUUUCUAAAAUAAUUUAUAUUUAAUAUUUUAUAUAUAUGUUCAAACAUUCGAUAUAAUAGGGUUCUAACCAAAGGACCUAAUAAAGUUCCUCACGUCCUUAAUCCAGAUCAAUCUGCUGCUUGCGUGGUGGACAUGAAGCAUAGGCCUUGUUUAGUUCAACUGAAAACUAAAAAAGUUUUUAAAAUUUCCCGUCACAUCGAAUCUUGUGGCACAUGUAUGAGACAUUAAAUAUAGACAAAUAUAAAAACUAAUUACACAGUUUAGCUGUAAAAUUAAGAGACGAAUUUUUUGAUCCUAGUUAAUCCAUAAUUAGAUAAUAUUUGUCACAAAUAAAUCAAAGUGCUACACAACUAAACAAGGUCAGAGUAGUAUGUCACGUGAAAGGAGCUACAAAGCUGCACACAUGAAUUGACACGAUAUGACAGAACCCAUAACUCGUUGCCGCAGCGUGAGGUGGGACUACUUCCACCUAAAAUCCAUAAUUUUUCAAGAUUUUUGUUAUAUAAAACUUUUAGAUACAUACAUAAAAUAUUAAAUAAAAAUAAAAAUAAAAACUAAAAAGGAGUAGACAUCACACAUGCAUUAUUCAGAGCUACGUACUGAACUAUUUGGACACCACACAUGCAUUAUUCAGAGCUGCUACGUACUGAACUAUUUGGACAUCACACAUGCAUUAUUCAGAGCUACGUACUGAACUAUUUGGCAACCCUCUUACAUACCGACUUGGCAUCCUCGAUCGUCUAUAAAUAGAUGCAUCAGCCUAUCUUAAGGGCAACUCACUACUGAAGCAGCUCAAACCUUUAGCCACUACAGCAGCUAUAAGCAAGAAAUGGCUCUACUUCUUGCUUCUGCCAUGAAUCACACUGCUCAUCCAGCAGAACUUAGAAGCCAUCUAGGACGACCCAAUAAUGAGAGUUUCUCACGGCACCACCUUUGUUCUUCACCACAAAACAUCAGUAAGCGAAGGUCUAACCUUAGCUUUAGGCCACGAGCUCAAACGAUAAGCAGUGAGCCUGGAAUCCACAUGCUGAGCCCCUGGGAAAUCCCUAGGAGGGACUGGUUCCCCCCUAGCUUUCUCUUCGGUGCUGCCACUGCAUCAUACCAAGUACUAAUUUCUAGCACGAAUGUCGUUUACAUGCAUCUUUGUUUGUUGGAAGGAAUGUAGUGUUAACUGUUACAAAUGAUAUAAUGAAUACCUAAAAGAAAAAAGUAUUAUUUGUGAAUGCAUUUUAACUAUAUAUUUGUUUGAUGCACAAAAAAAA